rnacentral:lncRNA from 1 species
GAGCAAGCAUCGAUAUAUAUAUAUAUUUAUGUCCAAACAUCCUCUGCAUGGUAACACAUAAUCUAUAGUCUAUCAUCUGAUAUUUUGAUAUACCUAUUUGUAUGAGCUCUUUAUUCUCUCUCGCUAUACUUACUUAUGAGUACCAAGGAGGUAGGGAGGCAACCUGUAUUUCAGCUACUGCUUAUUACUAGUAUGAUGAAGGAAUUAUCCGACCCUUCAUCUUGUGUGUGUCUACUUCUUGAUCCGGCGCACCUUCUUUGCGCCCCAGACCUCCAUGCGGCCCUUGGGGCAGCCGCAGGGCGCGCGGAAGAUGAGCACGGUGCGUCCAGUUGGGCGGCGACCGAUCGUUCCGGAGUCCUCGGCCUCCAGCUCGCGGUGCGCGUCGCCGAGAGUCGGACGGGGCGGGGCMGGCCCGGCGGGCGGCGACGCNNNNNNNNNNNNNNNNNNNNNNNNNNNNNNNNNNNNNNNNNNNNNNNNNNNNNNNNNNNNNNNNNNNNNNNNNNNNNNNNNNNNNNNNNNNNNNNNNNNNCUCAUGAUGCCACUACCUUCGGGKAAGGUAGUUGGUCGAUGGGAACGAAAAAAUUAACCUAACGUACACACGAAAAUACUAUCAUGGUGAUGUUCAUCUACGAGAGUCCACGCGACAGAAGACCGAUGCUCAAGAGAAGGAUGCCAUCGUCAGCAAAGCGCACGUCCUCCUCAUGAUGGGGUUGUGUCGUCCGAGGAGCUUCGCGGUUGUGCCAGUCGGUCAUUCGGCCUUCGCACUUGCCCUCCCCGACCGUCCGUCGACCAUGCCAUUGUCGCCUGGUUUCCCUCCGCCAAGGUGCCAAACCCAGACCCGUUUGUCGGGUCACUGGAAGUCAGCGUGAUUGCGCCGUCCACGUCGCGCCCCUCGGCCGUCAUCGAUCUCAAUGUCACGCCGGGGUUCUGCAGCGGUGGUCGCCCGUCCAUAGAGAUGCAAAGAAAGCAAGCCCGGUCGCUGUCUACGGCCACCAUGUUGUCGCCCCGUGUCUUGUUCGGCGAAAUGUCAACACCGAUGCCAACGGUCGAGGACCCCUUCUACGCCCAGUUCAUGGAGAAUGUUUUCUUCGAGGGUCGUGGCGAGGCCUUUCGGAUGGGUGGGCAGGGCUGUGUUACCAGCGAGGGCGUGUAGGCUGACUGUGUUGCCGACAUGAUCUAGGUCGCUAGCAUGAACUUGUUGGGGAACGUUGCAUGGGAAACAAAAAAAUUCCUACGCACACGAAGACCUAUCAUGGUGAUGUUCAUCUACGAGAGGGAGAUCGGAUCCACAUACCCUUGUAGAUCGCUAAGCGGGAAGCAUUAAGAUACGCAAUUGAUGUAGUGGAACUGCUUCGUGAUUCAAAUAACAUUCGUCCCAUGAUCCGUCCCGAUCUAGCACCAAACGGAUGGCACCUCCGCGUUAACCACACGUACAGGUUGAUGGCGAUCUCCGCCUUCUUGAUCCAGCAAGAGAGACGGGGAAGUAGAUGAGUUCUCCGACAGCGUGACGGCACGCCGGUGAUGGUGAUGAUCUUAUUCCUGCAGGUCUCCGCCCGAGCUCCGCAAAAAUCCGAUCUAGAGGAAGAACUACGAAGUAGAGGUUUAGGGUUGCACGUGGCAAAGUUAUGUCUCAAAAACCCUAAAACCUCUAGUAUGUAUAGGAGGAGGGGAGGGACUAGCCUUGAGGCUCAAGGGAUCCUCCAAGGCAUCAGGCAAGAGAGGUAGGAGGGACUCCUACUCUAAUUCGGUUUGGAAGGAGCAGUCCCUUCCUUCCUUCCCACCUCCUCUCUUUUUUCCUUUUGCAUUGUUUUUUCUCCUUGGCCGAAAUAGACCUAUUGGGCUGGCUACACCUUCCUGAUCUAGCAAGAGAGAUGGAGAAGUAGAUGAGUUUCNCUGGCAGCGUGACGGCGCNNNNNNNNNNNNNNNNNNNNNNNNNNNNNNNNNNNNNNNNNNNNNNNNNNNNNNNNNNNNNNNNNNNNNNNNNNNNNNNNNNNNNNNNNNNNNNNNNNNNGGUCCCGGUACCGGCCCGUUCGGUCCGUCCUCCGUACGUCCCGUCGGUCCGUCGGCGUACCGUCCGUCCGUCCGGCCGCGGCCGACUGGGCGGAGGCCGUACGACCGACGCCAGCCUACCGCAACGGUCCUCCGUACGCUCACCUCUUGCUCCUUCUGCCCCCCCCCACUGGGCGGGGUAACUGCUGUAGUGGCAUGGAGAUUUACACUCCAUGGCUUGUUGACACUUCAAAUAACAAUGCAAUAAUAUCAGUCUUCAGACAUGCAUUUGAAAACUUCAAUGAAGUUUUGAUUUGCAUGGACAGGAGGGACCAGAGGUGUGUGUCACCGUUGCUGCCAAGUUUGCAUCCAUAGCUGCUUCAAUUUUCAGUGCCACCUAUUGCUUGAUUAUUAUUGAAUCAAUUGAGGGCUUGAUGGAAAAGAUCAAUGUGCUGCUCCUCUUUAGCGAUAAACUAGAUCAGUUAAUAUCCAUUAUUCAAUCUCAACGAAUCUCUCAUCAAAAUAGGGACUUUGCAGCUAUAAGCAACUGCACUGGAAUAUCAAGGUGUAGGAUAAAUAGUUCAGAACUGAGUUCCUCUGAUAAUAAGUUGCAUGUCUUCUCUGUCUAUGUUUAUGUUUAUCAUGUCCUUUGAAAUUGCAGGACUUAGUUUUCUUUUCAAUCAGUGUGCAUAUUUACUGCUGCAAUGCAUGAUCUCUUGUAUAGUCAGCAACAUACAUUUCUAAAUCAAACUUUGGCACUCUCAGCGAACUCACACCUUGAUCUUCACCACCCAACUGCAGGUCCUGCACAAGCGUGCUCAAGGGACUGUUCACCUAGUUGUGGCAGAGCCGGUUAAGGAGAGGGAGCCCCGUUUUGUGGCUCGGCUCACACCUACGCACGCCCCCCUUGCGGCUUCCCCUGUGCCUCCGGUGACUGCUUCUUCUUCGACUCCGGCAUAGGUAAGCCACUCGGUUUUUCUCCUUUGCUUUCUCUCAUGCUUUAUGUGCCAACAGUCAUCAAGCCCUUGUAAAUUUAUCCUGGCCAUUGCACCAUGGCAAUUUCUUGGGUUUUGGGUUGUGCUGAUGGUAUGUGAUGCCAACAUUUGUACUUCUCGUCACUGUUUUAGUGGAUUUAUUAUCCCUUAAGUGCUAAUUUAGCUAUGGUUUUAUCUACUAUCCAGAGGAGUAGUAGGACCGUCGGCACCAUGAUGGAGUCCGGCUUCGUGUUCCCAAUACUGUCGCCGGUGGUGAUCGCGGAGCAGCUGUCCCAGUACGGGAUCGCCCCCGUCGCGAACCUCCGCCCCGAGAACAUCGCCAACCCGCAGCCCGACCUGCUCCCUGGCGUCCUCGCCCGCUUCUUUGACUCCUUCGUCGAUGCCCCCGGGUAACAAAAGAAGCAUGCCCCCUCUCCCCCCCUCCCUCGCUCGCUCACCAGGCUAGAUUUCACAGGGACGGUGAGGACGGGCUGCUAAGGUUCAGCGACUUGGAGGUGCUGGACAACCCAGAGCACCAUGCGGAGGCCAUCCGAGCGCUGCACCUCUACAUCAAGUCGCAGGCCUUCCUCGACUCCAUCAAGUUCAAGGACUUCACGCUUGCCGACUUCACCCGCCCCACUCCGGACCGCGUCGUCGUGGUCCUCAGCGCCCUCGUCAACUUCCUCUUGUACAGGGAGGAGAAGGUCACCCUCUUGCAGCCCAUCGUCAGCGAGACCCCCGACUACCACGAGCGCACUCUGGAGCUCAAGGCCAGGAUAGCCCAGGUCUUUGCUGUUCACAGUUUCCGCAGCUAAUGUGUUUGUGGAAAUGCCCACAGGCUGACAGGAAAUUCUUAGAGUUGCGUUUAUGUUUCUCCGUGCAGCUUCAGAAAGAGAUUACGGAUCAUGAGCUUGCGGUGCAAAUGGAGGAGCCCAUGGCCCAGCAGCUGGAAGCGGAUGUCAAUGCUCUGCAGCAGAAAGUUCAGGUUUACAACAAGCAGCAACUGACCCUGCGAGCAAAAGCCGCAGCCAUCAAUGACAAGAAAGAGGAGAUCCACAGGAAGGUGUGCUGAUUCCUACCUUGUGUCUUCUGUAGUGUCGCUCUCUAUCCCAAAAACUAAUUAAUUUUCAGUGGAUUUUUGGCAUCAUGAGUUGCAAAUAAAGUAUAGUCCCUAAGAGCCAAGCAUGCUACAUGGUCUAGGAGUUUCUGAUCAAAAUACAUCACAUGUUGCCACAUCAGGUCGAAUAUAAACAGCCUUGUGUGGUUGUGGUGCAAUCUAUUCAGCCUUGUGCCUUUUGGCGUGGCGUCGAUCCUGGUCUUCUAGACAAAGCUAGAGCUAAUUGGUCAAAAACCUUGCCUCCAAGUAUUUCCUAGAUAAAUCUCGAGCUGGUUUUGAUGUCAAUAAAUCCGGAGCUCUCAUAGGAUCCUGUUUGAAACCUGAAAUCAGGAGAUCUGCCAUAUCAAACUAAAUAGGAGUUUAAAGUAGCUUGAAAAGUAUGAGCCUUAAUCACAACAAGGUGCAUUAUCUGCUAUUGGUUAUAAAUUGUAACAUUAAGUAGUACUAUAUUUAAUUACAGGGUAGUACUAUAUUUAAUUACAGGGCCAUAGAUUUUAUUAGACCAGGAGCUAUUGGCCCUAACACAUCUCCCGCUCCAUCUUGACUUCAUAGAUUAGAAAUGCUCCAGCCCACAGCCCCACACAGGACAGGCUAUCUACAAUUUACCAUAUGCAAAGUAAACUAUGUGCACAUUCUUUAAUAUAUCAGUCAUUUACUCUUGAGUCCUGCCAUCUGCUCGUCACCAACCAUCUGCUCGUCACCAAUUGUUUGUGAAUGAGAAUAUUGAACAUCUGAUAUAUUGCUCUCGCUAACUUAAGCUGAUACACCCUCUGAUCCAAAUUACUAAAGCUGCAAAAAUUAAUUUGUAUCGGACGGAGUAGUUUGAUACUCUGCACAAAAAGCAACAGCUCACUGCAUAAUGUUAUAUUUGUUGCAUUUAUGUUUCCUGCUGCAGAUAACCCAGGCUGAUUUUGAGUUGACUAAACAUGCCCAAGAAAACUCCAGAUUGAUGUCCAAAUUAGUAAAGUCCCCAGAAAAAGUAAAGGUGAGACCUCUUCCAUUUUAUUUUAUUUGUAGCAACAGGUAAGGUUCCAAAUUUGGUAUGUGCUAUUUGUCCGGUGACCUGAUGUUGUCGUGAAUUAGUGACUAUAUGAGGAAUUACCUAUACUUGGACUUGUAAUCUGGCUAGUACUAGGUGACUGCAUAUCUGCGUAAACAGCCUGGUUGUCCUGCUACCUUAAUUUUCCAUGUAUAUCUGCAUAACCUGCCUAUUACUAGGUGACUGCAUAUAAAUGGCCUGGUUGACUUGCUAAAUUAUUAUUUUUAUGCAAUUCGGCUUGUGGAGGGGCUGAAAUCCUAUUAUUUGGCUCAAUAUCAAGCCUACCAGGUGUACAGCCCGGUUAACCUGUGAUUUGCUAAAUACAACUUGGACUUGUAAAAGUAGUAUCAUUGUAAGAGAUCGGUAUAAGCUUGCAUACCUGACUCUGGAUUGUAUUUCCUAUUGAAGAGGGUCUUGGAAGAGAAGAAAUCAGCCCGUGCUAAGUUGAAGGAGUCUGAGAAAAUAGCGAUGCAAAAUGAUCAAGAGAAAUCUGCCGCUUUGGAGAUACGCAAUAAGGUAUUCCGGUUCCACUUUUCAUCAGAAUAUGCCAAUUCUAGAAGGUGUUUUCCUUAUGAACAUUGACCAUGACAACUGAUUUCAGACUCACUUUGGAAUUUGAUAAAGAAACGAUUUGCUACAUGUGUCUCCCAAGACAAUUUAGUUUCCUCAUAUGAUAUAUCUCUUCGAUAUUUUGGAUUAUUCAUUUGGUACGGUGGUGCUACUUUGUAUCAGAGUGACACUUACUGCUGCUCCUAGUUGUUCUUAAAUAGUAGAUACCCCUGUAGUCCCGUCCUAAACUAUCUCCAUCUCGCAGGCUCAUGAAAAACUGACGAAGCAACACUCUAAAAUCCAGCACGUACAUGAACAGGUAAGAACAGCUGAGGCAUGAUUGAAAUAUGACUUUAUGAGACUGUCUAACUCUUAKUCKUKSWGUCGUGGUGUNNNNNNNNNNNNNNNNNNNNNNNNNNNNNNNNNNNNNNNNNNNNNNNNNNNNNNNNNNNNNNNNNNNNNNNNNNNNNNNNNNNNNNNNNNNNNNNNNNNNAAUWCGAAACAAACGCGUGAUGCUCACAAUAAUUUCUAAAUUAGUUUGUACGAGUGGAUACACCCCUUUUCCUAAACUAGCCAAGCACAUUCUUCAUAAUAUGUGACUUGACUCUCAGCUUGUUCGCAAUCUUGGCUGCGCGACGCUCCAAGAGUUCUGCAUUGGAUAACUAGGGAGCAUCGACUUGAUUACUUUGCUUGCCCUUGCGUUUUGAUCCUCCCUUGGCACCAGUAGCCCUCUUAGGCGUCGCAGAAGGGAAUUGAGAGACAACAUCCUGAUCAACUUGAUUUUUUUACUUGAGCAGGCUCACUGGUUUGUCCUUGUUCUUCUGGUUGCUCUUGCUCUUGGUCUUGUGCUUCUGUUUGGUCUGGAUCUUGUAGUUGCACUUGAUCUUGAUCUUGAGCAGAUUCGGAACCUUGUGAAAGCACUUGUACAUCAUGGGACACAUCACCAUCUUUGAGCAAUUGAUCUUGUCCUUGAGCUUGUUCAACUGGUUGAGGGUCUUCUCUUUAUUCAUCGGAAGCGUGUGGGGCUUGUGAGGAUGAUGGCUCCACUUGAGUAGAGCAUUGUCCUUCUCCUUCGGCCACAAGGGGGUCCUCAAUGGGGAGUAUUUGACCAAUCCCCAUUCUUCUUAUGGCUUGGGGAGGAAUUUCAUCACCUACAUCACAUAGACCACUUUGCUCCACUUGGGAGCCAUUAUUUUCAUCAAACCCCAUGUUACACGUCUUCCCAAUGAGCCCAGUGGACUUGUUGAGGACACGGUAAGCAUGAGAGUUUGUAGCAUAAGCAACAAAGAUACCCUCUUGUGCUCUAGAAUCAAAUUUAGCUAAACGUGCACUUUUCUUGAGAAUGAAACACUUACACCCGAAUACCCGGAAGUACUUGAGAUUGGGUUUGUUUCCAGUGAGAAUCUCAUAUGGGGUCUUGUUCAAGCCUUUGUGGAUAUAGAGCCGAUUGGACGCAUGACAUGCUGUGUUGAUGGCUUCGGCCAAAAAGUUAUAUGGAGAUUUGAAUUCCGCCAUCAUUGUUCUUGCAGCGUCCAUCAACGUCCCGUUCUUCCUUUCCGCCACACCAUUUUGUUGAGGGGUAUAUGGUGCUGAAUAUUGAUGUUUUAUUCCCUCAUCACCUAGAAACUCAUCCAAGGUGUAGUUCUUGAACUCGGUGCCGUUGUCACUUCUAAUCAUCAAAACCUUUGCUUCAUGUUGACGUUGAGCUUCAUUAGCAAAGUUGAUGACAGUUUGUUGAGUCUCACUCUUCCUCUUGAAGAAAUAUACCCAGGUGUAUCUUGAGUAGUCAUCAACAAUCACCAAGCAGUACUUUAUGCCCCCAAGACUAUCAAAUGAUGGAGGACCGAAGAGAUCCAUAUGAAGGAGCUCCAACGGCCUCUUAGUGUAAAUGAGAGUUGUUGGACGAUGAGCAGUUUCAUGAAUCUUUCCUUCAAUGCAGGCACUGCAAGCAUGAUCUCUCCCAAAACUCACAUUCGUUAGUCCAAAAAUAUGGUCCCCUUUGAGGAGACUUUGCAAAGAUCUCAUAUUGACAUGAGCUAGUCGGCGAUGCCAAAGCCCGCCCACAUCAACUUUAGCCAUUAGACAAGUCGCAGUCUUAGUGGGUCGCUUUGAAAAGUUCACCACAUAGAGACCAUUUUCGACAUAUCCAACAUAGGCUACUUUAAGAGUCUUGCUCCACAAAAGGACCAUAGUAUCAAGAUUAAAGAAUGUGAAAAAGCCCAUAAUUGCAAGUUGACGGACCGAAAGUAAAUUGUAAGCAAGGGACUCAACAAGCAUGACCUUCUCAAUAGAUAACUCUUGAGAGAGGACCACCUUACCAAAUCCCAAUACCUUUGACAAUGAUGCAUCGGCGAAUUGGACAUGGGUGGGCAUAGAUGGGGAAGGAUGCACAUCCACCACUAAGUCCUUGCUUCCGGUCAUAUGAUUUCUUGCUCCACUAUCGAGCAACCAUGAUACCCCACCGCAAGCAAACUCCUGCAAUAGAUCAAGGCUUGGUUUUAGGUACCCAUUUUUGAAUGGGUCCUUUAAUGUUAGAGACAAGGGUCUUAGGAACCCAAAUAGCCCAUUCAAUGAACUCAUAGUAAGAACCAACAAAUCUGGCAUAAACAUGCCCAUCACUAGCACGACAUAAAACAUAGGAAGCACUACUGAAAUUCAGAAAUUUGCCGUCCGCCAUGGCGGACGGCAAAGGGGGCAACCACUGACGGCAAAGGCUUUGCCAUCGGUCAGCAGACGGCAAAGGCUUUGCCGUCGGUCAGCAGACGGCAAAAAAAAUCCGGUGAAGACGUUCUUUGCCGUCUGCUUUUUUAAAGCGGACGACAAAGAAUCUUUGCCAUGAGGGGGCAGACGGCAUAUUAAAUGGGACGGCACAUWACUCCAACGKACCCCGUUAAGUGUUAACGGCAGGCCUCCUCUCUUUGCGUCUGCCAUUCCCCCCUUGCCAUGUGGGGCAGACGGCAAAGGGGGGGACCAGUCCCYCUCUCUCCCSUSUUUGCCGUCUGUCACUUCCCCCUUUCCAGUGUGGGGCAGAUUCGGNAAAGAGGGNGAGAGAGGGGCCUUGAAUUCCAGNNNNNNNNNNNNNNNNNNNNNNNNNNNNNNNNNNNNNNNNNNNNNNNNNNNNNNNNNNNNNNNNNNNNNNNNNNNNNNNNNNNNNNNNNNNNNNNNNNNNGUGCGUGCGCGGCGACAUCGAUCGCCGCGGASRYSACGACKGGACGAUCCCUGAACAGAAUGCACCAGAACGGCAACCGGGAAAGGAAAAGCGGAGCAGCGUGUAUGCAACGACGACACGGGACGGGAGUCGCUGCCCAAGAAGAAGCUUUAACCGGCGGAAUUCCUCCGUGGUGGCGGUGGCAGAGACGUGCGCCACCACGCACGAAGCAGCGCCUUUUCUUCCCCUGAUAACGCCGUGCACACCACGGGAGCUUUUGGUCCAGAAACGCACAUAAUAGAUAGGCAUAGAGCGGCUGGUGGCGUACGGCGCCACUACGACCGGAGCCGGCCGCACGACCAGCGGCCCCGCCGGUGCCACGUACGCCCGCCCGCCCGUCCGGCGGAUCGUAUAACGCGUGCGGCCGCGGCGUUGACAUCUCGACGGUGCGGCACACACAGCACCGGCGUCAUCACUUCCCUGUACUACUACUAGUACUAACGGCUUUUGGUAGUAGCGUAAUACUUACUGGCGGCGUGAACGAAGCGGGCAGACGCUCGGUUGCCGCCGGUCGACCGAGCCGAGCCAGGCCCCGACCCCACCGAUCCGAUCGGCAGCGGCAGGUCCCACGCAGGUUCGCUCCCCCACAGUCACAGACCAGAUCCCGACGCCCCCACCACACCACACCACACCGCACCGCCCUUCCCUCUUCCCAAACUCGCGCAGGCAAACGCACCGGCACCGCACCAGACCAGACCAGGCCGAAACGGGCGAAUUUCACCCGCCGGAGCCAUGGCGGAGUGCCGCAGCCUCAUCGAGUUCCUGCGCGCCUUCGAGCAGCACCGGAGGGCGGCGGACCCCUCGUCUGCCACCCGAUCCAAGCGCGCGCCGUCCCCCUCCAGGCGCCACAGCCUCACCGCGCUCUGCGACCACUCGCCGAUGGCCGCGCUGGACGCGCUCCUGCUGCUGGCCGUGCUCGCCGCGCUGGGCUUCCUMGUGGCCCCGCACGCCAGGCUGCUGCUGCUCGAGGCGCGCGCGCUGCUCCACCCGGCGGCCUCCUGCCUCUCCGGCCGCGCCGCGUCGCCGGGGCCGCCGCCGCCGUCGCCGGGCCNNNNNNNNNNNNNNNNNNNNNNNNNNNNNNNNNNNNNNNNNNNNNNNNNNNNNNNNNNNNNNNNNNNNNNNNNNNNNNNNNNNNNNNNNNNNNNNNNNNNGCGGCGCCGUUUGGGGAUGCAGGCGUAUAGGAGAGGCGCAACCUCAGAAACGGCGCGGCCGUUGAUCCAUCGGUCAAAAAAGGAUUUUAAGUUCGAACAAGCAAUAUAUUCAGAAUAAAGAACAUCACUUUAGCGAUCAUUGCCUCCACUUUCUUUUCUCUAAGUUCAAGGCACAGUUUACCCUCAAUCUCGGAGCUCAAAGCGCCCAGCUUCUGAUUUUCAUCUGCUGUUAUUUGAUUCCUUUCUUCCACUUUCCCCUUGAGACGCUCCUCCAUUUCAUGUACUGGUUGGAAAGGAUUAAUGCAAAAAUGUGAACGAAAUAAUAACUCUCAGAAAGGGAGUAACAUACAAUACUUGAGCAGUACUAACAAAAUACUCCCUCCGUUCCUAAAUAUAAGUCUUUUCAGAGAUUCCACUACGGACUACAUACGGAUGUAUGUAGACAUACUGUAGAGUGUAGAUUCACUCGUUUUGCUCCGUAUGUAGUCCCAAGUGGAAUCUCUAAAAAUACUUUUAUUUAGGAACGAAGGGGGUAUAUGUUUAGGGACUAGAAAGUUAACCUUUUCCUUGCCAAUCAACAAUCAGUGCGUCGAAUGACAUAACUGAUACACUUUCAUCAUUAAGCUUAGCUUUGCGAGCUUUAACUUCCUUUUCAACUGUUUUAGCAGCAACAAGCUGGCAGCAACAGAAAGAAAAAGAGUUAGACAGUCUCAUAAAGUCAUAUUUCAAUCAUGCCUCAGCUGUUCUUACCUGUUCAUGUACGUGCGUGGUAUUUAGAGUUGUUGUCCUUUCGUCUUAGUUUUUCAGUUGACGCCGUGCGAGUGUAGGAGUAGUUAGGUUUAGGACGGUACUACGGAGGGUUACUACGUAACUUAGUUAAACGAACUAANNNNNNNNNNNNNNNNNNNNNNNNNNNNNNNNNNNNNNNNNNNNNNNNNNNNNNNNNNNNNNNNNNNNNNNNNNNNNNNNNNNNNNNNNNNNNNNNNNNNUUGUUUAUGCGUGUAGGGUGGUUUAUGUUCAUGGUUAGAGGUUGUGCAUGCAUGCAUCAUUUUGUUUGUUGCAUCAUCUAUUUACGUUGGUUGUUUUAUUUCCUUGUUUGUUUUCGUUUUGGAUAGCUACUGGGGCCGGUAACGAGCUCGAAGAGUCUGGUGAGUUCGCGCAGGAAAUGAGGAACAAUUCCACUCUGAAGAAAUCACAAGCAAGAUGAUCGUGACCUUGACACCGUUUCUAGCUUUGUUAUGCUUAGUGAUUCGUUUCUAUCGAUACAUCUCCGCUGCCUAGCACAUGAUAUAUAGGCCAUCAAACAUUGCCAUGAAACCUCAAACACCUCCCUCCUAGCUAAUAUUGUUUGGCUAAGUUAGGCUUGCUCAACCACUAAUUUGUUAGCGUUGCUAGUUGCAUGUGCCAGCUAGUCCAUGUGAUAACAUGGGCAUUUGAUAUCAUCAUAUUUAAUUUCUAUUUAAUUAAUGCACCUAUAUACUUGGUAAAUAGCGGAAGGCCUAGCCUUUUGUCGGGUGAUUUGUUCCGUUGUUGCCGCCUUAGUUUCGGCUAGCGGUAUUUUUUAUUCCAUAACUGAGCACUCCUAACACAUUCGGAGUUGUUAUGGGGACCGCCUCGAUAAAUCCUUUAGUGUUAAGAAUUGUGUGGCAAGACCCAACUUUUGUGUUAAUUUGGUAACAACUUAAUAAAAAAAGCAUAGGGAAUAGCUACCCCGAGGAAUUAAUCAACCUCCCCGGGCCAGUGCACCUCAUGAGUGUUGGUCCAAACGAGAGCACUGUGCGUGGCCAACCCAGGGCAACUUGGGAGAUCUCUAUCAGGCCCUAUACACUAGCUUAUCCAUCAUGUCCUGAGAACGAGAUACGCGGCUCCUAUUGGGUUCGUCGACACGUAGGGAGGUGUUUCUUCCUUUAUUUUAUUUUGUUUGUUGUGAUGAUUCCAUUUGUGGAAUAAUUCCUAAUAUGGAACUGCCUAUUCUGGCAUAUGCCAAAUUGGGCAGGCUCAAGAACAACUCCUGUUCUUGACUAUAGGUAGUUUGAUUAUGUGCAACUUUUCCUUUAAUGUUUGUGGUGUUUUUCUGCAUGCAAACAUGGCAGUAUGAUAUAUGGAUUUGGGGUAGAAAAUCCCAAGGAAUCCAAUGGUGGUAUUGGAAUUCAGUUUUGAGCAUUCCUAUAGAAAAUUCAUAUUGUGGUGAUGUGGCACUUGUUUAUGUGUGUAGGGUGGUUUAUGUUCAUGGUUAGAGGUUGUGCAUGCAUGCAUCAUUUUGUUUGUUGCAUCAUCAUUUCCUGGUGUUUAUUUCCUAUUUAUUUCUUUURGGUAGCUACUCGGGCCGGUAACGAGCUCGAAGAGUCCGGUGAGUUCCCGCAGGAAGAUCAGGAACMUAACUUCCCACUUCUAGAAAGAAAUCAACAAGCAAGAUGAUCGUGACCUUGUCCUACCGUUUCUAGUCUUUUGUUAUGCUUAGUGAUUCAUUUCAUCGAUACAUCCUCCGCUGCCUAGCACNNNNNNNNNNNNNNNNNNNNNNNNNNNNNNNNNNNNNNNNNNNNNNNNNNNNNNNNNNNNNNNNNNNNNNNNNNNNNNNNNNNNNNNNNNNNNNNNNNNNACACCACGACUCAUUGUUUUUUCUCCUUGGCCGAAAUAGACCUAUUGGGCUGGCUACACCUUCCUGAUCUAGCAAGAGAGAUGGAGAAGUAGAUGAGUUCUCUGGCAGCGUGACGGCGCGCCGGUGGUGGUGAUGAUCUACUCCUCCAUGGCUCCGACCGAGCUCCGCAGAAAUCCGAUCUAGAGGAAGAACUAUGUGGUAUAGGUUUGAGUUGCACGUGGCAAAGUUGUGGCUCAAAAGCCCUAAAACCACCAAUAUAUAUAAGAGGAGGGGAGGGUCUAGCCUUGGGGCUCAAGGGAGCCCCAAGGGCGCCGACCUUUUGGGAGGAGGUGGACUCCCACCCGAAUUCGGUUUGGGGAACGAGUCCACUCCUUCCUUCCCACCUCCCUCUUUCCUUGUUUUUUUCCUUUGGUUUUUUCCACUUGUGGCGCCAUAUCCCUAUUGGGCUGGCCUCACCAGCCCACGAAGGGCUGGUGCGCCACCCUAGGGUUACUGGUCUCACUCUCGGGUGGGUGGGCCCCUCCCGGUGAACACCCGGAACCCAUUCGUCACUGCCGGUACUCUCCCGGUAAUGCCCGAAAUCUUUCCCGUAACCAAAUGAAACCAUCCUACAUAUCAAUCUUCAUUUCCGGACCAUAUCAGAAACCCUCGUGACGUCCGUGAUCUCAUCCGGGACUCCGAACAACCUUCGGUCACCAACACAUAUAACUCAACUAUACUAAAACAUCAUCGAACCUUAAGUGUGCACACCCUACGGGUUCGAGAACUAUGUAGACAUGACCCGAGACACUCCUCGGUCAAUAUCCAAUAGCGGGACCUGGAUGUCCAUAUUGGAUCCUACAUAUUUUACGAAGAUCUUAUUGGUUGAACCUCUGUGCCAAGUCUUCAUAUAAUCCCGUAUAACAUUCCCUUUGUCCUUCGGUAUGUUACUUGCUCGAGAUUUGAUCGUCGGUAUCCCUAUACCUAUUUCAGUCUCAUUACCGGCAAGUCUCUUUACUCGUUCAGUAAUACAAGAUCCCGUGACUUACACUUGAGUCACAUUGCUUGCAAGGCUUGUAUGUGAUGUUGUAUUACCAAGUGGGCCCCGAGAUACCUCUCCGUCACACGAAGUGACAAAUCCCAGUCUUGAUCCAUGCUAACUCAACAGACAUCUUCGGAUAUACCUGUAGAGCACAUUUAUAGUCACCCAGUAACGUUGGGACGUGUGAUACACACAAGGUAUUCCUCCGGUGUCAGUGAGUUACAUGAUCUCAUGGUCAUAGGAAUGAAUACUUGACACGCAGAAAACAAUAGCAACAAAAUUGACACGAUCACAUGCUACGUCCAUAAUUUGGGUCUUGUCCAUCACAUGAUUCUUUUAAUGAUGUGAUCCCGAUAUCAAGUGACAACACUUGUCUAUGGCCAGGAAACCUUGACCAUCUUUGAUCAACGAGCUAGUCAACUAGAGGCUUACUAGGGACAGUGUUUUGUCUAUGUAUCCUCACAUGUAUUUGUGUUUCCAAUCAAUACAAUUAUAGCAUGGAUAAUAAAUGAUUAUCAUGAACAAAGAAAUAUAAUAAUAACUAAUUUACUAUUGCCUCUAGGGCAUAUUUCCAUCACCACCUUUGUGACAGCCCGAUGCCGACGUUCCAAAAGAUUCCGCUUCUAUUCCGUUUUCGUUGUGUGUCUAUUUUCUUUUGUCGCAUCAUCAUCGCAUCAUGCGCAUCAUCAGCAUUGCAUCGGCAUCUCCGUUGUCGCCAGUUUUCAAACUUGCAUCCGUUGUUAGUUGCCGGUUCUCAUCGUAGUUUGUUCUGAGCCCGACCACACACGCACGCGACCGCGGCUUCAUCAAAACCCUGUUUUAAAAGUGUGUUGAAAACUUUCUCUGAUCGAGGUGAAACUUGGCAUGCGGUCGUGAUUAGUUAUAGCUAGGCCGCCUGUCGAAUUUCGUCGCGAUCGGAGUCCGUCUGGUACCCGAACGGUCGACCGUAGCGGCACCGUAUUCGGUCUACCGUCGGACGUUUGUCGGUGUUUUAAAAUUCGUUGCCGCGCCGCCCGUUCUCCCUCUCGUCCCCGGAUAUCCCCUCUACACGGCCUCGUAACCGUUCCCCCGUUCGGAAUUAGUCGAAUCCGACCGCACGGUUGAAAACGGGGCGGAAUUUCGCUAAACCUAGCCCCCCAUUUGUCCAUAAAUAGCCCCCGGAUAUUUUUAGACAACCCCCUCUCCUCCUACCUCANNNNNNNNNNNNNNNNNNNNNNNNNNNNNNNNNNNNNNNNNNNNNNNNNNNNNNNNNNNNNNNNNNNNNNNNNNNNNNNNNNNNNNNNNNNNNNNNNNNNAGUAAGUAAAGUACGAAUUACUUAUUAGGUCGUUCCUACGUUGUAGAAGUAGCUAGCAUCCCAUCUCAAUAMCUUCCUAUUGAGCUUUUCGGAUAUGCAAAGAAAAAAAGAAUGUGGAUAAUGACGUGAUUAAAUUGAAUCUUUUUCCUUUCUCGUUGCGAGAUCGCGCAAAAACUUGGUUUUCUUAUUUGCCCAAAAAUAGUAUCGAUUCUUGGGAUAAGUGCAAAGAUGCUUAUAUAUCCAAGUAUUUUCCGCCGGCUAAGAUCAUCUCUCUCCGUAAUGAUAUCAUGAAUUUGAAGCAACUUGAUCAUGAACAUGUUGCACAAGCUUGGGAGAGAAUGAAAUUAAUGAUUAGAAAUUGUCCCGCUCAUGGCUUGAGCCUUUGGAUGAUUACUCAAAUCUUUUACGCUGGCUUGAAUUUCGCUUCUAGAAAUAUCUUGGACUCUGCCUCAGGUGGAACGUUCAUGGAAAUCACGUUAGGAGAAGCAACAAAGCUCUUAGACAACAUCAUGACGAACUACUCUCAGUGGCACACUGAAAGGUCACCUACUAGUAAGAAGGUACAUGUUAUAGAAGAAAUUAACUCGUUGAGUGAUAAGAUGGACGAGCUAAUGAAUUUGAUUGCUAGUAGAAGUGCUCCUUUGGAUCCUAAUGAUAUGCCUUUGUCUUCUUUGAUUGAGAGUAGCAACGCUAGCUUGGACGUUAAUUUUGUUGGUAGGAAUAACUUUGGCAACAACAACGCUUUUAGAGGAAACUAUGUUCCCAGGCCUUUUCCUAGUAACUCCUCUAAUAACUUUGGCAACUCCUACAACAAUACUCAUGGAAAUUACAAUAGAUUACCCUAUGAUCUAGAGAGUAAUAUCAAAGAGUUCAUCAACUCUCAAAAGAUUUUCAAUGCAUCCAUAGAGGAAAAACUACUCAAAAUUGAUGAUUUGGCUAAGAGCGUGGAUAGGAUUUCUUGUGAUGUUGAUGCUUUGAAAGUUAGAUGUGCUCCUCCCAAAAUCAACAUGGAUGAAACUUUGAAAGCUAUGCGUGUUUCCAUGAUUGAGAGCCAAGUAAGAACCGCCCAAAUUCGUGCUAAACAUGAAUGGCUUAAAAAGGCGUAUUUUCGUGACGAGAAUCACGAAGAUCUUAAAAUGCUUGGUGUGACUCCCAUUGAAUCUUUGUUUUCUUGUGUCAAACCUAAUGAUUAUGGGGCUGGAUAAGAAUCCACUUUGGUUGAAAAGUGCCCCAAUGAUUCGGAGUCCAUCUAUCUUGAUGCUAGAAGCAUUAAAAGUGCAGUAGAAGACGUUAAAACUUUGAGUAGUAAUGAAAUUACUACCGUGGAUUUCAAGGAAUUCAAUUAUGAUAGUUGCUCCUUGAUUGAAUGCAUUUCUUUGAUGCAAUCCAUGUUGAACUCUCCACACGCUUAUAGCCAAAACAAAGUCCUUUAUUGAUCAUAUCAUCGAAGCUAUGAUAAAAGCUCUUGAAGAGAAACUUGAAUUGGAAGUCUCUAUCCCUAGAAAGCUUCAUGAUGAGUGGGAAUCUACCAUACAAAAUACAAAAUACAAAAACUAUAGAGUGACAAUGUCUUUGUGUUAGUAGUUUGGGUGUACGUUAGUUGUUUUUGCGUAUUACCGUAAAGUUCUUUAGUGUUNNNNNNNNNNNNNNNNNNNNNNNNNNNNNNNNNNNNNNNNNNNNNNNNNNNNNNNNNNNNNNNNNNNNNNNNNNNNNNNNNNNNNNNNNNNNNNNNNNNNACGGUAGUUAAAAAAUUAAACUUACCGCACCUCGGGGCGGGUAGUACCGCUCCUCGGAGCGGUAGGUAAAAUUUAACUUACCGCUCUUGAGAGCGGUACUACCGCUWMCCCUUUUCCGGUCAUAGGACACUGAAAACUACAUAUUGUAGGCUCCAUUGUUGGCCACGAAAAUAAUGAGGGGUGGCAUGAAGAGUGUACGUGAAGAUUCCACCCAAACCUUUCUGACGCGGACCCCCUCUUAAUAAGACGAUAUUCCUACGACUGAAGACUAAGAAGAGAAACAUAGAAUAAAGCCCGUCUUCGAGAACCUCCGAGGGGCGUCGAGUCAUCUUGUGCGUAAAAAAGAAUAGUCUGAAAUGCUCAAAACAUAAGAUUAAUCCGCACAACAAUUUUCAUCAAUCACUAAAACGACUUAGGAGAAAUAUGCCCUAACAAUCUCCCCCUUUUUGGUGGAUUGAUGACAAUGCUGGAUUUGCACAGAACAAUAUAGAUAGGCAUAUGCAAACUCCAAACUUUACACAAUUGGAGACUAGUUUCCUCUGGGUAUGUGCAUACCAACAACCAACCACAGAGAGAACACUGCCCCUACGAUUAUAUAGACUAAGCCAUCCUUGCUACAUAUGUAAGAGUAGAUGCAAGAAAUUGGAAGCAUGGCAUAGCAUGUGAGCAAGGGGAUACUGGCACAAGAUAAUAUGUCUCACAGGCUAAUAACAAGAUAAAUAAUACUGAGACAAAGGAUAAGGAAGAUAAAGCAUAUGUCUCACACCAUGAUAGGGUCUGACGACUCAUAGUCUCAAGCAUAAAGCAAGAGCAAACAAUGGAAGCAACAAAGUUUUAGCAAACCAAAUAACCAGGAAACCUAGAAAACGAGAAAAUCCUACACUCUCUCCCCCUUUGGCAUCGGAACACCAAAAAGGCAGAGAGGACCCCUACAACCCAGGUGGUAGUGCGAACGGUAGAGAACGAGGGCAUCAGUCGGUGUCUUCGUCAUCAACAUACUCCUCAUCUGAGUCAUCGUCGGUGUCCUCCUCAGAUGCAGCCCACUGAAACUGGUGCUUCGCCAUCCAUUCAGCCUCCGGGGUGAUCUCGCGCUCAGAACCGCUGGAGAAGGGCAGAUCAAGCUUCCUCAUUAUCAAUUUGUCAUGCUGGCGACUCUCUUUCUGAGCAACAUGGGUCUUGUACUGGCCCUUGGCCUACAUGCAGAACAAGGUCUUCAUCAUGUCGGUGAGCCGUUUGGCCCAUGAUGGUUCCGCAGAGGCAGGCAUAUGAGAAUCCUCACCCUGUCGGUGAUCCUGUGGAGGGGCCUCACUGUCAGCAUUAGCCACAUCCUCAUCAGAAUCCCUCGGGGCAGCAGGACAAGAGGAGGUGUUGGCCCAUUUGUCCUUCUGGUGCAGUUUGAUGGGAUCAUGGCAAACCCAAGCAGGAGCAAGAAACUCAACAUCGGGAAAAGUCUUGGCCCAAGUGGUCUUGAUGAAGAAAAACGGGUAAGGACCGUAGAUUGGGACCUUAAGGUUGAUAACUGCAGAGUAGAGCUCAUUCCACAUGACAUGAGAGACAUCAAGGGGUUCACAAUGACAAUUCUUCCCCUUCUGACACAUGAGUAGCAUAUCUACUAGGUAAGAGUGUAACCUGGUUCCUUGUUGCCGUAACGUUGGGAAACAGAGUGCUGAACAAAAAUGCGGUGCAUCACAUNNNNNNNNNNNNNNNNNNNNNNNNNNNNNNNNNNNNNNNNNNNNNNNNNNNNNNNNNNNNNNNNNNNNNNNNNNNNNNNNNNNNNNNNNNNNNNNNNNNNCGAGGAGAAGGGGUACGGGUGGUCGUGGCGUCGGCGAACAMGDUGCBWUVCCUCUCCUCCUCUCUCUCUCUCUCUCUCUCUGAUUAAAGAAAACCCCUUCACAAAUAAGAAAAAUACUCAGGUUUGAAAUAAACCCAGAGGCUAAAAGAAAAAGAGAAAACAAAAGUGAAAAGUAAAUUUGGGCUUGUAAAAUCUUGCUCCAAUUUAUAAAAUAAAUUGGGCAUUUUUAAAGAAUAAAAUUAAAUACCUUUUAUUUUAAAAUGAGGCUUGUAUUAAAUAAAAUCAAAAGAGAAAAUAAAGAAAGCCAGAGGGGUUGCCUCCACAUUUAAUAAGAUUUUUAGGAAAAGUAGAACAUUUUUAUUAGGGAAAAACAGAGCUUUUAAAUAUGCCACAAAAAUAAAAUAGAGAGGAGAGAAGGGGUUUUAUCCUAUGGUGCAACUUGUGGUUUUUAACAUGCACUUGUUGCACCCACACCUCAACAACACAAAGGCACAACCACCUAACACUUGCACAUCACAAUAAGUUCACCCACAUCAACACAACAACAACAACAAAAGAAAGAAAAUGACAAUCAAUAAAGGCAUGAUUCACAUAAAUGAUGACACAUGUUAGGCUCACACCAUAUCUCNNNNNNNNNNNNNNNNNNNNNNNNNNNNNNNNNNNNNNNNNNNNNNNNNNNNNNNNNNNNNNNNNNNNNNNNNNNNNNNNNNNNNNNNNNNNNNNNNNNNCAACGAACGAAACGACRMACAGACAASAACACRMAGACACACACACACACACACACACACACACACACAAGACGCACGGACGCACCCACCCACCCGCCACGCACACACGCACGCACACACACACACAUGCAUCAGACAAGACCGCAUUUCCGACACUUUCAUUUUUUUGCUACGGUCGUGACUUGUCAUAAUAUACGAUUUGCUUUGUGUUCUUUACCGAUGCAAUUGGAAGGUGACACUCCUCUUUUCUUGGGCAAAGUGAAUGAUAUGUGUCUAAACUUCGAAGAUCAUCAUGAAUUGUAUUAGAACCAACCUCUGAAUUUCUGAAGGGACUUUGGAAACGACACAUAUUUAUAGUUAUAAUUACAUUCACAUAGACUGAGCCUCGAAAUAAAUGCUACUCCCUAUGUCCGGAAUUAGUUGUCCCAAAAAUGGAUACAAAUGGAUGUAUAUAGGACUAAAUUACAUUUAGAUACAUCCAUUCCUACGACAAGUAUUUCCGAACGGAUGAAGAAGUUCAUCGAGGACUGGCUUCGACAGACAGCUGCCCUAAAAAAACCAAAUAUGUUUAGUACUCCCUCCAUCCCAUUAUGUAGGGUGUUUAAGCUUUUGGCACGGAAAUUAACGCAAGACUAGUCGCAAAUUACCGAGCCAUGGUCAUAGAAAGUUUGUUCCAUGAUAUACCUUAAAAAACGUGUCUUACCGAUCUACAAUCAAUAAUGGUUAGCUUAUACUGACCGUAAGCUUAGGUGCGUAAGAUUUUGGGAAGGAGGGAAUACUUCCUCUGGUUCAGCUCAGUGCACGAGUGUCCCACAACCCAUAUCCAAGGCUCAAGGAAGCUGUUCAAAACUCAUCUGCAUCACACUCAAGGCUCUACUAUGCGGCUCGGCACACACGGUCACAACGCUAAUCUCGUAGCCCGCAAAUCAACCCCCUUGUCUCAAGACCCCCUCCGGUCGUCAAUGGUAUAUGCUUCUACCGCCAAUCUACCAUGGGUUGCGUGCGUUGGCGGCGGCGACGUCCUCUCCAUGGCAACACGAGGGACAAAUGGAACACAGUUUUGUUGGCGACUCAAGUCCUAGUCAGGGGAGAGUUUUUUUUACCUCACACAACAUACUGUCACAACAUCCACCGUCGGGUCACUCUUUGAGAUUUUUCCUGCUAGAUAUGUCAUAAACCGUGGACCUAUUAUUUAGAAUGUGUACUCAAUUACUUGCUUCGAUCCCACAAACCUUACCUCCUCGAAAGUCUACAACAGGGUGGUCGCGGUUGGCACCUGCGCGGGUUUAGGUUCAUGCUCCCAACGCGUCAACUUGUAUAGGAGCUUUACAACAUCCCCAUUGAUACCACAAAUGGCGUGAAAGAGGCCAUCACAAGAAGAAUGUGACGACUCAACAUCCUCCACGUAGUGUCCCUAGUCGAUGUCUCGAUAAAGAUCCAAAGAAGAGGUGAGGGUCGGCUUCAACAAACAGUUACCCUCCGAGAAAACCAAAUCUGUUUAGUACUUCCUGUGGUGCAGCUCAGCACACCGUGUGGCCCACAACCCAUAUAUAAGACUCAAGGAACCUGUUCAUAAAUCACCGGUAUGCAUGCCCCUAAAAACAUCAUCGGUAUGCAUCACACUCAAGGCUCUACUAUGCACCUCGACACACAUGAUCACAGCGCUGCUUUCAUACGCCCGACAAAAUCCCAAAACCCCCCUGACCUAAUCGACCCUUCCGUUUGGGUGGUUGAUGGCAGUGUGCCGCUACUAGCAAUCUAAUAGUGGUACAUGUGGUGGCGUCGUCGUCGUCCUCUCGAUGGACAACACGGAACGGGAACGAAAAGGGUAAACGNNNNNNNNNNNNNNNNNNNNNNNNNNNNNNNNNNNNNNNNNNNNNNNNNNNNNNNNNNNNNNNNNNNNNNNNNNNNNNNNNNNNNNNNNNNNNNNNNNNNACACCAUCRASUAGUUGCUAUCARGGUAAAAAGGWAUGGGGUUUUAUCAUUGGUUUGAGAUUAUCCCUCUACAUCAUGUCAUCUUGCUUAAGGCGUUACUCUGUUCUUAUGGACUUAAUACACUAGAUGCAUGCUGGAUAGCGGUCGACGUGUGGAGUAAUAGUAGUAGACACAGAAAGUAUCGGUCUACUUGUUUUGGAUGUGAUGCCUAUAGAUAGAAUCAUUGCAUAGAUAUCGUCAUGACUUUGCGCGGUUCUAUCAAUUGCUCGACAGUAAUUUGUUCACCCACCGUCUACUUGCUUUCAUGAGAGAAGCCACUAGUAAACACUACGGCCCCCGGGUCUAUUCACAUCCAUCGUUUACAACUCCGCUUUUACUUUGCUUUGUUACUUUGUUGCUUUCAGUUCUCACUUGGCAAACAAUCUAUAAGGGAUUGACAACCCCUUCAUAGCGAUGGGUGCAAGUUUUUGUGUUUGUGCAGGAUCUUGAGAUACUCCUCCACCGGAUUGAUACCUUGGUUCUCAAACUGAGGGAAAUACUUACCCCGCUGUGCUACAUCAUCCUCUCCACUUUGAGGGAACACCAACGCAUAAGGAUUCCUGGUGCCGUCAACAUGCCCAUUUCUGGCGCCAUUGGAAGGUCUUUUGUGCACUAGCAUAACGGACAUCAGGAUACCGACGAUCAAAUCUCGGGCAAGUAACAUACAAAAGGACAAAGGGAAUGUUAUAUAGGAUUAUAGGAAUCCUUGGCACAAAGGUUCAACCGAUACGAUCUUUGUAGAAUAUGUAGGAUACAAUAUGGACAUCCAGGUCGCGCUAUUGGAUAUUUACCGAGGAGUGUCUCGGGUCAUGUCUACAUAGUUCUCGAACCCGUAGGGUGUGCACACUUAAGGUUCGAUGAUGUUUUAGUAUAGUUGAGUUAUAUGUGUUGGUGACCGAAGGUUGUUCGGAGUCCCGGAUGAGAUCACGGACGUCACGAGGGUUUCUGAUAUGGUCCGGAAAUGAAGAUUGAUAUGUAGGAUGGUUUCAGUUUGGUUACGGGAAAGUAGUUUCGGGCAUUACCGGGAGAGUACCGGCAGUGACGAAGUGGGUUCCGGGUGUUCGACCGGGAGGGCCCACCCGACCCGGAGAGUNNNNNNNNNNNNNNNNNNNNNNNNNNNNNNNNNNNNNNNNNNNNNNNNNNNNNNNNNNNNNNNNNNNNNNNNNNNNNNNNNNNNNNNNNNNNNNNNNNNNAUGGACGUUGACUUUGGUUCGGUUCGAUGGACGGCGUUUCGUAGUGUAGGGCCGACUAGCCUCCAUUCUAAGUCAUCCCACUGUGAUCGAACUCAACUCCACGUCCUCCGAGCACUUCGUGCCCAACCUCACCAUCGUCAACCAUACUCUUCGAGUGGUCAAACCCUUAAUGAAGAGAUGUGACUUUGAUACCAAUUGAAAGGAUCGAUAUGCUUGACUAGAGGGGGGGUGAAUAGGCAACWACCAAUUUUUAGCUYUUCUUAACAAAUUAGCAUUAKCAACAUAAAGGUUCUCUAAAACUGACACUAAGGGUGAGCAACCUAUAUGAUGCUACUUACAAACGAGUAACGAAGCAAGUAAGGACGAUACGUCUACAACAACAACACAAACAAAGUAAAGGUAAGAGAUAACCACAAGUGGAAACGAUGAAGACGAGGAUGUGUUACCGAAGUUCCUUCCCUUUGACAGGAUGUACGUCUCCGUUGAAGUGGUGUGGAGACACAAUGCUCCCAAUAAGCCACUAGGGCCACCAUAUUCUCCUCACGCUCUCGCACAAUGGCAAGGUGUCGUGAUUCCACUAUAGGUGCCUGAUACGUCUCAAACGUAUCUUAUAAUUUUGAUGUUCGACUGCUGUUAUUCUUGUCUAUCUUGGUAGUGUUUAUUGUUACUUUACUUAUUCUUUUUGGUUACGUUAACUUAAUUUAAUUACUAGUAGUCAACGUAGUCCGUACGUUCCGUUUCGUUUUUCNNNNNNNNNNNNNNNNNNNNNNNNNNNNNNNNNNNNNNNNNNNNNNNNNNNNNNNNNNNNNNNNNNNNNNNNNNNNNNNNNNNNNNNNNNNNNNNNNNNNUGUUCAUGAUCAAGUUGYUUCAAAUUCAUGAUAUCAUUACGGAGAGAGAUGAUCUUAGCCGGCGGAAAAUACUUGGAUAUAUAAGCAUCUUUGCACUUAUCCCAAGAAUCGAUACUAUUUUUGGGCAAAUAAGAAAACCAAGUUUUWGUCGCGAUCUCGCAACGAGAAAGGAAAAAGAAUUCAAUUUAAUCACGUCAUUAUCCACAUCUUUUUUCUUUUGCAUAUCGAAAAGCUCAAUGAAGGUAUUGAGAUGGGAUGCAGCAUCUUCACUAGGAAGGCCAUAGAAUUGCUCUUUCAUAACAAGAUUCAGCAAAGCGGCAUUGAUUUUGUAUGACUCCGCACUAGUGGCGGAAGCAAUCGGAGUACUAAUAAAAUCAUUAUUAUUAGUAUUCGAGAAGUCACAAAGUUUGGUGUUUUCGUUCAUGGUGACUUCAGCAAGCAAGAAAGCACACAAGCAAACAAACACCAGGCGAGAAAAAGGGCGAACGAAACGGGCAAACGAAAAGGCGAAUGAAAAAGGAAAAUUGGUGAAGUGGGGGAGAGGAAAACGAGAGGCAACUGGCAAACAAAGUAAAUGCAAGAGAUGAGUUUGCGACACCUACUUGGAUGAGUUCUUGACUUGAUCUUCCUCCCCAGCAACGACGCCAAAAAUUCUUCUGAUGUGACAACAAAAGUCCUUCCCUGGCGCUUAGGAAUUCUUCUUGUUACUUCUCUGGUUUGCGUCGGUUUUUCCCUUGAAGAGGAAAGGGUGAUGCAACACAGGAGCAGUAAGUAUUUCCCUCAGUUUGAGAACCAAUGUAUCGAUCCAGAAGGAGGGCCUCGUCAAGUCCAGAGUACUUGCGCAAACACAAACAAGCUUGCACCCAACGCUUCAAAGGGGUUGUCAAUCCCUUCAAGAUUGUUUGCAAAGUGAGAUCUGCAGGUGGAAAGUGCAACGAAGUAAAAAGUGUAAGGCUGCAAAUAUGGUGUGGAGUAGACCUUGGGGGCCAUAGUGUUCACUAGAGGCUUCUCUCAUAAUAGCAAAUAUCACGGUGGGUGAACAAGUUACUGUCGAGCAAUUGAUAGAAUCGCGCAAAGUCAUGACGAUAUCUAAGUCAAUGAUCAUGCAUAUAGGCAUCACGUCCGAGACAAGUAGACCGAUACUUUCUGCAUCUACUACUAUUACUCCACACAUCGACCGCUAUCCAGCAUGCAUCUAGUGUAUUGAGUUCAUGACGAACAGAGUAACGCUUUAAGCAAGAUGACAUGAUGUAGAUGGAUAAUCUCAAACCAAUGAUGAAAACCCCAUCUUUUACCCUWSAYSRCRACUAACACGAUGCAUGCCUCACUACCCYUYCUGUCACUGGGUGAGGUCACCACAUGGUAUGAACCCAAAACCAAAGCACUUCUCCCAUUGCAAGAAUACAUAGAUCUGUUGGGCAAACAAAACCCACAACUCGAAGAGAAUUACAAGGAUAUUGAAUCAUGCAUAAGAGAGAUCAUAAGAAACUAAAAUAAGAUUCAUAGAUAAUCUGAUCAUAAAUCCACAAUUCAUCGGAUCUCAACAAACACACCGCAAAAGAAGAUUACAUCGGAUAGAUCUCCAUGAAGAUCAUGGAGAACUUUAUAUUGAAGAUCCAAGAGAGAGAAGAAGCCAUCUAGUUACUAGCUAUGGACCCGUAGGUCUAUGGUGAACUACUCACGCAUCAUGGGAGAGGUCAUGGUGUUGAUGAAGAAGCCCUCCGUAUCCGAACUCCCCCUCCGGCAGGGCACCAGGACGUGCCCCAGAUGGGAUCUUGCAGAGACAGAAGCUUGCAUGCNNNNNNNNNNNNNNNNNNNNNNNNNNNNNNNNNNNNNNNNNNNNNNNNNNNNNNNNNNNNNNNNNNNNNNNNNNNNNNNNNNNNNNNNNNNNNNNNNNNNGUAGUAGUAAUGAAAGUUACUUAACCGUCGGAGUUUCUAAGGUAAUUACAAUUUAWUGAUAAGUUUGCUACCUUUCGAUUGAAUAGYAUUUCUUUGUAUGCAAUCCAUGUUGAACUCUCCACACGCUUAUAGCCAAAACAAAGACCUUUAUUGAUCAUAUCAUCGAAGCUAUGAUAAAAGCUCUUGAAGAGAAACUUGAAUUGGAAGUCUCUAUCCCUAGAAAGCUUCAUGAUGAGUGGGAAUCUACCAUCAAAAUCAAAAUCAAAAACUAUGAGUGCAAUGCUUUGUGUGAUUUGGGUGCUAGUGUUUUUGCGAUUCCAAAGUCUUUAUGUGAUGUUCUGGGUUUUAAUGACAUUGAAGAGUUAUCUCUUAAUUUGCAUCUUGUUGAUUCUACUGUCAAGAAACCCAUGGGAAGGAUCAAUGAUGUUCUUAAGGUUGACAAAUAGGUAACUAAUCGGUACCCGUGGUACUUUCUAUUGUGUCUUUGACUAUUGAUUGCUAAUCCUACUUGCCCUAUUAUUCUUGGUACUACCUUUCCUAAGGUACUGUACGGUGUCUAUCAUCGAUAGUAAAGGAAGGAAUNNNNNNNNNNNNNNNNNNNNNNNNNNNNNNNNNNNNNNNNNNNNNNNNNNNNNNNNNNNNNNNNNNNNNNNNNNNNNNNNNNNNNNNNNNNNNNNNNNNNGAUGGAAAACUGCACUUUCAUGAAUGUAAUUUUGCUAAGUCUGUAAUAGUGUGCGAGCUGCCAUUUUGUGACCUCUUCCUAGUGAUCCAUGAUGCCAUGCUAGUUUAUGUUAGUUGUUAGUUGUAGUGCUUCUUGCCUCUUUCGUCGUCAUGCCUUGGUUGAGUAUAUUUGAGUUGAGUAGCUCGUAGUUGUGAGGUGUAGAAAAUGCUAUGUGGCUGAUUUUGACAGGUUGUAGUCAUUUCUUGUUUUGCUMGUAGUUUUUGAUCCAUAGCUCCGAUUUGAGCGUGUCCUAUAUGAAACUUGCUUAGAAUCUCGUGUAGUUUCAUUUUCUCUUGCUGGUUGUAUGUUUUGAGGUGCUCGUGACCGCCGUUGCACACAUAUUGCAUUCAUGCCAUCAUAUCUUGCGGUGCUUGUAACUUUGAUCCGUAACUCCGUUGGAGAUGAUCUCUAUGUGUAAAUUGCUUGUAACGACGCGCAGAAUCAAGUGAACCUUAUUUGUUUGCUUAGUUAAACAAACUUAAAUUAAAUGUGUUAGUCACGAUCUGUACGAACUAAUUAAGUUAAAUUAAACUAAUAGUGGUAGGUCGGUUCGUCGGUAGAGUAUCGUAUUAUAGUUCCGUUUCCGGUUACCCUACCUAANNNNNNNNNNNNNNNNNNNNNNNNNNNNNNNNNNNNNNNNNNNNNNNNNNNNNNNNNNNNNNNNNNNNNNNNNNNNNNNNNNNNNNNNNNNNNNNNNNNNAAAUAAUAGUCAAGAAAUAGCANAUUAUUAGAUGUGCCCUUCGUACAGAGACACAUACUGGUCACGCAUACUCAUGAUUGAGAACAUAGCUAGCAAGUUCAUCAGCACGAAGACCGGGACAGAGCAAAUAAGGGGUAGGAGGAGAAGUCAUUUGUGCUCACCAACAAACGCAAGGGCGAAGCUCGUCCAAUGCACGUGGAGGUUGUCGAACAACUGCACAUUGAAAUUCACACGAUCAACACAAAUWUGAUAUUUUUCUAAUUAACAUAAUCGGAAAAUAUGUGACCUAACUCAUAAUUUACAAAACUAUGACCUCGUGGGCCUCUGGAAGGCCGAAAAGCACCUUCUCGUUCAAUAGAAGGCUGAAGAGGUGUCGGGGGUCGGGGCUUAGUGGCGUCGGGAGUCAGUGGCCGUCGAGGGUCGAUGGUGUCGGGUGUCGGUGGCAGUCUCGGGUCGGGGGUUAUGGCGUCGGUUGUGGGGGUCAGUGGCGUCGGCGGCGUAGGGUCAGUGACRUCGGGGUCAGGUCAGUGUNUGUCGGUGUCAGUGCGUCGGGUCGGGUUGUCGUCGUUCGUAGUCGUUCGUUCGGUCCGGUAGUUNNNNNNNNNNNNNNNNNNNNNNNNNNNNNNNNNNNNNNNNNNNNNNNNNNNNNNNNNNNNNNNNNNNNNNNNNNNNNNNNNNNNNNNNNNNNNNNNNNNNUUAAAGUAACUACUAAGGAAACCGUACGUUCUACUAAAUACUACCGGUACUAGCACUAGCCCUAAAACCAAACUACAUCGGUAUGUCAUCACACUCAAGGACUCUACUAUGCACCUCGACACACAUGAUCACAGCGCUGCUUUCAUAGCCCGCAAAUCAAACCCCCUGCCUAAUGACCCUCCUUUGGUGGUUGAUGGCAUGUGCCGCUACUAGCAAUCUACUAUGGGUUACAUGUGUGGGCGUCGUCGUCGUCCUCUCGAUGGCAACACGAGGGACAAAGGGAACAAAGUUUUUGUUGGCGCCCUCAAUUCCUAGCAGGGGGAUAGAGUUUUUUUACCUGACGCAACAUACUGCUACAACAUCCACCGCCGGGUCAUUCUUUGAGAUUUGUACUGCUACAUUUGUCAUAAACCGAGGACCAAUUAUUUAGAAUGCGUACUCAAUUACUUGCUUCGAUCCCAACAAACCCUAACGCCUACCAAAGACGGUGACUUUCUCUCUCUCUAUUCGAUCUAGAUAUGGCGCUAGUGGGAGUGGUGGCACGCACGCAAGUGGGAGCUCGGAGGGUCGGACCCAACCGCCGUUGGGAGGGGCACGACAAGUGGGGGANNNNNNNNNNNNNNNNNNNNNNNNNNNNNNNNNNNNNNNNNNNNNNNNNNNNNNNNNNNNNNNNNNNNNNNNNNNNNNNNNNNNNNNNNNNNNNNNNNNNUUAUACCUCGAAAUAGACAUAAUUAGACACAAAGGACAUCUAGCAUUAGCCAAGAGGGACAAGAGGAGAAGAAGAGGAAAUAGAAGGAAGGAAGAAGAAGUAAGAACGAGAACGAAGAAGAAGGAGAAGGAACGGAGGAAUAAGAAGUAAGGACGAAGAAGGAGAACGGAGUCGUCCUACCUUCCUCCUUCCUUUACGUUACCUUCCCUUCKUUCCUCCUUCUCCUUCUCCUUCUUCUUUUCUUCUUCUUCUCCUCYUUCCUUCUCCUUCUCCUCCUCCUCCUGCUCCUUCUUUUACUUCUUCUUCUCUUUCUCUUCUUCUACGUAGCUUAGACUCAUCCAAGAAAGGCUAAAUUGGCUAAUUAUCCUACAAAAUGACAUAAUUAGCUUAGUUAGCUCCAAAAUGACCUAUUUAAUAAAAAAUAACCUAUAAUUAGCUAAGUUCUCUCCUAAAUGACAUAAUAAGGCUUACGUAGCUGCAAGAUGACCUAUUCCCCCUAACUUAGGUAUUAAAUGGCCUAUAAUUAGCCUAGCUAGAUCCAAAAUGGCUUAAUAAGCAUAGUUUGCUCCCGAAUGACCUAUUUUACCCAAGUUAGCUCCAAAACGACCUAUAGUUAGCUAGGGUUCCACAUAAAUGACAUAAUUAUCUUAGUUAGCUCCUAAAUGGCCUAUACUUAGCUAAUUUCUCUCCGAAAUAACCUAUAUACACUUCUUCAUCUAGAAUUAUUCUUCUAACUUUCUUAUUUGUCAUUUUGCAGAUUACAUCCACUUCACGGGAAGCUUGGAUUAUAUUGAUGGAAUGCUUGAAGAUGAUUUCUUGUACCAUGGCUUGUAUUGAAACUAUUUUAGUAUAUGGAUAUAUAUGAAACUUUGUAUGCAUGUGGAUGAAACUGGUGUAAUAUAUGGAUUGGUAGGGAUGCAACUUGCAUAAUAUGUAUGCACUAUGGAUGAAAGUUAUUUUAAUAUGGUUAUCAGUACGGAAAUAAAUUUAUUUAUGUCAAAUAUAUAUGUAUAUCCUGAUUAUUGUUAAAAAUGCUGGAUAUAAUAAAAAAAUAAAUUAAAAAGGGGCUGGUUCCCCCCUUUGUCGUCYGCCCCAAACUGGCAAAGGGGGGAAUCGAGCCCCCGUCUCUCUACCCCUASUUUGCCAGUCYKCSCCAACAUUGGAAAAGGGGNUGACAGCGGCAAGAGGGUAGAGAGUGGGCCUGGUUCCCCCUUUGCGUCUGACCCNCAUUGGCNNNNNNNNNNNNNNNNNNNNNNNNNNNNNNNNNNNNNNNNNNNNNNNNNNNNNNNNNNNNNNNNNNNNNNNNNNNNNNNNNNNNNNNNNNNNNNNNNNNNGAACCCCUUUCGUUAGCGUUGGGUGUCAAGUUUGCUGUUUUUGUCGCAGGACUUUGGUAGAUUCCUUGGUACACCUACUGGAUUGAUACCUUGGUUCUCAAACUAAGGGAAAGUAACUUACUGCUACUAUGCUGCAUCACCCUUCCUAUUCAGGGAAAAACCAACGCAAGGUCAAGGGGUAGCAAGAAGAAUUUCUGGCGCCUUUGCCGGGGAGUAUCAAGUCAAGAAUAGACUUCCUCCAACGUGUCAAUUUCUGGCACCGGGGACUGUUCUAAGUGAAGAUUAUCCAAGUAACUAUCGCAAACUCAUCUCUUGCAUUUUUUUUGCCUCUCGUUUUCCUCUCCCCCACUUCUGAAAAACAAAAAUUACAAAAAUAUUUGCCUUUUUCGUUUGCCUUUUCUUUCGCUUGCUUUCUUAUUCGCUUGUGUGCUUGUCUGCUUGCUGAAGUCACCAUGACUGAAAACACCAAACUUUGCGACUUCUCGAAUACUAAUAAUAAUGAUUUUACUUGUACUCCGAUUGCUCCCGCCAGUAGUGUGGAAUCAUAUGAAAACAAUGCUGCUUUGCUGAAUCUUGUUAUGAAAGAGCAAUUUUCCGGCCUUCCUAGUGAAGAUGCCGCAUCCCAUCUUAAUACCUUCAUUGAGUUAUGCGAUAUGACAAAAGAAGAAAGAUGUGGAUAAUGAUGUGUAUUAAACUGAAGCYUAUUUCCGUGCUCAUUGCGAGAUUGGGACAAAAAACGUUUGGUUUUCUAUCUUUGACCMAAAUARUAUGUAUUCUAGGAACAAGUAGUAAAGAUGUCUUAUAUAUANNNNNNNNNNNNNNNNNNNNNNNNNNNNNNNNNNNNNNNNNNNNNNNNNNNNNNNNNNNNNNNNNNNNNNNNNNNNNNNNNNNNNNNNNNNNNNNNNNNNUCAUACUUAAGGUUCGAUGACGGGUUAUAGGGAAUUGUUGUACGAGGUUACCAAAGGUUGUUCGGAGUCGCGGAUGAGAUCCCAGACAUCACGAGGAGCUCUAGAAUAGUCCGGAGGUAAAGAUUGAUAUAUAGGUUGGAUGGGUGUGGACGCCGGAAAUGUUUCGGGCACCACCGACAAAGUGACGGGACCACCGGAAGGGUUCCGGAGGUCCACCGAGAGGGGCCACAAGCCCUAAAAGGUGAUAUGGGCCAACAGGUGGAAGGGAACCAGCCCAAAGUGAGCUGGUGCGCCUCCUACCAGGUGCCCAAGGUGCAAGGAUGAGGGAAGGGGGGCAAACUCUAAGUCAGGUGGGCCUUAGGCCCACCAGGGGGUGCGCCACCCCCGUCCUCCCCUCCUGGCCGCCACCUCUUGGCGCCAUCUAGUGCUUCCGCACCCCUUAGGGGUACGGAACCCUAAGGGGUCGCGGCCACCCCGUCCCCUUCCCCCKUAUACUAUAGGUGGGGGGGUUUGGCCAGUUGGGAGACACSGCCCKAUUUCUCUCUCUCUCUCUCGUCGCGCGACNCUCCUGUCUUCUCUUCCUUCCUCCUCCUACCUNNNNNNNNNNNNNNNNNNNNNNNNNNNNNNNNNNNNNNNNNNNNNNNNNNNNNNNNNNNNNNNNNNNNNNNNNNNNNNNNNNNNNNNNNNNNNNNNNNNNUGCUCCUGCUGCUUGGUAUUAAACUGCAUGAUGCUAUUGUUGCCUGCUCUGCACCCGACGGCGAGCUACAUGGCGGCAAGCGAGGCUGCRAGAAGGAGAGGGGAGGGCGGAGAUGCGGGGAUGUACUGUGGCUCACCGAGGGCAGAGGAGAGGUGGCCGCGCGACGGAGACGGUAUKGGGGUGGACGAUCAGCUGCACGAGAGGUCACUCGAGGGGAGGAAGACGGCCGCUCGUCGUCGGGCGUCGUGGCAUCCACCUGGACAUCCGGUUGCUGGCGGGAAAGGAACCCCACGACCCUCCGUGUGCCUCCUGGUCCAGACGGGGAAGGAGACGACCUUCGAUUUGUUGCUGCUGACGAGCUCACCACGGGCUGCGCUGGCGACGGCGACAUCGGGUGGCUCGCCCCGACAGUGCUAGGAGGAAGGGGAGGAGGAAAAUGGAUGGAGGAGGAACCCUAGACGUGGGGCAUGACCAAAUAGGCCCGAGAGGAGACUUAGUGGUCGUCUGAUGGCGGAUGGGGUCGAUCUGGUGGUGGUGCUCUCUUCGUAAAGGCAUGACGACAGCCAGGAGGAAGAAGGGGGGUCGUUGGCUGGGCCUGGGCCAAAACUAAGGCUGCUAGGCCUCUUCCCUCUCUCUCUCUCUCUCUCUCUCUGAAUUAAACGAAACCCUUCAACAAAUAAAGAAAAUACUACUAGGUUUAGAAACUAAACCCAGAGGACUAAAAGAAAAGAAGAAAACAAAGUAGAAAAGUAAAUUUGGKACUUAGUAAAUCUUGCUACCUAAUUUAAUAAAAUAAGUUGGACUAAUUUUAAAGAAUUAAAAUUAAUACUUUUAUUUAAAUGAGGUCUUAGUAAUUAAAUAAAUACAAAAGANNNNNNNNNNNNNNNNNNNNNNNNNNNNNNNNNNNNNNNNNNNNNNNNNNNNNNNNNNNNNNNNNNNNNNNNNNNNNNNNNNNNNNNNNNNNNNNNNNNNUAGGAGAGACUCUUCGCCUCGCCUCCGCAACUCUCUCGUAUCAACAAAAACCAAUCUGGAUAGAAAAUAGUAGCAAAAAUAGGAGAGAAACAGAGAGAGAGAGAUAUAAUCUCGCCCCUCCGGGAGCCAUGGCAGCCAAAGACCAGAGGGGAGAACCUCUCCCCAUCUAGGCAGAGGCCAUGGAGGAGGAACCCUAUGGGGGGAGACUCUCUCCCCCAGUCUUCCGGUGGCGCCGGAGUGCCACCGAGGGAACCAUCACCGCGGUGGUCGUCUUCAUCAACAUCAUCGUCUGCAUCACCUUGCCUCAUCCAUCUAUGGCGGUCCAUUCUCCCGCAUCCCACUUUAAUCCUCUACUUGAACAUGGUGUUUCAUGCCACAUAUUAUUAAUCUAAUUUUUUUCCAUCCUAUGAUGUUGAGUUAAUUUAUGUUGUCCUUUGGGUUGAUUAAUGAUUCUUGUAUUUAUUGAGUUGUUAUUGUUUUAUUUCGUGCUGUCCUAUGGUCGCCCUUCAUCGCCACACACUACGUUAUGGUUAUUCUUGNNNNNNNNNNNNNNNNNNNNNNNNNNNNNNNNNNNNNNNNNNNNNNNNNNNNNNNNNNNNNNNNNNNNNNNNNNNNNNNNNNNNNNNNNNNNNNNNNNNNAUAUAAUCCCGUACUGUCAUUCCCUUUCGUCCUUCCGGUAUGUUACUUGCCCGACGAUUCGAUCGUCAGUAUCCGCAUACCUAUUUCWAWUUCGUUUACCGGUCAAGUCUCUUUACUCGUUCCGUAGUACAAGAUCCCGCAACUUACAUUAAGUUACAUUGCUUGCAAGGCUUGUGUGUGAUGUUGUAUUACCGAGUGGGCCCCGAGAUACCUCUCCGUCACACGGAGUGACAAAUCCCAGUCUUGAUCCAUACUAACUCAACUAACACCUUCGGAGAUACCUGUAGAGCAUCUUUAUAGUCACCCAGUUACGUUGCGAUGUUUGAUACACACAAAGUAUUCCUCCGGCGYCAGUGAGUUAUAUGAUCUCAUGGUCAUAGGAAUAAAUACUUGACACGCARRAAACAGUAGCAACAAAAUGACACGAUACAACAUGCUACGUCUUAGUUAGUUUGGGUCUAGUCCAUCACAUGAUUCUCCUAAUGAUGUGAUCCCGUUAUCAAGUGACAACACUUGCCUAUGGCCAGGAAACCUUGACCAUCUUUGAUCAACGAGCUAGUCAACUAGAGGCUUACUAGGGACAGUGUUUUGUCUAUGUAUCCACACAAGUAUUGUGUUUCCAAUCAAUACAAUUAUAGCAUGGAUAAUAAACGAUUAUCAUGAACUAAGAAAUAUAAUAAUAACUAAUUUAUUAUUGCCUCUAGGRCAUAUUUCCAACAGUCUCCCACUUGCACUAKAGUCAAUAAUCUAGUUCACAUCACCAUGUGAUUCCAACGCAUCCAACACCCAUAUAGUUAUGGGGUCUGAUCACGUCUUGCUCGUGAGAGAGGUUUUAGUCAACGGUUCUGAAACUUUCAGAUUCGUGCGUUCUUUACAAAUCUUUAUGUCAUCUUAUAGAUGCUGCUACUACGUGCUAUUCGGAAAUGCUCCAAAUAUCUACUCUACUAUACGAAUCCGUUUCACUACUCAUAGUUAUCCGGAUUAGUGUCAAAGCUUGCAUUGACGUAACCCUUUACGACAAACUCUUUAACCACCUCCACAAUCGAGAAAAAUUCCUUAGUCCAUUAGUUACUAAGGAUAAAUUUCGACCGCUGCUAGUGAUUCAAUCAUGGAUCACUCUCUGUACCUCUCAACAUACUUUGAGUCAAGGCACACAGGGGAUAGGNNNNNNNNNNNNNNNNNNNNNNNNNNNNNNNNNNNNNNNNNNNNNNNNNNNNNNNNNNNNNNNNNNNNNNNNNNNNNNNNNNNNNNNNNNNNNNNNNNNNUGAUGUGCGCGAGCUCGAGGAAGAUGUGAGGGAGCUCCAGGAGGACGCGCCCACGCUCGAGGAGGACGUGCCGGGAGGUUCCGUCGACGCCCGUAAGUAACCACGACAAGAGGGGAUCUUAGUGACGCAGGUGUGAGAUGCGGCGACGAAGGAGGUAAUCGGCGACGGCGGAGCGCUUCCUGGCGGGCGCAGCUAGGCGGCGCCAGCCCUUGGCUACGUGCGGGCGACGACGGAGGAAGAAGACGGGGUAGAGGGACUUAUUUACGACAACUUUGUAAAUACGUGGUUUUGUUUGGCUAUACUAUUGUAUUUGCUCUUAGGAGGCUAGUGAAGGUUGAGACGAGACGGUCUCAACCAGCAGAGCUAGAGACAAAUUCAAAACCAUCAAAUUUUUUUAAACGCGGUCCUUAGGUACCGAUCUCAUUAAAAAGGUUGAAGAGAGUUGUUCGGUUAAUAAUCGGAAAACCGGACUAAACCGUCACAAUGCGGCCACCACGACAAGGCACGACAGGGGAUAGGNNNNNNNNNNNNNNNNNNNNNNNNNNNNNNNNNNNNNNNNNNNNNNNNNNNNNNNNNNNNNNNNNNNNNNNNNNNNNNNNNNNNNNNNNNNNNNNNNNNNAACGAAACAAAUACAUACUUCAUCUURACAGKAGGWAUAGGGCAUUCAAAGCUCCCAAUAAGAAUCGAUKAAGUUUUUUCGAUAGCAUUGAUGCAAUGUACUCGAUAUUGUUUCUUCGAAAGUGCACCAUAUGCUCAUUACCGUUGACAUGGAAAGUAACAUUGCCUUUGUUGCAAUCAAUAACAACCCCUGCUGUGUUUAAAAAGGGUCUUCCAAGGAUGACCGCCAUGGCAUCAUCCUCGGGAAUAUCCAGAAUAACAAAGUCUGUUAAGAUAGUAACGUUCGCAACCACAACAGGCACAUCCUCGCAAAUGCUGAUAGGGAAAGCAKUUGAUUUGUCGGCCAUUUGUAGAGAAAUUUCAGUGGGUGUCAACUUAUCCAACUCAAGUCUACGAUAAAGAGAGAGCAGCAUAACACUAACACCGGCUCCAAGGUCACAUAAGGCAGUUCUUACGUAAUUUCCUUUAAUGGAGCAAGGUAUAGUGGGCACUCCGGGAUCACCUAAGUUUCUUAGGACGUUCCACCCUUGAAGUGUAUUGGCAAGCANNNNNNNNNNNNNNNNNNNNNNNNNNNNNNNNNNNNNNNNNNNNNNNNNNNNNNNNNNNNNNNNNNNNNNNNNNNNNNNNNNNNNNNNNNNNNNNNNNNNAGAGAGAGAGAGAGAGAGAGAGAGAGAGAAGAANAGAGAGAGAGAGAGAAGAGAUAGAGAGAGAGAGCUCUCUCUUCUCUCUUCUCUNUCUCCUCUCUCUCUUCUUCUUCUCUUCUUCUUCUUCUUCCUUCUUUCWAUUUUCCUCUUUCUUCUCCUCUUGUCCCCUUCUUCGGGCUAAAUUGGCUAAGAAUGCCUUUUUGUAGCUAAUUAUGUCAUUUCGAGGAUAAUUAGCUAAGUAUAGGUCAUGUUUUAUUAAAUAGACCAUUUUGGAGCUAACUAAGCUAAUUAUGUCAUUUAGGUGGAACCCUAGCUAACUAUAGGUCGUUUCGGAGCUAACUUGGGUAAAAUAGGUCAUUCGGGAGCAAACUAUGCUUAUUAAGCCAUUUUGGAUCUAGCUAGGCUAAUUAUAGGCCAUUUAAUACCUAAUUUAGGAGGAAUAGGUCAUCUUGCAGCUACGUAAGCCUUAUUAUGUCAUUUAGGAGAGAACUUAGCUAACUAUGGUCAUUUUUUAUAAAUAGGUCAUUUUGGAGCUAACUAAGCUAAUUAUGUCAUUUCGUAGGAUAAUUAGCCAAUUUAGCCUUUCUUGGAUGAGUCUAAGCUAYGUAGAAGAAGAGAAAGAGAAGAAGAAGUUAAAAGAAGGAGCAAGGAGGAGGAGGAGAAGGAGAAGGAAGAGGAGAAGAAGAAGAAAAGAAGAAGGAGAAGGAGAAGGAGGAAGAAGGGAGGAAUUAAGAAGGAGAAGGAGGAGCCUUCCUUCUACCUUCUUCUCCUUCUUCUUAAUCCUCCUCCUUCUCCUUACUUCUUCUUCUCUUCUUACUUCUUCCUUCCNNNNNNNNNNNNNNNNNNNNNNNNNNNNNNNNNNNNNNNNNNNNNNNNNNNNNNNNNNNNNNNNNNNNNNNNNNNNNNNNNNNNNNNNNNNNNNNNNNNNUAUAUAAAUCUACUCAAACAUUAUAGGAUGGCAACACAUCACUAAAUAAUUAAAAUGUGGCAUAAAACACCAUGUUCAAGUAGGGGAUUACAUUGGGGUGCGAGAGAGUGGACCGCUGAAAAGAGAUGAGGAAUAUGAUGACGAUGGUGAUGUUGAUGAAGACGAUCACCGCGGCGAUGGUUCCCCCGCAGCAACUCCGACUCCACCAGGAGAUAGGGGGGAGAGAGUCUCCCCCUUAGGCUUCAUUAUCCAUGGCCUCUCCCUAUAUGGGGGAGGUUCUCCCCUCUAGUCCUUGGCCUCCAUGGCUCCCAAAGGGGCGAGAGCCCCUGUGAGAUUGGAUCUCUCUCUCUCUCUCUGUUUCUCUCCUGUUUUCGCUGCUAUUUUGUGUACCUUUUAGUGUUUCUUAAAUAUCCGGAGAUCCGUAACUUCAAUCGGGCUGAAAUUUUAAGAGGAUUUUUAUCUGGGAAUUAUAUUUCUUGUGGCGAAAGAAGGGCUCGAACCAACUUAAGGCAUGGCUGAUACUUGUGAUCUGUGCUGGUUUUUCCAAGAAGAGGAACGGGUAAUUGUAGCACAAUUCGGGUAAGUAUUUUCCUCAGCUAUGAAACCUAAGGUUUAUCGAACCAAUAGGAAUAGCAAUCCUCAACCGUCUUCAGCGACUGGACAACAAAAGAGACAAACAACUUGCCUAACCCGAACGGUCGGGACAAGGAGGGUUACUACAACUCCCCAUGACUUCUUAGUUAUUUCGACNNNNNNNNNNNNNNNNNNNNNNNNNNNNNNNNNNNNNNNNNNNNNNNNNNNNNNNNNNNNNNNNNNNNNNNNNNNNNNNNNNNNNNNNNNNNNNNNNNNNUCUCGGAUCCCGGAUACUGUGGGAUUCGGACCCACACCUAUAAUGCGCCGCGCGGUUCCUUAAAAAACUUUACCUAUUUAGCCUUUUAAUAAAACAGAAACUAAAGGAAAAAUAAAAAUAAUUAAUAUAGGGUAUACWUAUACCAAAAAAAUACAGAAAAACAUCCUCUACUCGAUUAACAUUUUUCCAAGUCAAAAAUAAAAACUUUUUAAAAAUGUUUUUUUAGAAAAUCCCCUAAAAGCAUUAUUUCUUUUUGCAAUUAUUUUCUCAAAUUAAAUUUGUUUCCUUGGCUCAAAAUACUUCAACAAAUGCCCCUGGCUCUGGAGGGUCAUGUUCCUCCUCUCCUUUGUGUUUGAGAGAAUAUUAUUCCCCGGCAUUUCUUGAGUGGAGGGAAAAUAGAAUUUGCAAAUUAAAAUYKAAGGAAAUUCAAAUGCCAGCUCCAUUCAAAUUCUUUAGAGUUGAAGAAGUCAUGUCAUCUUCUCUCAUUGCUUUUAAAAGAUGCGGAAAUUCAUUUUAUUCCCUCUCAUUMMAAAGUUUUUGAAAAGUUUCAAAUUUCACACUAAGUUUCAAUCACUCAAGACAAACAAACAAACAWWCUAAUAGUUACUUUAACCUACCAAAAUUGGGAUUACGUUAACCAAACCCUACCNNNNNNNNNNNNNNNNNNNNNNNNNNNNNNNNNNNNNNNNNNNNNNNNNNNNNNNNNNNNNNNNNNNNNNNNNNNNNNNNNNNNNNNNNNNNNNNNNNNNUCGUCGUCUUCCAUUUGGAACCGUACGUGCAUGGGCACCAUUUGCACGCGACACACGGGCAUCACGAGACGAGCACUAACACACGCAAGUCCAAAACUGACGGUGUUAGAGCAUCGAAACUUUCAAUCCGACCCGUCAAACGUACGUGGACAAAUGUUCGUUCAGUGACCGGGUAUGUUCGUUUUGAAUCUUACAUUUUCGCCCGCGCAGAGGCACCUCUCAUAUGUCUGGUUAUUUUUACGUGAUUGAUAAAUAACAAGAGAAAAAAAAGAAWGAAUAGAAYAAAACAAAAGAGAAAAGGUGGUUUGGUAACGGGGCCUCGUCCUAUGUGGCGGACUGACCGGUCAAUGUUCGGACACGUCCACGAGCCCUUAUAUCGCCCCUAUAUUUAAGAUGGAUUUAAAAGGUAGUCGGUCCGACGUACGAAACUAGUUGUAGAAUAGGAGUAACUAAAAGUAACGUAGGUGUGGUCGGCGGUCGUCUCUAAGACGACAACGUAGGGAGUNNNNNNNNNNNNNNNNNNNNNNNNNNNNNNNNNNNNNNNNNNNNNNNNNNNNNNNNNNNNNNNNNNNNNNNNNNNNNNNNNNNNNNNNNNNNNNNNNNNNUAGCUCACCCAAGAAACCAACCAGGACCACCUGCAAUCUCCUCACGCCCUCCAUAGAGUGCAAGAUCACGUGGUUCCACGUAAGGGACCCGUUGAGGGAGUGAUCGAACAUGUACCCUUGGUAACCCUUGGGGCAGUCACCGAAACCCGUACAAAUUCCUCCGGGCAAUCUCCACAACCAAUUGCAGACCCUGACGCUUGUCCGAACCUCUACACUACAUUGAUUGAGCUCCGCGACACGCCCAACCAGAUAGGGCACCAAAGCACCCAAGAGGCACAUGCUCUAAGGGUAAUAAGCUUCUCAAAUUUCACUUCCWCAUUUCAUCGUGAAGAACUCAAACCUAUGCACCAAAUGCAAUGGCAAGGGCGCACGGAGUGCGCAAGUCCCUCUAUUACAAAUCCCACCAGAAUAACUACAGCUAUAGUGAAGAACAUUAACUGGGAUUUCGGUCUGCCUCUUCUCACCCAUACCAUUGUCUACCACAAGAUACCUACAAGACAUGCAAAUGGGACAAUAGUCCAAGUGUGCAUACUCCUUCCUAGAUAAGGCACAUCCUUUCUCAUAGGCAUGUAUCUUCACAUAGGGCAUCUUAAGUACACAAAGUAUUUUGUCCGAUUGGUACAGGUUUGCAGGCAUUACAUGGCCUUUGGGUAGAAAGUGUCCAAAUAGUGUCAUCAUCGCAUAAUAGCAUUCUCUUCCCAAGUUGAUCUGAGCCUUCAAAGCCAUUACUUGUGCAAUGUCAUCCAGCUGACAAGGCUCAAUGUGCUCGUGGAGAGGACGUUUUGAAGANNNNNNNNNNNNNNNNNNNNNNNNNNNNNNNNNNNNNNNNNNNNNNNNNNNNNNNNNNNNNNNNNNNNNNNNNNNNNNNNNNNNNNNNNNNNNNNNNNNNGUUAGGUCGAUUUGGUCGAACUACGAGUAGAGACAUUGACUAUAUCACGUGAGGGAGUGGGUAAGGCUGAACAUUUCUAGUAUGAGUAUCAAUCUUGGCAUANCGGGCGUAACAUCCAGUCCAUACCCAAGAUGAUAUUAAUAUCCGAAGAUUUCAGGGCUAUCAAUGAGGCUAGAAAAACUAAGGCUGUCUACUAKAAUUUCAUUGUCAUAGGWUAUYCUAGAGGUUUGCCAYUUACUACCAGGRGUUUGGACAACCAAUGGRAUUGGCAUAUCAMAAAAAKAMAUGUUAUGCAACUGUGCAUAACUUUCUGAAAUGAAGGAAUGAGAAGACCUAGUGUCAAAAAGAACAGGCGUUGGGUGAUGAUUAACAAGAACCGUACCCAGUAUGACGUCGGGAUCCUCUGCAUCUUCUUCUGUUGAAACAUAGUUCACACGGCCACGUGUAGGAGUUGGCUUCACAUAGUAAGCUUUGACCGACUUGCCUUGCCCAACGGACUUUCCAGGUUGCUUGGCACCCACAUUCUGAGGACACUCACGGGAAUAGUGCCCUGGUUCUCCACACUUGUAACAGAUCACUUGGUUAGCACGUGGUGCAUCAUUGCUACCUGGACCACCAUAGGUUUUUGCUGGAGGGUUGGACUGAUUUGUCCGAGGCCGCCACAUAGGAUGGCCUCAGAGUGUAUCUUGGCGGCAGAGAACGUGUUUACGGACCCACACUCCUACUAUUUUNNNNNNNNNNNNNNNNNNNNNNNNNNNNNNNNNNNNNNNNNNNNNNNNNNNNNNNNNNNNNNNNNNNNNNNNNNNNNNNNNNNNNNNNNNNNNNNNNNNNUUGAUGACCCACAAGUAUAAGGGCAAUCUAUCGUAGUCCUUCCGAUAAGUAAGAGUAGUACGAACCCAACGAGGAGCAGAAGGAUCUGACAAGUGGUUUUCUAGCAAAGGAAAUAAUCUGCAAGCACUGAAAUUAUCGGUAACAAGUGGUUGUGUGGUGAGAUGAUUCAUAGCAAGCAACAAGUAACAAAAGUAAGCAACGGUGCAGCAAAGUGGCCCAAUCCCUUCUGUAGCAAGGGACAAGCUUGGUCAAAGUCCUAUAGGAGGAAAAACGCUCCCGAGGACACACGGGAAUUUCUGUCAUGCUAGUUUUCAUCAUGUUCAUAUGAUUCGCGUUCGUUACUUUGAUAGUUUGAUAUGUGGGUGGACUGGCGCUUGGGUACUGCCYUUACCUGGASAAGCAUCCCACUUAUGAUUAACCCCUCUCGCAAGCAUCCGCAACUAUGAAAGAGGAAUUAAGACAAAGUCUAACCAUAGCAUUAAACUAGUGGAUCCAAAUCAGCCCCUUACGAAGCAACGCAUAAACUAGGGUUUAAGCUUCUGUCACUCUAGCAACCCAUCAUCUACUUACUACUUCCCAAUGCCUUCCUCWAGGCCCAAAUAAUGGUGAAGUKUUAUGUAGKCGRCRUUCACAUAACACCACUAGAGGAAAAACAACAUACAACACAUCAAAAUAUCGAACGAAUACCAAAUUCACAUGACUACUAUUAGCAUGACUUAUCCCAUGUCCUCAGGAACAAAAGUAACUACUCACAAAGCAUAAUCAUAUUCAUGACCAGAGAGGUAAUGAGUAGCAUCAAGGAUCUGAACAUAAACUCUUCCACCAARUAAUCCAACUAGCAUCAACUACAAAGAGUAAUUAACACUACUAGCAACCUUACAAGUACCAAUCGGAGUCGCGAGACGAAGAUUGGUUACAAGUGAUGAACUAGGGUUUGGAGAUGAGAUGGUGCUGAUGAAGAUGUUGAUGGUGAUGAGUCCCCUCUGAUGAGAGGAGUGUUGGUGAUGACGAUGGCGACGAUUUCCCCCUUCGGGGGGAARUUUCCCCGGCAGGAUCGUCCYGCYRGAGCUCUAGAUUGGUUMUGCUCAUAGUUCCGCCAUGUGGCGGGGGCGAAUCCACGAAAAAGCCUCUUCUUGAGUAUUUUUUCCUGGACGAAACCCUUCAUAUAGCAGAAGAGGGGGGCCAGAGGGCCAGCUGGGUGCCCACACGCCCCCUAGGCGUGGCCAGGGGGGUGGCCGCGCCUAGCAGGCUUGUGGCCACCUCCUGGCGCCCCUGUGGCGCUUCUUCGGCCCAGUAUUUUUAUAAAUCCGGAAAAAAAUCCUCAUUGAUUANNNNNNNNNNNNNNNNNNNNNNNNNNNNNNNNNNNNNNNNNNNNNNNNNNNNNNNNNNNNNNNNNNNNNNNNNNNNNNNNNNNNNNNNNNNNNNNNNNNNUAAAACUAACUCGAUUACAUGAUAGAUCUCAUCCUAUUCAUCACCGCCCAGCGAGCCUACGAAUAGAUUACUCACGAACGACGAAGAGCUUCAUGAAAUUUGAGAGGGAAGAAGGUUGAUGAUGACGAUGGUGACGAUUUCUCCUCUCCGGAGCCCAAGACGGACUCCAGAUCUGCCCUCCAGAUGAAGAACAGGUGGUAGCGACGGCUCCGUAUCGCAAACGCGACGAAAACUUCUCUUUUUAUUUUUCUGGGACGAAAGGGAACUUAUAGACYUGAGGUUGGGGGYGGYAGGAGCCGUGUGGGCCCCACAAGCCUGCCCACCGCCACCAGGGGGUGGUGGCGGAGCCAGGGCUUGUGGCCCACUGGCCCACCCCUCAGGUGGAACUUGGCGCABAUAUUUUUUAUAUUUUCCAAAACUGCUCCYCGUAGAUUUUCAGGACGUUUGGAGAACUUUGAUUUCUGCACAAAAAUAACACCAAGGCAAUUCURCUGAAAACAGCGUCAGYCSAGGUUWGUKCCAUUCAWAUCAUGCAAAUUAGAGUCCAAAACAAGKGACAAAAGAGUUURGRAAAGUAGAUACGAUGGAGACGURUCAACCCCCGAGUCAUCUUUAUGCAACAAAUGGCAUGUUAGUCGACGAACCCGGCCUCUCGUAAGCGUACGAGUAAUGUUGGUCUGGGCCGCUUCAUACANNNNNNNNNNNNNNNNNNNNNNNNNNNNNNNNNNNNNNNNNNNNNNNNNNNNNNNNNNNNNNNNNNNNNNNNNNNNNNNNNNNNNNNNNNNNNNNNNNNNACCUAUCUAUAGUCAUGUCCUUUAAGUUAUUGAUUGUAAGUAAUAUGAUUUUUAAAGUACAUUGUAAUACUGUUAAAAAGUAAAAGUAAGGUUGUAAAUAGAGUAGCUGGGUCGUUUUAGGAAUAAUUAACAUGCAAGAUAAUAACAUACUUGGAAUUUACAUAUUUUUUGAGCGAUUUCCAUAUAUAGCAUGUUUAUUUUGAGUUAUGAUUUGAAAGAUAUAGUUUUAAAKUUUUWAACGCUUAGUUUAGUAAAAAAACGUAAAGGUUAAAAAAACGGUUAAGGGGUUAAAAAAAAUUAAGGAAGUUAAGGUUCGGUAGGUACGGUUAAGGUUUUUAGGUAAAGGUUAACGGUUAAAACGUUCGUCCUAACGAAAGGUAACUAACCUACCCCUACGGGGUAGUUACCCGGAAAAUAAGUGACAUAAAUUUUGUACUAAGUUAGUAUACAUUUUGUAUUAAAACCGUGACACUUAUUUUGGGACGGAGGGAGUAGCAUAUUUGAAAUUUACAUAUUUUUUGAGCGAUUUCCAUAUAUAGCAUGUUUAUUUUGAGUUAUGAUUUGAAAGAUAUUAAUUUUUUUAAAGCAUUUGAAUNUAGUUAAAAAAAAGGUUGAAAUAGAAUAGUUGGAGUCGUGGUGUNNNNNNNNNNNNNNNNNNNNNNNNNNNNNNNNNNNNNNNNNNNNNNNNNNNNNNNNNNNNNNNNNNNNNNNNNNNNNNNNNNNNNNNNNNNNNNNNNNNNUGAUCUGUUGGUGUUUGUGGGGCAUGUAGCACAUCGCCCACCACAUACUCUAAUUUUUGUGUCUCAGACCCCUUUGUCCGAGUUUUGGAGCCAUCAAUGGAGCGUGUUGAGGGCUUGAUGAAGGCGCUGAAGUUGUCAGAUCUGGAAAGUAAGGGGAGGAAUAUUGUUCGGACUGCUCGGACGAAGAGGGGAGUUGUGGAGACUGCUCUGGGAAGGAUUAUGUGCCCGAUGAGGGGGAUAUGAUGCAAGGAUCUGGGAGACAACAUCUUCAUGUUCACUUUCCAUCAACAAUUAGGUAAAAGCAGGGCUCUAGAGGAAGGGCCUUGCACGUUUGGGAAGUCUCUACUAGUGGUUGAAGAUUUUGACCCGAGCAAGAGUGUGAAGGAGUAUGAAUUCAAGGAAAUUUCGAUAUGGGUUAGGGUCUUUGACUUGCCUCUAGGUAUGAUGCACCGUGAGGCUAGUUUGGCGAUAGGAGACAUAAUUGGGGAAGCUCUCGAGGUGGACCCGGGACCUGACGGUAUGGCAGUGGGACAGUUCUUAAGGAUCAAAGUCCGUAUGGACAUUUCAAAGCCGAUAAUGAAAGGUUUUGUGCUGGACGAUGAUGGGUAGGAAAGGAGAAGGGGAAAGAUGACUAACUSUUGAGAGAAAUUAAGAAAAGAAAAGAGUGGNNNNNNNNNNNNNNNNNNNNNNNNNNNNNNNNNNNNNNNNNNNNNNNNNNNNNNNNNNNNNNNNNNNNNNNNNNNNNNNNNNNNNNNNNNNNNNNNNNNNAACUACCACACUAAAUAGAAUCUCGUCCUCGAGAUUCGGAGGGGCGUAGAAAGAAAGGUUUGGGUUUGGGGGGUCGUUCUAACCAAAUCCAACCUCCGGCAAAGUGGGAUGCUACCACGCUUAAAUAGAAGGUUACUCGUCGCUCAAUUUUUUUGACAAUCCUCUGGGGUCUUGGCAUCUCGCUCGUCACAUUCUUCACGGUAACUUCUUUGGUGAAGUUCUUCCAUUAUAUUCAUAAUGUUUCCAUCAAAAUCGAGGGUUCUUCUGUUGAUAUAAGACUCUCCCGUCACUGGGUCUUCUUAACUGACAAGUCUCGUGACCAUUUUAAAUAACCUAUCGAUGAUUCUCAUGGUGGUCUACCAUUUGUGGUUAUCCUGCAGAGAGAAAGGUCUUGGCUUCACCCUCACCGUAAAAUGUCCGACGCGUGACAACGAUUGCCAUGUACAUGGGGCUUUCAUCAUACCAUUCUAAGGCUUAAACAAAAGCUUCAAAGAACGUCGUCUCUCACUAUGGGUAAGUCCCUCAGAUUUACCAUUCCGAAUAGCAAGGAGAAUGAUAAUAGUAAGUCGUCAUGGUGGCCAAGCCAUGUCGCACUGAAAUCAUUACCUUGUAUAAGGCUUAGUGAAUCUCGUAUUCUAACNCUUGGCAUCCUCACAAGCGUUGUAGAAUUUCUCUUGUCCAGAACGUAGUCGGAUAAUCCAUCGGUUCNGCAAGCUAGAAACAAAUNNNNNNNNNNNNNNNNNNNNNNNNNNNNNNNNNNNNNNNNNNNNNNNNNNNNNNNNNNNNNNNNNNNNNNNNNNNNNNNNNNNNNNNNNNNNNNNNNNNNAAUUAUUUAGUAAUAGCGUACUYAAUUACUUGCUUCGAUCCCACAAACCCUAAACGACCUCCAAAGAACGGUGACUUUCUCUCUCUCUAUUCGAUCUAGAUAUGGCGCAUGGGAGUGUGGCACGCACGCAAUGGGAGCUCGAGGUGGCCAACCGCCUUGGAGGGGCACGACAAUGGGGGAGCUCAAGGUGGCCAGUUGUGACAGCCCCAAUGCAAUUCUUCCCCUCYCUUGUAAUCUUUCCUUGUAUGGCAACCUUGGCAUGUUAAUGAGAUGUGGUGUGAGCCCAACAUUGUGUCAUCAUUUCAUGUGUAUCAUGCCUUCAUGGAUUGCAUUUUCUUUCUUUCUUUUGUUGUUGUGUUGAUGUGGGUGAACUUAUUGUGAUGUGCAAGUGUUAGGUGGUUGUGCCUUUGUGUUGUUGAGGUGUGGGUGCAACAAGUGCAUGUCAAAAACCACAAGUUGCACCAUAGGACUAAACCCCUUUCUCCUCUCUUAUUUUAUUUUGUGGCAGAUUUAAAAGCUCUGUUUUCCCAAAUAAAAAUGUUCUACUUUUCCAAAAAAUCUUCUUAUUAAAUGUGGAGGCAACCCCUCUAGGUUUCUUUAUUUUCUMUUUUGAUUGUAUUUAAAACAGAGCCUCAUUUUAAAAUAAAAGGUAUUUAAUUUCUAUUCUUUAAAAUGCCCAACUGGGAAGUUCUAAGUUGUGAGACCCAAGUUAUAAGGAUGAUGUUCGUGUUACUAUAUAUCUAUGUUAUGUUCAUACUAAUAUAUGUAUGUUCGUUCAAAUAAUAAUGUGUCUUUUCUUUAUUCUUUACUCCUUUGUUAUUUUUUAUUAUUGUUUAGNNNNNNNNNNNNNNNNNNNNNNNNNNNNNNNNNNNNNNNNNNNNNNNNNNNNNNNNNNNNNNNNNNNNNNNNNNNNNNNNNNNNNNNNNNNNNNNNNNNNAUCUCCGGACGUGGUUCCGGUCGUAUUGUCACNCCGGGUUGCGGUCGAUAACACAUAGUAGGUGGACUACAACUUGCAAGAUAGGAUCAAGAACACGACAUAUAUUAACGAGAACAUAAUAGGUUCAGAUCUGAAAUCAUGGCACUCGGGCCCUAGUGACAAGCAUUAAGCAUGGAAAAGUGGUAGCAACAUCAAUCUCAGAACAUAGUGGAUACUAGGGAUSAAUCCCCGUCAAAACUAACUCGAUUACAUGAUAGAUCUYAUCCAACCCRUCACCGUCCAGCAAGCCUACRAUGAGAUUACUCACRAACGGUGAAGAGCAUCAUGGAAUUGGCGAUGAAGGAAGGUUGGUGAUGACGAUGGAGACAAUCUCCCCUCUUCGGAGCCCAGAAUGGACUCCAGAUCUMGCCCUCCAAAGGAAGAACAGGAGUUGGCGGCGCCUCCGUAUACGUAAACGCGAUAGAAUAUUCUCCUGUAUUUUUCCACAUAGAAGGGACCAAAUAGAGCUGAGAGUUGGAGGCGGUGGAGUCGUUUGGUCGGGNNNNNNNNNNNNNNNNNNNNNNNNNNNNNNNNNNNNNNNNNNNNNNNNNNNNNNNNNNNNNNNNNNNNNNNNNNNNNNNNNNNNNNNNNNNNNNNNNNNNCGGACACGAAUCAAGAGCAUUGUCGGCGGUCUUGUUCAUGAUAUUCAUGGCAAUGAACUCAUCCAACACUUCUCUUGAGGUCAAGGUGUGGAAAUCUAGCCUUUGACGAAUGACGGAGGACAUGGCUUUGUUGAAUGGCAUGAUGGCCUUGAGAAACUUGCACUUGAUCCAAGUGUCAUCUGUAUCCUUGAUCCCAUGAUCUUGGAGAGCAACGACAAGAGUAGCACCCUUCUAUAGAGAUCACGUGGGUCCUUAUCUUCUAGCAUCACAAACUCAUCGGCCUCAUCAAGAACCACUUCAAAGUUGGACCGUUGAAUGCUUGAGCUCCCCUUGUAAAACACCAUGAUUUGCUCCCAACAAUGCUUUGCAUGGGUGAAGGGGCGCAAGUGAGAUAGAUCUUCGGGAGGAACCGCGGAUUGAAGGAUGAACAAUGCAGAAUGAUUGUAUUGAUUAUCCGCCUCUUCUAUUGGAGUGAGGUUUGUUUGGAUCAUGUGGUAAAGCCUUGUUCGAUGAUUGUACCAAAGUAUUUGUUGAGCUGUGAUUCAAAUGAGACUUGAUGACAAAANNNNNNNNNNNNNNNNNNNNNNNNNNNNNNNNNNNNNNNNNNNNNNNNNNNNNNNNNNNNNNNNNNNNNNNNNNNNNNNNNNNNNNNNNNNNNNNNNNNNACUACUCGAAUCAAGGAAUUUGCUAUCAGCCAGUCUUACCGUCUGNUCCACAAACAGACAGCAAAGGCAUGGCAGUUCCCAAAGAACCUAUUUGCCAUCAGCCUACACUUUGUCGUCUGCCAGCGGACGACAGAGAAGGCGCUCGUAGACGGCCWAGGGCCUGAUACGCCUCCAACGUAUCUAUAAUUUUUGAUGGUUCCAUGCUAUUAUCUUGUCAACAUUGGAUGUUUUGUAUGCAUGAAUAUGCUAUUUUAUAUAUUUUUUGAGACUAACCUAUUAACUCAGUGCCAAGUGCCAGUUCCUGUUUUUUUCGUGUUUUUGACCUUUUUCAGAGGAGAAUAUUAAACGGAGUCCAAACGGAGUAAAACCUGCGGAAUGWAUUUUUCCAUAACAGAAGACACGCCGGAAACUUGAGAACCAAGGCAGGGGACCUCGGAGGAGGUCACUAGCCACCCAGUCCCGGCCUAGGGGCGGUCCUAGCAAGCUUGCGGCCCCUAUGGCUCCCCUGCCCUAGUUCUUCCGCCUAUAAAUUACCCUAAAAUCUGAAACCACGGGAGAGAGCCACGGAAAUACUUUCCGCCGCCGCAAGCUUUUGUCUCCACAGAUCCCAUCUGGAGCACGUUCUGGUCGCCCUGGUCGGGAGGGGAGUUCGGACAGUAGGAGGGUCUUCUUCAUCAACACCAUUGCCUCUCUGAUGANNNNNNNNNNNNNNNNNNNNNNNNNNNNNNNNNNNNNNNNNNNNNNNNNNNNNNNNNNNNNNNNNNNNNNNNNNNNNNNNNNNNNNNNNNNNNNNNNNNNGGUACGAAAACCGUUAACCUAACGGUUUAACGGUUUAGGGUAAGUUAAGGUAAGGAAAACGAAAACGGAAAGGACUAUACCUACGUGUACGAGUACAGUUAGUAAAUAAACUAAGUAGAGUAAUAGGUAGGAAUUUGUAAACCGUACCUAGUGAAGGAAGGAAACGUAACGUAAAAAGUAACCAACAACUCGAAAACAAUACAUAGACGAUGCAUAUGAACUCAGUUUUCGUAUGAACUCGAGUUUGUCAUGAAGAUAACCAUAAGACUCUAAAACUACACAAUGAGAAACACCAAAUAAGAACCAAGAAAGAUGAUGCAGGGAUGGAGUGGUUUGAGCUCUCUACGAAUGAUAUGAUCAAGCUACUCACAUGAGAGCCCCCCUUGAUAGUACGACAAUGGAUCCUAUGACCCGAUCUCGCAAUUACCACCAUGAGACACGUAAAAUAGAAAACUACCAAGAAUAAAGAUUUUCCUUGCACAUAGUCCAGUUGAGCUAGAUGAUGACGAUCUUGACUUCCUCAAGUUGGAGAUCACCCAUACUCCACUAUGGUUGAGCCACUCUUUGGCAUAUAUUCACAAGUCCAUUUUCACUAUAAUGGAUGGCAAUAUUCAAGCACAAUCCCUUUGUGAUGCUCCACUUGAACUUGCACACCGAAAUCUUGAUGACGAUUACCACUUGAUGUCAUCUUCAAUGGGCCAUAUAAUAUCUUCCUGUUGACGCAAGCCCAUGGAAACAUACCUAACCCCACAUAGAACUCUCAUGCAGACCAUGGGUAGUACACAAAGCAUAAUGGACAUGCUUACCAUACCAUGGGAUCACUUGACUCCCUCUUCGGCACAUUAUUGUAUGUCUUUGUGUUGUUUACUCUAACUUGUAUUUAAUUAUUUAGUUAUUUAGUUAUUAGUAUUUCCUUACCGUUUGUUCGUUACUANNNNNNNNNNNNNNNNNNNNNNNNNNNNNNNNNNNNNNNNNNNNNNNNNNNNNNNNNNNNNNNNNNNNNNNNNNNNNNNNNNNNNNNNNNNNNNNNNNNNAAUUUUACUUAACUACUCACGCWAUACAUGAGUGUGAGCCAUGGAUAUAGCACUUAUAGGUGGARUAGAGUGUGGUGGAGGUUGGUGAGGAAAAARGGRAGGAGGAUGGUCACAUUGACUCGGCGUAUCAAAGGGUUAGUGGAGAUGCCCAUCAAUAGAUAUCAAUGUUWAUGAGUAGGGAUUACCAUGCAACGGAUGCACGAGAGCUAUAAGUGUGUGAAAGCUCAAAAGAAGAACUAGUGGGUGUGCAUCCAACUUGCUUGCUCACGAAGACCUAGGGCAAUUUUGAGGAAGCCCAUCAUUGGAAUAUACAAGCCAAGUUAUAUAACGAAAAUUCCCACUAGUAUAUGGAAGUGUCAAAAGAAGAGACUCUCAAUCAUGAAGAACAUGGUGCUAUUUGAAGCACACGGGUGGAAAAGAUAGUAGCAUUGUCCCUUCUCUCUUUUCUCUUUUUUUUUGUUUGGGUCUCUUUGGUCCUUCUUUUCUAUUUUUUUUCUUCUAAUUUUUUUUGUUGGGUCUAUCUUUGGUCCUUCUUUUUUAUUCUCCUUCACAUGGGACAAUGCUCUAUAAUGNUGAUCAUCACUACUUUUANNNNNNNNNNNNNNNNNNNNNNNNNNNNNNNNNNNNNNNNNNNNNNNNNNNNNNNNNNNNNNNNNNNNNNNNNNNNNNNNNNNNNNNNNNNNNNNNNNNNAGAGAGAGAGAGAGAGAGAGAGAGAGAGAGAGAGAGAGAGAGAGAGAGAGAGAGAGAGAGAKAGAGAGUAGAGAGAGAGAGAGAGAGAGAGAGAGAGAGAGAGAGAGAGAGAGAGAGAGAGAGAGAGAGAGAGAGAGAGAGAGAGAGAGAGAGAGAGAGAGAGAGAGAGAGAGAGAGAGARGAGAGAGAGAAGAGAGAGAGARAGAGAGAAGAGAGAGAGAGAAAAAGAGAGAGGAGAAGAGAAGAAGAGAAAGGAACCCGACACCCGAAACUGACCUCGACCUGACCCUGAUGCCCGACACCACUGACCCCGACCAUCAACCCCGACGCCACUGACCCCGACCCCGACGCCAUUGACCCCGAUGCCACUAACCYUCGACCCCGACGCCACUGACCCMCGACCCAGACCCUCGGCCCACGACUCCCGGCCCACGACGCUCGACGCCACCAACCCCCGACCCCCGACGCCACUGACACCCGACAUCACUGACCCUAGACCCCGACGUCACUGACCCUCGCCCGCCGACGCCACUGACCCCCANAACCGACGCCACUAACCCCCGACCGAGUANNNNNNNNNNNNNNNNNNNNNNNNNNNNNNNNNNNNNNNNNNNNNNNNNNNNNNNNNNNNNNNNNNNNNNNNNNNNNNNNNNNNNNNNNNNNNNNNNNNNUAGGAGGGAAGGGGCAGGGGAUCGGGCGGAUCCCGGCGAACCUGGAGAGGACUCGGGCUCGGGCUCGGUUUUGGAAAGGGGAUAGGAGGAAGGUGACCGAGGGAAGAGGAGAAUCGGGCGCGGGUCCCACGCGGCAGGGAGAGGGGGCUGGGGGGCUUGGGGGCGGUCGGUCGAUCCGUAGGGAUCUCGGAUCCCGGAUACUGUGGGAUUCGGCCCACACCUAUAAUGCGCCGGCGGCGGUUUACCUUAAAAAAACCUUUCCUAUUUAGUCCUUUUUAAAUAAAACAGAAACUAAAAAGGAAAAAAUAAAAUAAUUAAUAGUAGGUAUCAUAUAACCAAAAAAUCAAGAAAAACAUCCUACUACUACGAAUUAACUAUUUUUACCAAGUACUAAAAAAUUAAAAACUUUUUAAAAAUUAGUUUUUUUAAGAAAACUUACCCCUAAAAGACUAAUUUAUUUUACUUUUGACUAAUUUAUUUUCUACUAAAUUUAAAUUUGUUUACCUUGGUACUACUAAAAUUANNNNNNNNNNNNNNNNNNNNNNNNNNNNNNNNNNNNNNNNNNNNNNNNNNNNNNNNNNNNNNNNNNNNNNNNNNNNNNNNNNNNNNNNNNNNNNNNNNNNUUUAGUCAUAAUAAAAUACUAGUACAGUAUUUUACUAUUACCUAGCCUCCAACGAUAUUUUAGUUUAGUCAUAUUACAUUUCACUUAGCAUAUUAAGACACAUUUUAUAAAUACUGACAGUAUAACCACAAGGAGCAACUUGCAUAUGACUGGUUGGCCUCGGGUUUGACCUUGUCAUCCUUCACAUGGAUGAUCUUUAGGUGGUGCUUGCAAAUAGAAUAAACAACAAUCAGAUACAACAGGGAUAAAGUAAAAUGAUGCACUUAUAUCAAUAAAGGAAAGCAUUUAGAUGAGCAUGCACAUACAUGUAAUACAUGUGAAGCAAACUUGUUGGAUCGACAAUAUAGUGAUGUAGUUAAUGCAUCAGUACUAAUACAUAGUAAACACUUGGAGCAGCAUGCACAUACACGUGUAGCAAUGCACAUACAGUUAAUGCAUCAGUACUAAACUGACWAGUUAGAAGCAAGACAAACUWAAUUGAAGCUACGUUGGACUAGCAUGCACAUACAAGUGUAGCAAUGCAUGGAAACUCUAAUUAACCAUGUAUGCUAGCAAGCAAGCAAGCCAUAGUAGUCAAGCAACAUGAACCCUAACCCUAUGAACCACGUCAGCGGACAUAUUUACCCAAUGAACCCUAACCCUAACCCCAUGAAUGUAUCGAACCAUCCCCAUANNNNNNNNNNNNNNNNNNNNNNNNNNNNNNNNNNNNNNNNNNNNNNNNNNNNNNNNNNNNNNNNNNNNNNNNNNNNNNNNNNNNNNNNNNNNNNNNNNNNACACCACGACUAUAGGUAGAUGAUAUGAUGAUAUUGCUGUUCUAACUAUGAUCAUGAUGCAUGCAUGUCCAUAUCUUGUUUUGUUCGACACCUCUCUCUCUAAACAUGUGGGCAUAUUUAUUGAUCUCGGCAUCCGCUUGAGGACAAGUGAGGUCUAAGCUUGGGGAGGUUGAUACGUCCAUUUKKCAUCAUGCUUUCAUGUUGAUAUUUAUCGCUUUAUGGGCUGUUAUUACACUUCAUGGUACAAUACUUAUGCCUUUUCUCUCUUAUUUUGCAAGGUUUACAUCAAGAGGGAGAAUGCCGGCAGCUGGAAUUCUGGCCUGAAAAAGGAGCAAGUUUGAGAURCCUAUUCUGSGCAACUCCAAAAGCCGUGAAAAUCAACGAGRAUUUWUUUKGGAAUWUAUAAAAAUACUGGGCCGAAGAAGUUCCACAGGAGCUCAACCGAGGGGGCCACAAGCCUGGUAGGCGCGGCCMMCCCCCUGGCCGCGCCUAGGGGGCUUGGUGGGCUCCCUGCUGGCCCACUCGGCCCCCCUNUUCUUCUAUAUGAAGGAUUUCAUUACCGAAAAAAAUCAGGAGGANNNNNNNNNNNNNNNNNNNNNNNNNNNNNNNNNNNNNNNNNNNNNNNNNNNNNNNNNNNNNNNNNNNNNNNNNNNNNNNNNNNNNNNNNNNNNNNNNNNNUCUACAACUAAACAAAUGUCUCACGCAAUUAAUUAGUAGAAUUGGACAUAGUCCAUAGCAUUAGUUUGGAAUCUACAGCUUUCUACACGAUUCUACGAUUUGGACCAUGACUCAACAUGGAUUCUAAUGGAUCCGGAUUCAUAGUGGGACUUGGAUCGACAUGCUUUCGUAGGGUCAUGAAAUCGUAGAAUUCUAGGAGUCGAAUCACGACUCCGACUACCUUCGGCAUGCCAGGUCCGAUUGUUCAACCUCUAUACCAUAACUUGAUUCAACUGCCCCUAAAAAUGGCAAAUGGAACUAUUUCCUUGAGGUCUCGUUCACCACCCGCUACUUCAUCUCUCCGGUGGUUGCCACCAUUUUUCGCUUCUUCUCCGUGGCCACGGUCGUCAGGGUGAUACCUCACAGACGGCUCUAAAUUGCACCAGCAGUGGUCUCGGCCAUCUCUUUGUUCUUGGGGCAAGAGGCUAGAGACAUGACGAUCAUGUAUACAAUAAUGAUGGAAGUGGUANNNNNNNNNNNNNNNNNNNNNNNNNNNNNNNNNNNNNNNNNNNNNNNNNNNNNNNNNNNNNNNNNNNNNNNNNNNNNNNNNNNNNNNNNNNNNNNNNNNNACACCACGACUACGACUUUCCUACGGCAGCCGACCACCAUACCUCCACGGUUUUCCGUUCUACGAUCGCGUUUCUGCGGAGCUCGGCGGAGCCAUGCUGAGACAAGGUCAUCACCAACCUCCGGACGCGCCGUCACGCUGCCGGAGAACUCUUCUACCUCUCCGUCUCUCUUGCUGGAUCAAGAAGGCCGAGAUCAUCGUCGAGCUGUACGUGUGCUGAACGCGGAGGUGCCGUCCKUUCGGUACUAGAUCGUGGGACUGAUCGCGGGAUUGUUCGCGGGGCGGAUCGAGGGACGUGAGGACGUUCCACUACAUCAACYRCGUUCACUAAYGCUUCUGCUGUACGRUCUACAAGGGUACGUAGAUCACUCACUCCCCUCUCGUAGAUGGRCAUCACCAUGAUAGGUCUUCGWGCGCGUAGGUAAAUUUUUUCGUUUCCCUUGCGAUGUUACCCAACAGCUUCGACACAGAUCCGGAUGACUCUAAGUCACAGACCGGAUACGUAUAUGUGUUGAAGUGGKKGGGCGAGUGAGCUGGUGCAGCAGCAAGCARRAGUCGUGGCAGCAUCUACAUGUGAAGCGGAGUACAUAGCUGCUUCAGAAGCGGCUCAUGAAGGAAUUUGGUAUGAAGGAGCUCAUCACCYACCUUGGAGUGGUUCCAAGCGCGUCGGGUCCAAUGACACUCUUGUGUGAUAACACUGGGGCCAUUGCCAUAGCCAAGGAGCCCAGGUUUCACCAGAAGACGAAGCACAUCAAACGCCUCUACAACUCCAUCCAGGACCAUGUCCAGAGUGGAGUGAUAGAUAUUUGUAAAGUACACACGGAUCUGAAUAUUGCAGACCCGUUGAGUAAACCUCUUACACGAGACAAAWCAUGAUACAACACCAUAAUGCUAUGGGUGUUCGAUACAUCACAAUGUAACUAGAUUAUUGACUCUAGUGCAAGGUGGGAGACUGUUAGGAAAUAUCGCCCUAGAGGCAAAUAAAUAAAAGUGGUUAUUAUCAUUAUUUCCUUGUUCUAUGAUAAUACGUCUACUGUUCAUGCUAUAUUGUAUUAACAGAACAGUAAUACAUGUGUNNNNNNNNNNNNNNNNNNNNNNNNNNNNNNNNNNNNNNNNNNNNNNNNNNNNNNNNNNNNNNNNNNNNNNNNNNNNNNNNNNNNNNNNNNNNNNNNNNNNGAAGCAUCUGCUGCAAUGCCUCUAGGAAGGGUGAUGGCCCCACCUCCAGGACAAACAAAGAGGAUCCAGGAACCUGAUAGAGUCCCAAGGCAGAAAGAAACUAUGGCGGCUGUGAUGGACCAUUAGGAAAGUCCGCUGGGCAUGGACUUUGAGAGCUCGGUGGAAAUGCGUGAUGAGUUUUUGCCGAUGGACGAAGAAACCACUCUGUGCAUGGAUGAAAGCGGCACUGUUUGCGUACGCCUCAGGCGUGGUGCACCUUCUAUUGACAGGAAUGAUGUCGUCAGUGAAGAAGAACAUCAGCUUGUGCUUCAACCAGGCAAGUUCACCUUCUCUUUUACUAGUGCAUUUUGCAAAUAGGAAGUGAUCAUGUAUGCUUACCUGUUUAGCAGAACCAUUCCUGCAUUUGUCGAUUUCUCUUCUAAUAUACGAGUUCAAUUUCAUUUUCAGAUGCAAUGACUAACAAUCAUAGACUAAGAAAGGGCAAAAGGGCUAGAGAGAAUCACCAAGUCGCUUGGCACAAAUGUGCCUAUCCAAAUUCGCCCAAGGGAUGAAGCGUCUAGAGAAGCCUCUAUAGGCAACAAAGUUUGCUUCUGAGUGUGGACUCGUUGCAAGAAGCCAUCUGCCGGUUCUUCCUCACUUCAAGGAAUACAAAAAUAAUGCUACUCUAGUGGAGGACUACAUUGGGAAAGUUGCUGUAAGCUACUUGUUUUAUAGUUAAUGUGCUGCUCUAUUUUCUGUUAUGUAGUUAAUGAUCACUAAUGUUGUUCCUUCCUUGUUUGCUGUCUUGGUAGGCAAAUUUUGAGAUAAACACAGACUCGGAGACCAUAAAGUAUGUGUGCAAAGAUGUUCANNNNNNNNNNNNNNNNNNNNNNNNNNNNNNNNNNNNNNNNNNNNNNNNNNNNNNNNNNNNNNNNNNNNNNNNNNNNNNNNNNNNNNNNNNNNNNNNNNNNUGAUCGGCUCCCUGGAGAACCCAGUGGAUGACCCGGGAUGCUGGAGAGGCCAUGACAUCCUGCGGAAAGCUUCACCCAGGCUCAAAGAGACGKACGGAUAUUUUCAAGACCCAAGGCUUACCUGCACAGCCACARGUCAUUAUGGGCUYUGGCUUGGUUGGACAACGYGGYRACUCUAGGACAGGCGGUGCUAGCAGAUGUAGAAGAACGGUWGGAUUGGAUGGGCACCGACAGGSAUUCAGAGGGACCCGUUGAAAGACCAUSUUUUGAUCAUCCGGUCUUCAAACACCCUCAAGUGCGAGGACAUACACGGAGGCGAUCAAAUCUUGUGGGGAACGUGUGCAAAACUCUGCAGAGUACUCAAACCUAAUCGAUUAGCCGUGUCCACGGUCAUGGACAACUUGAGCCAAAGGAACUGAAGUUAUCUGGAWUUCUCAACACCAUUAWAUAUUAUUUGAUGUAGGGUAAUUAYUGAUAACUUGGUAUGAGAACUGGUUGGCGGAACCAUCUCAUUAACAACCAAACAAAGUAAGUAAUAUUUGUCUUUAGCCUUCUCUUAGUCGNNNNNNNNNNNNNNNNNNNNNNNNNNNNNNNNNNNNNNNNNNNNNNNNNNNNNNNNNNNNNNNNNNNNNNNNNNNNNNNNNNNNNNNNNNNNNNNNNNNNUGUUAGGCCACUACCACCGGGGCCCUUUUCCACUUCAAUUUCAGUUUCAGUCACACUCCACAAGUGUUUGUGCUCAAAGUUUUGCACAACUCACCAUUUUCCGUGCAAAAGAGUGUCUGGCACACAAAACACCAUUGUUGCUUUGUUUUUUAGAAUAAAGGGAUCACUCUUAUACCAGCACCUUGAAGUGUUGAUGUCUUUGAAGUGGCCAUCAUACUUGACACAAGAGCGUCUCUACUUCUUGUUWCCAAGAUACAAACCAGUCACAGACGAAAUAGACAACCGAGCGAUGGAUGCCUCCACUAGAGUUGUACUGCAACUCUAUGAUGCUUCUCAGCUGACCAUAGAAGCAAUGUUCUCAUGAUCAUGUGACCCCUCAGUGACGAUUCCACUUAUUUUUUGUCUUUCCUUUUUUCCUCGCGAUCAACGGUGUGGUACCAGACACCAUCAACAAUGCAUGCUGAAUACACUCGCACUCGCCUAUCCGGUAAGCAUGACCAAAGAAAAUAGAUCAUCACUGACUUUCUUCUCCUCAUGCUAACUUUCCAACAUGANNNNNNNNNNNNNNNNNNNNNNNNNNNNNNNNNNNNNNNNNNNNNNNNNNNNNNNNNNNNNNNNNNNNNNNNNNNNNNNNNNNNNNNNNNNNNNNNNNNNUCUUUAUUCAUCUGCCUCUCUUGGAGGUCCUUUAGUUCCACUCGAACUUUCCAAGGUGCUCCUUGAAAUCAUCCAUCUUUUGCUUCAUCAUGGUGGUCAUGAGCUUCAUCUCCAUCAUCUCCGCACGUACCUCACUCAGGUAUUCCUGGGUAUGACGGAGUCUUGCUUCAAGUAUCUCUCCAAUCUGACGUAUGGCUUCUAUGGAAACUUACACGAACAACAUCAAAGAAGGUUGCUCGUGGUACACGUGAAAUGAAAAAGUAAUUGCCCCAUAGUCUUUGGACAAACUCCUUUCACAUGGUGGAGGUGUACUUCCACAUWACCAAAGUUCUACUCCACUUUCCAUGAAUGGGUAGCCUUUGUAGACUGCAUCUCCUUCAAGGUGAAUGUGCUUCAUCAUGUCCUUCAGGAUUUUCGGGUAAUCAUGAUCACUGGUCGGGUCAUGAUUGUUUCGGGCCGUUGAGGAAUGACUCGUAGAGAGUUGUCAUCUGUAGGUGUCAGUAAAUAGGUACUCAGAGGAAUGUAUAUGUCUUCCUUGGUUAGUUAUGGUACUAUUCCUACUCAANNNNNNNNNNNNNNNNNNNNNNNNNNNNNNNNNNNNNNNNNNNNNNNNNNNNNNNNNNNNNNNNNNNNNNNNNNNNNNNNNNNNNNNNNNNNNNNNNNNNAACAAUACACAAUAGAGCUUGCAAGCAAUAUGAUUAAGGAGUUAGUCACGGAUCUUGUAUUAUGGAAUGAGUAAAGAGACUUGCCCUUAACGACAUUGAACUAGGUAUGGAGAUACCAACGAUCGAAUCUCGGGAUGUAACAUACCGAUGAACAAAGGACCAACAUACAWGAUUGAUUAAAUCCUUGACAUCGAGGUUCGACCAAUAAAGAUCAUUGUAUAAUAUGUUGGAGCCAAUAUGGGCAUCCAGGUCCCGCUAUUGCUUAUUGACCGGAGAGUGUCUUGGUCAUGUCUACAUAAUUCUCGAACCCGUGGGGUCUACACACUUAAGGUUCGGUGACGAUAUAAGCAUAAUCGAGCCAUUGUGUUGGUGACCGAAGGUUGUUUGGAGUCCCGGACGAUAUCCCGGACGUGACGAGGAACUCUGGAAUGGUCUGGAGGUGAAGAUUGAUAUAUAGGAUGAAGAUCAUCGGAGUCCGAAAGUGUUUCAGGGUGCACCGAGGGAAUAACGGAGUGUGGGAAAGGGGUUUCGGGAGGACCCCGACAAUUCGUUGGGGGGACCUCAGUGGCCGAAGGAGAGUGGACACCGCAGCCUAGCGAGGGGCUGGGCGCAACCCUUANNNNNNNNNNNNNNNNNNNNNNNNNNNNNNNNNNNNNNNNNNNNNNNNNNNNNNNNNNNNNNNNNNNNNNNNNNNNNNNNNNNNNNNNNNNNNNNNNNNNACCUCCACCUCCUCGCUUCGCCGUCGGCACUCUCCGGUGCCCCACGGACAGCGCAACAACGGGACUCGACUUCCCCGACGCYGCGUCCCUACUCCAUCCCCGCCUCUCCACUUCCUCCCCUCCUCUCGGUUUCUUUCCUCUCCUCCUGCCGCCAUUGACAGGAGCUUGAGCUCGAGGAGCCCGAGCUCUCUGGCCACASGGGAASSCCCCCCCCCCCGACGUCGCUCCAUCCUCUCCGCAACGUUGAGCUCGACGCGCACGUCAACGGAACCGUCCUCCCCGAGCCCUGCAAUCGCCCCAGUGCCGCCGUCUUCAACCUCCGGCCGCCGACAAAUCGACGAUGGAUCGUCGACUACAACCCCUCCCGAGCAGUCUGAGCCCAGCUUCGUCUCCACCAUGAGCUUGCGAGCAUUUCCCCUCUCGUUUCCCCUCWCUCUCCGGCACUCUAGCCACGGGACCACAAGCCCGAGGUCCGGCAGCCGCCUCGGCUCGUCGCCGGCAUGACUCCGGCCACCUACUACGCCCCUCCUGGACUCGGCCCGUAGUGGACGUCGGGGCCGAGCCGUGGGGACUCACUUCCCAGUCGCUCGUCCGGCACUUGACUUCCGNNNNNNNNNNNNNNNNNNNNNNNNNNNNNNNNNNNNNNNNNNNNNNNNNNNNNNNNNNNNNNNNNNNNNNNNNNNNNNNNNNNNNNNNNNNNNNNNNNNNUUACAUUGCGUGACAUUCCCAACCGGAGACAGACACAUCAGCUAAGAAGGGAACGACAAUGUCGGUCAACCAAUGUGUCCGGAGCAGUAGCAAACUACCAUGGCUCGUUGGAUCCCAAAGUGGCAUUUCCCUACAAGGAAUGCUACUAAAGCCUGCGGCUAGGUAGUCGAACCCCAUACAUAUCAAGUACAACACACGUACGCAUGGCAUACCGAUAUGUAUAGAUACAUCGAUGGCAUCACAACAUAACCAUAAACAUACAAGCUUUAUUUAAAAGGGUCGUAAGAGCCUCACACAUAAUAUUAYACAGUAGGGGUCUCACGACCCAUCAUAACAGUCAUUCAAGUUACAAGCCAGCGGAAGUAGAUAAACUGUCUGAGUACAGACAGAUGAAACUAGAAGGUACAUGGGCCUGACUAUACUACAGAYCCACMCUAGGGCCAGAUCRUAGYUGGGAUACCAGCUACUCGKCGUCGYCKWUGUCUAGGUAGAACCCUCCAUUAGGGUCAUUGACAACCUCUGCAAMAAUUAUUAAGCAAACGUGAGUACAGAAGUACUUAGCAAGACUUUAGGAUAACUAUCUACUCAUGCAAUGUAUCAAUCAGGAGUUGUGGGGUUURAUGCGGAAAGCCGGCAUUUGACUCRUGGCUAGACAACUUGCAUUUUUUUAAANAUUUUGACAACUUGAUUUCUACGAANACGAGUCCACUAACACCACAANAACUACUCCAUCGUAGGAAUCCCUUUCCGUCUCCAAUCGGUAAAUCGCCGACCACGACUACUCACGUCCNNNNNNNNNNNNNNNNNNNNNNNNNNNNNNNNNNNNNNNNNNNNNNNNNNNNNNNNNNNNNNNNNNNNNNNNNNNNNNNNNNNNNNNNNNNNNNNNNNNNUAUUUGAUGGUAUCCCAACCUCAAAUCCAUUUUUGAUAAGACUGMGGAUCCARCGAGCUGAUCAUACGAGRUCRUUGAUUCCGUGGGGAGYGGAUACUUUGUUCUUUAUGGUGAYCAGRUUAACUGGUCGGUAAUCUACAACCAUCCGAUMMGUUCCRUCYUUCUUCUUGACGAAGAGGACGRGASAAGCCCARGGAGAAGAGCUAGGAYGAAUGWAACCUUUAUUCAAGGCMUYAUCUAGUUGCKUCUUAAGUUCGGCUAGCUCCAGGGGUGCCAUCUUAUAUGUUCUUAUGGCUAUUGGAACGGUUCCCGGAACAAGAUCUAUCACAAACUCUACAUCUCUGUCAGGUGGAAUUCCUGGCAGUUCCUCUAGGAAAACAUCUAGGAAGUCACGGACUACCGGAAUGUCUUCAAGUUCYGGAAGAGGGUUGGCAUUGAGGGAAUAGAKUUGGCAUUUGGCAACUCGAGUAGGRACAUUGACUAUCUACACCCGAGGGAUGGGUAAGCUGAACUAUUUCAGAUGAGUAUCAUCUUGGCUAUAGUGAGCUGACAUCCAGUCCACUACCCNNNNNNNNNNNNNNNNNNNNNNNNNNNNNNNNNNNNNNNNNNNNNNNNNNNNNNNNNNNNNNNNNNNNNNNNNNNNNNNNNNNNNNNNNNNNNNNNNNNNGAUGAGCUACGAAUGUACAGACGAAUGGACCUCCGGAACGACCAAACGGAAGACCGAAAACGGUACGAAACAAUAGAGUCGAUAUAGUAUAUAUGAUCAACAUGAAGAUAGUUCACCACUUGAAACCAGACUCAUAUCACGUGAUGAUCGGACUGGGUUUGUGGAUUUGAAUCAUGUAUCACUCAAAUGACUAGAGGGAUGUCAAUUUGAGUGGGAGUUUUUAGUAAUAUGAUUAGCUAAACUCAUUAUCUUAAACAAUAGUCUAAGUAAGCUUUCCAWAUUUGUUGUAGAUCAGUGGCUCGCGCAGUAGCACCCCUGAAGUUAAUGCGUUCCUACAGAAAGCCAAGAUGAAAGAUGAUCGGAGGAACUUUGUAGACCGGGCCCGUAAUCUGAGGCUUGUYCUCUCAGUUUCCCAAAAGAGCUAUGUCCUUGAUACACCGCUUGGUGAUGCCGCCCUCCUUCCCCGCGGCUGAACAYAUUAUGAACGUCUGAUAGUCGCGUCUGGAUGACUACUCAACUAGUUUAGUGUUCCAAUUUUGUAUGACUUAGAACCGAGACUUCAAAGUACGUUUUGAACGUCAUGGAGCAUAUGAGAUGUUCCAGGAAUUGAAUUUUAUCUUUGAGAAGAAUGCCCGGAUCUAGAGGUAUGAGACCUCUAGAUGAGUUCUAUGCUUGNNNNNNNNNNNNNNNNNNNNNNNNNNNNNNNNNNNNNNNNNNNNNNNNNNNNNNNNNNNNNNNNNNNNNNNNNNNNNNNNNNNNNNNNNNNNNNNNNNNNUACUGCUGCCAGGAGCGGUACUACUGCACGGUAGGUUCGUACCAACCACGGUAGUAAACAAAUUACCACCGUGCCUACCACCGUACGAGGCUGAGGUGGUGAAAAAAGUACUGAGGGAGCGGUAGUAAAAAAUUACUAGCGCCCAGUGAGCGGUACUACCGCUGUUCCUUUUGCACAGACAGGGAGAAACACGCUGGAGAUCCAUGGAAGCAAGGGAAAGGUGGUGCAAUAGAGAUGUGUACGUGUUGAUUCCACCCUAACCUUUCCUAAGCGGACCCCCUCUUAAUAGUAAGGCUUUCCUAUGACUCAAAUCCACCAAAGAGAAAUGUAGAAAGCAACCAUCUUUGAAAGACUCCGAGGGCACUAAAUCAUCUUGUGCCUAGUCAUGAAUUAUCUAGAAAUGCUCAAUGCACACGAUUAGUCCGCACACGCAUUGUCAUCAAUCAACCMAACCCACGUUAGGGANAAAUAUCGACCCUAAACRAAGGUUCUUGUWGACAAAGAAAAAAMGAACACCAACAAACAACUCCAUCAGUAGAUCACCUCACUCGUGAGGCAAAUGUCAUCAACAAAAAAAGGAGUUUCNGACAACGCGACCGUUGUUUCNGCGACGCUAACCGUUGUUCUGCAAUGNNNNNNNNNNNNNNNNNNNNNNNNNNNNNNNNNNNNNNNNNNNNNNNNNNNNNNNNNNNNNNNNNNNNNNNNNNNNNNNNNNNNNNNNNNNNNNNNNNNNUGUUGAUGUAGUGGAACGUCCUCACGUCCCUCGAUCCGCCCCGCGAACCGUCCCGCGAUCAAUCCCGCGAUCAGUCCCACGAUCUAGUGCCGAACGGACGGCACCUCCGCGUUCAGCACACGUACAGCUCGACGAUGAUCUCGGCCUUCUUGAUCCAGCAAGAGAGACGGAGAGGUAGAAGAGUUCUCCGGCAGCGUGACGGCGCUCCGGAGGUUGGUGAUGAUCUUGUCUCAGCAGGGCUCCGCCCGAGCUCCGCAGAAACGCGAUCUAGAGGAAAAACCGUGGAGGUAUGUGGUCGGGCUGCCGUGGAAAAGUCAUCUCAAAUCAGUCCUAAACCUCCGUAUAUAUAGGUGGGAGGAGGGGGGCCUUGCCGUAGGGGCUCAAGGAGCCCCGAAGGGGGUCGGUCGAGGCCAAGGAGGGAACGGUCCUACCCCCCCCCCAAAACCGACGUCCUACUUGGUUUGGAAGGUGGAGUCCUUCUUCCCUUUCCACCUCCUUCCUUUUUUUCUUUCUUCUUUGUANNNNNNNNNNNNNNNNNNNNNNNNNNNNNNNNNNNNNNNNNNNNNNNNNNNNNNNNNNNNNNNNNNNNNNNNNNNNNNNNNNNNNNNNNNNNNNNNNNNNUAAGAUAUAAAAGGUACAUAAAACAUCCAAAGAUGACAAGAUAACAACGUGAAACCAUCAAAAAUUAUAGAUACGUUUGAGACGUAUCAGUAUGUUACUUGCCCGAGAUUCGAUCGUCGGUAUGUCCAUACCUAGUUCAGUAUUGUUACUGGGAAGUCUCUUUACUCAUUCUGUAAUACAAGAUCCCAUGACUAACUCCUUAGUCACAUUGCUUGCAAGUUCAUUGUGAUGUUGUAUUAUCAAGUGGUCCCUAGAGAUACAUCUUCGUCAUACGUAGUGACAAAACCCAGUCACGAUUCACGCCAACCCAACAAACAACUUCGGAGAUACCUGUAGAGCACAUUUAUAGUCACCCAGUUACAUUGUGACGUUUGAUACACACAAGGCAUUCCUUCAGUGCCUGGGAUUGCAUGAUCUCUUGGUCAUAGAAUAGAUACUUGACUAUAUAGAAAAUAGUARRCAAUGAACUCACACGAUCACAUGCUACGUUCAUAGUUUGGGUCUUGCCUAUCACAUCAUUCUCCUGAUGGUGUGAUCACAUUAUGAAAUGAAAUCUCAUGUCUAUGGUCAAGAAACAUUGACCAUAUUUGAUCAACGAGCUAGUCCUUAGAGGCUCACUAGGGACGAGUGUGUUGUCUAUGUAUCACACAUGUAUUUGAGUUUCCAAUCAGUACAAUUCUAGCAUGGAUAAUAAACGAUUAUCAUGAACAAGGAAAUAUAAUAAUAACAAACUUAUUAUUGCCUCUAUGGCAUAUUUUCAACACUCUANNNNNNNNNNNNNNNNNNNNNNNNNNNNNNNNNNNNNNNNNNNNNNNNNNNNNNNNNNNNNNNNNNNNNNNNNNNNNNNNNNNNNNNNNNNNNNNNNNNNUUACCGUACUAGUCUAUAACUUAGUACUGAAUGAAACAAUAGAUACANAGUGUGGAGUACAUAGACAAACAAAUAGUCCCUAGCAAGCCUCUAUUGGCUAGCCAAGUUGUAUCAAGGAUAGUCAAGGUUUCUUGKMSUAURUGCAAGUGUUGUCACUUGRUAAYUGGAYCACAUCAUUAGGAGAAUCAUGUGAUGGACUAGACCCAAACUAUGAACGUAGCAUAUUGAUCGUGUCGUUUUAUUGCUAUUGUUUUCUGUGUGUCAAGUAUUUGUUCCUAUGACCAUGAGAUCAUAUAACUCACUCGCACCGGAGGAAUACCUUGUGUGCAUCAAACGUCGUAACGUAACUCUGUGACUAUAAAGGUGUUCUACAGGUAUCUCCGAAGGUGUCCAUUGAGUUAGUAUGGAUCAAGACUGGGAUUUGUCACUCCGUGUGACGGGAGAGGUAUCUCGGGGCCCACUCGGUAAUACAACAUCACACACAAGCCUUGCAAUCAAUAUGACUAAGUGCAAGUCACGGGAUCUUGUAUUAUGGAACGAGUAAAGAGAGUUGACGGUAACGAGAUUGAAAUAGGUAUGUGGAUACCGACANNNNNNNNNNNNNNNNNNNNNNNNNNNNNNNNNNNNNNNNNNNNNNNNNNNNNNNNNNNNNNNNNNNNNNNNNNNNNNNNNNNNNNNNNNNNNNNNNNNNUAUAAGAAGUGGCUAGGGUUUUUGGUUUGAGUUUCACCACUUCUUUGGAGUUUGUUUCAAUUUCUUGAAUUCAAUGGAAGAAAACAUGAGCACAGACACUAAACCCUAGUUAGGGAUCCAGGGAUGUGACAACUCACCCCCACUCAAAAGAAUCUUGUCCCGAGAUUUAGAAGUCGUCGGAAAUAGCGCGGGAUACUCAAGUCGGAGACGAUCCUCUCUUUCCCAUGUUGCCUCCUUUCGGAAUGAUUUGACCAUUGAACUUUAAGAACUUGAGGUUUCGACGUCGAGUGGUACGCUCAGCUUGAUCAAGAAUACGCACAGGGUAUUCUCGGUAUGAAAGGUUAUCUUGGAGAUCAAGUCGUUUUGUGGUCCACUUCACGGAUAGGAUACCGAAAAGCAACGYCUGAGUUGYGAGACGUGGAARACAUCAUGAACCUUGGAAAGAUGCGGAGGAAGUUCCAAYUGGUAGGCAACUUCGUSCUYGUUUGGCAAGAAUGSGAAAAGKACCAAUGUAACGAGGAGCCAAUUUKCCCUUGAUACCGAAUCGAUGGGUACCCUUYAAAGGUGUAACCCGAAGGUAAGCCUUACUCGUCAACUUCARAGGUCACRGCCUUAUGAUGACGAUCAUAGUUGGCUCGUUUUGACCGAGACRUGGGGCUUGUUUCAACUUUUCACGAAUAAUGCGAACCUGCUCUUCUNNNNNNNNNNNNNNNNNNNNNNNNNNNNNNNNNNNNNNNNNNNNNNNNNNNNNNNNNNNNNNNNNNNNNNNNNNNNNNNNNNNNNNNNNNNNNNNNNNNNUUCAUGCUCUUCAAUCUUUGUAAGUAUAGGAGCCACGACGAAGGGAGUUGUGGCGAGCCUUCUAGAUAUUYACAAUCUUCAAGCAAUCAGUUUCCAUUAUCAAAUAUAAGUAGCCUCGCAAACUUGCAAAGAGAACUCCCUCUUGAAGUACUUUUUUGAGAUAGUUAACCAUGCUUGAUGCAUGGUUCCUUUUGAAGUAGGCGAAAUACACACAAGUAUGUAACCGUCAUCCGUCGGCCCGACCUGAGCAGGAGCAAUUCCAGGCCCCACGCAGCCCAGACGGCGGCCUGGGGCGUGAGGCCCAAUUCCUUUGUGAACUGUACCAGUCCCACUGCUAUAGUAUGAAGCUUGCGUGGGACGUGGCCUAGUUGGCCUGGGCCUUGGCAUAAUCGUGGGUAUGUCACUGGGCCUGAGCAUGAUACUCAAGUAAAGGUUCGAGGAGGAACGACUUUGAUGAUAUUCUGGAUGAAGAAAUCAAUAUCAACACUAUAGUCGUGGUGUNNNNNNNNNNNNNNNNNNNNNNNNNNNNNNNNNNNNNNNNNNNNNNNNNNNNNNNNNNNNNNNNNNNNNNNNNNNNNNNNNNNNNNNNNNNNNNNNNNNNGCUUAAUAACAACUAAUAAAAUCUACAUAGAGCAUUGAUUACCCGUGGAUAAUGAAUCAACCCCCGGGCCAGUGAUCAUCGUGAUUGUUGGUCCAAAUUGUAAGUAGCCGGGGCCACCAACGGGUGUGCCAGUCGGAGACUUAGCCAAUCCCGUCGUUUCCUAAGAACGAGAUACACGAAUCCUAUCGACUUCGUCGACAUGUCGGGCGGUCUUGCUAUAUUUUUUAACCUUUCUUGAACGUCUUGUGCAUCUGGAUUCGAAGGAUACUUUGGGCUAUCUCGAGGUUGAGGUUUUCCACCGGUAUUCCGAGGAGACUACGGGCUAUUCCAUGGUUGAGGUUUUCCAUGCAGCUUGUGGCUAGUUUGUGAUGGAUGAGUURGAGUAUCCCUGCAGGGUUAAAUCUUUACGGAAACCGUGCCCGUGGUUAUGUGGCAACUUGGAAAUUUGUUUWACACACGGUCAUARRAAACUUGAAGUAAACUACAAAUAAAAUACACCAAUCGUGUAAUAUAACCAUCGACCGUCUCAUCUUGUGAGGUUUGAACCAAGAAGGAACAUGGUGGGGUUAUGUUUGAAUCGUAAGUAAGUGUUUAGGAUCACUUCUUGAUCAUUAAUAGUUCACGUCCGAUUAUGCGUAGAUCACUCUUCUUAUUAUUGUACUCGUAAGUUAGACACCCAAAUAAACACUUAGUGCUUGAUNNNNNNNNNNNNNNNNNNNNNNNNNNNNNNNNNNNNNNNNNNNNNNNNNNNNNNNNNNNNNNNNNNNNNNNNNNNNNNNNNNNNNNNNNNNNNNNNNNNNUGAGUAUUGCAGAUAAGUAAUAUUAAACGGAUUCCAAACGGAAUAAAAUCUCCGGAAUGAUUUUUCUUGGACCAGAAGAAACAUGCCGGACGUGGAAAAGGGGUAGGAGACCUGUCGGGAGACGACAAGCCUACAGGGCGCGCCCUAGGAGAGGCGCCCCUGGCUUGUGGGACCCUUGCAGGCUUCCUAACCCUAAUCUUCAUCCUAUAAAUUCCCAAAUAUUCCCCCAAUACCAGAACCACACCAAAAAAAUACUUUUCUGUUCGGAGCCUUUUCUGGUAAUAUGCCGGAGGUGGAAUCGAUCAUGGAGGGCGUCUACAUCAACUCCAUUGCCCCUCCGAUGAUGCGUGAGUAGUUCACCACAGACCUAUGGAUCCAUAGCUAGUAGCUAGCUGGCUUCUUACUCUCUCUUUGUUCUUCAAUACCAUGUUACUUCAUGAUCUUACAUGGGGACCUACCCGAUGUAAUACUGUUUGCGGUGUGUCGAGAUCCGAUAGUCGUGGUGUNNNNNNNNNNNNNNNNNNNNNNNNNNNNNNNNNNNNNNNNNNNNNNNNNNNNNNNNNNNNNNNNNNNNNNNNNNNNNNNNNNNNNNNNNNNNNNNNNNNNAGGCAAUAUAAAGUGACGUUCGUCCGCACUAAGAGGACACGCAUCCAAACYUCAAAAGCGCAUGACAACCUCUGCUUCCCUCURCGAAGGGCCUAUCUUGUACCKUUACUUUUUGCCCKUGAAAKAGUCAUGGUGAUCUUCACCAAUUCCUUGUUUCRCCUUUAUCUUGGCUAACKUCAUAURCUAGGGAAAGAUCUAUAUUCAUAAGUCUACUUGGAGGUAAGCAUUCAUGAAUUAUUAUUGUUGACAUUACCCUUGAGGUAAGCAGUUGGGAGGCGAAACUAUAAGCCCCUAUCUUUCUUUGUGUCCAGCUGAAACUUUGAUCUCAUGAGUACCACGUGAGUAGUAGCAAUUGUAGAGUACAAAAAUAUGAUUGAGUAUGUGGAUUUGCUUUACAAGCUUCUUAUUUGACUCUUUCUGAUGUUGUGAUAAAUUGCAAUUGCUUCAAUGACUAAAGGCUAUCGGUUGCUAAUUCUCGGUAAGGUUCUUGAUCCAUUACUUUACUUUGNNNNNNNNNNNNNNNNNNNNNNNNNNNNNNNNNNNNNNNNNNNNNNNNNNNNNNNNNNNNNNNNNNNNNNNNNNNNNNNNNNNNNNNNNNNNNNNNNNNNUAUCCUUGACAUCAUGGUUCAUACGAUGAGAUUAUCGUGGAGCAAGUGGGAGCCACCAUGGGUAUCCAUACCCCGCUGAUGGUUAUUGGCCAGAGAGGUGUCUCGGUCAUGUCUGCCUGUCUCCCGAACCCGUAGGGUCUACACACUUAAGGUUCGAUGACGCUAGGGUUAUAGGGAUUGUUAUACGAGGUUACUGAAAGUUUGUUCGGAGUCCCGGAUGAGAUCCUGGACGUCACGAGGAGCUACCKRAAUGGUCYGGAGGUAAAGAUUGAUAUAUAGGACGGAUGGUUUCGGACACCGGAAGUGUUUCGSGCAUCACCGGUAACGUACCGGGACCACCGGGACCACCGAAGGUGGCCCCGGGGUCCACCGAAGGGGGCCAACGACCCCGGGAGGUAAGAUGGGCCAAGUGGGGAAGGGAACCAGACCCUAGGUGGGCUGGUGUGCCUCCCACUCAACCCAACUCGCGCAGGGGAGAGGAAAGGGGGGGCAAACCCGUAAGCCANNNNNNNNNNNNNNNNNNNNNNNNNNNNNNNNNNNNNNNNNNNNNNNNNNNNNNNNNNNNNNNNNNNNNNNNNNNNNNNNNNNNNNNNNNNNNNNNNNNNGAGAAUCACAAGAAACUACAAUAAAGAAUUCAUAGAUAAUCUGAUCAUAAAUCCACAAUUCAUCGGAUCUCGACAAACACACCGCAAAGAAUAUUACAUCGGAUAGAUCUCCAUGAAGAUCAUGGAGAACUUUAUAUUGAAGAUCCAAGAGAGAGAAGAAGCCAUCUAGUUACUAGCUAUGGACCUGWAGGUCURUGGUGAACUACUCACGCAUCAUCRGAGAGGYMAUGGUGUUGAUGAAGAAGACCUCCGUGUCCGAACUCCCCCCUCCGGCAGGGCACCAGAACGUGCCACAGAUGGUAUCUUGCGGAGACAGAAGCUUGCGGCGGACGGAAAAGUUAUUUUCGNGGCUCUCUCCCGUGGUUUCAGUAUUUUUUAGGGAAUUUAUAGGAGGAAGAACUAGGGCGAGGGGACGCCACGAGGGGGGCUUGUGACCCUCCUCCGACGGUCCCCUGCCUUGGUUCUCAAGUUUCGUGCAUGUCUUCUAUUAUAGGAAAAAAUCAUUCUGCUAGGUUUUAUUCUGUUUGGACUACCGUUUAGUAUUCUCCUCUAGAAAAAGGUACAAAAACAACGGAAAAAACAGGAACUGGCCCUUGGCACUGAGUUAAUAGGUUAGUACCCAAAAAAUAUAUAUAAUAGCAUAUUCAUGCAAGUCGUGGUGUNNNNNNNNNNNNNNNNNNNNNNNNNNNNNNNNNNNNNNNNNNNNNNNNNNNNNNNNNNNNNNNNNNNNNNNNNNNNNNNNNNNNNNNNNNNNNNNNNNNNAUUGGUAUGUUUACCAUAAAGUAGUAUGUUCCUUAUNUUAAAUCUCUCCUCAAAUUUCCAAUUCCAAGGUACAUUAUUCAACUGUUGUNACCCCCAUAGUUUGAUAUGAUCCAACAUUUCCUUCAAUUGUAUUCAGUGGAUUUGGCUCCUUCGUAUGCAUGGUACAUUCCUACUCCUUGGAUCCUGUGGGUUUACCGAUUACUACCACGAAUAAAAUGAAAUACACUCAUGYCUGCAUAGACAAUAUUUUCUCGAUAUCCUCCAAAAUGGUCAGAGAUCUUUCUUCACAGAGAAAUAACUCAUACAAUUUCAACAUAGGAAAUCAUGACACAAUAAAUUCCAUUGAUUCAUGAAGUUAUUACAAUCUCUGAGUCUUACAUUACAAAAGUCAACUCCAUAAUCUCAUGAAAACAAGAGUGCUUCAUGUUACACAUAUUGCCAUUGUCAAAACUUAACUACUCCUAUUUAGCUUCAUGUCCUGCUUCCUUGCAAUGAAAACAAAUGAUUUCCGACCUGUCUAGAGGCUUCUUUGGUGUUUGUUCUUUGUCCGUUCCUUUGGGUUUUCCCGUUGUCCUUUCCCUUUGGCCAAUUGACCCAAUGGUAACCGGUGGACUACCGGGACUAAUACGUAUUUAGUUUUAGUAGUUACGUCUGUCAGUAGUUUAACUACGNNNNNNNNNNNNNNNNNNNNNNNNNNNNNNNNNNNNNNNNNNNNNNNNNNNNNNNNNNNNNNNNNNNNNNNNNNNNNNNNNNNNNNNNNNNNNNNNNNNNUAGAGAGAAGAUGAGUUAUGUCCCCUACGCUUCAGCCGUGGGCUCUCUAAUGUAUGCCAUGUUGUGUACCAGACCUGAUAUAAACCUUGCCAUAAGUUUGGUAGGGAGGUACCAAAGUGAUCCCGGUAUGGAACACUGGACAGCGGUCAAGAAUAUCCUUAAGUACCUGAAAAGGACUAAGGAAGUGUUUCUCGUUUAUKGAGGUGACGAAGAGCUCGUCGUAAAGGGUUACGUCGACGCUAGCUUCUGUUAGGAAAUAUGCCCGUAGAGGACAAUAAUAAAUUAGUUAUUAUUAUAUUUCUUAGUUCAUGAUAAUCGUUUAUUAUCCAUGCUAUAAUUGUAUUGAUUGGAAACACAAUACUUGUGUGGAUACAUAGACAAAACACUGUCCCUAGUAAGCCUCUAGUUGACUAGCUCGUUGAUCAAAAGAUGGUCAAGGUUUCCUGGCCAUAGGCAAGUGUUGUCACUUGAUAACGGGAUCACAAUCAUUAGGAGAAUCAUGUGAUGGACUAGACCCAAACUAAUAGACGUAGCAUGUUGAUCGUGUCAUUUUGUUGCUUACUGUUUUCUGCGUGUCAAGUAUUUAUUCCUAUGACCAUGAGAUCAUAUACUCACUGACGCNNNNNNNNNNNNNNNNNNNNNNNNNNNNNNNNNNNNNNNNNNNNNNNNNNNNNNNNNNNNNNNNNNNNNNNNNNNNNNNNNNNNNNNNNNNNNNNNNNNNAUUUUGAGGUUGGUCCAAUGGAGUUAGUUGUGCCCCUUGUGUCUCUCUUGCAUGCUGUAAAUUUUCAUGCCCUUUGGAGUCCUGUGGCUUAUGAUUUUGCUGGUGUCAAUAUUGCUUCAGAUCGAAAACUGCACUGUCAUGAGGUGGAAUUUUCACCAAGUCUGAAAUAGUGUGUGAGAUGCCCUUUUUGUGUCUUCUUUCCCUAGUGAUCCAUGAUGCCAUGCUAGUUUUUGUUAGUUGUUUGUAGUAGUGCUUCUUGCCCUCUUCCGUGCCAUGCCUUGAUUGAGCAUAUCGGAGUUGUGUAGCCGUAGUUGUGGGGCGUAGAAAAAGCUAUGUGGUUGAUUUUGGCAGAUUGUAGUGAGUUCUUGUUUUGCUCGUAGUUGUUGAACCGUAGCUCCGAUUUGAUCGUGUCCUACAUGAAACUUGCUUAGAAUCUCGUGUAGUUUCAUAUUCUCUUGCUGUUUGUAUGUUUUGAAGUGCUUGUAGCCGUCGUUGCACACAUAUUGCAUUCAUGCCAUCAUAUCUUGCUGUGCUUGUAACUUUUGAACCGUAGCUCCGUUGGAGAUGUUUUCUAUGUGUAAAUUGCUUGUCUUGAUGCGUAGAAUCACGUGAACCUAUUUNNNNNNNNNNCUUCUCUUGCUCUUUGUAUGUUUUGAAGUGCUCGUAGCUGUCGUUGCACACAUAUAGCAUUCAUGCCAUCAUAUCUUGCGGUGCUUGUAACUUUUGAACCGUAGGUCCGUUGGAGAUGUUUUAUAUGUGUAAAUUGCUUGUCUUGAUGCGUAGAAUCACGUGAACCUAUUUGUUUUGCUGUUUAACAACUAAUUAAAUGCAUUAUCUCAGUUCUGGACAGAAUUGUAAAUUAACAUGUGAGGUCGUCUCGGAGAUGCUAUAUGUCAUUUCCGACCUCAUUUAAAAUGUCUAGAUAGGUAGUUUAAUUUCCGCUUCACCUCUUGCAUGUUUGGCAACAUUAAUAUUGCCGUGUAAAUAACCGGGAUAGAACUAAAUAAUUAACAUGGAGUUUCGUCAAUAUGCAACUCGUUGCAUAUUGAACUUCACUNNNNNNNNNNNNNNNNNNNNNNNNNNNNNNNNNNNNNNNNNNNNNNNNNNNNNNNNNNNNNNNNNNNNNNNNNNNNNNNNNNNNNNNNNNNNNNNNNNNNGGCCCCGCAGUCUGUCCUUUUUGGACCAACACUCAUGAGGAGCACUGGCCCGGGAGUUGAUUAAAUUAUCCUCGGGGUCCGAAAAGUCCCUAUGCAAUUUAUUAGGUGAUUAGGCAAAUGUAGUACCAAAGUUGGGCCUUGCCAGACCAGUCUUAAUCUAAAACGAAUUAUCAAGGGGGUCCUCAUAACAACCCCGAUCGUGUUAGGAGCGCUCAAUUAUGGAACAUAACACCGGUAGCCAAAACUAAGGGGGAAAAGGUGGAACAAAAUACCAAGCUAGAAAAGGGCUGAGCCUUCCACCUUUUCCCAAGUAUAUAGGUGCAUUAAAUUAAACAGCAUUUAAAUAAGGUGAUAAAACAAGGAACCCAUGUUUUCACAUGGAAGCAUCUGGACCUGCAACUAGCAACGCUAACAACAGGGUUAAGCAAGCAGUAACAUAGCCNNNNNNNNNNAUUUAUUAGGUGAUUAGGCAAAAGUUGGGCCUUGCUAGACCAGUCUUAAUCUAAAACGAAUUAUCAAGGGGGUCCCAUAACAACCCCGAUCGUGUUAGGAGCGUUCAAUUAUGGAACAUAACACCGGUAGCCGAAACUAAGGGGGCAAAGGUGGAACAAAACACCAGGCUAGAAAAGGGCCGAGCCUUCCACCUUUUACCAAGUAUAUAGCUGCAUUAAAUUAAAUAGCAUUUAAAUAAGGUGAUAUAACAAGGAACCCAUGUUUUCACAUGGAAGCAUCUGCACGUGCAACUAGCAACGCUAACAACAGGGUUAAGCAAGCAGUAACAUAGCCAAUCAGUGGUUUGCUAGGUUGAACAGGUUGAAGGUUAACAUGGCAUUGUUGAGAGGCUGAUAUUAGCAGUUGGUAGGCAACGAGACAUAAUCGAUAGAAGCGAUAAAACUAGCAUGGCAAUGAUAGUAAUGGUAUCUGGGGAAAUGAUCAUCUUGCCUGAGAUCCCGCUUGGAAGAAGAAUGCCUCCGUGAAGCAGACGAACCGACGUAGUCGAACGGGUCCUCACAUCCGACACGCUUGCGGAACUCUAUCGAGACGAAGCAAACCGGAAACACGAAUCAUCACACGGAAUUCACCACACGAUGCACAACACAAAUGAUGCAUGAGCAGCUGGAUACAUGCGAGUCACGGCAUGACAAUUCACGCAAUCAAACACUACACANNNNNNNNNNUGGAAUUCACCACAUGAUGCACAACACAAAUGAUGCAUGAGCAACUGAAUACAUGCGAGUCACGGCAUGACAAUUCACGCAAUCAAACACUACACAUUAAGUGAAGUUCAAUAUGCAACGAGUUGCAUAUNNNNNNNNNNNNNNNNNNNNNNNNNNNNNNNNNNNNNNNNNNNNNNNNNNNNNNNNNNNNNNNNNNNNNNNNNNNNNNNNNNNNNNNNNNNNNNNNNNNNGGCCCGCGGUGGCUGGCAAAGGAGAGAGAGAGUGGGGGGCUAGGGUUUGGGGGUAGGUGGCGCGGAUCCCGGGGUAGGAGGAGAGGGGGCUGUCUAAAAAUACUCGGGGGCUAUUUAUGGACAAAUGGGGGGGGCUAGGUUUAGCGAAAUUCCGCCCCGGUUUCAACCGCGCGGUCGGUUUCAACUAAUUCCGAAUGCGGGAACGGUUACAAGGCUGUGUAGAGGGGAUAUCCGGGGACGAGAGGGAGAACGGGAGGCGCGGCAACAAAUUUUAAAACACCGACAGACGUCCAACGGUAGACCGAAUACGGUGCCACUACGGUCGACCGUUCGGGUACCAGACGGACUCCGGUCGCGACGAAAUUCGACAGGCGGCCUAGCUAUAACUAAUCACGAUCGCAUGCCAAGUUUCACCUCGAUCAGAGAAAUUUUUCAACACACUUUUAAAACAGGGUUUUGACGAUGCCGCGGUCGCGUGCGUGUGUGGUCGGGCUCAGAACGAACAACGACGAGAACCGGCAACUAACAACGGAUGCAAGUUUGAAUACUGGCGGCAACGGAGAUGCCGAUGCAAUGUUGAUGAUGCGCAUGAUGCGAUGAUGAUGCGACAAAAGAAAAUAGACACACGACGAAAACGGAAUAGAAGGGGAAUCUUCUGGAACGUCGGCAUCGGGUUGUCACAACUCUCCUACACUACAAGAGGAUCUCGCCCCGAUAUCCAAGAAUGAAAGGGGGAGAGGAUGAGAAAGCAAGAGGUAAAACUUAGUCGCUUCUUUGACAAACAAGUGAAACCAACGAUCCUUGAAGGUUGCAAAGAGAUGAGGAAUGAUAUGAGAAAGAAGCAAGAAUUCACGGAAAAUUUCGGCAGCACUUCGGUAGGAAAAUGGGACAAAAAAUUCGAUAAGAUGGAAUAAAUAGACGAUAUUCAUAACGAACAACUAAAUAAAACAAGGGAACACCAUGAUCUUGGUAGAACAACAUAACAGACCCAAAAGAGCAACAUCACAAAGCCUCCGGAAAAAUAGAAUAGGAACUAGCUCAUACGGAAGAAGAGAAUGAAGAGAGAAUGACAACUACUAACUCCAAUGAACUUGGCAAGCAUUCUUGCAAGAAGAAUUGGACGGGGUUGUUGGAAAAACAACAACGAAAAGAACAAGAUAGUUGUGGGCUUAUGGAAACCUUUCAAACUAAUGAAGUGACAACGAGCCACUAACAGAUACAAGGAUUGAUUGGGAGAAACAAGAUAUGAACCAUUUCUUACACCAAGAGGAUAAAUUGAGAACUUGGAUUAAUGACAAGCACCAUGAUAGCAACAAUCCAAAGGAAAGCUUUAGGUGAAAUCCAAACCAUAUAGCUCAAUGAAGAAAUCAUGGGUUGAAAAUAUCUCAUGAUCAUAGAAUUGGUGGGUUUAAUUAUCUCAUACUUGAAAGGCAAACUCUUCGAGGCUCCUACACUAACAAGAGUGCUAUAAUACCACCUCAAAGGAUAAAGGAAGAACAAAUGCACUUGGAAAUGCGAGAGAAGAAAACUUGAGGUUCUCCAACAUAAUCUUGAAGAACACUUGAGAAUGAAUCACAUCCUUGAAGAACCACCAUGAAGGACCACCAUAUACAAAAGAAUGAUGCAAAGGUAUGAAGGUAGAAAAGAAUAAGAUUAUGACCUUGCAAUGAUUUGGAUGAAGCUUCACAAAGAGAUACUGAUAGACUUGGAACUUCGGAAAAUAAAGAUAAGCACUUCAGAAAAGAAUUGAUAUCAUGAGCCACUCCGGAAGAAGAAUAGAAAUCUAUUGGAAGAAGGAAGAACAAGAAUAAGAAUUAUGUUAUGCUCAUCCUUCAUCUAGUUUAAUUGAUGACUAGCAACGAAUUUAGCAUACCACUUAUUCUUCUUGAAAUGAUUGAGGAGAGAUAUGAGCACAAACUAGAAGAAAUCUUGAAAGAGGCACCGGUGAGAAUUGAAAUGAAUGAGGCAACCAUGAAUGACUGGAGAUACAUGAGAAAGAAGAGAUCAUGAGCCACCUGAGAGAAAACUAGAACAAGGCACCGGAUAAUCGAGAGACGAACGAANNNNNNNNNNUGAGAAGAAUUGAGGAUGAAAGCUCAAAGCUGAGAAUGAAGAAUCUUCUAAAAUGAUGGCCUUUGGAGGAUCGAGAAUGAAAACAACUCAGAAAAGCACCGGAUAGCAAGAAAUGGAUUCUCAUGAUUGGAACAAUAGAAGAUGAUAACACAAGGCUGAACUGAUGAAUCAGCAAGAAAAUGAACCAAGAUUUGAGAGAAACGCUCCUUCGAGUUACAAACUGAGAAUGAUGACGAGAAACAACACCAAGAAUUACUGAAACCUCCGGAACAAAGAAGAAUGAAAGGUUGAGCCAAAUAUGAGAAUUCAUUCGAAUAGAUUUUUGGAGAAGGGAUAUUACUGAUGAAAUUCAUACUUACGUCAUAGUUGAAAAGAAUUAAUGAUCUCCAGGAAAAGAUUGGAAGAGACAUAUAAGAUCCUGGGAAAAACAUGUGGGUUAUGGGCCCACUCAAAGAAACCACCGUUAGAAAAGAUUUCUUAGAAGAGAGAUAUUGCACCGGUAUGAAGAGAACUAGAUGAGGUUAGCACCUCGAAAUAAUUGAAAAGAUUGGAAACAAAAAACUAGUGGGCUGUCUUCAACACUCCGGAUAGAAAAGAGAGGAAUGAAAAGCAAGAUAGGCUGAUAAGAAUUUCCAACACGGGAAAGAAUUACAAGGAUAAAUAGGAUAUGAUGAAGAUGGACAACUGAAUUGAAUUCACCGGAAAAGAUGACCAAAUUGAAUAAAGAUGAACACAAAGCUCCUGAGAAUCUUCAUAAUGAAUCACCGGGUAAGAGAGAAAAGAACAAUCAGCGGAAGCACAAUGAAAAGAAAACUCUUGGAUGAAAAUUGAAUCACUAAGAAAAAGGGCGGGAGGGUGGGAAAAAAACAAAGACAACUUGGGCUAGAUGAGAUGAACUCCGGAAUAAGAUGAGAGAAUAAUCUUGCAAAAAUUGGAGAGGAUUGAAUCCACUUGGGGAGAAACACACCGGUUGGAAAAGAAUUGACAUGACGACUCCAGUUGACAAGAAUUGAUAUGAAAAUUUGAAUGAACAAAAGAAUUAGUACUCUCAUAAAAAUAUGAGAACACCUCUUAGGAAAGAUCUGAAAUCACCACUUGACACCGAAGCAACUUGAAUUACCAUAUUCCAACAAAAACAAAGGGUGAGGCUUACGAAACAAGCCAGGACAACAUCAUGUGAAAGAUUUCGUCCGAUAUUUUCGUGGACAAGAUCGCACGGGCUUGAUUUUACAGUAGCCAUCAAGUGCAAGGCAGUGCGCCCGACAUACGAAGCGUCCCCGAGUUGUAGCAAGCUACAAGGACUCUUUAAGACACAACGUGUACCACUUUAAGUCGACCGUUAACAAACGAAUCCACUAGAUGUCGAACCGCAACCUAGCAUCAUGCAUUUGUUAGAAGAUUGUCCUAUAAGCAACUACUAGAAUUCCCACCUAUGAAUUCCCGAAAUAUCUGGUCAUGCAAUCUGGUACACGGAUACAAGGAGUAAUAACACAGAACUCCUAUACUAACCCGUCACCUGUAUCACAUCCGUCAACACACAACCAGAAUCUCGGACCUUCAUCUACUACAGACCCUCGUGAUCACAACGAUACAAAGUAUGGCAGUACUCCCGAACAAUCUGCACCAGUACUGGGGACAUCGGGGUUAUCUCGCCAGUACUAGUAUUGAAGCAAUUACGAACAUCCUUCGUUCUGAGAUACUAAGAAAUCUGAAUGAUAACGAUGUGCUCAAGAAUCCCCUNNNNNNNNNNCGGAAGAAAAUCAAAUCAGACAAGAGGCACCAAGACAGAACUCCAUCACAUCGGCAUCAUAUAGACUCCAAAAAUAUCCACGUGAUCCUAAAAAAAUUGAGUGAGAAGAGGAGUAGAAUAAAUUAUUAAGUCAAGAUUCCUCACCAGAGCAUAGAAGAGGAGAAAAAGAAUCCUACUCUCCGAUAUAUAACUAGACUCAAAGCAGUUUUCACUAGACUCGACUCGGCCAAGUUCGAUCAAUCAAGGGGGCUCCUAGGUCGGUACUGCUCUGAUACCAACUUGUCACGCCCAAGAUGCGACCCUAUCCUCAAUUUGGCACGAAGGCCUCGUCAGGGAUAGAAGCGCAUCUCGUCGUGUCGCAAGAAUGGAUAUCGUUACAAGUACAUGUACUGAAAAGAAGAGAUAUAUAGAUAGAAUUGGCUUACACUCACCACAAACUACAUCAGAGUCACAUCAGUACAUUACAUAAUCAUCAAGAGUAAGUGCAGGGUCCGACUACGGACGAAAACAAACGAGAAAAUAAGAACGACGUCCAUCCUUGCUAUCCCAGGCUGUCGGCCUGGAACCCAUCCUAGAUCGAUGAAGAAGAAGAAGAAGAAGCAACUACAAAUGAACAAUCAACGCGCUCGCGUCAAGUAACCUUUACCUGUACCUGCAACUGGUGUUGUAGUAAUCUGUGAGCCACAGGGGACUCAACAAUCUCAUUUCCAAAGGAAUCAAGACUAGCAAAGCUUAAUGGGUGAGGUAUGGUUAAGUGGUGAGGUUGCAGCAGCGGCUAAACAUAUAUUUGGUGGCUAAACUUACGAGUACAAGAAAUAAGAGGGGAAAGAUCUACGCAUAGCGGACGUGAUCUACUGAUGAUCAAAUGAAUGAUCCUGAACACCUACCUAUGUUAGACAUAACCCCACCGUGUCCUCGAUCGGAGAAGGAACUCAUGAAAGAGACAGUCACGGUUAGUCACACAGUUGGCAAGUUUUAAUUAAGUUAACUUCAAGUUAUCUAGAACCAGUGUUAAACAAAGUUUCCACGUUGCCACAUAACCGCAGGCAUAGCUUUCUGAAAGAUUUAACCCUGCAGGGGUGCUCCAAUUAGUCCCUCACAAAUUACCACAAUCCGCAUAGAAAUCCUCAAUCACGAAGCUCGCGAUCUCGUCGGAUUCCCUAGUGGAAAACCUCAACUCUCAGAUUACCCAAAGCAUCACCGGAAUCCCGAUGCACAAGAUAUCUCGUCAAAGGUAAAACUAAUCCAGCAAGGCCGCCCGACGUGUCGACGAUCCCGAUAGGAGCUGCGUAUCUUGUUCUCAGGACACAACAGAUAAGCACAGCGUACGGUGCCCUGAUAGAAAUCUCCCGAGUUGCCCCGGGUUGGCCCCUCAAACGGCUCUAGUUUUGGACCAACACCAUCAGCACUGGCCCUCCCUGNNNNNNNNNNNNNNNNNNNNNNNNNNNNNNNNNNNNNNNNNNNNNNNNNNNNNNNNNNNNNNNNNNNNNNNNNNNNNNNNNNNNNNNNNNNNNNNNNNNNCCGACUGUCGAAUUUCGUCGCGAUCGGAGACCGUCUCGUACCCGAACGGUCAACCGUAGCGGCACCGUAUUCGGUCUACCGUCGGACGUCUGUCGGUGUUUUAAAAUUCGUUGCUGCGCCGCCCGUUCUCCCUCUCGUCUUCGGUAAACCACCCUACACGGCCUCGUAUCCCGUUCCCGCGUGCGGAAUCGNNNNNNNNNNACCACGGGGCAACUCGAGGUUUGGCACCUGUAGGCUUUUCCAUCCGCCUUGUCGUGAGAACGAGAUACGCGGCUCCUAUCGGGUUCGUCGACACGUCGGGCGGCCUUGCUGGAUUAGUUUUACCUUUGACGAGAUAUCUUGUGCAUCGGGAUUCCGGUGAUGCUUUGGGUAAUCUCAGAGUUGAGGUUUUCCACUAGGGAAUCUGACGAGAUUGCGAGUUUCGUGAUUGAGGAUUUCUAUGCGGCUUGUGGUAAUUUGUGAUGGACUAGUUGGAGCACCCCUACAGGGUUAAAUCUUUCGGAAAGCCGUGCCCGCGGUUAUGUGGCAACUUGGAAACUUUGUUUAACACUGGUUCUAGAUAACUUGAUGUUAACUUAAAUAAAACUUGCCAACUGUGUGUGUAACCGUGACUGUCUCUUUCGUGAGUUCCUUCUCCGAUCAAGGACACGGUGGGGUUAUGUCUGACGUAGGUAGGUGUUCAAGAUCAUUCAUUUGAUCAUGAGUAGUUCACGUCCGUUAUGCGUAGAUCUUCCCCCUCUUAUUUCUGGUAUUCGUAAGUUAUCCACCAAAUAUAGGCUUAGCCGCUGCUGCAACCUCACCACUUGACCAUGCCUCACCCAUUAAGCUUUGCUAGUCUUGAUACCUUUGGAAAUGAGAUUGUUGAGUCCCCUGUGGCUCACAGAUUACUACAACACCAGUUGCAGGUACAGGUAAAGGUUACUCGACGCGAGCGCGUUGGUUGUUCAUUUGGAGUUGCUUCUUCUUCUUCUUCUUCAUUGAUCUAGGAUGGGUUCUAGGCCGGCAGCAAGGGAUAGCAAGGAUGGACGUCGUUCUUCUUUUGUCGUUUAUUUUCAUCCGUAGUCGGACCCUGCUCUUACUCUUGAUGAUUAUGUAAUGUACUGAUGUGACUCUGAUGUAGCUUGUGGCGAGUGUAAGCCAACUCUUUAUAUAUCUCUUCUUUUUCAGUACAUGUAUUUGUAACGAUAUCCAUUCUUGCGACACGACGAGAUGCGCUUCUAUCCCUGACGAGGCCCUCGUUCCAAAUUGAGGAUAGGGUCGCAUCUUGGGCGUGGCAAGUUGGUAUCAGAGCAGUACCGACCUAGGAACCCCCUUGAUUGAUCGAACUUGGCCGAGUCGAGUCUAGUGAAAAACUGCUUUGAGUCUAGUUAUAUAUCGGAGAGUAGGAUUCUUUUUUCUCCUCUUCUAUGCUCUGGUGAGGAAUCUUGACGUAAUAAUUUAAUUCUACUCCUCUUCUCACUCAAAAAAAUUUAGGAUCACGCGGAUAUUGUCGAGAUCUAUAUGAUGCCGAUGUGACGGAGUUCUGUCUUGGUGCCUCCUAUCUACUUUAAGUUUCACGGGAGUUGAGCUCCAGGGGAUUCUUGAGCACAUCGUUAUCAUUCAGAUUUCUUAGUAUCUCAAAACGAAAGAUGUUCGUAAUUGCUUCAAUACUAGUAGUGGCGAGAUAACCCCGAUGUCCCUAGUACUGGUGCAGAUUGUUCGGGAGUACUGCCAUACUUUGUAUCGUUGUGAUCACGAGGGUCUGUUGUAGAUGAAGGUCCGAGAUUCUGGUCGUGUGUUGACGGAUGUGAUACAAGUGACGGGUUAGUAUAGGAGUUGUGUGAUUAUUACUCCUUGUAUCCGUGUACCAGAUUGCAUGCCAGAUAUUUCGGGAAUUCUUAGGUGGGAAUUCAAGUAGUUACUUAUAGGACAUUCUUCCAACAAAUGCAUGAUGUUAGGUUGGGGUUCGACAUCUAGUGGAUUCGUUUGUUCACGGUCGACUUACAGCGGUACACGUUGUGUCUUAAAGAGUCCUUGUAGCUUGCUACGACUCGGGGACGCUUCGUAUGUCGGGUGCACUGCCUUGCACUUGAUGGCUACUUCAAAAUCGAGCCCGUGCGAUCCUGUCCACGAAAAUAUCGGACGAAAUCUUUCUCAUGAGUUUGUUCUAGCUUGUUUCAUAAGCCUCAUCCUUUGUUUUGUUGAAUAUGGUAAUUCAAGUUGCUUCGAUGUCAAGUGGUGAUUUUAGAUCUUUCCUAAGAGGUGUUCUCAUAUUUUUAUAUGAAUGCUAAUUCUUUUGUUCAAUCAGUUGUCUUAUCAAUUCUUGUCAACCGGAGUCGUCGUAUCAAUUCCAUUUUACCGGUGUGCUUCUCCUCAAGUGAAUUCAAUCCUCUCCAAUUUUGCAAGAGCAUUCUUUUAUUCAUCCGAAGUUCAUCUCAUCUAGCCCAAGUUGUCUUUAUUUUUUCCCACCCUCCCAUCCUUUUUAUUGAGUGAUUCAAUUUUCAUCCAAGAGUUUUCUUUUCAUUGUGCUUCCGUUGUGUGUUCUUUUCUCUCUUACCCGGUGAUUCAUUGUGAAGAUUCUCAGGAGUCGAGUUCAUCAUUUCUUCAUUUUGUUAUUUUCCGGUGAAUUUAAUUCAGUCGUCUAUGUUCAUCAUAUCCUUUUCAUCCUUGUAAAUUCUUCCCCAUGUUGGAGAUUCUUAUCACGCUUUCUUGUUGUCAUUUCUCUCUAUUCUACCCGGAGCGUUGAAUUUAUUCUAGAAGUUUCUUGUUCUCAAUUCUUUAAUUAUUUCGAGGUGCUAACCUCAUCUAGUUCUCUUCAUACCGGUGCAAUAUCUCUCUUCUAAGCAAUCUUUUCUAACGGUGGUUUCUUCGAGUGGGCCCAUAAGCCACAGGUUUUUCCCAGGAUCUUAUAUGUCUCUUCUAAUUUUUUUCCGGAGAUCUCUAAUUAUUUUUCAACUAUGACAUAAGAAUGAUUUCAUCAGUCAUAUUCCUUCUUCAAGACCUAUUUGAAUUAAUUCUCAUAUUGGCUCAACCUUUGAUUCCUCAUUAUUCCGGAGUGUCUCAGUUAUUCUUGGUGGUGUUCUUCUCGUCAUUUUCAGCUUUGAAGACUGAAGGAGUGUUUCUCUCAAAUCUUGGUCUAUUCUCUUGUAGAUUCAUCAUUUCAGCUUGGUGCCAUCAUCUUAAUUGUUCCAAUCAUGAGUGAUUAAUUUCUUGCUAUCCGGUGCAUUUCUGAGUUGUUUUUAUUCUCGAUCCUCCGAAGGCCAUCAUUUUAGAAGAUUCUUCGUUAUCAGCUUUCAGCUUUCAUCCUCAAUUCUUCUCCAUUGUUGUCUCUUCGUUCGUCUCUCGAUUAUCCGGUGCCUUGUUCUAGUUUUCUCUCAGAUGGCUCAUGAUUUCUUCAUUCUCUUGUAUCUCCAGUCAUUCAUGGUUGCCUCAUUCAUUUCAAUUCUCACCGGUGCCUCUUUCAAGAUUUCUUCUAGUUUGUGCUCAUAUCUCUCCUCAAUCAUUUCAAGAAUAAUAAGUUAUAUGCUAAAUCCGUUGCUUGUCAUCAGUUAAACUUGAUGAAGGAUGAGCAUAACACAAUUCUUAUUCUUGUUCUUCCUUCUUCCAAGAGAUUUCAAUUCUUCUUCCGGAGUGGCUCAUGGUUUCAAUUCCUUUCUCGUGUGCUUAUAUUUCUUUUCUGGAGUUCCAAGUUCUUUUAAGUAUCUCUUUGUGAGGCUUCAUCUAAAUCUUGGCAAGCUCAUAAUCUUAUUCUCUCUACCUUCAUAUCUCUGCAUCAUUCAUUUGUAUACGGUGGUCCUUCAUGGUGGUUCAUCAAGGUUUCAAUCCAUUCUCAAGUGUUCUUCAAGAUUCUUGUUGGAGAACCUCAAGUAUCCUUCUCUUGCAUUUAUAUGUGCAAUUGUUCUUCCUUUAUCCUUUGAGGUGGUAUUAUAGCAUUCUUGUUAGUGUAGGAGCCUCGAAGAGUUUUCCUUUUAACAAUGAGGUAAUUAAACCCACCAAUUCUAGGAUCAUGAGAUAUUUUCAACCCGUGAUUUCUUCUUUGAGCUAUCUUGGUUUGGAUUUCACCUAAAGCUUUUCCUAUGGAUUGUGCUAUCAUGGUGCUUGUCAUUAAUCCAAGUUACAAUGUAUCCUCUUCAAUUCUUCUUUCAAGGAUGUUCCUCAAUCCAAUUGUGAUAGUAGUUGUCAUUUUCUUCUCCAUUCUAUUAUGAUCAUGAUGUUGUUCCUAUUCUCUUGUUCCGGAGUUGUUGUGUUGUUGCUCUUUUGGGUCUAUCUUGUUGUUCUAUCAAGAUCAUGGUGUUCCCUUGUUCUAUUUAAUUGUUUGUUAUGAAUAUUGUCUAUUUCUUCCAUCUUAUCGAAUUUUUUGUCCCAUUUUCCUACCAAAGUGCUGCCGAAAUUUUCCGUGAAUUCUUUCUUCUUUCUCAUAUCAUUCCUCAUCUCUUUGCUACCUUCAAGGAUCGUUGGUUUCACUCGUUUGUCAAAGAAGCGACUAAGUUUUUACCACUCGUUCUUUCUCAUCCUCUCCCCCCUUUCAUUCUUGGAUCUCGGGGCGAGAUCCUCUUGUAGUGUAGGAGAGUUGUGAUAGCCCGAGACCGACGUUCCAGAAGAUUCCCCUCUCUUUCCGUUUUCGUCGUGUGUCUAUUUUCUUUUGUCGCAUCAUCAUCGCAUCAUGCGCAUCAUCAUCAUUGCAUCGGCAUUCCGUUGCCGCCCGUUUUCAAAACUUGCAUCCGUUGUUAGUUGCCGGUUCUCGCCGUUGUCCNNNNNNNNNNUCCGCGGCAUACUCGAAACCCUGUUUUAAAAGUGUGCGUAAAACUUUCUCUGAUCGGGGUGAAACUUGGCAUGCGGUCGUAAUUAGUUCUAGCUAGGUCGCCUGUCGAAUUUCGUCGCGAUCGGAGACCGUGUGGUACCCGAACGGUCAACCGUAGCGGCACCGUAUUCGGUCUACCGUCGGNNNNNNNNNNNNNNNNNNNNNNNNNNNNNNNNNNNNNNNNNNNNNNNNNNNNNNNNNNNNNNNNNNNNNNNNNNNNNNNNNNNNNNNNNUUCGAAUCCGACCCCGCGGUUGGAUCCGGAACGCGAUUCCGGUUAACCGAGCCCCUCUUUUCUCUAUAAAUAGACCCCUCGUGCAUUUUAGAUAGCCUCUCCCUAAGCCUCCUCGUUUCCCAUGCACCCCUCAAACCCUAGCCACCAUCUCACCCAGCAUUCUCCUACCCCAGCCGCCNNNNNNNNNNAAAAAUUCGUUGCCGCGCCACCCGUUCUCCCUCUCGUCUCCAGUAAACCACCCUACACGGCCUCGUAUCCCGUUCCCGCGUGCGGAAUCGNNNNNNNNNNNNNNNNNNNNNNNNNNNNNNNNNNNNNNNNNNNNNNNNNNNNNNNNNNNNNNNNNNNNNNNNNNNNNNNNNNNNNNNNNNNNNNNNNNNNGCUCUAAUAAUGAUGAUCAUCACACUUUUAUUUACUCACAGCUCAAAGAUCACAAUGAUGAUGACUCCAUAGGAAAUGCCUCCGACAGUGUACCGGGAUGUGCAACGAUCUAGCAAGGCGUAUGACGUUGAAACAUCUUGCUAGCUAUCUUACGAUCAUGCAAUGGCAAUAUGAGAGUGACGACACAAGUCAUGAGACGGACGGUGGGAGUUGCAUGGCAAUAUAUCUCGGAAUGGCUAUGAAAAUGCAAUAGUAGGUAGGUAUGGUGGCUGUUUUGAGGAAGGAAUUUGGUGGGUUUGUGCACCGGCGAGAAUUGCGUGGCACUAGAGAGGAUAGCAAUGGUGGAAGGUGAAAGUGCAUCUAUACCAUGGACUCACAUUAGUCAUGAAGAAUUCACAUACUUAUUGCGAAAGUUUUUAUUAGUAAUCGAAACAAAGUGCUAAACGCAUACUCCAAGGGGAAGGGUUGGUAGGUGUAAACCAUCGCGCGAUCCCGAUAUCAACACAAAGGAUGACAAUCAAUAGAUCAAUUAUGCUCCGACUUCCAAACAUAGCGGUUCACCAUACGUGCAUGCUACGGGAAUCACUAACUUCAACACAAGUAUUUCUACAUUCACAACACCCUACUAACAUAACUCUCAAUAUUACCGAAUCCAUGUCUCAAAACUAAUUGAGAGGAAUCGAAACUUCUCUUUCUACUCAAUGCACAUGAAGAUGGAGGUUUUUUGCAUCCUCUUUGGGUACCUAGCACAUUUGGGACUACUUUCAUAGCAUAAGCCAACUACCAAGUGAUGCACCGCCGUGCUCUAAAGAUAUAAGUGAAGCACAAGAGCAAAAGUAUCUAGCUCAAAAGAUAUAAGUGAAGCACUAGAACAAAAGUAUCUAGCUCAAAAGAUAUAAGUGGAGCACUAUGAGUAUUCUAGCAAAAUCAAGAUGAGUGCAUGUCUCUCUCUCUCAGAAAGGUGUGCAUUAAGGAUGAUUGUGACACAAAAAAAAUAAAAGACUCCUAAGAUACAAGACGCUCCAAGCGAAACACAUAUCAUGUGGUGAAUAAAAAUAUAGCUCCAAGUAAUGUUACCGAUGGAUUGAAGACGAAAGAGGGGAUGCCUUCCCGGGGCAUCCCCAAGCUUAGGCUUUUUGGUGUCCUUGAAUUUGUCUUAGGAUGCCUUGGUCAUCCCCAAGCUUGAGCUCUUUCCACUCCUUAUCUCUUUGUCCAUGAGAACAUCACCCAAAACUUGAAAACUUCACAACACAAAACUUAAACAGAAACUAGUGAUAACAUUACUACAAGAAAACAAACUACUACUUCUUUUGGUACUGUAGCAAACUUGAAUUCCAUCUAUAUUGAUGAUGGGCUACCGUAUUCUCACUUUUCCACGGCUAGUACCCCCCUAUACUAACCAUAGUUUCAUCAAAACAAGCAACCAACUCAACAAAAACAGAAUUUGUCAAAUACAGACAAGUCUGUAGCAAUCCGUAUACUUCGUAUACUUUUGGUACCUCAAAAAAUCUGACAACUUACGAUGGUAUGGGGAAAAAGCAUAUGAAUCAGCAGCAAAAAUAAUCAACUCAAAAUCUCUUUCUUAAUAAAAAUGAAAAAUCAUCUCGUGAGCGAAAAGUUUCUCUCUUUUUCCAGCAGGAUCAAACAACCAUUACCAAGACUAGUCAUAAAGGUUUUGCUUGGCUCAAACACAAAAAGAAACGCAAAAAACACAAUCACAACAGAAUUGUGAAAGUGUGGAUGCAACAAAACAGAAAUAAAAAGAUAAAUUCAUUGGGUUGCCUCCCAACAAGCGCUAUUGUUUAACGCCCUUAGCUAGGCAUAGGAGCGAUAGAAUCACGUAUCGUCGUCUUUGGUGCUCAAACCAUAAGUGGCCCUCAUCAUGGAUUCAUAAGGCAAUCUUAUUUUCUUUCUAGGAAAGUGUUCCAUGCCCUUCCUUAAAGGAAAUUGAAAUCUAAUAUUCCCUUCCUUUAUAUCGAUGAUAGCACCGAUAGUCCUUAGGAAAGGUGUACCAAGAAUAAUAGGGCAAGUAGGAUUGCAAUCAAUGUCAAGCACAAUGAAAUCCACGGGUACAUAGUUCCUAUUUGCAACCUUAAGAACAUCAUUGAUCCUUCCCAUGGGUUUCUUGACAGUAGAAUCAACAAGAUGCAAAUUAAGAGAUAACUCUUCAAUGUCAUUAAAACCCAGAACAUCACAUAAAGACUUUGGAAUCGCAAAAACACUAGCACCCAAAUCACACAAAGCAUUGCACUCAUAGUUUUUGAUUUUGAUUUUGAUGGUAGAUUCCCACUCAUCAUGAAGCUUUCUAGGGAUAGAGACUUCCAAUUCAAGUUUCUCUUCAAGAGCUUUUAUCAUAGCUUCGAUGAUAUGAUCAAUAAAGGCUUUGUUUUGGCUAUAAGCGUGUGGAGAGUUCAACAUGGAUUGCAUCAAAGAAAUGCAUUCAAUCAAGGAGCAACUAUCAUAAUUGAAUUCCUUGAAAUCCACGGUAGUAAUUUCAUUACUACUCAAAGUUUUAACGUCUUCUACUGCACUUUUAAUGCUUCUAGCAUCAAGAUAGAUGGACUCCGAAUCAUUGGGGCACUUUUCAACCAAAGUGGAUUCUUAUCCAGCCCCAUAAUCAUUAGGUUUGACACAAGAAAACAAAGAUUCAAUGGGAGUCACACCAAGCAUUUUAAGAUCUUCGUGAUUCUCGUCACGAAAAUACGCCUUUUUAAGCCAUUCAUGUUUAGCACGAAUUUGGGCGGUUCUUACUUGGCUCUCAAUCAUGGAAACACGCAUAGCUUUCAAAGUUUCAUCCAUGUUGAUUUUGGGAGGAGCACAUCUAACUUUCAAAGCAUCAACAUCACAAGAAAUCCUAUCCACGCUCUUAGCCAAAUCAUCAAUUUUGAGUAGUUUUUCCUCUAUGGAUGCAUUGAAAAUCUUUUGAGAGUUGAUGAACUCUUUGAUAUUACUCUCUAGAUCAUAGGGUAAUCUAUUGUAAUUUCCAUGAGUAUUGUUGUAGGAGUUGCCAAAGUUAUUAGAGGAGUUACUAGGAAAAGGCCUGGGAACAUAGUUUCCUCUAAAAGCGUUGUUGUUGCCAAAGUUAUUCCUACCAACAAAAUUAACGUCCAAGCUAGCGUUGCUACUCUCAAUCAAAGAAGACAAAGGCAUAUCAUUAGGAUCCAAAGGAGCACUUCUACUAGCAAUCAAAUUCAUUAGCUCGUCCAUCUUAUCACUCAACGAGUUAAUUUCUUCUAUAACAUGUACCUUCUUACUAGUAGGUGACCUUUCAGUGUGCCACUGAGAGUAGUUCGUCAUGAUGUUGUCUAAGAGCUUUGUUGCUUCUCCUAACGUGAUUUCCAUGAACGUUCCACCUGAGGCAGAGUCCAAGAUAUUUCUAGAAGCGAAAUUCAAGCCAGCGUAAAAGAUUUGAGUAAUCAUCCAAAGGCUCAAGCCAUGAGCGGGACAAUUUCUAAUCAUUAAUUUCAUUCUCUCCCAAGCUUGUGCAACAUGUUCAUGAUCAAGUUGCUUCAAAUUCAUGAUAUCAUUACGGAGAGAGAUGAUCUUAGCCGGCGGAAAAUACUUGGAUAUAUAAGCAUCUUUGCACUUAUCCCAAGAAUCGAUACUAAUUUUAGGCAAAGAAGAAAACCAAGUUUUUGCGCGAUCUCGCAACGAGAAAGGAAAAAGUUUUAACUUAAUAACGUCAUUAUACACAUCUAUUUUCUUUUGCAUAUCACAAAGCUCAAUGAAGGUAUUGAGAUGAGAUGCGGCAUCUUCACUAGGAAGGCCAGAGAAUUGCUCUUUCAUAACAAGAUUCAGCAAAGCUGCGUUGAUUUCAUACGAUUCCGCACUAGUGGCGGGAGCAAUCAGAGUACUAAUAAAAUCAUUAUUAUUAGUGCUCAAUAAGUCACAAAGUUUGGUGUUUUCAGCCAUGAUGACUUCAACAAAAAAAGAAGCACAGAAGCAAGCAAGAAAACCGGCAAAGGAAAACGGCAAAAUGCAAAAGGCAAAAGAAAACGGCAAAGGACAAAGGCAAAUGAAAACGGCAAAUGUGAAGUGGGGGAGAGGAAAACGAGAGGCAACUGGCAAAAAAGUAAAUGCAAGAGAUGAGUUUGUGAGAUCUACUUGGAUAUAUCUCUCCUUCCCCGGCAACGGCGCCAGAAAUACUUCUGCUACUGCAACAAAAGACCUUACAACGGCGCCAGAAACAUGCUACGGCACCAGGAAUCCUUCUGCUACGGCUACGCCUUAAGGGACUUCCUAGGCAAGUAUGCAAAGGCUUUCCCCCGUGGCCUUGGAGCCUUGCGUUGGUGUUCCCUCGAAGCGGAAAGGGUGAUGUAGCGCAGCGGUGGUAAGUAUUUCCCUCAGUUUGAGAACCAAGGUAUCGAUCUAGUGGAGGAGUAUCUCAAGUGCCUGCACAAACACAAAAAGCUUGCUCCCAACGCUAUGAAGGGGUUGUCAAUCCCUUAUAGAUUGUUCGCCAAGUGAGAACUGAAAGCAACAAAGUAACAAAGCAAAGUAAAAGAGAAGGUGGAAACGAUAGAUGUGAAUAGACCCGGGGGCCGUAGUGUUUACUAGUGGCUUCUCUCAUGAAAGCAAGUAGGCGGUGGGUGAACAAAUUACCGUCCAGCAAUUGAUAGAACCGCGCAAAGUCGUGACGUCAUCUAUAGCAAUGAUUAUAUCUAUAGGCAUCACGUCCAAAACAAGUAGACCGAUACUUUCUGCAUCUACUACUAUUACUCCACACGUCGACCGCUAUCCGGCAUGCAUCUAGUAUAUUAAGUCCAAAAGAACAGAGUAACGCCUUAAGCAAGAUGACAUGAUGUAGAUGGACAAUCUCAUAUCAACGACAAAGCCCAUCUUGUUACCCUUGAUGGCAACUACACGAUGUGUGCCUUGCUGCCCCUACUGUCACUGGGAAAGUUCACCACAUGGAAAGAACCCAAAACCAAGCAUUUCUCCCAUUGCAAGAAUCAUAGAUCUAGUUGGCCAAACAAAACCCAAGACUCAGAGAGACUUACAAGGAUAUCAAAUCAUGCAUAUAAGAAAUCAGCAAAGACUCAAAUAUAUAUCAUAGAUAAUCUGAUCACAAAUCCACAAUUCAUCGGAUCUCGACAAACACACCGCCAAAGAGGAUUACAUCGAAUAGAUCUCCAUGAAGAUCAUGGAGAACUUUGUAUUGCAGAUCCAAGAGAGAGAAGAAGUCAUCUAGCUACUAACUACAGACCCGUAGGUCUGAAGUGAACUACUCACGAGUCAUUGGAGGGGCGAUUAUGUUGAUGUAGAAGCCCUCCAACUCCAAAGUCCCCUCCGGCAGGGCACCGGGAAGGGUCUCCAGAUGAGAUCUCGCGGAAACGGAAGCUUGCGGUGGCGGAAAAGUAUUUUCGUGGAUUCCUUGAUUUUUUUUGUAUUUUAGGGAAUAUAUAGGCGAAGGAGCUAGGUCAGGGGCCCCCCUGUAGCCUUCCUGGCUUGGCCCUCAAGCCCCCUGAUCUUCCGUUCGGGGAAAAUUAGUUCGGGGAUUUUAUUCCGUUUGGACUCCGUUCCAAAAUCAGAUCUGAAAAGAGCCAAAAACACAGAAAAAACAGGAACUGGCACUUGGCACUGAAUUAAUAAGUUAGUCCCAAAAAAGAUAUAAAAGGUACAUAAAACAUCCAAAGAUGACAAGAUAACAGCAUGGAACCAUCAAAAAUUAUAGAUACGUUUGAGACGUAUCAGGCACCUAUAGUGGAAUCACGACACCUUGCAUUGUGCGAGAGCGUGAGGAGAAUAUGGUGGCCCUAGUGGCUUAUUGGGGAGCAUUGUGUCUCCACACCACUUCAACGGAGACGUACAUCCUGUCAAAGGGAAGGAACUUCGGUAACACAUCCUCGUCUUCAUCGUUUCCACUUGUGGUUAUCUCUUACCUUUACUUUGUUUGUGUUGUUGUUGUAGAGUAUCUCUUACUUGCUUCGUUACUCUUUGUAAGUAGCAUCAUAUAGGUUGCUCACCUAGUGUCAUUUUAGAGAACCUUUAUGUUGCUAAUGCUAAUUUGUUAAGAAAAGCUAAAAAUUGGUUGUUGCCUAUUCACCCCCCCUCUAGUCAACCAUAUCGAUCCUUUCAAUUGGUAUCAGAGCCACGUCUCUUUAUUAAGGGUUUCACUACUCGAAGAGUAUGAAAGAUGAUGAGGGAGUUCCCCAUGGGUAACCCGAGGCCAUGGCCUUGACUUCGGUCACAAGGGACGACUUGAAUACGGCUAUGGCCUCCCUCAAGACGUCCUUGACGAACGAAGUCAAAACCAUGCUUAAAGAGUUAAUUGAGGGAAUUAAAAGUUCACCCGAACCGGCAUUGGUGGUUAAACCCGCCAACAUAGAUUCGGAGGCCAAUUCCUCUAAGGAAGCGGCUAAAGGUAUGCGACCUUCUUCCCCUCUCGAAAAUAUGGGACUCGAACCUAUGCCUCAGUUCCACCUCCCAUGGUCUAUGGAGGACCUGUUCCCACACCGCGUCUUAACCCUAUUGGUCCUCCUCCUAAGCUUGUUAAGGGUGAUUUUGCUAACUCGGUGUUUUCUAUUAAGUCUCAUUUGAAUCACAGCUCAACAAAUUUAUGGAGAAUCAUCGAGCAAGGCUACUAUCCUCAUGACCCAAGCAACCUCACUCCAAGAGAAGAAGCGGGCAAUCAAUAUAAUCACUCCGCAUUGUUUAUUCUACAGUCCGCAGUACCUCCUGAACAUCUUCCUCACUUGCGCCCCUUCACUCUGGCUAAGGACUGUUGGGAGCACAUUACGGUGUUGUACAAGGGAAGCUCAAGCAUUCAACGGUCCAACUAUGAAUUGGUACUUGAUAAGGCCUAUGAGUUUGUGAUGAAGGAAGAUGAGGACCCUCGUGAUCUCUAUCGAAGGGUGAAUGCUAUUCAUGUUGCUCUCAAGGAUCAUGGGAGCAAGGAUGUGGAUGACACAUGGAUCAAGCGCAAGUUUCUCAAGGCCAUCAGGCCUUUCAACAAAGCCAAGUCAUCAGUCAUUCGCCAACGACCAAAUUUCCACUUCUUGUCUUCCAGUGAGGUGUUGGAUGAAUUCAUUGCAAUGUCAAUCAUGAACGAGACCGCUGACAAUGCACUUGCUCGCGUUCGGUCAAAGACAGCUUCACCCAACCUUGCUUUAAAGGCAAAGGCUGCUUCUGAAGAAGAAGAGGAGGAUGAGGAAGAGGAGAGCUGCCCUGAAGACACUAAGUAUGCUUAUCACGAGCACAUGGCUCUUGCGUCAAGGCAAUUCUGGGGCAACAAGAGGAACUCAAGACCCAACUUCACCAAGAACAACUCAAGUGGGUUCAAAUCCAAGCAACGAGUGAGGACAUGCUAUAACUGUGGUAAUGUGAGUCACUUCGUGGCAGAAUGUCCCUAUGAGAAGAGAGAAGACAACGGGGGCAAGCUCAUUCGCAAAGACAAAACUAAGUCAUUCCCAAACAAGAACAACUUUGUCAAGAAACCCCACCCAAAGGGUAUGGUGGCACUUGAAGAGUACCCCUCUGAUGAUGAUGACAAUGACGAUAUGGUGGCAACUGCGACUGUCGCAAUUGCCACCCCUUCUCCCAAGAAUGUGUCUCUCUUCAACGCCCCAACGAUAACCACAUCGCCAAGUGCCUCAUGGCCAAAGGUAUCGAUCAGGUAACACCCAACAUUAAGACCAACAUCACUACUGCUCCUUCAUUGUUGAAUUGUGUUGAUGAUAGUGAUGUUGUGGAACUUAAUGAGCAUGAUCUUGACAAAUUUCUGUGUACAAUCAAAGGAGAAACCAAGAAGCACUUUGUUGCUCUUUUGGAACAACUGGGUGAGGCCAAUGACCUCAUCGAGUCUCAUGAGGAGACCAUCUCCGAGCUGCAAGGACAUAGUCGUGACUAUGCCGAUGAGAUUGCUGAACUAUCUAUUGCACUAGAAAAGGAGCGCACUCUUCGUUUGGCUCUUGAGGAGUCAUACAACGAUGACUGCGCUAAAUUGCAAAAGGAACUAGAUCAUGCUACUAUUCUUACUCGUAUGCUUAAGUCUGAAAAGGAUGCUCUUGGGGUUGGCCAUGACAGACUCAAAGUGGAGUUUGACACACUUGACAAGGCUCACAAGGUCUUGAAAGGUGCUCAUUUCUCCGUGAAAGAGUCUCAUGCUCAACUCCAAGCAAAGCUUACCAAGGAAAUCUCUACUUGUCCUCCUUUCGUUUUAAUUGAUAAUGCUUGUACAACUAACCCUUGUUGUGAGCAUGUAAAUCUUGUGGAAAAAAAUGCCAAGUUGAAGGAUAAACUUGAGAAGGGCCUUGUGUCAUGCAUCCAAGGCGAGAAGAACCUGAACGACCUCUUGAGCAAUCAAAAGGGUGUGGUAGGAAAGGAGGGACUUGGACUUACAUCCAUGUCAAAAAGAAAAGGAAGAACAGGAACAAACAAUCCCCUACCCUCAUGGACAUCUUUGUCAAAGAGGGCGAAGGGACUCAGGAGGUGAACAGGAACAAGGUGGAAAAUGGUAGCGUCAAGAAGGGCAAAACCAUUCCUACCAACACAACCGGCAAACUCAAUCCUUCACUACUGGAAUCUAGUUCUUUGCCGUCAGACAGUGCUUUGUCGUCUGCUGGCUGAUGGCAAAGAACCUCUUUGCCAUCAGUUGACACAAGGCAGACGGCAAAGGGCCGACACAUGGCAAAAAUACUAUUUGCCAUGUGUCNNNNNNNNNNNNNNNNNNNNNNNNNNNNNNNNNNNNNNNNNNNNNNNNNNNNNNNNNNNNNNNNNNNNNNNNNNNNNNNNNNNNNNNNNNNNNNNNNNNNNNNNNNNNNNNNNNNNNNNNNNNNNNNNNNNNNNNNNNNNNNNNNNNNNNNNNNNNNNNNNNNNNNNNNNNNNNNNNNNNNNNNNNNNNNNNNNNNNNNNNNNNNNNNNNNNNNNNNNNNNNNNNNNNNNNNNNNNNNNNNNNNNNNNNNNNNNNNNNNNNNNNNNNNNNNNNNNNNNNNNNNNNNNNNNNNNNNNNNNNNNNNNNNNNNNNNNNNNNNNNNNNNNNNNNNNNNNNNNNNNNNNNNNNNNNNNNNNNNNNNNNNNNNNNNNNNNNNNNNNNNNNNNNNNNNNNNNNNNNNNNNNNNNNGCCACCGACACCCGACACCAUCGACCCUCGACGGCACUGACUCCCGACGCCACUAAGCCCCGACCCCCGACACCUCUUCAGCCUUCUAUUGAACGAGAAGGUGCUUUUCGGCCUUCCAGAGGCCCACGAGGUCAUAGUUUUGUAAAUUAUGAGUUAGGUCACAUAUUUUCCGAUUAUGUUAAUUAGAAAAAUAUCGUAUUUGUGUUGAUCGUGUGAAUUUCAAUGUGCAGUUGUUCGACAACCUCCACGUGCAUUGGACGAGCUUCGCCCUUGCGUUUGUUGGUGAGCACAAAUGACUUCUCCUCCUACCCCCUUAAUUUGCUCUGUCCCGGUCUUCGUGCUGAUGAAACUUGCUAGCUAUAGGUUUCUUCAAUCAUGAGUAUGCGUGACCAGUAUGUGUCUCCUGUUCGAAAGGGCGACAUCUAUAAAUAUGCAUUUCUUUGCAUAUUUAUAACCGCCAUCCUUUCGAAUUGCCCAACAUUAUCCAUGGACAGCCCGAGUAUGUGUAGAUUGGGUUUGUUUUCCCGUAUGCCGUGCUCCGGAUCCGAUGCGGAAUUUCGUCAGUGCCUCCCGUGUUGUUCUCCGGGUACACAUCCUCUCUGCUUAUUGCCGAGACGUGUAUCAGGAGAACAGCGGGGAGGUGCUGCCGAAAUUCUGCAUCGCAUCUGGAGCAGAGCAUGGAUAAACGAACCCAAUCUACACAUACUCGGGUGGGAUUAGGACCUAUCUUUACCUAUUAGCGUGUAGGUUGCAUGGACGUAAUAAAACUGACAAACUUGAUUAGCGUAUGAAUAUAGAUGAUGAAUUAUAUAUUUAUUUCUUGUGCCCCCAUAGGUAGCUAGGCAACAUGAGUGAUCGUGCUUGGAUGUACACUGGUCACCCUAGUUAGAAAUACAUGACCCAUGAAUGGUUAACAAAAACCAGGGGGUUUGUGAGAGUCGCAUUUGCAAAUGGCCAGCAAAAAACAUGGUGCCCCUGUCCCAACUGCGACAAUUGGAAAAAGCAGACCGAGUUUGAAAUGGGUAAACACCUAUAGAAGUGGGGUUUUACGCCUAAUUAUACGGUGUGGACAUUUCAUGGUGAGUCUGACCAACGUGCUAGAGCUGAGGUGAUUCGUCGUCGCACCGAGGAGCAUGGUACCGGGACUGAAGACAUGGUGCAAGACUUUGAUGAUGCUCGGGAUUCGGACGAUGAGAUGGAGGAAUCUGCAAAGGCCUUCUAUGAAAUGUUGGAGUCUUCAAAACGUCCUCUCCACGAGCAGACUGAGCUUUGUUAGCUGGAUGCCAUCGCGCAAGUAAUGGCUCUGAAGGCUCAAUUCAACCUAGGCAGAGAAUGCUACGACGCGAUGAUGACGAUAUUUGGACGCUUUCUACCCAAAGGCCAUGUAAUGCCUGCAAACCUGUACCAGUGAGAGAAAAUCCUCUGUGUACUUAAGAUGCCCUAUGAGAAGAUACAUGCCUGUGAGAAUGGAUGUGCCUUAUUUAGGCUUGAGUAUGUGGCCUUGAACUAUUGCCCCAUUUGCAAUUCUUCCAGGUAUAUUAUGGUAGACAACGGCACGGAUGAGAAGAAUCAGACCAAAAUCCCCAUUAGUGUUCUUCGGUAUCUGCCAAUCGUACCAAGACUUCAACGUCUUUUCAUGGUCGAAGAGAAGACCAGACAGAUGACAUGGCACAAAUUGGGCAAAAGAACCGAACUAGAUGCGGAUGGGAACAAGAUGCUGGUACACACUUCAGAUGGUUUUGCGUGGAGGCACUUCGAUGCAUUACAUAAGGAUAAAUCGGAAGAUCCAAUGCAACCUAGAGUUGCCAUCAACACGGAUGGGUUCAAUUUGUAUGGUAUGAUGGCAGCAUAAUACAGUUGUUGGCCUGUAUUUGUCAUUCCACUAAAUUUGCCACCCGGAGAGAUUAUGAAAAGGAAAAACAUUUUCCUGAUGUUGAUAAUUCCAGGGCCCAACUAUCCGGGGAAGAAUAUGAAUGUGUACAUGCAGCCGCUUAAGGAUGAGUUGCAAGAAGCCUGGGAUAAUGGGAUCAAGACCUACGACACGGCUACCAAAACAAAUUUCAAAAUGCAUGUGUGGUACAUGUACUCGACGCAUGAUUAUCCGGCGUUUGCGCUAUUCGCUAGCUGGUGUGUGCAUGGAAGGUUCCCGUGCACCACAUGCAAGGCAACUCUUCAGUUCCGUUGGCUGCAGGUUGGUCGCGAGUAUUCUUGCUUUGACAUGCAUAGACAAUUCCUGGAUCCUGACCAUAAGUUCAGAAAAGAGAAGAAGAAUUUCAUCAAAGGUAGAGUUGUCAAAAACACUGCACCAGCUGCGUUGACAGGCCAACAGACCCUUGAUCAGUUAAACGCUCUCGAGCCUAAUCCUUUGCGUCCAGGAUACUUCAAAGGGUAUAAUACGGAACACGCCUGUACUCACAAGUCAUGCUUAUGGGAUCCGCCUUACUUCAAAGACCUCCUUUGCCCACACAACAUUGACGUGAUGCACACUGAAAAGAAUAUUGCGGAGGCCAUUUUUGGUACAUUGUUCGGCAUAGAGGGGAAGUCAAAAGAUAAUCCUAAGGCUAUAAUCGACCUGGAGGCUCCAUGUGAUAGACCGUUGCAAAACUUGCGACAAUGGAAAGGAAAGCAAAGCAUAGCGAAGCCAAAGGCAUGGUUCAAUCUUGAAAGGCCAGCUAUGAGGGAAAUGCUAUUGCGGGUGAAAAUGCGGUUGACGUUCCCCGAUGGGUAUGCUGCGAAUCUAAAGAGGGGAGUGAGUCUUGAGAAAUUGAAAAUAUUUGGGCUCAAGAGUCAUGAUUGGCACAUAUGGAUUGAGCGGGUAAUGUCAGUGAUGUUGCGUGGCUUUAUCCCUGAGGAUGAAUGGCUAGUACUGGCAGAGCUGAGCUAUUUCUUCUGUUCUCUUUGUGCGAAAGAACUAUCGCCUGGCGUGCUAGAUGAAAUGGAAGAGUUGGCGUCGGAGUUGAUCUGCAAAUUAGAAAAGAUCUUUCCGCCGGGCUUCUUUAAUCCAAUGCAAUAUUUGAUUUUGCAUCUCCCGACCGAGGCAAGAAUGGGGGGGGGGCGGUUCAAAAUCGAUGGUGCUACUCAACUGAGAGGGUGCAGAAGAUGCUUCGAGCUAAGUGUAAAAAUAAACGUAGAAUUGAAGCAUCAAUGGCCGAGGCAUUCAUUACUGAGGAGGCGGCAAACUUCGUGACAGCACACUACGAAGCCAAAAAUCAUCAUUUGCAUAACCCGAAGCCUCGGUACAAUGAUGGCGAUCCAAAAAAAGUUCGAUCCAACCUCAGCCUAUUCAUAGGUAAUCUCGCACCAUCCGGUGCUUCGAAAGGGAAAUCGUUGGAUGUCGAAGAAUGGCAGACCAUUUCUUUGUAUAUCUUCACCAACCUAACAGAAGUGUGGCCGUACAUCGAGUAAGUUCUCGGUAAUUUAUUGUUCCGUAACUUCUAAUUGCUAUGAACUACUCUUGUUCCCGGAUAUUUGAUAUAGUCGAUACGUCGCCGAAUUCUCGGAUGGAGCGAUCAUCGAAAAGGAUUCCGUCGAAGAGUAUGAGCUUCUCGCAAAGCAUGGAGGCGACUAUCCCGGUUUCAUCUCUUGGUUCAAACAAAGGGUAAUUAAUUACCAUUAAGGGCCCAUUUGAUUUCUUGGUCUAAUUUGCGGCUAAUGCAUCCAUUCUUUCGUAUUAAACUUGUAGGCUGAUACAGAGUCUAUGGACGCCGAGUUGAGACAAGUCGCUAAUGGUUUUGACUAUAAGGUCCGUUCAUUUGAAAAAUACAACAUCAAUGGGUAUCACUUUCGUACCUUUGGCAAAGAGCUAUCUAUGCCCGACCUAAAGACUACAAAUUGUUCUGUCUAUGCUACCGGCGAAGAAGACACUGAGUAUUAUGGAAAAGUUGAAGCAAUUUAUGAACUUCUAUUCUAUGGUGAAAACCCACCGACCGUCGUAGUCUUCAAAUGUUAUUGGUUUGAGCCGAGGGAGACUAGAAGGACUCAUGAACAUAUAGGACUAGUCGAAAUCAACCAAAACACCCACUUAGAUGUUCCUGAUGUCUAUAUUACGGCUCAACAGGCGACCCAAGUUUUCUAUCUACCGUGGGCCUGCCAAACUGAUCCAAGUCUCAAAGGUUGGGAUGUCGUUUAUGAAGUGCCACCACAUUUUAGACCACCUACCCUCAAUGAAGAGGAUUACAAACCUCACAUUAACCCAGACACAUAUGAAGGAGAAUUCUUCCAAGAAACACGUAUGUCCAAGAAACGUUCCAAGAACCACUCUACUUCACCCCAGAACAUUGAAGUAGACAGCGACAGUGAAUCCGUCUUAACCCGUGAGCCCGAACAGGAAGAGCUGGAAGAAGAAGAGGUUAGUGCUGCGGAUGACGUGUCACUUCUUGACCGAUUACAUAAUGGUGGCCUUCCACAUGUUCUUCAUGAUAGUUGAUAUGAUCGAUAUGGUUGACUAGAGGGGGGGGGAGUGAAUAGGCAACGACCACUUUUUUAAUUAAUCUUAGCAAGUUAGGGUAAACAACAUACGGGUUCACAAAGAUAACAACAAUGGGGUGAACCGUAAUGAAGCUAACUACAAGAGCUACUAAGACAAGUAAGAGAUAGACAACAACAUAAGCAUACACAAAGUAAAGGUUAGAGAUAACCACAAGUGGAACCAAUGAAGACGAGGAUGUGUUACCGAAGUUCCUUCCCUUUGACAGGAAGUACGUCUCCGUUGGAGCGGUGUGGAGGCACAAUGCUCCGCAAUAAGCCACUAAGGCCACUGUAUUCUCCUCACGCCCUCGCACGAUGCAAGGUACCGUGACUCCACUAUAGGUGCCCUUGAAGGCGACGACCGAACCUUUAUAAACAAGGUUGGGGAAAACUCCAAACAAAGCUUGGAGGCUCCCAACAAGACCACGAAGCUUCACCAUAAUGGAAUGUGGCUUCGAGGUGACCUCAACCAUCUAGGAUGCUCAAACACCCAAGAGUAACAAGAUCCGCAAGGGAUCGGUGGGGGAAUCAACUUUUCUCUUGGUGGAAGUGUAGAUCUAGGCCUUCUCACCCAAUCCCUAAAGAAUCAACAAGUUUGAUUGGCUAGGGAGAGAGACCAGGAACUUUUGAGCUUAGGGAGCAACAAUGGAGCUUGGGAGGGUAAGAUAAGGUUCCACAGCUAGAAGAACCCCUUAUAUAGUGGGGGGGGGGAAUCCAACCGUUUUCCCACUCACACCCGUGCCUAGUGGUACUACCGCUGGAUGCAGCGGUACUACCGCUGGUAUUCUAGCGGUACUACCGCUGGGCCCAUGGUAGUGCGUAAGCACUACCGGGCCAACCACCGCCAAGAAAGUCUUCGCAAAAAGGUCUGUCGAAGUACAACCGCUAUGAAGGCGGUACUAAGCUCCUGGAGCGGUACUACCGCCAACUAGCGGUACUACCGCUGGCUGCAGCGGUACUACCGCUAGCACUCCAGCGGUACUACCGCUAGGGCUAGCGGUACUAGCGCUGAGGGACCAUUUGCAAAGAAGAGAUAAACACAAAGGCGGGAGCCACUCCAAAGUUGCAGGCAAGGGGGAAAGGAGAUAAAGUGUGUGCGUGCAAAAUUGAUUCCACCCAAACCUUUCCACUACGGGUCCCCUCUUAAUAGUACGGCGUUCCUAUGACUCAAAUAAAGAGAAUCGUAGAGUACACCGUGCUCCUGUUCUAUGGAAAGAGGGGGGCGAGUCGUCUUGUGCCGUUGACGUGUGUUAUGUGAAAUAUUAACACACACGGUUAGUCCUUUGCGGUAUUGUCAUCAAUCACCAAAAUUACUUAGGCAUAAACUAUGCCCUAACAAUCUACCCCUUUUUGGUGGAUUGAUGACAAUACCAGAUUUGCACAGUGAGUAACAUGUGAACAAAAAGAUAGAUAAAUAUGAAACUAAGAAGCAUAUGACUCACAACAUAUGAUGGAAAUAAAUCUCACACUAGUUCAUGUCUCACGUCACACAAAGCAAAGAUAGCAAAUAGAAGCAAACCAAGUUCAAAGCAAACAUGAAAGAUAAGCAAAGCUAAGCAAAGUUCAACUCUCAAAUCCAGCUCCUAGACUCUCUCCCCCUUUGGCACAGGACACCGAAAAGGGGCACACCUAACGACACAGGUGGUCACUCCUCAUCCUCAUCAUCCCCAGAUUCGUCUGUAGCAUCCGGAUCGUCCUGCUCCUCCUCAUUGUCCUCCUCCUCCUCGGCAUCAGACCACUGAUAACCUUGAGCCCGCAUCCAAGCAGACUCUGGAGUGAUGUCGUCCUUUGAGCCGCUGGAGAUCUCAACAUCAAGUGUCCUCAGGACACGCUUGUGCCUCUAACGGUUCUCCUUCUGGGCCACAUGAGUCUGAUACUGUCCCUUAGCCUGCAUACAAAAGAGAGUCUUCAUUUUAUCCUGCAGUUUCACUGCCCAAGAUGGCAUAGCAGAAGAGCGGGACUGGGAGGCGGUGCCUCUGUCAGCAGCAGUCUCUGUGUCAGUGUCCAUGUGCUGAGAUGAAGUUGAUGGGUUGGCCCAUUUGUCAUUGAUGCGGAGCUUGAUAGGAUCAUGCACAAAGUAAUCAGCCUGAAGGUGGAACUCCUCAAGCGGAUAAGUGUCUUGCCACUUCUGGCGAAUAUAGGCAAACAAGUAGGGCCCGUAGAUGGGAACCUUGUGCAUCAUGAUGCAGUUCCAGAGCUCAGUGAACAUGACGUCAGAAAUAUUGAGAGGGGCAGACUCCUUAGUCAUAGCCUCCUCACAAAGGAGAAGCAUCUCAGCCAGAGAACCGUGCACCUCGUCGAAGUUGCCAAUGCGAGGGAAGAGGGUGUUGCGGAAGAUACGAUGCAUGAUAUCCAGAUGCCUGGGGAGCAAACCCUUCUUCACAUAAAGUUGCUGCAACCUGUCCUUGGCGGGGGCCCUAUCAGUGGAAGCUGCAGCAUGAGGACACGACCCAAUCGGAGUGUCAGCUCCCUGAAAGUCGACCUUGAGAAAUGCCAUGAAUUCACGCCAGGAACCUGUCAUCUUCUGAGUACCAGUCAUCCAAACCAGGGUGCGCUCGUCAUCAGGCGAGAAGUGAACCGUGACAUAGAACUGGCCGACAACAUCUGGAUAAAAGUAUUUCUUGAAGGAGAUGAUCUCCUUAAUGCCCAGCUUGUCAAUCAAAGAGAGAGCGUCACCAAAGUAAUCCAGGUUCCGCCGAAGGUGAGCCAAGUCAAUCCACUGAACUGGAACAAAACUUUUCUUGAAAUGCUUGAUGAUGUCGCGAUAGAUCCUGUAGUGAUCCGUUGACCACACAUGCUCGACAUCCCUGAUCACAACCUUCUCUUGGAGAUAGUGAUUUUUGGUGCGGAACCGCAGAAAGUCCUUAGGGGGCAUAGUGCGAACGUUGACCCCCUUGUCCUUGUGAGCUGCCUUCUUGAAGGACUUCUUUUUGGGUUGCAGACCGGAAGUGGCAAAGCCCUCUGGAGCCUCUGGAUUGCGAUAAUGCUUUGACUGGGUGUCCCGUGAGGGGUUCGAGCGGCGAGCACCACCUGUGACACACAAGACACACACCAAAAAAAGAGCGACAAAAGGAGUCAAGGCAAGGAACCAAAAAGAGGCAUAAAAGUAAACUCACAUUGCCAAGCAAAUWGAAAAAAUAAAAACAAAUCUCCUCCUGGCGGUAGUACCGCUGGGGUCCUGGCGGUAGUACCGCUACCCCUCGCGGUAGUACCGCUCGGGUCCUAGACUACCUCUGGCGGUAGUACCGCUAGGGGUUGACUUUCAGAUCUGAAUAUGAAAAAGGACCCAUAGAAACGGCUAGAUGGGAUUUACGAGGGCCAUGGGUACUGUGUAAAAUCACUAAAAACACCACCACAGCCCUAACAAUAUGAGAAUCACAGGAAUCAUCUAAAUAAAGACAUGUCUAGUUAAGAGGAUUCAAGUUUUUAGAUCUAAUCCAAAAUAGAAGAAGUGCUUGAUCUAAAACAUGAAGAACCUAGGCCAUGGCAACAUAAAGGCAAUGAAUCAUAGGACCUACACUCCCCUCGAAUAUCUCCUUCAUGCCAUCCAAGAACAAAGCACAAUACCAUAGACAUGGAUCCAAAACACCAAUGCUCCUAACCCUAGAACAAGAAAACAUCAUCCAAGAGAGUAGAGGGAGGAGCUUUACCGGAGUCCAUGGCACUUGGUGGAGGAAGGAGAAGUGGRGCAAACCCUGCAACUCAACGGAGAUAAGGGGCUCCAUGGAUAGGGAUCCAAAUAGGGGGAGUUCGGGGUUGGAGAGGGAGGAGCCACGAGGAAGAAGAAAGAGGAAGAAAAAACGGGCCCCCCUCCUUUAUAUAGCCCAAGGGGUAUGGGCCAGCGGUAGUACCGCUGUGGUCCUGGCGGUAGUACCGCUACGUGGCGGUAGCACCGCUGGCUGCAGCGGUAGUAUCGCUGGGGUCCUGGCGGUAGUACCGCUCCCCCUUGAGACAACCCUAAAAUGUCCUAGUUAGGUCGUGGUAGACCGGGGUCCUGGCGGUAGUACCGCUAUCCCUGGCGGUAGUACCGCUGGGGUCCUCGCGGUAGUACCGCUACCCCUGGCGGUAGUACCGCUGGGGUCCUGGCGGUAGUAGCGCUACCCCUGGCGGUAGUACCGCUGCAAAUGUCACAACGAGACAUAGGAGAUGAGAAAGACGUGGGCAAAUGAACAAGUUAGUGAAAAUAAGAAGAUAGCACCAACAAGAUAUACUGACUUGUCAUUGUGUAUCCUUUCUUCCAUAUGAGAGAAAGGUGGGGGCGGUGGCCGAGGCCACCUAUGUUUGAGACAAAGGUAUGACACCACGAAGAAUUAUCCUUGGGUUCAUGACCAAUGCUCGUCUUUGAAGCACAAGUGCCAUUUGGCAAUGGCUAAAGUGAAAGACUAGAUCAAUUUAUGCAUAAUGGGGGGGGGARGAGUUCAUUGAGAGAAAAACACUCCCCAUAUGUCCAUGCCUACAUCUAGAACAAGAUAGAAUGCAUAGUAAGGUGCAACGUGCCUAGCUUCAAUCCACAUUACUUGAAUCAAUGAUAUUUAGCUCAUGCCUUAACUCCCGGAACCUUGCUUCAUCUAGGGGCUUAGUGAAAAUAUAUGCAAGUUGCUCUUCAGUGUGGAUGAAGUGAACCUCAAUAUCACCUAGCUUGAUAUGUUCACGAAUGAAGUGAUGGCGAAUAUCAAUAUGCUUGGUCUUGCUAUGUUGCACUGGGUUGAGGGAAAUCUUGAUGGCACUUUGAUUGUCACAUAGAAUAGGCACUUUGUCAAGCAAUUGUGCACAACAACUUGCAACUGCCACAUACUCAGCUUCGGUGGAUGAUAGUGAGACACAAUUCUUCUUCUUUGAAGACCAACUUACCAGUGAGCGACCAAGGAAUUGGCAUACUCCAGAAGUUGACUUCCUCUCCACACAAUCUCCUGCCCAGUCUGAGUCAGAAUAGCCUACUAGGUUGAAGUUUGCUCCUUUGUGAUACCAUAGGCCAAAGUUUGGGGUAUGAGCCAAAUAUCGAAAGAUUCGCUUAACAGCCAUAUAAUGACUUUCUUUUGGUGCGGAUUAAAGCCGUGCACAUAUCCCUACACUCAACAUAAUAUCUAGUCUAAAUGCACAAAGGUAAAGGAGAUAUCCAAUCAUGGAGCGAUAUACCUCUUGAUCCACUGCUUUACCAUUGGGAUCACUGUCAAGCUUGCAUCUUGUUGGCAUGGGGAACUUGACCGACUUGACAUCUUCAAGCUCGAACCGUUUGAGCAUGUCUUGAGUGUAGUUCGCUUGUUUGAUGAAGGACCCUUCUAGGCCUUGUUUAAUCUCGAAGCCGAGGAAGAACUUCAACUCUCCCAUCAUGGACAUCUCAAAUUUCUCGAUCAUUAGUGCAGUAAAUUCUUCAUUGAAAGAAAUGUUAGGAGAGCCAAAGAUAAUAUCAUCAACAUAUAGUUGGCAUAUGAACAAAUCCCCUUUAACCCUCUUAGUAAAAAGAGUGGGAUCUAUCUUCCCAAUUUCAAACCCACGAUCUUGUAACAACUCAGUAAGAUACUCAUACCACGCACGUGGGGCUUGUUUAAGACCAUAGAGUGCCUUAUUAAGUUUGUACACAUGAUUGGGGAGCUUGGGAUGUUCGAAUCCCGGGGGUUGUUUGACAUAGACCAACUCAUUGAAAGGACCAUUAAGAAAGGCACUUUUCACAUCCAUUUGCUGUAAUUUGAAGUUAUGAUGAGAAGCAAAUGCAAGCAACAUGCGAAUAGAUUCUAGACGAGCAACAGGGGCAAAGGUUUCACCGUAGUCGAUACCCUCGACUUGGGAGUAUCCUUGAGCCACCAAUCUUUCCUUGUUCCGAAUCACAAACCCAUUGGCAUCUUGCUUAUUCUUGAAUAUCCAUUUGGUCCCGAUGACAUUAUGUUCCUCCGUUGGCCUUGGCACUAAAUCCUAGACUUGGUUACGCUCGAAGUUGUUAAGUUCUUCACGCAUGUCCAUAAGCCAAUCCUCAUCAUCGAGCGCUUCCUGUACCUGUUGAGGUUCACAAUAUGAAACAAACGCGUGAUGCUCACAAUAAUUCCAAAUCUGUUGAUGGGUGGAUACUCCCGUUUUUAAACUGCCAAGUACAUUCUUCAUAAGAUGUGACUUGACUCUCAGCUUGUUCGCAAUCUUGGCUUCUCGACGCUCCAAGAGUUCUUCAUUGGAUAGUUGGGGAGCAUCGACUUGUUUACUUUGCUUGCCCUUGCAUCUUGAGCCCCCCUUAGCACCGGCUGUUGGUGCUGCAGAAGGGAAUUGUGAGACAGUAUCCUGAUCAUCUUGACAUUCGACUUGAGCAGGUUCACUUGUUUGUCCUUGUACUUGUGGUUGCUCUUGAUCUUGAUCUUGUGCUUCUACUUGGUCUGGAUCUUGUGGUUGCACUUGAUCUUGAUCAUGAGCAGGUUCGGAACCUUGGGUAAGUGCUUGAAUAUCAUGGGACACAUCAUCAUUGUUGGGCAAUUUAUCUUGACCUUGAGCUUGUUCAUUUUGUUGAGAGUCUUCUCUUUGUUCAUCGAAAGCGUGUGGGGCUUGUGGGCGUGAUGGCUCCAUUUUAGUAGAGCAUUGUCCUUCUCCUUCGGCCACAAGGGGUUCCUCAAUGGGGAGUAUUUGACCAAUCCCCAUUCUUCUUAUGGCUUGGGGAGGAAUUUCAUCACCUACAUCACAAAGACCACUUUGCUCCACUUGGGAGCCAUUAUUUUCAUCAAACUCCACAUUACACGUCUCCUCAAUGAGUCCGGUGGUCUUGUUGAGGACACGGUAAGCAUGAGAGUUUGUAGCAUAACCAACAAAGAUGCCCUCAUGUGCUCUAGAAUCAAAUUUAGCUAAACGUGCACCUUUCUUGAGAAUGAAACACUUACAACCGAAUACCCAGAAGCACUUAAGAUUGGGUUUGUUUCCAGUUAGAAUCUCAUAUGGAGUCUUGUUCAAGCCUUUGCGGAUAUAGAGCCGAUUGGACGCAUGACAUGCUGUGUUGAUGGCCUCUGCCCAAAAGUUAUAUGGAGAUUUGAAUUCCGCCAUCAUUGUUCUUGCAGCGUCUAUCAAGGUCCGGUUCUUCCUUUCUGCCACGCCGUUUUGUUGAGGGGUAUAUGGUGCUGAAUAUUGAUGUUUUAUUCCCUCAUCACCUAGAAACUCAUCCAAAGUGUAGUUCUUGAACUCGGUGCCGUUGUCACUUCUAAUCAUCAAGAUCUUUGCUUCAUGUUGACGUUGAGUUUUAUUAGGAAAGUUGAUGACAGUUUGUUGAGUUUCACUCUUCCUUUUGAAGAAAUAUACCCAUGUGUAUCUUGAGUAGUCGUGAACAACCACCAAGCAGUACUUUCUGCCUCCAAGACUAUCAAAUGAUGGAGGGCCUAAAAGAUCCAUAUGGAGGAGCUCCAAUGGCCUCUUAGUGUUAAUGAGAGUCGUUGGACGAUGAGCAGUUUCAUGAAUCUUUCCUUCAAUGCAGGUACUGCAAGCACGAUCUUAGGCAAAACUCACAUUUGUUAGUCCACGAAUAUGGUCCCCUGUUAGAAGACUUUGCAAAGAUCUCAUAUUGACAUGAGCUAAUCGGCGAUGCCAAAGCCAGCCCACAUCAACUUUAGCCAUUAAACACGUCGCGGUCUUAGUGGGUCACUUUGAGAAGUUCACCACAUAAAGACCAUUUUCGACAUAUCCAACAUAGGUUACUUUAAGAGUCUUGCUCCACAGGAGGACCAUAGUAUCAAGAUUAAAGAAUGUGGAAAAACCCAUAAUUGCAAGUUGGCGAACCGAAAGUAAAUUGUAGGCAAGAGACUCAACAAGCAUGACCUUCUCAAUAGAUAACUCUUGAGAGACGACCACCUUACCAAAUCCCAAUACCUUUGGCGAGGAUGCAUUGACGAAUUGGACAUGGGUGGGCAUAGAUGGAGAAGGAUGCACAUCCACCACUAAGUCCUUGCUCCCGGUCAUAUGAUUUGUUGCUCCACUAUCGAGCAACCAUGACACCCCACCGGAAGCAAACUCCUGCAAUAGAUCAAGGCUUGGUUUUAGGUACCCAUUUUUUAAUGGGUCCUUUCAUGUUAGAGACAAGGGUCUUAGGAACCCAGAUAGCCCAUUCAAUAUACUCAUAGUAGGAACCAACAAAUCUGGCAUAAACAUGCCCAUCACUAGCACGACAUAAGACAUAAGAAGAAUUGAGUUUGUCGGCUGUGUUAGUAGGAAUGGUUUUGCCCUUCUUGACGUUUCCAUCGUCCACCUUGUUCCUAUUCACCUCCUGAGUCCCUUCACCCUCUUUGACAAAGAUGUCCAUGAGGGUAGCAGAUCGUUUGUUCCUGUUCCUCCUUUUUCCUUUUGACUUGGAGGUAAGUCCAAGUCCCUCCUUUCCUACAACACCCUUUUGAGUGCUCAAGAGGUCGUUUAGGCUCAUCUCACCUUGUAUGCAUGCCACAAGGCCCUUCUCAAGUUUCUCCUUUAACUUGGCAUUUUCCUCCACAAGAUGUACAUGCUCACAACAGGGAUUAGUUGUACAAGCAUUAUCAAUUAACACAAAGGGAGGACAUGUAGAGAUCUCCUUGGUAAGCUUUGCUUGGAGUUGAUCAUGAGACUCUUUCUGAGAGAAAUGAACACCUUUCAAGACCUUGUGGGCCUUGUCAAGUGUGUCAAACUCCACGUUGAGUCUGUCAUGGCCAACCCCAAGAGCAUACUUCUCAGACUUAAACAUACGAGUAAGAACAGUAUCAUGAUCUAGUUUCUUUUGGAUUUUAGUGCAGUCAUCGUUAUAUGACUCCUCAAGAGCCAAACGAAGAGUGCGCUCCUUUUCUAGAGCAAUAGAUAAUUCAGCAAUUUCAUCGUCAUACUCACGACUGUGUCCCUGAAGCUCGGAGAUGGUCUCCUCAUGAGACUCAAUGAGGUCAUUGGCCUCACCCAAUUGUUCCAAGAGAGCAACAAAGUGCUUCUUGGAUUCUCCCUUAAUAGUGCACAGAAACUUGUCAAGAUCAUGCUCAUUAAGUUCCCCAACAUCACUAUCAUCAACACAAUUUAAAAAUGAAGGAGCAGUAGCGAUGUUGGUCUUAAUGAUGGGGGUUACCUGAUUGAUACCUUUUGCCAUGAGGCACUUGGUGAUGUGGUUCUCGUUGGGGGCGUUGAAGAGAGACACCUUCUGGGGAGAGGGAGUAGCAAUAGCAACAGUUGCCGUUGCCACUGUAUCAUCAUCAUCAUCAUCAUCAUCGGAAGGUUACUCUUCAAGGGCCACCAUCCCCUUUGGGUGGGGUUUCUUCACAAAGUUGUUCUUGAUUGGAAAUGACUUGGUUUUGUCUUUGCGAAUGAGCUUGCCCCCGUUGUCUUCCCUUUUCUCAUAGGGACAUUCGGCCACGAAGUGGCUCACGUUACCACAGUUAUAACAUGUCCUCACUCGUUGCUUGGGUUUGAACCCACUCGAGUUGUUCUUGGUGAAGGUGGGUCUUGAGUUCCUCUUGUUGCCCGAGAAUUGCCUUGAUGCAAGAGCCAUGUGCUCAUGAUAGGCAUACUUUGUGUCUUCAGGGCAGCUCUCCUCUUCCUCAUCCUCUUCUUCUUCUUCAAACGUUGCUUUUGAUUUUAACGCAAGGUUGGGUGAAGUUGUCUUUGAGUGAACAUGAGCAAGUGCAUUGUCAGCUGUUUCGUUCAUGAUUGACAUUGCAAUAAAUUCAUCCAACACCUCACUGGAAGACAAGGAGUGGAAGUCUGGUCGCUGAUGAAUGAUAGAUGACAUGGCUUUAUUGAAACGCAUGAUGGCUUUGAGAAACUUGCGCUUGACCCAUGUAUCAUCCACAUCCUUGCUCCCAUGAUCCUUGAGUGCCACAGCAAUAGCAGUCACCCUCCGAUAGAGAUCACGAGGGUCCUCGUCUUCCUUCAUCACAAACUCAUCGGCCUUAUCAAGUAUCACUUCAUAGUUGGAUCGUUGAAUGCUUGAGCUUCCCUUGUACAACACCAUAAUAUGCUCCCAAGAAUCCUUGGCCAAAGUGAAGGGACGCAAGUGAGGAAGAUCUUCAGGUGGCACUGCGGACUGGAGAAUAAACAAAGCGGAGUGAUUGUAUUGAUUGUCUGCAUCUUCUCUUGGAGUGAGGUUGCUUGGAUCAUGGGGAUAAUAUCCUUGCUCGAUGAUUCUCCACAAAUUUGUUGAGAUGUGAUUCAAAUGAGACUUUAUAGAAAAUACCCAGUUAGCAAAGUCACCUUUCAGAAGCUUAGGAGGAGGACCAACAGGGUUAAGACGCGGUGCGGGAACGGGUCCUCCAUAGACCAUGGGAGGUGGAACUGAGGCAUAGGUUCCAGUCCCAUCCUUUUCGUGAGAUGAGGAAGGUCGCAUACCUUUAGCCGCUUCCUUAGAGGAAUUGGCCUCCGAAUCGGUGAUGGUGGGUUUAACCACUAACGCCGGUUCGGGUGGACUUUUAAAUCCCUCAAUUAACUCUUUAAGCAUGGUCUUUACUUCGUUCCUCAAGGACGUCUUGAGGGCAGCCAUAGCCGUAUUCAAGUCGUCCCUUGUGACCGAAGUCAAGUCCAUGGCCUCGGGUUGCCCAUGGGGAAUUCCAUCUUCGCCUUCCAUACUCUUCGGGUGGUGAAACCCUUAAUAAAGAGACGUGGCUCUGAUACCAAUUGAUAUGAUCGAUAUGGUUGACUAGAGGGGGGGUGAAUAGGCAACGACCACUUUUUAAUUAAUCUUAGCAAGUUAGGGUAAACAACAUACUGGUUCACAAAGAUAACAACAAUGGGGUGAACCGUAAUGAAGCUAACUACAAGAGCUACUAAGACAAGUAAGAGAUAGACAACAACAUAAGCAUACACAAAGUAAAGGUUAUAGAUAACCACAAGUUGAACCAAUGAAGACGAGGAUGUGUUACCGAAGUUCCUUCCCUUUGACAGGAAGUACGUCUCCGUUGGAGCGGUGUGGAGGCACAAUGCUCCCCAAUAAGCCACUAAGGCCACUGUAUUCUCCUCACGUCCUCGCACGAUGCAAGGUACCGUGACUCCACUAUAGGUGCCCUUGAAGGCGGCGACUGAACCUUUACAAACAAGGUUGGGGCAAACUCCACACAAAGCUUGAAGGCUCCCAACAAGACCACGAAGCUUCACCACAAUGGAAUGUGGCUUCGAGGUGACCUCAACCGUCUAGGAUGCUCAAACACCCAAGAGUAACAAGAUCCGCAAGGGAUCGGUGGGGGAAUCAACUUUUCUAUUGGUGGAAGUGUAGAUCUAGGCCUUCUCACCCAAUCCCUAAAGAAUCAACAAGUUUGAUUGGCUAGGGAGAGAGAUCGGGCACUUUUGAGCUUAGGGAGCAACAAUGGAGCUUGGGAGGGUAAGAGAUAAGGUUCCACAGCUAGAAGAACCCCUAAUAUAGUGGGGGGGGGAAUCCAACCGUUUUCCCACUCACACCCGUGCCUAGCGGUACUACCGCUGGCUGCAGCGGUACUACCGCUGGGCCCAUGGUAGUGCAUAAGCACUACCGGGCCAACCACUGCCAAGAAAGUCUUCGCAAAAAGGUCCGUCGAAGUACAACCGCUAUGAAGGCGGUACUAAGCUCCUGGAGCGGUACUACCGCUGACCAGGGGCGGUACUACCGCCAGCUAGCGGUACUACCGCUGGCUGCAGCGGUACUACCGCUAGCACUCCAGCGGUACUACCGCUAGGGCUAGCGGUACUAGCGCUGAGGGACCAUUUGCAAAGAAGAUAUAAACACAAAGGCGAGAGCCACUCCAAAGUUGCAGGCAAGGGGGAAAGGAGAUAAAGUGUGUGCGUGCAAAAUUGAUUCCACCCAAACCUUUCCACUACGGGUCCCCUCUUAAUAGUACGACGUUCCUAUGACUCAAAUAAAGAGAAUCGUAGAGUACACCGUGCUCCUGUUCCAUGGAAAGAGGGGGGCGAGUCGUCUUGUGCCGUUGACGUGUGUUAUCUGAAAUCUUAACACACACGAUUAGUCCUUUGCGGUACUGUCAUCAAUCACCAAAAUUACUUAGGCAUAAACUAUGCCCUAACAAUAGUGAUGAUGAUGAUGCAUUUAUUGAUGAUAGUGAUGAUCAUGAUGCAUUUAUUGACCACGAAGCAUAUAUAGACGAGCACAAUUGUUAUUAGUUCAUGUCAGGUAUUCAACUAUUAUACUAUAUAUAAUUUUUGAGUUCAUGUUAGGUAUUCAAUUUUUAUUAGUCAUGUUGGUAUUUAUGACGAUGAUACACUUAAAUUAUAUAAGUUUUAUUACUCAUGUUGGUAUCUAUGUUGUACUAAUUUCAUUUACUCUUUGUCAUGACAGGUGUUGAAAGAUGGUGGGAAAGGGUCGAAAGCACUCCGCGACUCCUUCUUCGUCGACGGGUGAUGGGAUGGGUACUUCCAUUCCUGCCUCGCCUCUUCGGAGAGCGUUGCUCUCUACUCUGCAAGGAGCGCCCCCCGUGAGAGGAGGUCGACCCCCCGCGGAGCCGAGAGGUACUAAAGUUACACGUUGUAUUGAUGUUGGUAUUUAUGUUGUACUCAUGUUGUAUGCAUAUUGGUAUUUAUAUACAUUUUAUUACUCAUGUUGGUAUUUAUGUUGUACUAAAGGUACACGUGGCCGCGGGAGAGGUAGGGCGGUGGCUGCCACGCCUUCUGAGGUGGAGGCUACAUGGUCUCCGUCACCACCCCAAGCCGAUUCACCUGAGCACAGGACCUCUAGGGUGGAUUCAUCUGAGGUGGAGGCUACACGGUCUCCGGUUCACGAGCCUCGGGUCGACGAGCCUCAGGUCGACGAGCCUUCGACCCACGAGACUCGUGUCCCAGAGGCUUCAUUCCAGGCGACUCCGGAGCAAAGCAGGGAUGAGGGUACGUCCCAAGAGACCCAGUAGGAUACCUGGGCUGAGCCAAGUGGCCAUGCUGGUAGCGACGAGGAGCUGGGUGAGGGGGCUACCGUCUACCAGUGUGGUAGUUCGGGGCUCCCGCUCGUGCCGACGACCCCUCAGCAGAGGUGGUUGAUUAGGCCAAAUGGGGACAAGUAAGUUAAUUUACUCUUAUUUAACCUAUUGUCUUCGCGUUUUCUCAAAUAUCUAAUGUUUUGGAUUUAAUUUGUCAUACUGUAGGGGUUGGAUUGUUGCCAAGGGUGUCCGCAAGCCCAACAGCGUCCUUGGUGUGCUUUGCCGUAAAAACUUCCCAGGGUUUGUUACGUUGCCCGGUCGGGAGCGAGAGGUAGGAAUGACCUGGGAGCACUACUUGGGUGCCCCGGCCCCGCCGGAGGUGGAGAUCGACGGUGUUUUGUGCGACACGAGGGCGGACAUGGUGAUUCGAAAGUUCUGGGUAAUUUCUCCUUCACACAAUUAUAAAUCAACCGUAGCUAUUUAUUGUACUAAUCGGUGUUGUCUCGUUUACAGACCUACUACAGGUGUGAGGAGGGAUACGAGGAGGACGCGCUAAAGGUUAUCGAAACCAAAUGUCGCCGCCUACUUCAAAACUUUUAGCACGAGGCUCGGGUGCAGGCUGUUCGAGACUACUAUGCCACGCGGCGUAUUAGGAUUGACAAGGCGAAGUGUCGUGAUGCUAAGAUGGAGAAGGAGCAUUACAUGAAGGUAAUUACGUAUUAUUAAGGCUUUGUAGUUAGUUUCCUUGAUUUGGUUCUUACGCGCUCAAAUUUCUCUUUAUUAACUUAGGUSGCCCCCGAGAUGGUGUGUGGAUAAGAUGGAUUGUUGGGAGGCCUUGGUGGAUCAGUGGUGCUCCGAAACGUGGGAGGCCAGCCACAACNUCAUUCUUAAUGCUAUCUUGAGCCCUUUACUCAUACAAUUUUCCUCUCUCUCUCUCUUUUAGGCGUGUCACAAUAAGACGGAGGUGCCACAGAUGUACGACCUGUAUGCGAUGGCCCAUACCGCCUCGUACAAGAAGGUCAAGGCAUUCUCUGAGUCUGACCUCGAGCAUCCAGAAAACUUCACCAACAUCUCCUCCCACCACAAGCUCGUGAAGUACAGAGAUCACGGGAAGGCGAGGAAAGGGGAGUACUUUAACCCGAGCGAGGGGCCUAUUGAUCCAGAACUGGUGAUGAUAGCUGGCAACGGGAGGCCCCAUGGCUCGAUCGCCAUUGGAGACGGCCUUAUACGUUGUCCUAGCACUCUCCGGCAGAUAAAGGCACGCCAAACAAGCUCUUGUCCGGAGAUAACACGUCGUCCACGACCAGUCGAGCUCGCCAUCGAGGUUAGUUUAAUGGACUCAACUAUCUUUCCGCAUUAUGUUGUGCGUUGGAACCAAUAUGAUUACAUUGCUAAUAAUGAGUUGUGUUGCAGGCUGCUAUUCGGAAAGAGAGAGAGGCAAUGCAGGCGGCUAUGGCGGCUAAGGAUAAGGAGAUUAGGGAGCUGGAGGAGAGGACGACUGCAUUGGUGGAGGCGGAGAGGGCAUGGAAUGAUGCGUCUAACAGGGCCAUAUACGAGCUCUUCGUGGUAAGUUUCUUCUUCAUGUUAUUUCAAGUCUUGCAUUUGAAUGUCUGUUUCAUUAAUAAAUAAAAAGUUUGACUUGUCGAAACCAAAUUUACAGUCUAUGUGCGAGAAGAGAGGCCAACUCCCUCCGCCGAUGCCAGUCAUUAACGUGGCGGGGACGGUGAGUUUCAUUUCAGUGCAGUGAUCUUAAGAGUGUCCUCAUGCUAACGACACAUUGCAAACGAUGUUUGGUGCAGAAUAUCUCCCAAAACGCAACGCACGACCCUUCUAUAGUGGAGCCUUCUCCAGGGCAGCCUUCUCCACGUGAAACAAGCCAGAGCCACCGUCUUCACCGCCGUGAUGACGAUAAUGGUAUAUUAUUUCUAGUGUUUUAGUAAAAAAUAGCUAGACUUCCAUCUAAAUGACAUAAUUAGCUUAGUUAGCUCCAGAACGGCUAAAUUGGCUAAUUAUCCUACGAAAUGACAUAAUUAGCUUAGUUAGCUCCAAAAUGACCUAUUUAAUAAAAAAUGACCUAUAGUUAGCUAAGUUCUCUCCUAAAUGACAUAAUAAGGCUUACGUAGCUGCAAGAUGACCUAUUCCCCCUAACUUAGGUAUUAAAUGGCCUAUAAUUAGCCUAGCUAGAUCCAAAAUGGCUUAAUAAGCAUAGUUUGCUCCGAAAUGACCUACUUUACCCAAGUUAGCUCCGAAACGACCUAUAGUUAGCUAGGGUUCCACCUAAAAGACAUAAUUAGCUUAGUUAGCUCCAAAAUGGUCUAUUUAAUAAAACAUGACCUAUACUUAGCUAAUUAUCCUCGAAAUGACAUAAUUAGCUCCAAAAAGGCAUUCUUAGCCAAUUUAGCCCCAAGAAGGGGACAAGAGGAGAAGAAAGAGGAAAAAUGAAAGGAAGGAAGGAAGAAGAAGAAGGAGAAGGAGGAGGAUAAGAAGAAGGAGAAGAAGGAGGAUAAGAAGAAGGAGAAGAAGGAGGAGAAGAAGGAGAAGGAGCUCCUGCUUCUCCUUCUUCUUCCUCCUUCUUCCUCCUUCUCCUUCUUCUUUUCUUCUUCUUCUCCUCUUCCUUCUCCUCCUCCUCCUCCUCCUCCUCCUUUUACUUCUUCUUCUCUUUCUCUUCUUCUACGUAGCUUAGACUCAUCCAAGAAAGGCUAAAUUGGCUAAUUAUCCUACGAAAUGACAUAAUUAGCUUAGUUAGCUCCAAAAUGACCCAUUUAAUAAAAAUGACCUAUAGUUAGCUAAGUUCUCUCCUAAAUGACAUAAUAAGGCUGACGUAGCUUCAAGAUGACCUAUUCCCCCUAACUUAGGUAUUAAAUGGCCUAUAAUUAGCCCAGCUAGAUCCAAAAUGGCUUAAUAAGCAUAGUUUGCUCCGGAAUGACCUAUUUUACCCAAGUUAGCUCCGAAACAACCUAUAGUUAGCUAGGGUUCCACCUAAAUGACAUAAUUAGCUUAGUUAGCUCCAAAAUGGUCUAUUUAAUAAAACAUGACCUAUACUUAGCUAAUUAUCCUUGAAAUGACAUAAUUAGCUCCAAAAAGGCAUUCUUAGCUAAUUUAGCCCGAAGAAGGGGACAAGAGGAGAAGAAAGAGGAAAAAUGAAAGGAAGGAAGAAGAAGAAGAAGAGAAGAAGAAGAAGGAGGAGGAUAAGAAGAAGGAGAAGAAGGAGCAGAAGAAGGAGAAGGAGCUCCUCCUUCUCCUUCUUCUUCCUCCUUCUCCUUCUCCUUCUUCUUCUUUUCUUCCUUCUGCUUCUCCUCCUCCUCCUCCUCCUUCUUUUACUUCUUCUUCUCUUUCUCUUCUUCUACAUAGCUUAGACUCAUCCAAGAAAGGCUAAAUUGGCUAAUUAUCCUACGAAAUGACAUAAUUAGCUUAGUUAGCUCCAAAAUGACCUAUUUAAUAAAAAAUGACCAUAGUUAGCUAAGUUCUCUCCUAAAUGACAUAAUAAGGCUUACGUAGCUGCAAGAUGACCUAUUCCUCCUAAAUUAGGUAUUAAAUGGCCUAUAAUUAGCCUAGCUAGAUCCAAAAUGGCUUAAUAAGCAUAGUUUGCUCCCGAAUGACCUAUUUUACCCAAGUUAGCUCCGAAACGACCUAUAGUUAGCUAGGGUUCCACCUAAAUGACAUAAUUAGCUUAGUUAGCUCCAAAAUGGUCUAUUUAAUAAAACAUGACCUAUACUUAGCUAAUUAUCCUCGAAAUGACAUAAUUAGCUACAAAAAGGCAUUCUUAGCCAAUUUAGCCCGAAGAAGGGGACAAGAGGAGAAGAAAGAGGAAAAAUGAAAGGAAGGAAGAAGAAGAAGAAGAGAAGAAGAAGAAGGAGAAGGAGGAGGAUAAGAAGAAGGAGAAGAAGGAGAAGGAGCUCCUCCUUCUCCUUCUUAUUCCUCCUUCUUCCUCCUUCUCCUUCUCCUUCUUCUUUUCUUCUUCUUCUCCUCUUCCUUCUCCUUCUCCUCCUCCUCCUGCUCCUUCUUUUACUUCUUCUUCUCUUUCUCUUCUUCUACGUAGCUUAGACUCAUCCAAGAAAGGCUAAAUUGGCUAAUUAUCCUACAAAAUGACAUAAUUAGCUUAGUUAGCUCCAAAAUGACCUAUUUAAUAAAAAAUAACCUAUAAUUAGCUAAGUUCUCUCCUAAAUGACAUAAUAAGGCUUACGUAGCUGCAAGAUGACCUAUUCCCCCUAACUUAGGUAUUAAAUGGCCUAUAAUUAGCCUAGCUAGAUCCAAAAUGGCUUAAUAAGCAUAGUUUGCUCCCGAAUGACCUAUUUUACCCAAGUUAGCUCCAAAACGACCUAUAGUUAGCUAGGGUUCCACAUAAAUGACAUAAUUAUCUUAGUUAGCUCCUAAAUGGCCUAUACUUAGCUAAUUUCUCUCCGAAAUAACCUAUAUACACUUCUUCAUCUAGAAUUAUUCUUCUAACUUUCUUAUUUGUCAUUUUGCAGAUUACAUCCACUUCACGGGAAGCUUGGAUUAUAUUGAUGGAAUGCUUGAAGAUGAUUUCUUGUACCAUGGCUUGUAUUGAAACUAUUUUAGUAUAUGGAUAUAUAUGAAACUUUGUAUGCAUGUGGAUGAAACUGGUGUAAUAUAUGGAUUGGUAGGGAUGCAACUUGCAUAAUAUGUAUGCACUAUGGAUGAAAGUUAUUUUAAUAUGGUUAUCAGUACGGAAAUAAAUUUAUUUAUGUCAAAUAUAUAUGUAUAUCCUGAUUAUUGUUAAAAAUGCUGGAUAUAAUAAAAAAUAAAUUAAAAAGGGGCUGGUUCCCCCCUUUGUCGUCCGCCCCCAAAUGGCAAAGGGGGGAAUCAGCCCCCUCUCUCUCCCCUCUUUGCCAUCUGCCCCCACAUGGAAAAGGGGGGAUGACAGACGGCAAAGAGGGGAGAGAGAGGGGCUGGUUCCCCCCUUUGCCGUCUGCCCCCACAUGGCAAAGGGGGGAUGGCAGACGACAAAGAGAGGAGGCCUGCCGUUAACACUUAACGGGGUCGUUGGAGUAUGUGCCGUCCCAUUUAAUAUGCCGUCUGCCCCCUCAUGGCAAAGAUUCUUUGUCGUCCGCUUUAAAAAAGCAGACGGCAAAGAACGUCUUCACCGGAUUUUUUUUGCCGUCUGCUGACCGACGGCAAAGCCUUUGCCGUCUGCUGACCGAUGGCAAAGCCUUUGCCGUCAGUGGUUGCCCCCUUUGCCGUCCGCCAUGGCGGACGGCAAAUUUCUGAAUUUCAGUAGUGCUUCCUAUGUUUUAUGUCGUGCUAGUGAUGGGCAUGUUUAUGCCAGAUUUGUUGGUUCUUACUAUGAGUUCAUUGAAUGGGCUAUUUGGGUUCCUAAGACCCUUGUCUCUAACAUUAAAGGACCCAUUCAAAAAUGGGUACCUAAAACCAAGCCUUGAUCUAUUGCAGGAGUUUGCUUGCGGUGGGGUAUCAUGGUUGCUCGAUAGUGGAGCAAGAAAUCAUAUGACCGGAAGCAAGGACUUAGUGGUGGAUGUGCAUCCUUCCCCAUCUAUGCCCACCCAUGUCCAAUUCGCCGAUGCAUCAUUGUCAAAGGUAUUGGGAUUUGGUAAGGUGGUCCUCUCUCAAGAGUUAUCUAUUGAGAAGGUCAUGCUUGUUGAGUCCCUUGCUUACAAUUUACUUUCGGUCCGUCAACUUGCAAUUAUGGGCUUUUUCACAUUCUUUAAUCUUGAUACUAUGGUCCUUUUGUGGAGCAAGACUCUUAAAGUAGCCUAUGUUGGAUAUGUCGAAAAUGGUCUCUAUGUGGUGAACUUUUCAAAGCGACCCACUAAGACUGCGACUUGUCUAAUGGCUAAAGUUGAUGUGGGCGGGCUUUGGCAUCGCCGACUAGCUCAUGUCAAUAUGAGAUCUUUGCAAAGUCUCCUCAAAGGGGACCAUAUUUUUGGACUAACGAAUGUGAGUUUUGGGAGAGAUCAUGCUUGCAGUGCCUGCAUUGAAGGAAAGAUUCAUGAAACUGCUCAUCGUCCAACAACUCUCAUUUACACUAAGAGGCCGUUGGAGCUCCUUCAUAUGGAUCUCUUCGGUCCUCCAUCAUUUGAUAGUCUUGGGGGCAUAAAGUACUGCUUGGUGAUUGUUGAUGACUACUCAAGAUACACCUGGGUAUAUUUCUUCAAGAGGAAGAGUGAGACUCAACAAACUGUCAUCAACUUUGCUAAUGAAGCUCAACGUCAACAUGAAGCAAAGGUUUUGAUGAUUAGAAGUGACAACGGCACCGAGUUCAAGAACUACACCUUGGAUGAGUUUCUAGGUGAUGAGGGAAUAAAACAUCAAUAUUCAGCACCAUAUACCCCUCAACAAAAUGGUGUGGCGGAAAGGAAGAACGGGACGUUGAUGGACGCUGCAAGAACAAUGAUGGCGGAAUUCAAAUCUCCAUAUAACUUUUUGGCCGAAGCCAUCAACACAGCAUGUCAUGCGUCCAAUCGGCUCUAUAUCCACAAAGGCUUGAACAAGACCCCAUAUGAGAUUCUCACUGGAAACAAACCCAAUCUCAAGUACUUCCGGGUAUUCGGGUGUAAGUGUUUCAUUCUCAAGAAAAGUGCACGUUUAGCUAAAUUUGAUUCUAGAGCACAAGAGGGUAUCUUUGUUGCUUAUGCUACAAACUCUCAUGCUUACCGUGUCCUCAACAAGUCCACUGGGCUCAUUGGGAAGACGUGUAACAUGGGGUUUGAUGAAAAUAAUGGCUCCCAAGUGGAGCAAAGUGGUCUAUGUGAUGUAGGUGAUGAAAUUCCUCCCCAAGCCAUAAGAAGAAUGGGGAUUGGUCAAAUACUCCCCAUUGAGGACCCCCUUGUGGCCGAAGGAGAAGGACAAUGCUCUACUCAAGUGGAGCCAUCAUCCUCACAAGCCCCACACGCUUCCGAUGAAUAAAGAGAAGACCCUCAACCAGUUGAACAAGCUCAAGGACAAGAUCAAUUGCUCAAAGAUGGUGAUGUGUCCCAUGAUGUACAAGUGCUUUCACAAGGUUCCGAAUCUGCUCAAGAUCAAGAUCAAGUGCAACUACAAGAUCCAGACCAAACAGAAGCACAAGACCAAGAGCAAGAGCAACCAGAAGAACAAGGACAAACCAGUGAGCCUGCUCAAGUAAAAAAAUCAAGUUGAUCAGGAUGUUGUCUCUCAAUUCCCUUCUGCGACGCCUAAGAGGGCUACUGGUGCCAAGGGAGGAUCAAAACGCAAGGGCAAGCAAAGUAAUCAAGUCGAUGCUCCCUAGUUAUCCAAUGCAGAACUCUUGGAGCGUCGCGCAGCCAAGAUUGCGAACAAGCUGAGAGUCAAGUCACAUAUUAUGAAGAAUGUGCUUGGCAGUUUGAAAAGGGGAGUAUCCACUCGUCAACAAAUUUAGAAUUAUUGUGAGCAUCACGCGUUUGUUUCGUAUUGUGAACCUCAACAGGUACAGGAAGCGCUCGAUGAUGAGGAUUGGCUUAUGGCCAUGCAUGAAGAACUCAACAACUUCGAGCGUAAUCAAGUCUGGAAUUUAGUGCCAAGACCAAAGGAGGAACAUAAUGUCAUCGGGACCAAAUGGAUCUUCAAAAACAAGCAAGAUGCCAAUGGGAUUGUGAUUCGAAACAAGGCAAGAUUGGUGGCUCAAGGCUACUCCCAAGUCGAGGGUAUUGACUACGGUGAAACCUUUGCCCCUGUUGCUCGCCUAGAAUCUAUUCGCAUGCUGCUUGCAUUUGCUUCUCAUCAUAAUUUCAAAUUACAACAAAUGGAUGUGAAAAGUGCCUUUCUUAAUGGUCCUUUAAAUGAGUUGGUCUAUGUCAAACAACCCCGGGGUUCGAACAUCCCAAGCUCCCCAAUCAUGUGUACAAACUUAAUAAGGCACUCUAUGGCCUUAAACAAGCCCCACGUGCGUGGUAUGAGUACCUUACUGAGUUGUUACAAGAUCGUGGGUUUGAAACUGGGAAGAUAGAUCCCACUCUUUUUACUAAGAGGGUCAAAGGGGAUUUGUUCAUAUGCCAACUAUAGGUUGAUGAUAUCAUUUUUGGUUCUCCUAAUGAAUCUUUCAAUGAAGAAUUUGCUGCACUAAUGACCGAAAAAUUUGAGAUGUCUAUGAUGGGUGAGUUGAAGUUCUUCCUCGGGUUCGAGAUUAAACAAGGAUUAGAAGGGACCUUCAUCAAACAAGCCAAGUACACUCAAGACAUGCUCAAGAGGUUCGAGCUAGAGGAUGUCAAGCCGGUAAAGUUUCCCGUGCCAACAAGAUGCAAGCUUGACAAUGAUCCCAAUGGUAAAGCAGUGAAUCAAAAGGUAUAUCGCUCCAUGAUUGGAUCCCUUCUUUACCUUUGUGCAUCUAGACCGGAUAUCAUGUUGAGUGUAGGGAUUUGUGCACGGUUUCAAUCUGCACCAAAAGAAAGCCAUUUUAUGGCUGUUAAGCGAAUCUUUCGAUAUUUGGCUCAUACCCCAAACUUUGGUCUAUGGUAUCCCAAAGGAGCAAACUUCAACCUAGUGGGCUAUUUUGACUCAGAUUGUGCAGGAGACUGUGUGGAGAGGAAGUCAACCUCUGGAGGAUGCCAAUUCCUUGCUCGUUCACUAGUAAGUUGGUCUUCAAAGAAGCAAAAUUGUGUCUCACUAUCUUCCACCGAAGCUGAGUAUGUGGCAGCUACAAGUUGUUGUGCCUAGUUGCUAUGGAUGAGGCAAACUUUAAAGGAUUAUGGUGUCACUUGUGACAAAGUGCCUCUUCUAUGUGACAAUCAAAGUGCUAUCAAGAUUUCCCUCAAUCCGGUGCAACACAACAAGACCAAGCAUAUUGAUAUUCGCCAUCACUUCAUUCGUGACACAUAUCAAGCUAGGUGAUAUUGAGAUUCACUUCAUCAACACUGAAGAGCAACUUGAUGAUAUUUUCACUAAGCCCCUAGAUGAAGCAAGGUUCCGGGAGUUAAGGCAUGAGCUAAAUAUCAUUGAUUCAAGUAAUGUGGAUUGAAACUAGGCACUUUGCACCUCACUCUCCAUUACAUCUUGCUCUAGGUGUAGGCAUGGACAUAGGGGGAGUGUUGUUCUCUCAAUGAACUUUCCCUCCCUCCAUUAUGCAUAAAUCGAUCAAGUCUUUCACUUUGGCCAUUAUUAAAUGGCACUUGUGCUUCAAAGACGAGCUAUGGUCAUGAACCCAAGGAUAAUUCUUCAUGGUGUCAUACCAUUUGUCUCAAACAUAGGUGGCUUCGGCCACCGCCCUCUCCAUUGGAGAUUCUGUGUUGCUUCUCUUCUUUCUGUGAUCCUUCUUUGUUCCCGUGUUUUGUUUCUCUUGCUUUGAUCAAGAUCCUUAUACCACCUGAGGAGUAGAGAGCUCAUUUUUUGGCUGAUUUUUUGUCACGCCCAAGAUGCGACCCUAUCCUCAAUUUGGCACGAGGGCCUCGUCAGGGAUAGAAGCGCAUCUCGUCGUGUCGCAAGAAUGGAUAUCGUUACAAAUACAUGUACUGAAAAGAAGAGAUAUAUAAAGAGUUGGCUUACACUCGCCACAAGCUACAUCAGAGUCACAUCAGUACAUUACAUAAUCAUCAAGAGUAAGAGCAGGGUCCGACUACGGACGAAAACAAACGACAAAAGAAGAACGACGUCCAUCCUUGCUAUCCCAGGCUGCCGGCCUGGAACCCAUCCUAGAUCGAUGAAGAAGAAGAAGAAGCAACUCCAAAUGAACAACCAACGCGCUCGCGUCGAGUAACCUUUACCUAUACCUGCAACUGGUGUUGUAGUAAUCUGUGAGCCACAGGGGACUCAGCAAUCUCAUUUCCAAAGGUAUCAAGACUAGCAAAGCUUAAUGGGUGAGGCAUGGUCAAGUGGUGAGGUUGCAGCAGUGGCUAAGCCUAUAUUUUGUGGCUAACUUACGAAUACCAGAAAUAAGAGGGGGAAGAUCUACGCAUAACAGACGUGAACUACUCAUGAUCAAAUGAAUGAUCCUGAACACCUACCUACGUCAGACAUAACCCCACCGUGUCCUCGAUCGGAGAAGGAACUCACGAAAGAGACAGUCAUGGUUACGCACACAGUUGGCAAGUUUUAUUUAAGUUAACUUCAAGUUAUCUAGAACCAGUGUUAAACAAAGUUUCCACGUUGCCACAUAACCACGGGCACGACUUUCCGAAAGAUUUAACCCUGCAGGGGUGCUCCAACUAGUCCAUCACAAAUCACCACAAGCCGCAUAGAAAUCUUCAAUCACGAAACUCGCGAUAUCGUCAAAUUCCCUAGUGGAAAACCUCAACUCUGAGAUUACCCAAAGCAUCACCGGAAUCCCGAUGCACAAGAUAUCUCGUCAAAGGUAAAACUAAUCCAGCAAGGCCGCCCGACGUGUCGACGAACCCGAUAGGAGCCGCGUAUCUCGUUCUCAGGACACGACGGAUGGAAAAGCCUACAGGUGCCAAACCUCGAGUUGCCCCGUGGUGGCCCCGCAGUCUGUCCUUUUUGGACCAACACUCAUGAGGAGCACUGGCCCGGGAGUUGAUUAAAUUAUCCUCGGGGUCCGAAAAGUCCCUAUGCAAUUUAUUAGGUGAUUAGGCAAAUGUAGUACCAAAGUUGGGCCUUGCCAGACCAGUCUUAAUCUAAAACGAAUUAUCAAGGGGGUCCUCAUAACAACCCCGAUCGUGUUAGGAGCGCUCAAUUAUGGAACAUAACACCGGUAGCCAAAACUAAGGGGGAAAAGGUGGAACAAAAUACCAAGCUAGAAAAGGGCUGAGCCUUCCACCUUUUCCCAAGUAUAUAGGUGCAUUAAAUUAAACAGCAUUUAAAUAAGGUGAUAAAACAAGGAACCCAUGUUUUCACAUGGAAGCAUCUGGACCUGCAACUAGCAACGCUAACAACAGGGUUAAGCAAGCAGUAACAUAGCCAAUCAGUGGUUUGCUAGGUUGAACAGGUUGAAGGUUAACAUGGCAUUGUUGAGAGGCUGAUAUUUAACAGGUGGUAGGCAACGAGACAUAAUCGAUAGAAGCGAUAAAACUAGCAUGGCAAUGAUAGUAAUGGUAUCUGGGGAAAUGAUCAUCUUGCCUGAGAUCCCGCUUGGAAGAAGAAUGCCUCCGUGAAGCAGACGAACCGACGUAGUCGAACGGGUCCUCACAUCCGACACGCUUGCGGAACUCUAUCGAGACGAAGCAAACCGGAAACACGAAUCAUCACACGGAAUUCACCACACGAUGCACAACACAAAUGAUGCAUGAGCAGCUGGAUACAUGCGAGUCACGGCAUGACAAUUCACGCAAUCAAACACUACACAUUAAGUGAAGUUCAAUAUGCAACGAGUUGCAUAUUGACGAAACUCCAUGUUAAUUAUUUAGUUCUAUCCCGGUUAUUUACACGGCAAUAUUAAUGUUGUCAAACAUGCAAGAGGUGAAGCGGAAAUUAAACUACCUAUCUAGACAUUUUAAAUGAGGUCGGAAAUGACAUAUAGCAUCUCCGAGACGACCUCACAUGUUAAUUUACAAUUCUGUCCAGAACUGAGCUAAUGCAUUUAAUUAGUUGUUAAACAUCAAAACAAAUAGGUUCACGUGAUUCUACGCAUCAAGACAAGCAAUUUACACAUAUAAAACAUCUCCAACGGACCUACGGUUCAAAAGUUACAAGCACCGCAAGAUAUGAUGGCAUGAAUGCUAUAUGUGUGCAACGACAGCUACGAGCACUUCAAAACAUACAAAGAGCAAGAGAAGAUGAAACUACACGAGAUUCUAAGCAAGUUUCAUGUAGGACACGAUCAAAUCGGAGCUACGGUUCAACAACUACGAGCAAAACAAGAACUGACUACAAUCUGCCAAAAUCAGCCACAUAGCUUUUUCUACGCCCCACAACUACGGCUACACAACUCCGAUAUGCUCAAUCAAGGCAUGGCACGGAAGAGGGCAAGAAGCACUACUACAAACAACUAACAAAAACUAGCAUGGCAUCAUGGAUCACUAGGGAAAGAAGACACAAAAAGGGCAUCUCACACACUAUUUCAGACUUGGUGAAAAUUCCACCUCAUGACAGUGCAGUUUUCGAUCUGAAGCAAUAUUGACACCAGCAAAAUCAUAAGCCACAGGACUCCAAAGGGCAUGAAAAUUUACAGCAUGCAAGAGAGACACAAGGGGCACAACUAACUCCAUUGGACCAACCUCAAAAUAGCUACAGAUCACAAGAUACAAGCAAGACAAGACAACAACAAAAUAUAACAGAAUUCCAGACUUAGAAAUAUUUCAGCUCCCCCAAAUCAGCACUAUUUCUAGCAACUUGAGAGCAAGCAAACCACACCUAAACAUGCAUUUCUAUUGCAACCAAAAAUACCAGGGGCUAGUCUAAACACCCAAGAUCAACUCUCUAGUUGACAACUCCGUCAAACGAAGAACGGAAUAAAUCCUACAAAAUAAACAAAAGGAUUCCUUGAAAGCUAAAACUAAUUGCAACACAAAAAUAAUGCCAACAUAUAUGCAAGAUAAUUACCUAUACACGGGAAAAUAAACUAGCGGCAAAACCCUACGCGUAAAAAUACAUAUGACCGCUCUAAAAUACAUGCAAAAAUGAUUCCUAAAACAUGGACAUUUAUUCUACGGUAUACGGCAGUCCGGACACGCACGAGAAAUAACUACGGAACGGAUCCUAUUGAAACAGCAUGCAAAACGAUGCAUUAGGCACUUCAAACUGCCUCAAAUAAUUAUGCAAGUUAGAAAUUCGGAAUCUACGCGGAAAAAUACACAAGAUACAUAUCUAAAUCUUCGCGAUCCGACUUACGGAUAUUAAACUACGGGCGUAGCAAAUAUCUAGCAAAACCUGGAAUUAAUAAAUCGCGAGGUAAUAGAAAAAUGCCACUCGGGCCGAAUCUACACAUGGGCCAAUGGGCAACACACUAAAUAUCGCCCGGGGCGAGGGAUAUGCGCUGGAGCUCACCUUGGGCUCGGCCUGGUUGGAGGGCGCUGCUGGGCCGACUGAAGAUGCGAGGCAGGCCGAUCGGGGCGCUGUUGCUGCUGGGCCGACAUGAUGCGGCGCGCGACGGGGGGGCCCGAGCUGGUACUGGGCCGUCUGCGGGGCCCAGCAGUGCGGUCAACGCAUGGGGAAGGAGCUCCUCGUUCGUUCUUCCUCCCGUGCCCGAGGGCACGGGGCCUGGCGGCGGCGGGGCCUCCUCCAGCGGACGGCAGCGACGGGAGCCGAUGGAGGGCGCUGCAGGUGACCGGGGGAACCAAGGUGGCCGCGGGUUCCGGCGAGGAGGGCGGUCGCAGGUCGGGGUAGCGAGCGGCACGGGAGGAGACGUGGGUGAGGCGGCGGCCGGUUCUAGCGGCGGGGAUGCAAGGCGGCGAGCGGGGGCGCGCGUGAGCGGAUCCGGCGAGGGCGAGGGACUCUGGUGGCUACCGGCAAGCGGCGGCCGGAGGCGGGGCCGACGGGGAAGCCUCGGGCGGCGCGGGCACGGGGGAGCCCGGGAGCAUGGGGAUCUCCCUCGGGAGUAGGCGCGCUGGAGUGUUGCGGCGGCGGCGGCCGGAUGGGCUCGGGCGGGCCCGGCGGCUGGGGUAGGAGAAUGCUGGGUGAGAUGGUGGCUAGGGUUUGAGGGGUGCAUGGGAAACGAGGAGGCUUAGGGAGAGGCUAUCUAAAAUGCACGAGGGGUCUAUUUAUAGAGAAAAGAGGGGCUCGGUUAACCGGAAUCGCGUUCCGGAUCCAACCGCGGGGUCGGAUUCGAACGAUUCCGCACGCGGGAACGGGAUACGAGGCCGUGUAGGGUGGUUUACUGGAGACGAGAGGGAGAACGGGUGGCGCGGCAACGAAUUUUUAAACACCGACAAACGUCCGACGGUAGACCGAAUACGGUGCCGCUACGGUUGACCGUUCGGGUACCACACGGUCUCCGAUCGCGACGAAAUUCGACAGGCGACCUAGCUAGAACUAAUUACGACCGCAUGCCAAGUUUCACCCCGAUCAGAGAAAGUUUUACGCACACUUUUAAAACAGGGUUUCGAGUAUGCCGCGGACGCGUGCGAGUGCAGUCGGGCUCAGAACGGACAACGGCGAGAACCGGCAACUAACAACGGAUGCAAGUUUUGAAAACGGGCGGCAACGGAAUGCCGAUGCAAUGAUGAUGAUGCGCAUGAUGCGAUGAUGAUGCGACAAAACAAAAUAGACACACGACGAAAACGGAAAGAGAGGGGAAUCUUCUGGAACGUCGGUCUCGGGCUAUCACAACUCUCCUACACUACAAGAGGAUCUCGCCCCGAGAUCCAAGAAUGAAAGGGGGGAGAGGAUGAGAAAGAACGAGUGGUAAAAACUUAGUCGCUUCUUUGACAAACGAGUGAAACCAACGAUCCUUGAAGGUAGCAAAGAGAUGAGGAAUGAUAUGAGAAAGAAGAAAGAAUUCACGGAAAAUUUCGGCAGCACUUUGGUAGGAAAAUGGGACAAAAAAUUCGAUAAGAUGGAAGAAAUAGACAAUAUUCAUAACAAACAAUUAAAUAGAACAAGGGAACACCAUGAUCUUGAUAGAACAACAAGAUAGACCCAAAAGAGCAACAACACAACAACUCCGGAACAAGAGAAUAGGAACAACAUCAUGAUCAUAAUAGAAUGGAGAAGAAAAUGACAACUACUAUCACAAUUGGAUUGAGGAACAUCCUUGAAAGAAGAAUUGAAGAGGAUACAUUGUAACUUGGAUUAAUGACAAGCACCAUGAUAGCACAAUCCAUAGGAAAAGCUUUAGGUGAAAUCCAAACCAAGAUAGCUCAAAGAAGAAAUCACGGGUUGAAAAUAUCUCAUGAUCCUAGAAUUGGUGGGUUUAAUUACCUCAUUGUUAAAAGGAAAACUCUUCGAGGCUCCUACACUAACAAGAAUGCUAUAAUACCACCUCAAAGGAUAAAGGAAGAACAAUUGCACAUAUAAAUGCAAGAGAAGGAUACUUGAGGUUCUCCAACAAGAAUCUUGAAGAACACUUGAGAAUGGAUUGAAACCUUGAUGAACCACCAUGAAGGACCACCGUAUACAAAUGAAUGAUGCAGAGAUAUGAAGGUAGAGAGAAUAAGAUUAUGAGCUUGCCAAGAUUUAGAUGAAGCCUCACAAAGAGAUACUUAAAAGAACUUGGAACUCCAGAAAAGAAAUAUAAGCACACGAGAAAGGAAUUGAAACCAUGAGCCACUCCGGAAGAAGAAUUGAAAUCUCUUGGAAGAAGGAAGAACAAGAAUAAGAAUUGUGUUAUGCUCAUCCUUCAUCAAGUUUAACUGAUGACAAGCAACGGAUUUAGCAUAUAACUUAUUAUUCUUGAAAUGAUUGAGGAGAGAUAUGAGCACAAACUAGAAGAAAUCUUGAAAGAGGCACCGGUGAGAAUUGAAAUGAAUGAGGCAACCAUGAAUGACUGGAGAUACAAGAGAAUGAAGAAAUCAUGAGCCAUCUGAGAGAAAACUAGAACAAGGCACCGGAUAAUCGAGAGACGAACGAAGAGACAACAAUGGAGAAGAAUUGAGGAUGAAAGCUGAAAGCUGAUAACGAAGAAUCUUCUAAAAUGAUGGCCUUCGGAGGAUCGAGAAUAAAAACAACUCAGAAAUGCACCGGAUAGCAAGAAAUUAAUCACUCAUGAUUGGAACAAUUAAGAUGAUGGCACCAAGCUGAAAUGAUGAAUCUACAAGAGAAUAGACCAAGAUUUGAGAGAAACACUCCUUCAGUCUUCAAAGCUGAAAAUGACGAGAAGAACACCACCAAGAAUAACUGAGACACUCCGGAAUAAUGAGGAAUCAAAGGUUGAGCCAAUAUGAGAAUUAAUUCAAAUAGGUCUUGAAGAAGGAAUAUGACUGAUGAAAUCAUUCUUAUGUCAUAGUUGAAAAAUAAUUAGAGAUCUCCGGAAAAAAAUUAGAAGAGACAUAUAAGAUCCUGGGAAAAACCUGUGGCUUAUGGGCCCACUCGAAGAAACCACCGUUAGAAAAGAUUGCUUAGAAGAGAGAUAUUGCACCGGUAUGAAGAGAACUAGAUGAGGUUAGCACCUCGAAAUAAUUAAAGAAUUGAGAACAAGAAACUUCUAGAAUAAAUUCAACGCUCCGGGUAGAAUAGAGAGAAAUGACAACAAGAAAGCGUGAUAAGAAUCUCCAACAUGGGGAAGAAUUUACAAGGAUGAAAAGGAUAUGAUGAACAUAGACGACUGAAUUAAAUUCACCGGAAAAUAACAAAAUGAAGAAAUGAUGAACUCGACUCCUGAGAAUCUUCACAAUGAAUCACCGGGUAAGAGAGAAAAGAACACACAACGGAAGCACAAUGAAAAGAAAACUCUUGGAUGAAAAUUGAAUCACUCAAUAAAAAGGAUGGGAGGGUGGGAAAAAAUAAAGACAACUUGGGCUAGAUGAGAUGAACUUCGGAUGAAUAAAAGAAUGCUCUUGCAAAAUUGGAGAGGAUUGAAUUCACUUGAGGAGAAGCACACCGGUAAAAUGGAAUUGAUACGACGACUCCGGUUGACAAGAAUUGAUAAGACAACUGAUUGAACAAAAGAAUUAGCAUUCAUAUAAAAAUAUGAGAACACCUCUUAGGAAAGAUCUAAAAUCACCACUUGACAUCGAAGCAACUUGAAUUACCAUAUUCAACAAAACAAAGGAUGAGGCUUAUGAAACAAGCUAGAACAAACUCAUGAGAAAGAUUUCGUCCGAUAUUUUCGUGGACAGGAUCGCACGGGCUCGAUUUUGAAGUAGCCAUCAAGUGCAAGGCAGUGCACCCGACAUACGAAGCGUCCCCGAGUCGUAGCAAGCUACAAGGACUCUUUAAGACACAACGUGUACCGCUGUAAGUCGACCGUGAACAAACGAAUCCACUAGAUGUCGAACCCCAACCUAACAUCAUGCAUUUGUUGGAAGAAUGUCCUAUAAGUAACUACUUGAAUUCCCACCUAAGAAUUCCCGAAAUAUCUGGCAUGCAAUCUGGUACACGGAUACAAGGAGUAAUAAUCACACAACUCCUAUACUAACCCGUCACUUGUAUCACAUCCGUCAACACACGACCAGAAUCUCGGACCUUCAUCUACAACAGACCCUCGUGAUCACAACGAUACAAAGUAUGGCAGUACUCCCGAACAAUCUGCACCAGUACUAGGGACAUCGGGGUUAUCUCGCCACUACUAGUAUUGAAGCAAUUACGAACAUCUUUCGUUUUGAGAUACUAAGAAAUCUGAAUGAUAACGAUGUGCUCAAGAAUCCCCUGGAGCUCAACUCCCGUGAAACUUAAAGUAGAUAGGAGGCACCAAGACAGAACUCCGUCACAUCGGCAUCAUAUAGAUCUCGACAAUAUCCGCGUGAUCCUAAAUUUUUUUGAGUGAGAAGAGGAGUAGAAUUAAAUUAUUACGUCAAGAUUCCUCACCAGAGCAUAGAAGAGGAGAAAAAAGAAUCCUACUCUCCGAUAUAUAACUAGACUCAAAGCAGUUUUUCACUAGACUCGACUCGGCCAAGUUCGAUCAAUCAAGGGGGUUCCUAGGUCGGUACUGCUCUGAUACCAACUUGCCACGCCCAAGAUGCGACCCUAUCCUCAAUUUGGAACGAGGGCCUCGUCAGGGAUAGAAGCGCAUCUCGUCGUGUCGCAAGAAUGGAUAUCGUUACAAAUACAUGUACUGAAAAAGAAGAGAUAUAUAAAGAGUUGGCUUACACUCGCCACAAGCUACAUCAGAGUCACAUCAGUACAUUACAUAAUCAUCAAGAGUAAGAGCAGGGUCCGACUACGGAUGAAAAUAAACGACAAAAGAAGAACGACGUCCAUCCUUGCUAUCCCUUGCUGCCGGCCUAGAACCCAUCCUAGAUCAAUGAAGAAGAAGAAGAAGAAGCAACUCCAAAUGAACAACCAACGCGCUCGCGUCGAGUAACCUUUACCUGUACCUGCAACUGGUGUUGUAGUAAUCUGUGAGCCACAGGGGACUCAACAAUCUCAUUUCCAAAGGUAUCAAGACUAGCAAAGCUUAAUGGGUGAGGCAUGGUCAAGUGGUGAGGUUGCAGCAGCGGCUAAGCCUAUAUUUGGUGGAUAACUUACGAAUACCAGAAAUAAGAGGGGGAAGAUCUACGCAUAACGGACGUGAACUACUCAUGAUCAAAUGAAUGAUCUUGAACACCUACCUACGUCAGACAUAACCCCACCGUGUCCUUGAUCGGAGAAGGAACUCACGAAAGAGACAGUCACGGUUACACACACAGUUGGCAAGUUUUAUUUAAGUUAACAUCAAGUUAUCUAGAACCAGUGUUAAACAAAGUUUCCAAGUUGCCACAUAACCGCGGGCACGGCUUUCCGAAAGAUUUAACCCUGUAGGGGUGCUCCAACUAGUCCAUCACAAAUUACCACAAGCCGCAUAGAAAUCCUCAAUCACGAAACUCGCAAUCUCGUCAGAUUCCCUAGUGGAAAACCUCAACUCUGAGAUUACCCAAAGCAUCACCGGAAUCCUGAUGCACAAGAUAUCUCGUCAAAGGUAAAACUAAUCCAGCAAGGCCGCCCGACGUGUCGACGAACCCGAUAGGAGCCGCGUAUCUCGUUCUCACGACAAGGCGGAUGGAAAAGCCUACAGGUGCCAAACCUCGAGUUGCCCCGUGGUGGCCCCGCAGUCUGUCCUUUUUGGACCAACACUCAUGAGGAGCACUGGUCCGGGGGUUGAUUAAAUUAUCCUCGGGGUCCGGAAAGUCCCUAUGCAAUUUAUUAGGUGAUUAGGCAAAAGUUGGGCCUUGCUAGACCAGUCUUAAUCUAAAACGAAUUAUCAAGGGGGUCCCAUAACAACCCCGAUCGUGUUAGGAGCGUUCAAUUAUGGAACAUAACACCGGUAGCCGAAACUAAGGGGGCAAAGGUGGAACAAAACACCAGGCUAGAAAAGGGCCGAGCCUUCCACCUUUUACCAAGUAUAUAGCUGCAUUAAAUUAAAUAGCAUUUAAAUAAGGUGAUAUAACAAGGAACCCAUGUUUUCACAUGGAAGCAUCUGCACGUGCAACUAGCAACGCUAACAACAGGGUUAAGCAAGCAGUAACAUAGCCAAUCAGUGGUUUGCUAGGUUGAACAGGUUGAAGGUUAACAUGGCAUUGUUGAGAGGCUGAUAUUAGCAGUUGGUAGGCAACGAGACAUAAUCGAUAGAAGCGAUAAAACUAGCAUGGCAAUGAUAGUAAUGGUAUCUGGGGAAAUGAUCAUCUUGCCUGAGAUCCCGCUUGGAAGAAGAAUGCCUCCGUGAAGCAGACGAACCGACGUAGUCGAACGGGUCCUCACAUCCGACACGCUUGCGGAACUCUAUCGAGACGAAGCAAACCGGAAACACGAAUCAUCACAUGGAAUUCACCACAUGAUGCACAACACAAAUGAUGCAUGAGCAACUGAAUACAUGCGAGUCACGGCAUGACAAUUCACGCAAUCAAACACUACACAUUAAGUGAAGUUCAAUAUGCAACGAGUUGCAUAUUGACGAAACUCCACGUUAAUUAUUUAGUUCUAUCCCGGUUAUUUACACGGCAAUAUUAAUGUUGCCAAACAUGCAAGAGGUGAAGCGGAAAUUAAACUACCUAUCUAGACAUUUUAAAUGAGGUCGGAAAUGACAUAUAGCAUCUCCGAGACGACCUCACAUGUUAAUUUACAAUUCUGUCCAGAACUGAGAUAAUGCAUUUAAUUAGUUGUUAAACAGCAAAACAAAUAGGUUCACGUGAUUCUACGCAUCAAGACAAGCAAUUUACACAUAGAAAACAUCUCCAACGGAGCUACGGUUCAAAAGUUACAAGCACAGCAAGAUAUGAUGGCAUGAAUGCAAUAUGUGUGCAACGACGGCUACAAGCACUUCAAAACAUACAAACAGCAAGAGAAUAUGAAACUACACGAGAUUCUAAGCAAGUUUCAUGUAGGACACGAUCAAAUCGGAGCUACGGUUCAACAACUACGAGCAAAACAAGAACUCACUACAAUCUGCCAAAAUCAACCACAUAGCUUUUUCUACGCCCCACAACUACGGCUACACAACUCCGAUAUGCUUAAUCAAGGCAUGGCACGGAAGAGGGCAAGAAGCACUACUACAAAAAACUAACAACAACUAGCAUGGCAUCAUGGAUCACUAGGGAAAGAAGACACAAAAAAGGCAUCUCACACACUAUUUCAGACUUAGUGAAAAUUCCACCUCAUGACAGUGCAGUUUUCGAUCUGAAGCAAUAUUGACAUCAGCAAAAUCAUAAGCUACAGGACUCCAAAGGGCAUGAAAAUUUAGAGCAUGCAAGAGAGACAGAAGGGGUACAACUAACUCCAUUGGAUCAACCUCAAAAGAGCUACAGAUCACAAGAUACAAGCAAGACAAGACAACAACAAAAUAUAACAGAAUUCCAGACUUAGAAAUAUUUCAGCUCCUCCAAAUCAGCACUAUUUCUAGCAACUUGGGAGCAAGCAAACCACACCUAAACAUGCAUUUCUAUUGCAACCAAAAAUACCAGGGGCUAGUCUAAACACCCAAGAUCAACUCUCUAGUUCACAACUCCGUCAAACGAAGAACGGAAUAAAUCCUACGAAAUAAACAAAAGGGCAUCAUGGCAAAAUAUCGUGCAAACUAACUUACUCGAAAGCUAAAACUAAUUGCACAGAAAAAUUCUAUGGAUUUUUCUACCCCGGAAACAUAUAAAAUAUGUGGGGUUGCAACACAAAAAUAAUGCCACACAUAUAUGCAAGAUAAUUACCUAUACACGGGAAAAUAAACUAGCGGCAAAACCCUACGCGUAAAAAUACAAAUGACCGCUCUAAAAUACAUGCAAAAAUGAUUCCUAAAACAUGGAAAUUUAAUCUACGGUAUACGGGCAGUCCGGACACGCACGAGAAAUAACUACGGAACGGAUCCUAUUGAAACAGCACACAAAACGAUGCAUUAGGCACUUCAAACUGCCUCAAAUAAUUAUGCAAGUUAGAAAUUCGUAAUCUACGCGGAAAAAUACACAAGAUACAUAUCUAAAUCUUCGCGAUCCGACUUACGGAUAUUAAACUACGGGCGUAGCAAAUAUCUAGCAAAACCUGGAAUUAAUAAAUCGCCAGAUAAUAGAAAAAUGCCACUCGGGCCGAAUCUACACAUGGGCCAAUGGGCAACACACUAAAUAUCGCCCGGGGCAAGGGAUAGGCGCUGGAGCUCACCUUGGGCUCGGCCUGGUCGGAGGGCGCUGCUGGGACGGCUGAAGAGGCGAGGCAGGCCGAUCGGGGCGCUGUUGCUGCUUGGCCAACAUGAUGCGGCGCGCGAUGGGGGGGCCCGAGCUGGUGCUGGGCCAUCUGCGGGGCCCAGGAGUGCGGUCAACGACAUGGAGAAGGAGCUCCUCAUUCGUUCUUCCUCCCGUGCCCGAGGGCACGGGGCCUGGCGGCGGCGGGGCCUCCUCCAGCGGACGGCAACGACGGGAGCCGGCGGAGGGCGCUGCAGGCGACCGGGGGAACCAAGGUGGCCGCGGGUNCGUUCCGGAUCCAACCGCGGGGUCGGAUUCGAACGAUUCCGCACGCGGGAACGGGAUACGAGGCCGUGUAGGGUGGUUUACCGAAGACGAGAGGGAGAACGGGCGGCGCAGCAACGAAUUUUAAAACACCGACAGACGUCCGACGGUAGACCGAAUACGGUGCCGCUACGGUUGACCGUUCGGGUACGAGACGGUCUCCGAUCGCGACGAAAUUCGACAGUCGGCCUAGCUAGAACUAAUUACGACCGCAUGCCAAGUUUCACCCCGAUCAGAGAAAUUUUUACGCACACUUUUAAAACACGGUUUCGACGAUGCCGCGGGCGCGUGCGAGUGCAGUCGGGCUCAGAACGGACAACGGCGAGAACCGGCAACUAACAACGGAUGCAAGUUUUGAAAAUGGGCGGCAACGGAAUGCCGAUGCAAUGCUGAUGAUGCGCAUGAUGCGAUGAUGAUGCGACAAAAGAAAAUAGACACACGACGAAAACGGAAAGAGAGGGGAAUCUUCUGGAACGUCGGUCUCGGGCUGUCACAUUUUUUACUUAGUGCACGGUACUACCGCCCCCAGCACGGUAGUAAAAUUUUACUACCGCAGGGGGAGCGGUACUACCGCAGGGGGAGCGGUACUACCGCCCCAGCACGGUAGUGAUUUUUUACUACCGCUGAGGGAGCGGUACUACCGCGAUGACUGCGGUAGCAUCACGCCGCCUCGACCUAGGGGCUAUUUAAAGGGCUGGGGAGGCCUUUUUCUUUCCCCUCGGCCCCGAGUUCAUCUCUCUUUCUCUCUCCUCUCUCCAAGAACUGCCCAAAGGGAUUGCCGGAUCUCCCUGUAUGACCAUCGUCCUCCGAUUCCGACCGGUGGGAUUCUUCCCCACGCGCCAUGGACCCCGGUACUGCCCCUCAUCCGUGUUCUUUUGCUUUCUUGUUGAUUCAAUCUAGGGUUAGGGGCAUAUCGUUGUUCCGGUCACUCAUGGCACCGUUUCUUCACGUGAUUGGGAUUUAGUGGCAGUCUUGGUUAGUGUGGUCCCUUGGCAUAUGGGGUUUGUGUGUCUAGGAGUGCAAAGGGUUCCAGAUCUGAGGUUUUAGAUCCUAGUUCAAAGUUUUAUUGUUCAAAAACAUGAUUAGAUCUGGGCUUAUGCUUCCCGUGCGGUACUACCGCCCCUCACGACGCGGUACUAUCGCUCGUGGAGCGGUACUACCGCUUAUAGAGCGGUAGUAAAAUUUUACUACCGCUCCAACAGCGGUACUACCGCCCUCUAGGCGGUACUACCGCUCCCCUCUUUGCACACACUUCACUCUUGUGUUCUUUGGGUUUUCCGGUCCUUCUUGAUCUUUGCCUUGACUUGUUUUCCUUGUCUUUCGUGUUUUGUGUGCCUUUUGUGUGUCCCAGGCGGUGGUUCCCGGCGUUCGAACCCGCCUCGCAGUGCCAGCUCCAAGCGUCCCUCCUCCGACCCAUCUGAAGGGUCCAAUGCACCCAAGCGUAGUUUCAAGAAGCCUGUUCCGAAGAAGAACACAGUCAACUGGAACACCAUGCCGCUGGUUAAGUUUCAACACCGUCGCAAGCUCAAUCCCUAUGCCAGCAAUAGGGAGACAUUCCCUGGAGGUGACAUGUUUUGGAAUCGCGAUCAGUUCCUGAUUUAUGAAGAUGUUCUCAGGUCGAAGAAGAAUCUGUAUGUACUGGUGCAAUGGAUUGAUCUUGAUCACUUGAAGAAGGACAUGUCUUACUUUGGUGAGGCCCUCUCUUUGGUGGACCAACUUCAGAUUGCGGGCCUCAUAUAUUUUCAACAAGAUUUUGACAUUGAGAUUGUGGCUCACUUCUUUGCCACAGUUCACUUUCACCACGAUAAUGCUCGUACCAUGACCUUGCCGACCAAUGGAGAGCAGCUGACUGCUACAUGGAAGGAUUUCAUGGAUCUCCUUCAGGUUAGGGAUGAGGGCCUAGAUCAUCCUGUUGGCUUGCGCCCCCCAUGCCAAGCCUCAAGCUACUGCCAAGGAGAAGCUGCUCCCUUACCUCAGUGUGAAGCACGCCCGAGCUGGUGAGGUCUCUUAUGUCAAGAAUCCCUUUCUAGAUGUGAUGCACCGCAUUUUUUGCAGCACUCUGUUUCCCAAAGUUGGCAACAAGGACCAGGUUCACUCUUACCUAGUAGAUAUGCUACUCAUGUGUCAGAAGGGGAAGAAUUGUCAUUGUGAACCCCUUGAUGUCUCUCAUGUCAUGUGGAAUGAGCUCUACUCUGCAGUUAUCAACCUUAAGGUCCCAAUCUACGGUCCUUACCCGUUUUUCUUCAUCAAGACCACUUGGGCCAAGACUUUUCCCGAUGUUGAGUUUCUUGCUCCUGCUUGGGUUUGCCAUGAUCCCAUCAAACUGCACCAGAAGGACAAAUGGGCCAACACCUCCUCUUGUCCUGCUGCCCCGAGGGAUUCUGAUGAGGAUGUGGCUAAUGCUGACAGUGAGGCCCCUCCACAGGAUCACCGACAGGGUGAGGAUUCUCAUAUGCCUGCCUCUGCGGAACCAUCAUGGGCCAAACGGCUCACCGACAUGAUGAAGACCUUGUUCUGCAUGUAGGCCAAGGGCCAGUACAAGACCCAUGUUGCUCAGAAAGAGAGUCGCCAGCAUGACAAAUUGAUAAUGAGGAAGCUUGAUCUGCCCUUCUCCAGCGGUUCUGAGCGCGAGAUCACCCCGGAGGCUGAAUGGAUGGCGAAGCACCAGUUUCAGUGGGCUGCAUCUGAGGAGGACACCGACGAUGACUCAGAUGAGGAGUAUGUUGAUGACGAAGACACCGACUGAUGCCCUCGUUCUCUACCGUUCGCACUACCACCUGGGUUGUAGGGGUCCUCUCUGCCUUUUUGGUGUUCCGAUGCCAAAGGGGGAGAGAGUGUAGGAUUUUCUCGUUUUCUAGGUUUCCUGGUUAUUUGGUUUGCUAAAACUUUGUUGCUUCCAUUGUUUGCUCUUGCUUUAUGCUUGAGACUAUGAGUCGUCAGACCCUAUCAUGGUGUGAGACAUAUGCUUUAUCUUCCUUAUCCUUUGUCUCAGUAUUAUUUAUCUUGUUAUUAGCCUGUGAGACAUAUUAUCUUGUGCCAGUAUCCCCUUGCUCACAUGCUAUGCCAUGCUUCCAAUUUCUUGCAUCUACUCUUACAUAUGUAGCAAGGAUGGCUUAGUCUAUAUAAUCUAGGGGCAGUGUUCUCUCUGUGGUUGGUUGUUGGUAUGCACAUACCCAGAGGAAACUAGUCUCCAAUUGUGUAAAGUUUGGAGUUUGCAUAUGCCUAUCUAUAUUGUUCUGUGCAAAUCCAGCAUUGUCAUCAAUCCACCAAAAAGGGGGAGAUUGUUAGGGCAUAUUUCUCCUAAGUCGUUUUAGUGAUUGAUGAAAAUUGUUGUGCGGAUUAAUCUUAUGUUUUGAGCAUUUCAGACUAUUCUUUUUUUACGCACAAGAUGACUCGACGCCCCUCGGAGGUUCUCGAAGACGGGCUUUAUUCUAUGUUUCUCUUCUUAGUCUUCAGUCGUAGGAAUAUCGUCUUAUUAAGAGGGGGUCCGCGUCAGAAAGGUUUGGGUGGAAUCUUCACGUACACUCUUCAUGCACCCUCAUAUUUUCUGGCCACAAUGGAGCUACAAUAUGAGUUUUCAGUGUCUAUGCGAAAGGGGUAAGCGGUAGUACCGCUCUCAGAGCGGUAGUAAAUUUUUACUACCGCUCCAGGAGCGGUACUACCGCCCCAGGUGCGGUAGUAAUUUUUUACUACCGCUCCAAGGGUGGUACUACCGCCCUCAGUGCGGUAGUAUUACUUUACUACCGCUCUGACGGGCUUUUUCGCAUACUUUUCCCCACUGAGGUGUUGGCACGGUAGUAUCCCGGUACUAUCGUGGUUGGUGAGAAGCUGAGCGGUAGUACCGCUCCAGGAGCGGUAGUACCGCUUGUAUUUUUAUGUGGUAGGUGGGUAUCUGCCCCCUUACUAUAUAAAGGUAUCUUCUUCUUCCUAGAGCUCACCUUUAACCCCUCUAAGCUCCAUUGUUGCUCCACAAACUCAUUUUAGCUCGAUCUCUCUCCCUAGCCAAUCAACCUUGUUGAUUUUCUAGGGAUUGCUUGAGAAGGCCUUGAUCUACACUUCCACCAAAGGAUAUUUUAUUUCCCCUACUAAUCCCUUGCGGAUCUUGUUACUCUUGGGUGUUUGAGCACCCUAGACGGUUGAGGUCACCUCGGAGCCACAUUCCAUUGUGGUGAAGCUCCGCGGUCUUGUUGGGAGCCUCCAAGCAUUGUGUGGAGAUUGCCCCAACCUUGUUUGUAAAGGUUCGGUCGCCGCCUUCAAGGGCACCUAUAGUGGAAUCACGGCACCUUGCAUUGUGCGAGGGCGUGAGGAGAAUACGGUGGCCCUAGUGGCUUAUUGGGGAGCAUUGUGCCUCCACACCGCUCCAACGGAGACGUACUUCCUGUCAAAGGGAAGGAACUUCGGUAACACAUCCUCGUCUUCAUCGGUUCCACUUGUGGUUAUCUCUUACCUUUACUUUGUUUGUGUUGCUGUUGUAGAGUAUCUCUUACUUGCUUCGUUACUCUUUGUAAGUAGCAUCAUAUUGGUUGCUCACCUAGUGUCAUUUUAGAGAACCUUUAUGUUGCUAAUGCUAAUUUGUUAAGAAAAGCUAAAAAUUGGUUGUUGCCUAUUCACCCCCCUCUAGUCAACCAUAUCGAUCCUUUCAUAGUUGUAUAAUAAGAUGUUCAAACAGAAGCAAUACUAGCAAUGGUUGAAUCAGAAACUAAUAGUGCUUGAAGCAUACACUAAUUUGAUGAUAAUUGAAGAAAAUGUAUAUGCAAUAGAAGUAGCACACAAUUACAAUGGUUGAAGCAAAAAAAAUCAUUACCACAGAAUCAUUAUCAAUUUUCUUUUGCCAGUGAAAGCAAUCUUCUAUCUCAAAAGAAGCAAAAAUAUCUGUGUGUGGAUGCAUUAUGGUAAGAAGCACAAAAAGAGUAAAUUUGAAUCAUAAGUUCAUAACUACUCUUACUUGGAACCUUGAAAAACUAAAAAGGAACAAGCUAAAAAUGCCACCUAGGAAGGCGUACUUGAGUGAUGUACAUACAAAUUUCGAAGAAAUUGGACUAGUGUUUUAGUGAUUAAAAAAAUGAAGUUAUAACAUAGAGGAGAUAUAAUACAGAUCUCAGGAAAAAAUAUGCUAGGAAUUACUAGUAAUACGGGAAAUAAAAGGCGUCCAAAGGGGAUGAUCCAAACCCUAAAUCAGACAAGGAUGGGGUGGGGAAUCCCGUGUAGUGUCGGCCUUAUUCUCCAACCAAGACGGUGCUUCAGCAGGUGGAUCAGAGGCCAAAACUGCAGCUGAAGGACAGGCCGUUCCCGGUGGAGUUAAGCAUGAUGGUGAGGAAAGUCACAACCUCGCCGGUAAAUAACAGUACCUACCAGACCCCGCAUGUCACCGGAUGGAAUGACGCACUUGCCAGGUAGAGCGGACGCUGAAGAUGGACAGUUCAGGAACUUGUGUAGUGGGAGAGAGCAGGGGCGGCUACAGCCUACACGCAUGGCAAGCUCCGCUCUAAGCACGAACGGGCAUGAGAUAUGGGAAGAGCUGAUUUGGGGUGGUUAAUUUGGGGUGAUUAAUUCGGGGCUAGAUUAGGGCGUGGACCAAAAGACCGAGUGGUUUGUGGGCUUCUCGCGCAUGACUUGAGCCUCUCAGUCAUAGGAUCAAAUUAGUAAUAGACGACAUGCAACUGACCUGACGAAUGCUUUUGCAUCAGACGUUUGUAGGUAAGUGUUUCUCAAAAAAAACACCACGCACCACCAAAAUGACUUAGGAACCUCUCCAUGUCACACAGUUCCUCUAUUUCAACGGGGCACCCACCCAUGUCCUCUCUUUAUAUAAGAGAUAAAAUAAUAAUUAAAACGAAUUCGCAGUAUUACAAUCUGCAGAAUUUGACAUGCUUACAACAACAAAUAAAUGAAUAACUGUUUGCAAAUCAUAGUGAACUAAAAACAAAAAAUAAAGCAUGAAUAAUCAUGUUUAUCUAUAAUAAAAAUUAGGUAAACAAAUGGUGGUGGGAUCUAACAAAAUGUUAAAAAAUAAGCAUUAAGUUAUUUUGAAAACUCAAAAAGGAAAUGUCUCGAACAUACGUGCUUUGGUACAUUGAUUUGCUACAAAAUUAUGUGAAUCACUAUAGAAGAGGCGCAUAAUUGAGGAACUUCGGGCAUAACACACCUGAAUAAGAUUUAUCUUUAGUGGCACAUGAUUGGACGAAGUAACUAUUAUAGAAUUCUUCAUCGCACAAUGACCAUGGACCGACUACCGCACGAAAAUGCACAAUUGCACUGUGGCGGGCCCAUUGCUUAUGUGCGAGAUGUUCGUUGCUUAUGAAUAUUUUGAAAACUAGAUGAAUACGCAAAAAAAUUGAAUCGAAAUUGCUUCUCUAAGAGCAACUCUAGCAGACCCCGCAAAACGGCCGGCCCGCAAAAAAUCCGGCAACUAUACGGGUUUGGGUUGCUUUUCCUGCCAUAGCACACACUGCAAACGCGGCCCGACCCGUAAAACUUCUGCAGUGGCCCGUAAACGCGACCGCUCGACCGGUAUAACUGCGGGUUCGACCGCUGGAUGCGGGUCAAAACCCUAUCCCUCCACCGCCGCGAAAUGCCCCCCCCCACCUCACCGCCGGUGCCUCCAAUCCGUCGACGCACACCUUCAUUCCGCCACGUAGCCACUCCAAUCCACCGUCCUUGAUGGCCAGCUCCGGUAGCCGUAGGAACGACGACCCCGAGAGGGCUCGUUGCGUCAGAUCCGACGCCGCCCGUAAGCGCGCCUGACGCCGCCGCCAUCACUCCUCCGUCGCGAGACAGAGGAGUACGACCGCGCGCGUGGUCGCCUCUUCUCCGGCAGCAGCUCAUUCGAGGCGUCGAGCUCGCGCUCGUCCUCCUCCCUCCCACCGGUGAAGAGGGAGAUCGAAGAGCUCCCGUCGGUGAAGAUGGAGCCGGAGGCCGAGGCGGUGCUGGAGCGACGUGACGGGGCCGUCGUCGGACCGGAGGAUUUCCUCCCUCACGCGGAGGCAGAUAACCUUCUGCCCGUCCUGCUGGCGCGGAGUGCACGAGAGGCGGAAGAGGACCAGCAACGCCGCCGGAGGGAGGAGGAGAUCGACACCAUGCUCUACGAGCAGGGUGUCGCGUCGGCCAUUGCCUUCGGCCACAAGGUGGAGGAGUGGCGCCGCGAAGCGACUGCGCAGAAGCGCAUCUACGUCGAGCUCUCCUCCGAUGAGGACGACGACUGAAUGUAGGAUAUCUACUACUGCACGAGCUCGACUCUGGUGAGCUCCAUUUUACGUAGUGCGGUAGGAUAGGUAGUAGCUCUGGUGAGCUCCGAUGAGCUCCAGUAGGUGAUGCCCCCCUCUAGUACUGAAUGUAGUUUGUAUGAUCAUGACUAUGGUUCCAAUUUCGCCCGCGAAUGUUUAUUUUUCAAAUUAUGCAGUUUCAUUAUGCGGGUUCUGUUCUGCAGCGCAACUUUUCCUUCCGCAAAACCCACUUCGUCGAACUGUAAAACGCGUUUGCAGGUCAUGAUUAUACAAGGUCUGCUAGAGUUGCUCUAACCAGUCGGCCACUCGUGUUUGUAUAAAAAUGUGGGGGCAUUGAUGUACAUGAACCAAACGAAACUGACGGCCACUUAAUACAAACGAAUCGUUUUUUGCAACUUAUGGAUGAUAUUGGUGGGUAACUUUUACCAAUUUAAAGGGCAUUUUUAAUGACGGAUGAUCAGAAAUAGUAUUUGCUUUAUUAUUAAAGAUAGAGAUUAGGUAGAGAUUUCAUGUUUGCUAGUAGAUAAAAUGGAGAACAAUCAUACAUAAAAUAUGUUAUAAUAAAGUAUUUUAUUUUAUUUAAUAUAUAUCAGGAUUAUUUAAUACUUUCUUUGUUUUAAAAUAAUUGUCUUAAGCUUAGUACAAAUUUGUAUGAGAGCUAGUAUAAAGUUGAGACAGUUAUUUUGAAACGGAGGGAACAGUAUCUAUUACUUCCUCCGUUUUCUAAAUAUAAGUAUUUUUAGAGGCAUAUAGAUAUAUUUUAGAGUGCAGUUUUAUUUAUUUUGCUUCGUAUAUAGUUUAUAGUAAAAUCUUAAAAAAUUAUAUUUAAAAACGAAAGGAGUAUAUUGAACUAUGGAGCUAAAAUCGAGCAAGCUAGUGUUGGUUUAAGAUCAAGUCGUUCCUCAGAGCAUCUUCAACAGUUCGUAUGUUGAAUCGUUGGUAUACGUGUCCACAUCAUUAACCAACAGGACAUCAUACAAGCUUUUCAAUGGAGUGUAUGUUAACCGUAUGUAAAAUACUAAACGGAUUUAUUAAAUAUUAAAAAAAUAACCAUGCUUGCCUCGGAGCUUGUGCGUGAACCAUUGCUUUAAGUUCAUACGAUUUCAUUAUUUUUCUUUUAUUAUGUGACAUGUCAUCAAAAUCAUCUAUGUGGCAGUUUUACCAACGAUGAUCAUACGAUCAUUGAAGAUGCCCUUAAUCAAGCUACAGAAGUGCUCAUGCUCCGAAAAAUGAGUCUCGAGGUUUUCUUGCAUCCCUACGCACAAGUGGUGGUAGAAAGUACUUUGGUCUAAACAAGUGACCAAGCCCGCCGAUACCAAUUCAAAAACUGGCCAGGGCAUCUAUCUACCAAUCAAUCCACGUCGGGAUUAGGGAACCACUCCGGUCGAUCACAGAGCUGGGCCCAGCGCCCCAUGCCCAGACAGCGAUGGCUGCGAGCACGAAAUUACUAUCCCAACCCCCACUAUGGCGAUGCGCCCACCAUGCAUCACCAUUACAGUUUACAACCCUCAAAAUGUGUUUUCCCUAGAGGCUUCAGUUCGUGAUUGAUUCUUGAAUAGUACUAGUACUGUAUGCUUCCUAUUGAGACCAGGCUUGGGAUCAGGCGCUCAUGUCUGGUGUGUCGAAUGUGUGUAGUUUCUGAACUGAAGAUACCUGUGCAGUGCGGUGACCGAGACGAGAAGAGCAUCUGAAAUUCAGACUCUGUGUUUGUUGUGAAGUGUGCCGAGGGCAAAAGGGCGAAAACGACCUCGCGAUCUCCGCCACCGCGCCCCGCCCCGCCCACAGGUCUCACCAGUCAGUCAGUCACCACCGGCGGUUUCCGUCUUACCACCACCACCAGCGUCCGCUCCCCACCUACCCCCGCUCCCGCCCCGUCUCUCUUCUAAAGCCCAGCUAAAUCCCGCACCAAACACCGCAGCCCAACCAACCAACCCCCACCCCGAGCAUCGGCGCGUGAGGAAGGGGAGGCCAUGGAUUUCCUGCAGGGGCGGAGCGUCGAGACCAUGGUGGCCGUCGCCGUCGCGGUCGUCGCCGUCGCCGUGGGCGGCGCACUCCUCCUCCGCCGAUCCAAGAGGUCCAAGGGUAUGUAUGUAUGUAUGUAUGUAUGGCUGCUCCUAUGUUCGGCAGAUACAUGCGUGAUUACAUGAGAUGCCUGUGAUUCGCACGUGAUCUGGUUUCCUGGUUGGCCGGAAUCCGGCAGCUACCAAUUAGUUGUCGCUGAGAGGCCGUGAGCCCGCGAAUUCGGCCACUUACUGCGAAUUACUGAAUUGGUUUGGGAGUUGGUGCUUUUUCGUGGUCACAGACGCUACCUGCUCGACUUGGUCUGCGGAUUGGCCAUUUGCAGUGUCCAUGCCGCUCGCUAUCUAUAUGGAUAUGAUAAACCAGUCAAGUGUUUGUUUUCAUAACUAAACUGAACCAGCCAAGUAUUGUUAGUGUUCAGAUAAGUCGGUUGAACGACUAGAAGAUAUGAGCCGUACUUCAGUGAACCCCACUGGCAGAGUGCCGUGGUUAUUUUUACUGCCGGCUCCAUUUCAGGCAGAACGCCUAAGUGGAGCUGUGCUGCAGGCAGAUUCUCAUCAUUUGACUUGGUUGAUUUAGUCUUACCAUGUUAUCAUGAGUAUAGUGCUUGAAAAAAAUUGUUGCCUGGCUGGAUUUAAGCAAAUGAAUCCAUUUUGCCAGCCUAGUGACUAGUAUCUAUGUAUUAUGCUUGUUGUGAGAUUAUGGAUUUAGGUGCGUUACUGAUGCGAGUUUAAUAACUGGNGAUUGCUUGCGGAAUUUCGCACCUCAUUCUAGCAUUCAUUACUUCUUUCAUUCUUUGUUUCAUCAACCAAGUACAAAUAUUGCUCGAGCAUUCUUUCUGCUCUUGGAGGGUAAUAAGCUGUAGCUUAGUGUCAUUCUUGGUGCUCCUUUUGCCCACAUCAGGCUGCUUGGAUCCUGAGAACUUCAAGAAGUUUAAGCUUGUGGAGAAGACGCAAAUAAGCCAUAAUGUUGCCAAAUUCCGAUUUGCUCUUCCAACCCCUAUCUCUGUGUUAGGCCUUCCAAUUGGUCAACAUAUCAGUUGCAGGUUUGUAUUCUGUGCUGCUUCCGAGUUCUGAAGUUUGCUUUUACAAUGUGUACUUCUUUUGAAUUUUAAAUCAUGUUAAUGUUCCCUCCUUUAUUCAGAGGUCAAGAUGCUACUGGUGAAGAAGUAAUCAAGCCUUACACACCUACUACAUUGGAUUCUGAUCUCGGAAAUUUUCAGCUUGUUAUAAAGGUAUGCUUUCGUUUCUUUAUACUAUAAUAACAUUGGUUAACAAUCUUAUCUGUUUGCUCCACAUUAUUGUGUGUUCAGCUGUAGUUUCUUCACCUUUUCAUUUUUAACAUUUACUUUUCCCCAAAAUGCAGAUGUACCCUCAAGGAAGAAUGUCGCAUCACUUCCGUGAAAUGAAAGUUGGUGAUUAUAUGUCUGUGAAGGGACCUAAGGUAACACUCUUUUUUAUCAUGAGCAACCUGUGUUAGGUUCAUAAGAAAUAGCUGCUUGCUAAGCCUGAAAAUUUCCUUUUGCUCUGGUUUAGCCAGCACAGGUGUUGUUAUUUAUAGUCCACAUUCACAAUGUCAUGCUUAUUUGCCAUCUAAUUAUAAGUUUAACAUGAUUUGUUCUCUGAUCUAGGGCCGUUUCAAGUACCAAGUAGGACAAGUGAGAGCUUUCGGAAUGCUGGCUGGUGGAUCUGGCAUUACUCCGAUGUUCCAAGUAAAUAAAAGUUCAAAGUUCCAUAUUGCAUUCAAUGAUGCUACAAACCGGUUUCUUUGAUCUCCAUUAACAAUCUUUCUGUUCUCACAGGUUGCAAGGGCAAUUCUCGAGAACCCUAAUGACAAAACGAAGGUUCAUCUAGUCUACGCGAAUGUCACACCUGAAGACAUUCUUCUGAAGGUGGAAUCACCAUCCUUUUUUCUGUAGAAACCUUUUUUUGGUUUUCGUGCAGUCAUCUGGUACAGAAACAUAUCCAAAACAUAUAUACUUUGCAACUGUUGACCCAUUAGACCAGAGAUACUGUGAGCAUAUAUGACACAUUUACUAGUAGAACUUUAUAAGGUUGUUAUCAGCGAUGUAUCUAUUCCAUAUAGUUGUUGAUGAUAUAGCACUUAGAUGCCAAGUAUUGUUUCCCUUAUUCCCUUCAGGAUAUUUUAGUGUAAAAUAUCUAGAAUUUCUAAGGUGAUUCAGAACUUGUGCACAAUUUGUACUGCAGUAAAAGGGAACUAAUCACACAGAGUAAUUCAUAACUGAAACUUACAUAUAACUUCCCUAGCUUUAUUUUUUAUUAUAAAUAUUAAACCAUCUAUAACUGGAUAUAUGAAUUACAAAGUUANNNNNNNNNNNNNNNNNNNNNNNNNNNNNNNNNNNNNNNNNNNNNNNNNNNNNNNNNNNNNNNNNNNNNNNNNNNNNNNNNNNNNNNNNNNNNNNNNNNNGAGCCUUGCGUUGGUGUUCCCUCGAAGCGGAAAGGGUGAUGUAGCGCAGCGGUGGUAAGUAUUUCCCUCAGUUUGAGAACCAAGGUAUCGAUCCAGUGAAGGAGUAUCUCAAGUGCCUGCACAAACACAAAAAAUCUUGCUCCCAACGCUAUGAAGGGGUUGUCAAUCCCUUAUAGAUUGUUCGCCAAGUGAGAACUGAAAGCAACAAAGUAACAAAGCAAAGUAAAAGCGAAGGUGGAAACGAUAGAUGUGAAUAGACCCGGGGGCCGUAGUGUUUACUAGUGGCUUCUCUCAUGAAAGCAAGUAGAUGGUGGGUGAACACAUUACUGUCGAGCAAUUGAUAGAACCGCGCAAAGUCGUGACGUCAUCUAUGGCAAUGAUUAUAUCUAUAGGCAUCACGUCCAAAACAAGUAGACCGAUACUUUCUGCAUCUACUACUAUUACUCCACACGUCGACCGCUAUCCAGCAUGCAUCUAGUGUAUUAAGUCCAAAAGAACAGAGUAACGCCUUAAGCAAGAUGACAUGAUGUAGAUGGACAAUCUCAUAUCAACGACAAAGCCCAUCUUGUUACCCUUGAUGGCAACUACACGAUGUGUGCCUUGCUGCCCCUACUGUCAUUGGGAAGGUCACCACAUGGUAAGAACCCAAAACCAAGAACUUCUCCCAUUGCAAGAAUCAUAGAUCUAGUUGGCCAAACAAAACCCAAGACACGGAGAGACUUACAAGGAUAUCAAAUCAUGCAUAUAAGAAAUCAGCAAAGACUCAAAUAUAUAUCAUAGAUAAUCUGAUCACAAAUCCACAAUUCAUCGNNNNNNNNNNNNNNNNNNNNNNNNNNNNNNNNNNNNNNNNNNNNNNNNNNNNNNNNNNNNNNNNNNNNNNNNNNNNNNNNNNNNNNNNNNNNNNNNNNNNUUAGCAUGUUGAUUAUUGAAUCACCAUUCGAAGUUUGAUCGUGCUAUCUAGUCCAUAUUUCCUGGUGCACCUUUUGAUCAAUUAGUUAGGACUGUGUCAAUCCCUCACUCUAUUGAUCAUAUCAUCUUACCUUGAAAAGCAAGAUUGUUCUCGAGCUUAAUAACAUAUGAUGGUUCGUGAUUUUCUGAAUAUCUUCACGAAAGUAUUACUGGGUGGUUCCCUGGCCGUUAUGUUGAGCUCGUGAUCAAGUUGGUUUUCAUAUAAACCACCCCUUCUCCAAGAAUCUGUGUUGGAUAUCGCAAGCUAGUUGGUUAAGCUAAACAACAACUUGGAGAGUUGGAAGAUAAAAGCUUUGCUUGAAUUAGUUCAUCCCAAAGGGAUGUCUUUUAACCUGGGUGAGUCUUGAAGAAAGAGGAUAUUUUCAUUGGUUGAUCCUUGUGAUCAAUUGUUGCACCUAUCGUCUUGUCCAAUUUUUGAUUGGAGUGUGGGGUAUCGUCAAAUCAAAACCAGAACCAAGGAUCUUCUUAAUGUUGUCUUACUCGUGGUUGCUUUCCUCGGGCAUACACCAUUAUAUAUUUUUGGUCUCACCAAUGCUACCACAUUGUUCACAUAGUAGUGGAAUUUCCUUUAUAUAUGGAAACCUUGAGGAACUGUAAUUGAGCCCAUCGAUAACAUUGUUUAUCCUCUCCAUGAUUCGUUGAAUAUCAAGCUAGUGUUGGAGACUUUUGUAGGCAAUAUCUUCGUGUUUUGUACAUGAAGUAUAUGUUAGGUGUAAGAAGUGACUUCCUCUAAUUCAUGUGCAUUUGAUGCAAGUUGCCGUCGUGAAUUCGAGAAAAGUUAUUUUGCUUCCUCUGGAAUCAUCCCAAGUCAGUCACGCACGUGGAAACUAUUCUAUGGUUUGAUAGACUCAUCAUCUCCACUCCAUAUGUAAUUCCUAGCACACCAAGCCACUGAUUGAUUUGUUCAUGGAAAAUAAGUUAAGUGUUAUUCUUGAAGGUCCCAGACGGACUUGCACAUGGCUUCCUUAUCCGCAAUGAUGGUUCCCACCCAAAACUCGGUAGUGUUUUGUUGUAAGACUUCUACGUGAUAAUGCUUGUCUUGGGCAGUGUGUUCACAUGUGUCUUGCAGUCCAGCUCAUGUUUUGGAGUUGGCUUCCGCAGUUCAUCUUCCGAGAAUUCCGCAACAUCAUCUCGUCGAUUUGUGUUGCAAACCUACUCUUUCAGACAUGUUGAGUCUGAAACAUCUUAUCACCAACCAGAUUUGAAUCUUAGACACACAUGAUGGUUGGAACAUUUCUCAAGAAUUAUAAUAUUGGUCUCCUUGUAACCCGGUAAAGUGAUGUUGUGGCUAACGCACCUAGCCGAAAGACAUAUUAUUAUAAUAUCUUAUAUCAGCAACAUUACCCACUUCCCCAUGAGGAAUACAUAUGACUUAUUUUAGAAGUUGUUCCUCCUGGACCCCUUUCAUGCUCCCAAAGUCUGACCUUUUUACUUGAUGUACUACAUACCAAAUUUGGGUUAUGCUAGCAUAUCAAGGAGAACAUUAGAACCAGAGCGCUAAAUGUCUCUCGGUUGAUUAUCCAGAUUUCGAUCCCUUGGCAUAGCUAAGGUGAAAUCUGAGAAAGUGUUGUCUUCCUUUGCAUCUGUAUCCUCCAUCAUUAUUCAUNNNNNNNNNNNNNNNNNNNNNNNNNNNNNNNNNNNNNNNNNNNNNNNNNNNNNNNNNNNNNNNNNNNNNNNNNNNNNNNNNNNNNNNNNNNNNNNNNNNNNNNNNNNNNNNNNNNNNNNNNNNNNNNNNNNNNNNNNNNNNNNNNNNNNNNNNNNNNNNNNNNNNNNNNNNNNNNNNNNNNNNNNNNNNNNNNNNNNNNNNNNNNNNNNNNNNNNNNNNNNNNNNNNNNNNNNNNNNNNNNNNNNNNNNNNNNNNNNNNNNNNNNNNNNNNNNNNNNNNNNNNNNNNNNNNNNNNNNNNNNNCCCUAGAGGAAAUAAUAAAAUAGUUAUUAUUAUAUUUCCUGUUUCAAGAUAAUCGUUUCUUAUCCAUGCUAUCAUUGUAUUGAAUGGAAACAUAAAUGCAUGUGUGGAUAUAUAGACAAAACAAUGUCCCUAGUGAGCCUCCAGUUGACUAGCCUGUUGGUCAAGGAUGGUUAAGGUUUCCUAGCCAUAGACAAGUAUUNNNNNNNNNNNNNNNNNNNNNNNNNNNNNNNNNNNNNNNNNNNNNNNNNNNNNNNNNNNNNNNNNNNNNNNNNNNNNNNNNNNNNNNNNNNNNNNNNNNNGGCUGUGUUCUAAGGUGUAAACUUGAGUGAGACUCAAAGCCCGACCACAGCAAAAGAAAGAGAAAGGACGGAAGUCGUCCCCUAUGCCUUAGACGUAGGCUCUAAAGUGUUCCAUUGUGUGUACGGCACCUCAUGUGUGCAUUGCCAUGAGUCUAUCAAGGGGUAUAAAGAGUGAUCCAGGAUUGAAUCACUGAACAGCGGUCAAAGUUAUCCUUAGUAACUAGUGAACUAAGGAUUUUUUUUCUCGAUUAUGGAGGUGAUUAAAUAGUUCGUCAUAAAGGGUUACAUUGAUGCAAGCUUUGACACUAAUCUGAAUAACUCGAAGUAGUAAACCGGAUUCGUAUAGUGGAGCAUUCAUUUAGAAUAGUUCCAAAUGGCGUGUGGUAGCAUCAUCUAUAGGAUGACGUAGAGAGUUGUGAAGCAUACAUGGAUCAGAAAGGUUCAGACCCGUUGUCUUAAACCUCUCUCACAAGCAAGACAUGAUCAAGCCCCAGAACUGUAUGGGUGUUAGAUUCAUUACAAUCACAUAGUGAUGUGAACUAGAUUAUUGACUCUAGUGCAAGUGUGAGACUGUUGGAAAUAUGCCCUAGAGGCAAUAAUAAAUUGGUUUUUAUUAUAUUCCUUGUGCAUGAUAAUCGUUUAUUAUCCAUGCUAGAAUUGUAUUGAUUGGAAACUCAAAUACAUGUGUAGAUACAUAGACAACACAUUGUCCCUCAUGAGCCUCUAAUUGACUAGCUCGUUGAUCAAAUAUGGUCAAGGUCUUCUGGCCAUAGACAAGUGUUGACACUUGAUAACGGGAUCAAAUCAUUAGGAGAAUCAUGUGAUGGACAAGACCCAAACUAUAAAUGCAGCAUGUGAUCGUGUUAUUUUGGUGCUAUUGUUUUCUGCAUGUCAAGUAUACAUUCCAAUGACCAUGAGAUCAUGUAACUCACUAACACCGGGGGAAUGCCUUGUGUGUAUCAAACGUUGCAACGUUACUGGGUGACUAUAAAGGUGCUCUACAGGUAUCUUCGAAGGUGUCCGUUGAGUUGGCAUGGAUUAAGAUUGGGAUUUGUCACUCCGUGUGACUGAGAGGUAUCUCGGGGCCCACUCGGUAAUACAUCAUCACAAACAAGCCUUGCAAGCAAUGUGACUAAAGAGUUAGCCACAUGAUCUUGUAUUACAGAACAAGUAAAGAGACUUUCCGAUAACGAGAUUGAAAUAGGUAUGGCGAUACCGACGAUCGAAUCUCGGACGAGUAACAUACCGAAGGACAAAGGGAAUGAUAUGCGGGAUUGUGUGAAUCCUUAACAUAGAUAUUCAACCGAUAAGAUAUUCGUAGAAUAUGUAGGAUCCAAUAUGGACGUCCAGGUCCCCCUAUUGGAUAUUGACCAGAGAGUGUCUCAGUCAUGUCUGCAUAGUUCUCGAACCCGCUAGUGUGUACACUUAAGGUUCGGUGACAGUUUCGGUAUAGUGGUGUUAUAGGUGUUGGUUACCGAAGGUUGUUCGGAGUCUCGUAUGAGAUCCUAGACAUCAUGAGGAUCUCCGAAAUAAUCCGUAGGUAAAGAUUGAUAUAUAGGAAGUCCUGUUUUGGUCACUGGAAAGGUUUCGGGCUCAUCGGUAGUGUACCGGGAGUGUCGGGAGGGUGUCGGGGGGCCGCCGGGAGGAGUGUGAGGUCCCAAGAGCCUUAUGGGAUGUGAGAGGAGGUGGACCAGCCCCUGGUGGGCUGGCCUAAGCCUCUCUCAAAAGCCCAUGCGGCUAGGAGUGGAGAUAAAAGGCAAAAGUCCUUUAAAAGCAAAGGAGGGAGUCCUCCGAAAGUAGUCCACCUCCCUUGUGGGAAGGUGGACUCUUCCUUUAGGGUUCAGCCGACCCCUUCUCUUCGGAGUAGGGGCCAGCGCUGCCUCCUCUCCCCUCCUCCUAUAUAUACUAGAGGGUUUUUGGAUAACACAGAAAUCAGCCACGGCUGCCUCUCUCUCUCUCUCUAGAUAUGUUUCUCCUCUAGUCUAAUUCGGCGGUGCUUAGGCGAAGCCCUGCUGGAUUAGUUCACCACCACCACCACCAUGCUGCCAUGCUGGAGAAUCAUCUACCUCUCCGCCCCUCUUGCUGGAUCAAGAAGGCAGAGAUCGUCAUCGAGCUAUACGUGUGCUGAACGCGGAGGUGCCGUCCAUUCCUCAGUAGAUCGGGAUGGACCCUGAUGGGAUCGCGGGACGGAUUGUGAUGAGAUCAUGGGACGGGUUGCGAUUUGAAUUGAGAAGAUGUUACACUACAUCAACCAUGUUAUAUACGCUUCUGCUUAGUGAUCUACAAGGGUAUGUAGAUUCACUCGCCCCUCUCGAAGAUGAUCAUCACCAUGGAUAGGUAUUGCGUGUGCAUAGGAAAAUUUUGUUUCCCAUGCUACGUUCCCCAACAAAUACUUCGUCCUGGAGAACCCUCAUUCCAGACGGUGACUUGAUUCAUCAGAAGACUCUGAUGAUACUCUCUGAUGUUCUCCUGAGAACUUAUGCUCAUCGCUUUUUGCGAUUCCAUUCCUCCGUCAACCCCUAUGGAUGAUGACGACAAUGUCGUUCAUACCUUAUUUUCCACUCGCUCUUGUUUUUACAAGUUAUGACGAAUUAUCUUACCGGGGAUUCGUUUGUCCUUAGUUGUCAUGGGUUUACGCAAGUCCCUCAAACUGCAAUUCGAUCUUCCGAAAUCCUUAGUAGCCUAUUGUUCAUGACAUUUCUCACCUGGUUGCAUUAUGGUUAAUUCCAUGUGUCUAGCAACCAUCAUUUGAAUCCUUUCUGAUUAUCCUUUGGUAUUAUUGAUUCAACUUGUGUGUGAAUGCACGCAAUCAUCUAUUGAUACUCAUAAAUUAGCUUACGACUCAGACUUCCUUCCAAACAGUAGUUGGUUCUCAGCAAAUCAACCUUGAUUAAUUGUCCAUCUAAUUAUAACCAGCUUAUUCAUCCUUGAUCAGAGCAUCUGAUUUUGAUACACCAACCUAGAAAUCAUAAUUCCUUUAGUAUUUAAGUUUCGAUAUUAUUCAGGUGUUCGAUAAUGCGAUGCCUUGUGUUUCUUUCUUCCCCUGAUUGAGUACCGAUACUCACAUCAGGUCCUUUGUGAACCGCCUGACCCAUUGUUGGGUUAUUAUCCGAUAGCAUGCAUCCUUCACAUUCAAAAUUAUUGUGAUAUCCUUUCCCUGAUACAAGAUGUCAGUAGUAAAUUUUGUCUUCUCCGUCUUAUAAGUUGUAUUCUAUGCUUUUGACUGCCAUGCUCUGUUGUCACACAUGUGUUAAUUACUCUUGAAAUUUGUGGUAUAUGUUCCUAAGAUGCCCCGAUGGGUUGAACCUAUGCCUUCCUAAAUCCGUGUGAUCCCAAGAGUUUUCACUAGUCUUACUCUUCUAGUGUUCUGUCAGAUAAUCUUUCAAAUCUACGACUUCAUCAAAGGCGAGGAGUACAUGGUAGGUGAUGCAUUGAUGAAGUGGGAGUCGGCCUUGAACUUUGUGUCCAUGCCCAUGGAAACGACAUUAAUCCUAUCAUAGAAACAUCUCGUAACAAUAAGUUCCCUUGGAAUAUUUUGAUCUAGUAUCCGUGAUCUUGUUCUUUGCAGUCAUGAUUCUGACCAUGUUGUUCUACUUUGAUUUCUUUCUCAGACAAGUUAUAUUGCUUGUCUUAUAUAGGUAAAUACAAUAGAGUAACCUCUAUUUUGAUCUACCUCUGAGUAUUAUCCUUGGUAUAUUGAGAAUAACAUGGAGCUAUAUAACUUCUUAUGAGCUCCUCAUCGGCUAUAAUAUUUCGUUGAUUCCAUAUUUCCUCGUGUUUUGAGUGGUUGGACACUCAAGGACACCGAUAACUGAAUCGAGUACAAAUUGCGCCUCAACAACUCUUAGUAAUCUUCCUUCUUUAUGAGUUUGUACUCGAUCAUGUCAUUCCAGAUUGUUGGGCUACAUCAAUAUCGUCUUGCUAGAGCUCGACCUUUCUAUCUGUGUCCUUUAUCCCGAGAACACAUUUCCAGUAGUGCGCUACGCUUAUAUCAAGCUCUCAACGUCACGUUGGUUGUCUUGAAGGCAAUUUUGAUUCUGAGCUAGCACUCUAAUUUGUCGUUCCAUAGACCUUUCGCUUCACCAUUUACUUUGCUUGAUGUCAUCUCCGAACGAUUACAUCGUCAAGAAACUUCUCGAUAAAUGUGUCGGGAUCAUCAUCAGCAUUCUGAGCUCUUUCGAGGUAUCAAUCGAAUUCAUGAUGAGAAUUACCAUCCUUGCCCCUCGAUCAUUUAUGUUAUCACUAACAACCUUAUUGCCUUCCCUCCAACACAAACUUGUUCAUGUUUUGUAUUGUCCCUUGAGUUCCUUGCUAUUCAGCUUAUGUUAUCUUCUACCUUGUUAUAUUACCAUCUUUUAUGUCAAGAAUGUUGUGAGAAUUGUUGCACCUCUUAAGAAUUCUUGAUAUGGUGAUACUUCUCGCCAUCACCAUUCAUUUCUUGGUCCCCGUGUUGUUUCUAAUCGGAAUACCGACAAGUAAACUCUGAUGUGUGAUUCCAAUACUUCUAGUAACCCUAUUUCUUUGAAGUUAAUAAGUGUUUGUUUCAUUCUUAGUGUGUUGGUUGUUGACUCACCAUUUUAGCAUUGAUCGUGCUACUCAUUAUGUAUUCCUAAGUGCACCCUUCGACCAAUGUUUAAUUGUUGUUGUUCCCUCAAGCAUACAUCAUUAUAUCAUUUGAGUUGACAAAUGCUAUCUCCUUGAUCUUAUAAUUUUGGAAACUCAUCCCUAUCGAAAUCUUAAGGGAUUGUUGUUGAGCCCAUCGGCCACACCCUGAACUUCUCCAUGUAUCAUGAUGAAGCUUUUUGAAAGCACUAUCUUUGUCCCUAGCUCAUGAACAAUAUGUUUGAUAAAAGAAGUGUUUUCCCAAAGUUCACAUGCAUUCUUGCUACCAUGAAUAUUUGAAAGUUUUUUCGCUUCCUUUGGGAUCAUCCCAAAUCAUUCACGCAUGUGCGAAGUGUUAUAUGUUUUGAAGAUUUUCUAUCUUCACUUCAUAUAAUUUUCCUUAGCACCCCAAUCCACUAACUGAUUUGAUCAAGGAAAAGAAGUUCCUUCAUAAGAGCUAAUACAGUCUUACACAAGGACUUUGAUAUCCUCGAUGAUGGUUCCCCAAUUAAAACUCGGUUGCAUUUCAUGGUAAGAAUCCCAUGUGGGCACGAAUGUCUUCACCUUGUGUUCAUAUGUCUUACAAUCCAAUUCAGGAUUCAAGACUUGCUACCAUAGUUGCUAUCCCGAGAAUCUUGCAUCAUCAUCUCGUCAGUUUCUUUGUUGCCCCCUUUUCUUGUGAGGCAUCCUGAUCCUGAGGUAUCCUGACACCAAUCAGAUUUGAAUCUCGGGCAAUUAUGAUGGUUGGAACAUUUUCCAAGAAUUAUAACUUUUGUUUUUUUCGGUAUGGUGAUGUCUUCUAGCACGCAUGACCGAAGGACCUAUUAUUAUAUUAUCUUCCUUAGUAAGGUUAGACAUUCCCCCCUAAGGAAAUUGUAAGACUUAUUUUAUAAGUUGUUCCUCAUUGAUCCCUUGUGUACCCAAAGUUCGAUCUGUAUAUGAUGACCGUGUCGAUGCUACCUCACAGCACAGAGUGGUACGUCAAAUGUCACAGGAACAUUGGAAGCGCAAUGAUAAAUUGUUCUUGAUCAAUUAUCCAAACAAUGUUGUAUGGGUAAACAUCAUGAUUCUCCUUGCUCUUUUAUCUAAAUUGAUAUGUACUUGAUGACCUGUCACGUAUACCAUACUCUAUUUUCCUCGGGAAUGGUACACUCUAAUACUUGUGUGUGUGAACACAUUUUCCUUUCCAUUGGUGUGUUCAACCUUUCUUGAAAUCUAAACUUAUCUGAGUAGUGGUAGUUCUCUUCUUAGGUAAAAACCUCGGCGUACAAUUUAUCAGUAAGACCAUAUUACUAUUGUGGAUAACACUUCGGUAGCCGCCGGUGGACGAGAACUUUGCCUAUUGGUCCGCCUCAUUUCAAAGAGCAUGAAAAUGGUUCUAUUCAGACUUAUGUUUCAUUCAGUAGACAUACCCAUAUCUGCUUAAGUCAUCAGUGAGGGUGAGAACAUAACGAUAACCACCGCGAGCCUAAACGCUCAUUGGACGGCAUACAUCGGUAUGUAUUAUUUCCAACAAGUUGGUUGCUCGCUCCAUUGUUCCGGAGAACGGAGCCUUAGUCAUCUUGCCCGGCAUGGUUCACAUGUGUCAAAUGAUUCAUAAUCAAGAGAAUCCAAAAGUCCAUAUGCAUGGAGUUUCUUCAUGCGUUUGACACCAAUAUGACCAAGGCGGCAGUGCCACAAGUAUGUGGGACUAUCAUUAUCAACCUUACAUCUUUUGGUACUCACACUAUGAAUAUGUGUAACAUCACAUUCAAGAUUCAAUAAAAAUAAACCAUUGACCAGCGGGGCAUGACCAUAAAGCAUAUCUCUCAUAUAAAUAGAACAACCAUUAUUCUCGGAUUUAAAUGAAUAGCCAUCUCGCAUCAAACAAGACUCAAAUACUAAUGGGGAACGUCACAUGGGAAACAAAAAAAUUCCUACGCGCACGAAGACCUAUCAUGGUGAUGUCCAUCUACGAGGGGGAUUUCAGAUGUACGUACCCUUGUAGAUCGCACAGCAGAAGCGUUAAUAAACGCGGUUGAUGUAGUGGAACGUCCUCACGUCCCUCGAUCCGACCCGCGAACCAUCCCACGAUCCGUCCCACGAUCCGCUCCGAUCUAGUGCCGAACGGACGGCACCUCCGCGUUCAGCACACGUACAGCUCGAUGAUGAUCUUGGCCUUCUUGAUCCAGCAAGAGAGACGGAGAGAUAGAUGAGUUCUCCGGGAGAGUGAUGGUGCUCCAGAGGUUGGUGGUGAUCUAAUCUCAUCAGGGCUCCGCUCGAGCUCCGCACAAACGCGAUCUAGAGGAAAAAGCGUGGAGGUAUGUGGUCGGGUUGUCGUGGAAAAGUUGUCUCAAAUCAGCCCUAAAACCUCCGUAUAUAUAGGUGGGAGGGGAGGGGCCUUGCCUUGGGGCUCAAGGAGCCCCAAGGGGUUCGGCCAAAGGGGGGGGAGGAGGAGUCCUCCUCCAAUCCUAGUCCAACUAGGAUUGGAAGGUGGAGUCCUUCCCUUCCUUCCCACUUCCCCUUUUUUCUUUCUCUUUGAUUUUCUUAUCUCCCUGCGCAGGGGCCUCUAGGCUUGCCCACCAGCCCACUAAGGGCUGGUGCGGCACCCCUAAGGCCUAUUGGAUUCCCCGGGGUGGGCUCCCCCCCCCCUCCCCGGUGAACAUCCGAACCCAUUCGUCAUUCCCGGUAAUUCCGAAACCUUCCAGUAAUCAAAUGAGGUCAUCCUAUAUAUCAAUCUUCAUCUCCGGACCAUUCCGGAAACCCUCGUGACAUCCAUGAUCUCAUCCGGGACUCCGAACAACAUUCGGUAACCAACCAUAUAACUUAAAUACGCAUAAAACAACGUCGAACCUUAAGUGUGCAGACCCUCGGGUUCGAGAACUAUGCAGACAUGACCCGAGGGACUCCUCGGUCAAUAUCCAAUAGCGGGACCUGGAUGCCCAUAUUGGAUCCUACAUAUUCUACGAAGAUCUUAUAGUUUGAACCUUAGUGCCAGCGAUUCAUAUAAUCCCGUAUGUCAUUCCCUUUAUCCUUCGGUAUGUUACUUGCCCGAGAUUCGAUCGUCAGUAUCCGCAUACCUGUUUCAAUCUCGUUUACCGGCAAGUCUCUUUCCUCGUUCCAUAAUACAAGAUCCCGCAACUUACACUAAGUCACAUUGCUUGCAAGGCUUGUGUGUGUUGUUGUAUUACCGAGUGGGCCCCGAGAUACCUCUCCGUCAUACGGAGUGACAAAUCCCAGUCUUUAUCCAUACUAACUCAACGGACACCUUUGGAGAUACCUAUAGAGCAUCUUUACACACAAAGUAUUCCUCCGGUGUCAGUGAGUUAUAUGAUCUCAUGGUCAUAGGAAUAAAUACUUGACACGCAGAAAACAGUAGCAACAAAAUGACACGAUCAACAUGCUACGUAUAUUAGUUUGGGUCUAGUCCAUCACAUGAUUCUCCCAAUGAUGUGAUCCAGUUAUCAAGCAACAACACCUUGUACAUAGUCAGAAGACCCUGACUAUCCUUGAUCAACUGGCUAGCCAACUAGAGGCUCGCUAGGGACAGUGUUUUGUCUAUGUAUCCACACAUGUAUCUAAGUCUUCAUUCAAUACAAUUAUAGCAUGGAUAAUAAACGAUUAUCUUGAUACAGGAAUUAUAAUAAUAACUUAUUUAUCAUUGCCUCUAGGGCAUAAUUCAACAGUCUCCCACUUGCACUAGAGUCAAUAAUCUAGCCCUCACAUCACCAUGCGAAUUACAUUGUAAUAAAUCUAACACCCAUACAGUUCUGAUGUUAAUCAUGCUUUGCCCGUGGAAGAGGUUUAGUCAGCGGGUCUGCUACAUUCAGAUUCGUGUGCACUUUGCAUAUAUUUACGUCCUCCCCUUCGACGUAGUCGCGAAUGAGGUUGUAGCGUCGUUUGAUGUGUCUGGUCUUCUUGUGAAACCGUGGUUCCUUUGCUAAGGCAAUGGCACCCGUGUUGACACAAAACAAGGUUAUUGGAUUCAGUGCUCUUGGCACCACUCCAAGAUCCAUCAUGAACUGCUUCAUCCAUACACCCUCCUUAGCCGCCUCCGAGGCAGCCAUGUACUCCGCUUCACAUGUAGAAUCAGCUACGACGCUUUGCUUGGAACUGCACCAACUUACCGCACCCCCAUUAAGAAUAAAUACGUAUCCGGUCUGCGGCUUAGAGUCGUCCGGAUCUGUGUCAAAGAUUACAUCGACAUAACCUUUUACGGCGAGCUCUUUGUCACCUCCAUACACGAGAAACAUCUCCUUAGUCCUUUUCAGGUACUUCAGGAUAUUCUUGACCGCCAUCCAGUGAUCCACUCCUGGAUUACUCUGGAACCUGCCUGCCAUACUUAUGGCCAGGCUAACGUCCGGUCUAGUGCACAGUAUUGCAUACAUGAUAGAACCUAUGGCUGAAGCAUAGGGGACGGUGCUCAUAUGCUCUCUAUCUUUAUCAGUUGCUGGGCAUUGAGUCUUAAUCAAUCUCGUACCUUGUAAAACUGGCAAGAACCCCUUCUUGGACUGUUCCAUUUUGAACCUCUUCAAAACUUUAUCAAGGUAUGUACUUUGUGACAGUCCUAUCAGGCGUUUCGAUCUAUCCCUAUAGAUCUUAAUGCCUAGAAUGUAAGCAGCUUCUCCUAGGUCCUUCAUAGAGAAACUUUUAUUCAAGUAAUACAUUAUGCUCUCAAAAAACUCCACGUUCUUUCCAAUCAGCAAUAUGUCAUCCACAUAUAAUAUUAGAAAUGCCACAAAGCUCCCACUCACUUUCUUGUAAAUACAAGAUUCUCCAACCACUUGUAUAAACCCAAAUGCUUUGAUCACCUCAUCAAAGCGUUUAUUCCAACUCCGAGAUGCUUGCACCAGCCCAUAAAUGGAUCGCUAGAACUUGCACACUUUGUUAGCAUUUUUAGGAUCGACAAAACCUUCGGGUUGCAUCAUAUACAACUCUUCCUUAAGGAAACCGUUAAGGAACGCCGUUUUGACAUCCAUCUGCUAGAUUUCAUAAUCGAAAAAUGCAGCUAUUGCUAACAUGAUUCUGACGGACUUAAGCAUCGCUACGGGUGAGAACGUCUCAUCAUAGUCAACUCCUUGAACUUGUGAAAAACCCUUUGCCACAAGUCGAGCUUUAUAAACGGUCACAUUACCGUCAGGGUCCGUCUUCUUCUUAAAGAUUCAUUUGUUCAGAAUAGCCUUGCGGCCCUCAGGUAGUACUUCCAAAGUCCACACUUUGUUUUCAUACAUGGAUCCUAUCUCGGACUUCAUGGCCUCUAGCCAUUUGUUGGAAUCCAGGCCCACCAUUGCUUCUUCAUAAUUCGCAGGCUCAUUGUUGUCUAACAACAUAAUUUAUAAGACGGGAUUACCAUACCACUCUGGAGUAGUACGCGGUCUCGUUGACCUGCGAGGUCCGAUAGGAACUUGAUCUGGAGUUUCAUGAUCAUCAUAAUUAACUUCCUCCUCAACCGGCGUUGCAAUGACAUGGGUUUCCCCUUGCCCUGCUCCACCAUCCAGAGGGAUGAGAGGUUCGACAACCUCAUCAAGUUCUAUCUUCCUCCCACUCAAUUCUCUCGAGAGAAACUCCUUCUCGAGAAAAGCUCCGGUCUUAGCAACAAACACUUUGCCCUCGGAUUUGUGAUAGAAGGUAUACCCAACUGUUUCUUUCGGGUAACCUAUGAAGAUGCACUUUUCUGCUUUGGGUUCCAGCUUUUCAGGUUGAAGCUUUUUUACAUAAGCAUCACAUCCCCAAACUUUAAGAAACGACAACUUUUGUCUUUUGCUAUACCACAGUUCGUAUGGUGUCGUCUCAACGGAUUUUGAUGGUGCCCUAUUUAAAGUGAACGCAGUUGUUUCUAAUGCAUAACCCCAAAACGAUAACGGCAAAUUGGUAAGAGACAUCAUAGAUCGCACCAUCUCUAAUAAAGUACGAUUACGACGUUCGGACACACCAUUACGCUAUGGUGUUCCAGGCGGUGUCAACUGUGAAACAAUUCCACAUUGUCUUAAGUGAGCACCAAACUUGAAACUCAGAUAUUCACCCCCACGGUCAGACCGUAGGAAUUUGAUCUUCUUGUUACGAUGAUUUUCAACUUCGCUCUGAAAUUGCUUGAACUUUUCAAAUGUUUCAGACUUGUGCUUCAUCAAGUAGACAUAACCAUAUCUACUCAAAUCGUCAGUGAAGAUGAGAAAAUAACUAUAUCCGCUGCGUGCCUCCACGCUCAUCGAACCACACACAUCGGUAUGUAUGAUUUCCAACAAGUCACUUGCACGCUCCAUUGUUCCGGAGAACGGAGUUUUAGUCAUCUUGCCCAUGAGGCAUGGUUCGCACGUGUCAAGUGAAUCGAAGUCAAGUGACUCCAAAAGUCCAUCGGUAUGGAGUUUCUUCAUGCGCUUUACACCAAUAUGACCUAAGCGAGAGUGCCACAAAAACAUGGCGCUAUCAUUGUUAACUCUAACUCUUUUGGUCUCAAUGUUAUGUAUAUGUGUAUUAUCACUAUCAAGAUUCAAUAUGAACAAUCCUCUCGCAUUGGGUGCAUGACCAUAAAAGAUAUUACUCAUAGAAAUAGAACAACCAUUAUUCUCUGACUUAAAUGAGUAACCGUCUCCCAAUAAACAAGAUCCAGAUAUAAUGUUCAUGCUUAACGCACGCACUAAAUAACAAUUAUUUAAGUUCAUAACUAAUCCUGAUGGUAACUGAAGUGAAACUGUGCCAACGGCGAUUGCAUCAACCUUGGAACCAUUUCCCAUGCGCAUCAUCACUUCAUCCUUGGCCAGCCUUCGCUUAUUCCGUAGUUCCUGUUUCGAGUUGCAAAUAUAUUCAAAGUGGACUUAUACUAUGUUCAAGAUAAUUAGAGUUUAACUUAAUCAAAUUACUUGCUAAACUCCCACUCAAAAAGUACAUCUCUCUAGUCAUUUGAGUGGUUCAUGAUCCAAUUCCACUAGCUCAAGUCCGAUCAUCACGUAAGUUGAGGAUAGUUUCAGUGGUAAGCAUCCCUAUGCUAAUCAUAUCAAUUAUAUGAUUCAUGAUCGACCUUUCGGUCUCAUGUGUUCUGAGGCCAUGUAUGCACAUGCUAGGCUCGUCAAGCUUAACCCGAGUGUUCUGCGUGUGCAACUGUUUUGCACCCGUUGUAUGUGAACGUUGAGUCUAUCACACCCGAUCAUCACGUGGUGUCUCGAAACGACGAACUGUAACAACGGUGCAUAGUCGGGGAGAACACAAUUUCGUCUUGAAAUUUUAGUGAGAGAUCACCUCAUAAUGCUACUGUCGUUCUAAGCAAAAUAAGGUGCAAGAAAGGAUUAACAUCACAUGCAAUUCAUAAGUGACAUGAUAUGGCCAUCAUCACAUGCUUCUUGAUCUCCAUCACCAAAGCACCGGCACGAUCUUCUUUGUCACCGGUGCCACACCAUGAUCUCCAUCAACGUGUCACCAUCGGGGUUGUCGUGCUACUCAUGUUAUUACUACUAAAGCUACAUCCUAGCAAUAUAGUAAACGCAUGUGCAAGCACAAACGUUAGUUUAAAGACAACCCUAUGGCUCCUGCCGGUUGCCGUACCAUCGACGUGCAAGUCGAUAUUAACUAUUACAACAUGAUCAUCUCAUACAUCCAAUAUAUGACAUCACAUCAUUGGCCAUAUCACAUCACAAGCAUACCCUGCAAAAACAAGUUAGACGUCCUCUAAUUGUUGUUGCAUGUUUUGCGUGGUGACCAUGGGUAUCUAGUAGGAUCGCAUCUUACUUACACAAACACCACAACGGAGAUAUAUGAAUUGCUAUUUAACCUCAUCCAAGGACCUCCUCGGUCAAAUCUGAUUCAACUAAAGUUGGAGAAACCGACACUCGCCAGUCAUCUUUGAGCAACAGAGUUGCUCAUAGCGAUGAAACCAGUCUCUCGUAAGCGUAUGAGUAAUGUCGGUCCGAGCCGCUUCGAUCCAACAAUACCGCGGAAUCAAGAAAAGACUAACGAGGGCAGCAAAUCACACAUCACCGCCCACAAAAACUUUUGUGUUCUACUCGAGAAGACAUCUACGCAUGAACCUAGCUCAUGAUGCCACUGAUGGGGAACGUCGCAUGGGAAACAAAAAAAUUCCUACGUACACGAAGACCUAUCAUGGUGAUGUCCAUCUACGAGGGGGAUUUCAGAUCUACGUACCCUUGUAGAUCGCACAGCAGAAGCGUUAAUAAACGCGGUUGACGUAGUGGAACGUACUCACAUCCCUCGAUCCGCCCCGCGAACCGUCCCACGAACCGUCCCGCGAUCCGUCCCACGAUCCACUCCGAUCUAGUGCCGAACGGACGGCACCUCCGCGUUCAGCACACGUACAGCUCGACGAUGAUCUCGGCCUUCUUGAUCCAGCAAGAGAGACGGAGAGGUAGAUGAGUUCUCCGGCAGCAUGAUGGAGCUCCAGAGGUUGGUCGUGAUCUAAUCUCAGCAGGGCUCCGCCCGAGCUCUGCAGAAACGCGAUCUAGAGGAAAAACCAUGGAGGUAUGUGGUCGGGCUGCCGUGGAAAAGUUGUCUCAAAUCAACCCUAAAACCUCCGUAUAUAUAGGUGGGAGGGGAGGGGCCUUGCCUUGGGGCUCCAGGAGCCCCAAGGAGUUCGGCCGAAGGGGGGAGGACGAGUCCUCCUCCAAUCCUAGUCCAACUAGGAUUGGAAGGUGGAGUCCUUCCCUUCCUUCCCACUUCCCCUUUUUUUCUUUCUCUUUGAUUUUCUUAUCUCCCUGCGCAGGGGCCUCUCUGGGCUUUCCCACCAUCCCACUAAGGGCUGGUGNNNNNNNNNNNNNNNNNNNNNNNNNNNNNNNNNNNNNNNNNNNNNNNNNNNNNNNNNNNNNNNNNNNNNNNNNNNNNNNNNNNNNNNNNNNNNNNNNNNNAAUUUCUGAUGAGUAUAUGUGGUUGACACAUUGUUGAUUGGAAAUGAUGUAGGAUUUCUGGAAAGCAUAUAGGGUUGUUUGAAAAGGAGUUUUUCAGAAGAAAACUUGGAUAAAGCAACUUGAACAUUGAGCAUCAAGAUCUAUAGAGAUAGAUCAAUACGUUUGAUAAAACUUUCAAUGAAUACAUACCUUGACAAGAUUUUGAAGGAGUUCAAAAUAGAUCAAUCAAAGAAGGAGUUCUUACCUGUAUUGUAAGGUGUGAAUUUGAGUAAGACUCAAAGAUCGACCACAACAGAAGAAAGAGAAAGGACGAAGGUGUACCACACCUCAUGUGUGCCUUGUCAUGGUUGUAUGCUCUAUAGUAUGCCAUGCUGUGUACUGCACCUGAUGUGUGCCUUGACAUGAGUCUGUCAAGGGGUACAAGAGUGAUCGAGGAAUGGAUCACUGGACAGUGGUCAAAAUUAUCCUUAGUAACUUGAGUACUAAGGAAAUGUUUCUUGAUAAUGGAGGUGAUAAAAGAGUUUGUCGUAAAGGGUUACGUUGAUGCAAGCUUUGACACCAAUCCGGAUGACUAUGACUAGCAAACCGGGUUGCUAUAAUAGAGAAGUCAUUUGGAAUAGUUACAAAUGGAGCGUGAUAGCAACAUAUACACGAUGACAUAGAGAUUUGUAAAUAAAUACACACAAAUCUGAAAGGUUCAGACCCGUUGACUAAAACCUCUCUCAGAAGCAAAACUGGAUAAAACCUAGAACUUAUUGGGUGUGAUUCACAUAGUGAUGUGAACUAGAUUAUUGACUCUAGUGCAAGUGGAAGACUGAUGGAAAUAUGCCCUAGAGGCAAUAAUAAAUAAGUUAUUAUUAUAUUUCCUUGUUCAUGGUAAUCAUUUAUUAUCCACGCUAUAAUUGUAUUGAUUGGAAACUCAAAUACAUGUGUGGGUACAUAGACAACACACUGUCCCUAGUGAGCCUCUAAGGACUAGUUCGUUGAUCAAAGAUGGUCAAGGUUUCCUGGACAUAGACAUGAGUUUUCAUUUGAUAACGGGAUCACGUCAUUAGGAGAAUGAUGUAAUGUACAAAACCCAAACUGUGAACGUAGCAUGUGAUCGUGUCAUUUUAUUGCUAUUGUUUUCUGCAUGUCAAAGUAUCUGUUUCUAUGACCAUGAGAUCAUGCAACUUCCGGGCACUGGAAGAAUGCCUUGUGUGUAUCAAACGUCACAACGUAACUGGGUGACUAUAAAGGUGCUCCAAAGAUAUCUCCAAAGGUGUCUGUUGGGUUGGCGUGAAUCGAGAUUGGGAUUUGUCACUCCGUAUGACGGAGAGGUAUCUCUCGGCCCACUCACUAAUACAACAUCACAAUGAGCUUGCAAGCAAUGUGACUAAGGAGUUAGUUACGAGAUCUUGUAUUAUGGAAUGAGUAAAGAUACUUGUCGAUAACGAGAUUGAACUAGGUAUGGAGAUACCGACGAUCGAAUCUCGGUCAAGUAAUAUAUCGAUGGACAAAGGGGAACAGUAUAAGGGAUUGAUUGAAUCCUUGACAUCGUGGUUCGACCGAUAAAGAUCUUCAUAGAAUAUGUAGGAGCCAAUAUGGGUAUCUACGUCCCGCUAUUGGUUAUUGACCGGAGAGUGUCUCAGGUCAUGUCUCCAUAGUUCUCGAACCCGCAGGGUCUGCACACUUCAGGUUCGGUGAUGUUUCAGUAUAGUUCAGUUAUGUAUGUUGGUGAUCGAAGGUUGUUAGGAGUCCCGGAUGAGAUCCCGGACGUCACGAGGAAUUCCAACAACACCGCCUACUUCAGCCACAAACUCCAACAGAGAUACCAGGAAAUAGGCGCCUGCCCCACCCUCCGCCAAGAGCACACCUUCUGAGCCAGCACAGAGCUCUUCUUCAUCAAUGGCAUCCACGGGGAAAACACAUGAGGUUAUAUGUCGUCGUUGCAAGGGUGAAGGUCAUUAUGCGAGAGAGUGCCCAUCCAAGCGUGUGAUGAUUGUUUCUGGGGAUGGUGGAUAUAACUCUGCUAGUGAUUAUGACAAGGAGACUCUGGCUCUUAUUGCAAGCGAGGAACAUGGUGUAGAUGAUACUGAACAAGAGACACAAUACAUGGCUACUAACUACGCUGACAGGUAUGAAAUCUUAGUUGCUCAGCGUGUUUUAAGUGUGUAUGUAACACAGGCUGAGCAAAAAUCCGAGGCACAACUUAUUCCAUACAAAGGGAGUUGUGAAGGAACGUUAUGUUCGUGUAAUCAUUGAUGGAGGGAGUUUCAACAACUUAACUAGCAUGGAGAUGGUGGAGAAGUUGUCUCUCACCACCAGACCACAUCCUCAUCCUUAUUACAUCCAUUGGUUCAACAACAGUGGCAAGGUUAAGAUAACACGUACUGUUCGUGUGCAUUUUAGCAUUGCUACAUAUUUUGAUUUUGUUGAUUGUGAUGUGGUACCCAUGCAAGCAUGUUGUGUUUUACUUGGUAGACCAUGGAAAUUUGAUAAAAAUUCCUUACACCAUGGUUGAAAAAUUUAGUAUACUCUUGUUCAUAAGGAUCAAAAUAUAACUUUGCUUCCUAUGACUCCUCAACAUAUUAUGAAAGAUGACAUUGCUAGAGCUAGUAAAGCAAAACAGGACCUCCAUAAGAGUGAAAAUCAGAUUGUAGCAAAGGAAUUUGAGCACCACAAAAAUCCUAAUAAACCAUCAUCUAGUGUUGCAUCUGAAAUAAAAUUGAAGAGUGGUUGUUUACUUGACAAUUAAAUCUGAUAUUACUGAUUUGGAUGUUACUACAUCUGUUUGCUAUGCUUUCAUAUGCAAGGAGGUAUUAUUUUUAUUCGAGGACAUGCCUCCCUCUUUGCCUCCUGCUGUCAUUAACAUUUUGCACGAGUUCACUAACGUCUUUCCACAAGACGUGCCAUCGGGAUUACCACCUAUUAGAGGGAUUGACCAUUAGAUUGACUUAAUUCCCGGUGCAUCGCUACCCAACCGUGCACCAUACCGCACCAAUCCAGAGGAGACGAAGGAGAUUAUGCGUCAAGUACAGGAGCUGAUCGACAAAGGUUAUAUACGCGAUUCUCUUAGUCCUUGUGUCGUUCCUAUUAUUCUAGUGCCGAAAAAAGAUGGUACAUCGCGCAUGUGUGUUGUUUGUAGAGGCAUUAAUAAUAUUACUAUUCGUUAUCAUUAUCCUAUUCCUAGGCUAGAUGAUAUGUUUGAUGAAUUAAGUGGCUCUACAAUUUUCUCCAAAGUUGAUCUGCGUAGAGGAUACCAUCAAAUUCGCAUGAAAUUGGGAGAUGAAUGGAAAACAACAUUUUAAACUAAGUUUGGAUUAUGAGUGGUUAGUUAUGCUUUUUGGGUUAACUAAUGCACCUAGCACUUUCAUCAGAUUACUAAAUGAGGUUUUACGUGCUUUCAUUGGACAAUUUGUGGUAGUCUACUUUGAUGAUAUACUGAUUUAUAGUAGAUCUUUGGAGGAACACUUGGAUCAUUUGCGUGUUGUUUUUAUUGCUCUACAUGAUGCACGUUUGUUUGGUAACCUUGGUAAGUGCACCUUUUGCACUGACCGGGUAUCUUUUCUUGGCUAUGUUGUUACUCCAGAGGGAAUUGAAGUUGAUAAAGCCAAAAAUGAAGCUAUUGAGAGUUGGCCGCAGCCCAAAACGGUCACACAAUUGAGGAGUUUUCUUGGACUCGCCGGGUUUUAUAGGCGUUUUGUGAGAGAUUUCAGCACCAUUGCUGCACCUCUCAAUGAGCUUACAAUGAAGGAUGUGCCUUAUGCUUGGGGUAUCGCACAGGAAGAGCCUUCACGGUUUUAAAAGAUAAGUUAACACAUGCUCCUUCACUCCAACUUCCUGGUUUUAAUAAGACUUUCCAGCUUGAAUGUGAUGCUAGUGGAAUUGGAUUAGGAGGUGUGUUGUUACAAGAUGGUAAACCUAUUGCAUACUUUUAUAAAAAAUUGAGUGGGCCUAGUGUGAAUUAUUCUACUUAUGAUAAGGAAUUAUAUGCUCUUGGUCGGACCUCGGAAACGUGGCAACAUUAUUUAUGGCCCAAAUAAUUUGUCAUACAUUCUCAUCAUGAAUCUUUGAUACAUAUUAAAAGUCAAGCAAAACUGAACCAUAGACAUGCCAAAGGGUUGAAUCCAUUAAGACUUUCCCGUACAUCAUUAAACACAAGAAGGGUAAAGAAAGUAUUAUUGUUGAUGCAUUGUCUCGUUGUUAUACCAUGUUUUCAAUACUUGACUUUAAAGUAUUUGGUUUGGAGACCAUCAAAGAUCAAUAUGUGCAUGAUGCUGAUUUUAAAGAUGUGUUGGAGAACUGUAAAGAAGGGAGAACAUGGAACAAGUUCAUCAUUAAUGAUUGAUUCGUGUUCCGUGCUAACAAGUUAUGCAUUCCAGCUAGCUCUGUUCGUCUUUUGUUGUUGCAGGAGGCGAAUGGAGGAGGAUUGAUGGGACACUUUGGCGUAAUCAAGACGAAGGACGUACAUGCUACACAUUUCUUUUGGCCAAAGAUGCGACGGGAUGUUGUGCGUUUUGUUGCUCGUUGCACGACAUGUCAAAAAGCUAAGUCACGACUCAAUCCUCAGGGUUUAUAUAUGCCUUUGCAUGUACCUAGUGUUCCUUGGGAGGAUAUAUCUAUGGAUUUUGUUUUAGGUUUACCUCGAACAAAGAAGGGGAGGGAUGGCAUAAUUGUUGUCGUGGACAUAUUUUCAAAAAUGGCACACUAUAUACCAUGUCAUAAAAGUGAUGAUGCUGCUAAUGUGGCUGAUUUGUUCUUUCCUGAAAUUAAUCGCUUUUGGAGAUGUUUAUGGGCUAAGUUGGGGACAAAACUACAUUUUAGUACUACAUGUCACCCCCAAACUGAUGGACAAACUGAAGUAGUCAAUAGAUCAUUGUCUACUAUGCUUAGGGUUGUUUUGAAGAAAAACCUAAAAAUGUGGGAAGAAUGCUGGCCUCAUAUUGAAUUUGCUUAUAGUCGUUUGCUGCAUUCUACUACUAAGAUGUGCCCUUUUGAAGUUGUGUAUGGUUUCUUACCUCAUGCACCUAUUGAUUUGGUACCUCUUACAUCUUCGGAUAAGGUUAAUUUUGAGGCUAAAGAACAUGCUGAUUUGAUAUUAAAGGUGCAUGAGUUAACUAAGGAAAACAUUGAGCGUAUGAAUGCUAAAUAUAAACUUGUUGGAGAUAAGGGUAGAAAACAUGUUGUCUUUGCAUCGGGAGAUCUUGUUUGGUUGCAUUUGCAUAAGGAUAGGUUUCCGGAUUUGCACAAGUCAAGCUAACGCCACGUGUUGAUGGUCCUUUCAAGGUGUUAGAGAAAAUAAAUGAUAAUGCAUAUAGAGAUGAGCUGUCUGCAGAUUUUGGGGUUAGUCCCACUUUUAACAUUGCAGAUUUGAAGCCAUAUUUGGGUGAGGAAGAUGAGCUUCCGUUGAGGACGACUUCAAUUCAAGAAGGGGAGGAUGAUGAAAACAUCAACACCAUUGUUACACCCACAGCACCAUCUGUUAUACAUACUCGACGAGUUACUAGAGCUCGCGCACGCCAAUGGAAUUACCAGGUACUUUCGUUUCUUGGAAAUCCUUCUAAUGUUCAUGAACAUAUGAUGUUGCCUAAGUUAGAUACUUUUGUUUUACUUAUGAAUGAAGGACCUAGCAUGGACAAGAAGUAUAUCCAUUGGAGCGGUAGCAAGCAUGGAGAAGAAGGUGAACUUGCGGGAAAGAACAGUGGAGAUUCCAAUCAUGAUUUUCGCACUUUGAAGCCACCAUAAGGAGAGCAUGAAGGUUUCGACGAAAUAUUCAAGAUGACACUUUACAAAUUUCAUCCGUAGGCUAUUAUAGGUGUCGCGCCACCUUAUUUUUGGGCCAUGCCCAUGUAAUUUUGAAAUACCAUACUAUAGGCUAUUUUUAGAGUUUGUAUAUGUGGGGAAACUGAGUUAGGGUCAGUUUCGGACCCCUCCUCCAAGGUGUCAUGAAAUUCCUCCUCUAUUCCCCAUAUAUACAGCCCUUAGGGCGCCGUUUAGACUUGGGUUUUAUUUAGAUUACAUGUUCACCAUAGAUGCAAAUUCGCAUUUUUCAUUUGUGUUCCACGACCACAAAAAGGCGUCACACAACCCCACUUUCAUCAAUAAAGCUUUCCUCUUAUAUUCGCAAUAUUCAGAUUGCAAUCAUAGUUUCUUGGUUGUUCUUCGUUUGCGUGCAGGAAACAGACCCUCAUGGUCAGGUUUAUCGUGCUCCGGCGUGGUCAAUAACCUCUCAGAGUUGAUUUUGUGAUUGCUAAGGCGCGACAUCCUCACACGUUUGUAGUCGGAUCGUCAAAGUCAAUUCCACCAGAACGAUAACCACCAUCUCAUCGAAAGACAGGGACAACUUUGCCUCCAUCACCUAGAGCGAAUGAUUUCGUUCGCUAGUUCAUCCUUCUAGCGCGUACGAAUGCCCAGAAUGCCCCUGGAGCGAACGUCAACUCCCUAUUGACAUCCUAAAUCUAUAACUCUAUUUUACUAGUUGAAACAAAUACUUCAAUACUGAUAUGACUGCACUCAACUCUAAGGGUGUUAUUGGAGUUGCCCUGACAAUUUGUCAUGCCAUUUAGAGCAUCUCUAGGAGAUUCCAUAUCUAAAAUUCCAAAAUUCGUCUUAUUAUAUCCUAUAAAGUCACAAAGGUGGUCAAACUUUUCUCCAGCUAGCAGAUCCACGAAAACUUGAUCCUUUAAAAGUAUUAUUUUGCUAAUUCAUCCAACCAUUUUAAAAAUUAUCACAACAUAUUUCAAUACUUUAGAAUUCAAGAACAUGCAAUUCAAAUACAUGACAAUGUUUAUGUUCUCAAACAUAAUCAUGCAAAUACAAACACAACAAAUGGUCCAAAUGAACUAAUACCAAAAGUUUCAACAGAGGAAUCAAGUGUUAUGAAUACGCCAAUGGUGCUCAAUAAGAUUUUCUUGAAGUCGAUUGUAAGCUUAACUGUUCUCAAUCGGUUGGUCUGAUUGGAGGAAGGCUUCAAUCCUAUUUGGGUUAUAUUGCGGCUCCACGAUUUCCCGUUGAAAAGAUACUGAAAGUCUCGUUGGUCAUCUCUAUCAUUUUCGAUGAUCUUAUUGUGCAAUAUAAUGCAUAUUUCCAUGAUCUUCUACAAGGUCUCGGACUUUCAAUACUCAGCAGAGCGAUGGAAAAUAACAAAGCAUUAUCCAAACACACCAAAACCUCUCUAAACAUCCUUUUUAGCAUAUUAUUGUAUAGUUGUAAAGUGAGAUUUCAUGUUGCCUUUAGGAUGGUGGAUUGUCUUCACAAUUGUGGCACAUGGAAGAUAUAUCUCAUCAACUAGGUAAUAUCCCUUGUUGUACUCAUUGUCAUUGAUAACAUAGUUGCAAGGUGGAUUGUCUAUGGUAAUAAGCCUUGCAAAAAUAGGAAAUCAUGAGAAGACAUUGAGAUCACUGAGAGAGCCAUGCAUCCAAAUUAUGUGUACUAAAUCCAGAUCAUGUGAUGCAAAUGCCAUAAGAAUGAUAGUUGGAUCAUGAAAUGCACUAUGUACUAACCUUUCUGUGCCGCGGGGAAAUAUUACAUGCCCAACGCAUACAGUCAAUUGAUUCAAGCAUCCCAGGGCAACCCAUCUUUUUAUUUUCUGCCAUGAGCCUCUACAUAUCCUCAUCAUUGGGAGACCUCAAGUACUCUGGUACACAUAUUACGAUCUCAUCAUCAUAGGAUCGUUUCACACAAUCCGUGAUAAGAUCUUCCCCAAUGCGAACAUAGUCAUCAAUAGCAUCGCCGAGGCAUUCAUAAGCAAGGACUCGCAUGGUUGGGAAAUCUUCAACAAUGAAUUGUAGUUUUUGUUCCUGUUGCAUUCCUUCUAGGUUGAAACAAAGGAUCAUGUUUCUCCAUAGCUUUUGCAAUGGUGUCGAAAAGAUCGUAGUGCAUCCGGAAUAUGUGCCUACAGUAGGAAGAAUGAUAUAAUGCAUUUGAGCAAAGUGAUCCCUCACUAGAUGAUCAUGACCUCACAUCUAGAAAAUACAUAUGGAAAUAAAUGAAGACGUUAUCCAUUGUGUGCCACAAAAUUAGCCUCCGGAUUACAACGUUGCAAGGAAAUUCAUCCAAUCAUGUAUGCUAUCUGGAAACAAUCCGCUAGAAUUGUUGAGUAUGGGCUCCAAACCUAAAUUGUUGAGUAUUGAUAGAUCUGACACGACUUGGCCUCGCUAUAAAAGGCCUGGCAUGACACUACCUAUGUCGGCCUUUUUAUACAAAGGUUGUGUUGUGCCAACCUAAAAGCCUGGCUUUGAAGAACAGCCUAGCAAGCAAGUUAAAAUGACCGGCCCAGCAUGCCAUGGUUUGGCUUCUUUUAAAAACUAAAAACAAACCUAAAAAGACAAAACAACACGUCCAUGAAAAGAUCAAAACAAACAUGCCUAAAAAGGCUCCACACUUAAAAGGGUCAUAUCGUGCUAGUUCUUAAGGCAUGGCCUUCGGGAUCCGCCUUGUUCUAUAACCCCACCCUUCUACUCAUGUGCCUUGCCACGCCAAUGACUGACCAACAAUACGUGCAUGUGGCCAAGUGUGUAAGACACAAACCAUAUGACCACCUUUAGUAAUACCUCAUCUACAAAAACGAGAGAUAUAUCUCACUUAGUGCGAGUGCUCCUUCCAUCUCGCCUGAAGAUUAAUCUCCACACUAUAGCUACUCGGCCGACCCAUUUCAUUUCCUUUUUUAUGUUUAGUUCAGGUUCGCUGAGUUUCAUUCGUUGGGUUUAGUUCUUGGUUUUCUUCUCUGUUGACCCUUUUCUCAGGUUUUGGCUUGAUUUUUUUUUAUUUUGUCUUGUAUUUUCUUCGGGGGUUUUAAUUUACAUCAGGUUCUAUAUUCUGUUUUCUAUUUCUUUCUUUUUUAGUUUUCCUAAGUUUUUACUUGAUCUUUAUUUCUUGCACUGUUUUUUUAGUUUUCUUCUUUCCCUUCUCUCUUCUGUUUUCUUUUGUUUCCUUCUUUGAUUUUUUAUUUUCUGUUUUGUUGUUUUUCCCAUCUUUUUACGUUUAUUUCCUAGUUUCAUCAGUUUUCAUCGCUUGUCUUCAGUUUAUUUUAUGUUUUCCUCAGUUUUCUCCUGGGUUUCAUAGUUUUCUUCAUAAUUUUCAUUUUUCUUCGUUUCUAAGCUGUUUUUUUUGUUUUUUCUUCCGUUUCUAUGGGUCUCAUUGUUUUUCUUUGUUUUUUCUUCAAUACAUGACAUUUUUCGUACACAUUUACACAAUUUACGCAUACACUACAUUUUUUGCACAUCUUAACAUUUCAUAAGUACCUAAUUAACAUUUUCCGCAAAUUAAUGUUGUAUGACUACCUUUUUAUACACAUUGUAUAUUUUUGGUGUAUAUCAAAAACAUUUUUAAUACAUGUUUAACAUUUUAUAAUAUAUCAUUAACAUUUCUUCAUACAUGAUCAAUAUUGUUCCAAUCUAAUAUUAUUAUGUUAAAUUUUUUUUAAAUGCUCCAAAAAAAUUACAUACAUUAGGGACAUUUUUUCUACACGUUCAUUGUUUGAAAAAUAGAGGAUUAAUUGUUUUCUUCAAAUAUUUGUGUUUGAUGACUACCUUUUUGUUACACAUCAGGAACAUUUCUUAGCCACUUAUAACAUUUUAUAAAUACACAAUUAACAAUUUUUUGAUACACAAUAAACAUUCCUAAAAAUUUAUGUUUCUAUGUUCAAUUCUUUUAAUACACGUUCUACAUUUUUGUAUACAUCAGGAACAUUUCUUGUAAAUAUUUAGUUUUUGUAAAAGACGAUUAACUUUUAAAACAUAUAAUUUUGUAUGUCUACUGUUUCCAUACAAAUUAUAUAUAUUUUGUAUACAUUAGGAACAUUUUUUAUAUACAUGUUUAGUUUUUUUCUAAAUAAAUGAUUAAAUAGUUAAAAUCUUGUUUUUAUUGUCCAGUUCUUUCCGUACUCAUUGUUUUUUUAUACUUUUUUCGUAUAGACCGGAAACAUUUUUCUAUACACAGUUAAGUUUAUUUUCAUUUUUAUUAAAUGUAAGUAAAUUUAUUUUUCUAACAUAUAUGUUUAGGAUAUUUCAAAGUACAAACAAAGGUUAAAAAGGAAAGAAAUCAUAAACAAAAAAACAGAAGAAAAACGAUCCACUGGACUCUCUCGCGCCUGCGCCGGCCAUGUAUAUGGCGUCGAGCGAGGUAUAGGCAGGCCAAUGCCGUACUAUCGAAAAUAAAUCUAUGAAUGUCGGACUACUGUACAUAAGUGGGCGUAUGGAACAUAGAUAAAAAUGCACGACUGGAGGGACACGAAAUAUCCGCUCUCGAGCUCAAAUGCAUCUUGAUAAAUAGUAAAAUUUUAGAAAUAGUAUAAACAUUCAAAAAAAUUGAAUUUCUUCAGUGGUAAACUUUGAAAAGUAUUUUGUAUGUUCACAAAAUUUCAGCACCAAAUAAGAUUCGUAGAAGUCAUGUUAAAAGAAAUUGGAUACUCCAACUUCAAGAAAUGCCAUUUCGUGCUGAAAUUUGUUCAGCAGACAAAACAUUUAUCAAAGUUUACCAAAAAAAAAACAGAUUUUAAAAAAAAUAUUUUUUUACUGUUUAUAAGGUUGCAUUAUAGGACUUCCGCGACAGGGAGCAGCUACGUCUACUAUCUACUGAUAUUUCCCCUCCUGGGUCCACGCAUGAGCGGUGCCGAAGCCCGAUCUACCGAGCAUCCACUGCAUCUGAGCUCUGCGGCGUGGUUGACCACCACAGCGGCACAGCCCAAUCAUACGGGAGCACGCAUGAUGUUCAGCCUCCGCACGCGCAUCGCCCCCCACUGCGCACUCGUCGACGCACCAGGCCUGCGGACGCGACACCUCGCCCUCCGCCGCAGGUCAGUGUCACCCAGCUCGGACGCAUGACAGAUACCGGGAAAAAUCGGGAGACGCGAGAGCCCCAGCACAGCACAGCACAGCACAGGCACUGUAGUGCGCACGCAGAGCCAAACGCUCCACAUGGCGCGUGAAGUUGACUUUUGAUCGUGAGGGAGCGACGAAGGACGAAGGAGCGGCCCUCCCCGUCGUAUAAAACCCCCCUCGCACCCACCACCCAAGGCGCCAUUGUCGCGCGCAGCAGCUCGAUCGUAGACAAGUGGAGUGCAUACUUGUGUGGUAGGCGGCGAGCGAGAGAGAGGCCAAACGCUGGACGGAAGAGAGGUGGAUCAUACUCAUAGCACGCACGGUGCUCCCCCUCCCCUCGUCUCCGUUCUCGUUGUGGUGAAGAUGACGAUGGAGUGCAGGAAGAUGACGCCCGUCCUUGCCCUUCUGCUGCUGCUGUCGUACCUUCUUCUUCCCCUCGUCUCCUCCGUGCCUGUGUCGAGUAAGUGAUUGACUUGACCCCCAGCCCAUGCAUUCGUGAUUCAUGCAUGCAUGGACCUUAAUUCAUGUGUUCAUCUUCUUUCUUGGCAUGUAUGUGCAUGCAUCUUAAUCUAGUGGCUUGCUCUUGGAUGUAGGAAGCGUGGCAUUGGGAAAUCAUCAAGCCUCCGCUUCUAGUCUGAAUCUGGAGGCGGUGCCUGUUCAGGUCAAUCUCUCCUCCUCUCGACCUCUCCCUCUCCCUAUCCCUCUCCCUCUAUCGGAUGCCUUUGUCGUCCUUGUACAUGUCUCUAGCUCCUCCUAGUGCGGGUUGAAUCCGUUAUUCCGUUGUGGGUUCAUAGAUGCCAAAUGGUACUGUACUCUCAUACAGACGUUGUGGCGAGUGGCGAGUGGCUCUGGAUGUUUCCUGCUUGCCAGGUGCCAGUUGCCGGAGCCGUCGCCAUGGCUUGCCUGUUCCGUUGUCUCUUCACUCGUUUAGACUUUAGAGGCUCGAAGCUAGCGCAUAGUACAUUGUGCCGUGACGGCCCUAGCUAGCAGGAAAACAUGGUUGAUAAUUCUACUAACCAUUUGAUUAACUAGCCUAGUAUAUAUAGCGCACUCAUAGGUCAAGGCAAGUGCUCUUCUGUAUCUGGCCUCCACUAUAGCACUCGGCCACUGAGCCACUCGUCACUCGCCACAUACAAGGCUAGGCUGAUGCUCUCAGGUCGCAGGUGACUACUCAACUCACUGACGCGGCACCCACAGUUUGACAAAAUCGCAUGUGACCUUUGGACGCCCGGAAGAGCAGACACGAAGCUGCGUCGGCCGGUUGCUAGCUAGUGCAGUGAUCCCAUGCCCAGCCACAUGCAUGCACGGCUAGAUAAGCCCGGCCGGGCCGGCGCAGUGCAGCUCACAUGCGUGGCCACUCCCCAUAAGCCAUUUGUUGUACUAUAUACUUGUAUAGUUGUAUUGCACCCACCCACACGAUCGACGGCUUUCCCUAAACAAGGAAAGGUCCACCUCGCUCGUGCAACAAGAACAUUCCCGCUCCCGGUGUGGUGUGGGGUUUGCCUGCAAGUUGCAAAUUGCGUACACAUGCAUCUAGAAUAUGUAUAUUCAGGUUGAGGUGUGUGACACUAACGCGGCUCGUGUUGUUCAUACAGGGCGUCGUGACGACGGCCGCUGAGGAGCGAAGCGUCGGCGAAGUGGUGGCGCGGAUGGACAUCGAGGUCAACGACUACCCUGGAUCCAGCGCCAACGGCCGCCAUGAGCCGCCUAGGAGCCCCGGGAGGGGGUGAAGCGCCGAUCUGCAGAACCUAUAUGGAGAUUAGUAAUGGGUUUAGUCUAGUCUAGAUAGCAGUUGGAGAUGGGAGGAUAUUGGUGGUGACUGGUGAGUCCAACGGGUUAAACAUGUCUCUGCUAACUCUCGAGAGCAAGGAAUGAAGCAUUUUAAGUAUUCCCUCUGAAAAUAAAUAUAAGACGUUUUAGAUCACUAAGACUUGUUUUUAUAUGCAUAUGCCUCUCUAAGCCCAUGUUUUUUCAAAAAGAAAAAAAAUGAUAGAGCAUGGACAUGCGUGUCUGCCAAUUUCAAUGACUCGAAAAGAACAAGACCGAGCGGGGAGAAAGAAUUCUGACUAUGCUUCUUUGGAUAGCUGUUUCAGUUCGGUAGAAUUGUAUGCUCCUCAAUAGUGACAUGACAGUGAUGUACAAGUCGACUGAAUUUGUAAUUUGGAUAAGUCAAAUUUAUGGGAGGAGAAACGGUUGAAAGAGAAAGGAGCUGAAGGAAGAAGAAAGAAGGACGGUCGUUGGAUCUUAGGCCAUGUUCGGUGAUCACCCACUCCCAGAAUCUAUGGAGUGGGGCAACAGCAACUCCAUCAUUUUAUACAGCAGCUCCGUCAACUCCGCUUCCGGAGUUGUGGAGCGGAGCGAUACCGAACACGGCCUUAAUCUAAUGGCCUAGAAAAAUUGACUUAUUCAAAAUAAAUUUUCUGGCGCCGGUCCCCAUUUCUCAUGCAGCCCACGCCGACUUGCGCGGUUUAAUUCCGUUGCGUGCUUGAAGCACCUUCUCAACAGUAGUGAUCAAACAGUCCAACAAGGACUGCAAACUGUGCAACCAUGGGUGUAGAGCUUAACACGACACCUGAAAACUGUCGACCGAUAGCUAAUGAAGUUAAGAACGAACACUGGUGCGAUGUCAACAUAUAUCAACAGAUCCGAAAGGAACGUACGGAUCGAUACGGGAGCAGCGGGAUCAGCCGAUUGGAGGCUAAAAACAAAUAAAUCUGGAUCCCUGCGUGUGUCCUAUUCAAUGGAGAUAAGCAGACUAUUACUCCCUUUGUAUCUAAAGAACUAUAGUACUCCCUCCGUCACAGUUUAGAAAACAUGCACGUGUAUCUACAUCGUUAAUUUGACUUAUAUAAAAUAUAUUAUUUAACAUAAAAAUUACAUAAUUAGAAAAUAGAACACCUAAAGUUUUCGAUGAUAUAUUUUUUAUUAUAUAUGCCUCUUAUUAAGUUGGUCAAAUUGACGACCUAGAUACAUGUGUGGGUUUUAUAAACUGAGACGGAGGGAGUAGAAAAGGCAUAGUCUGGUUUUUUCUAACUAUAAUUAUUUUAUUUACAUAAAGAUGGAGUAGUAAGCAUGGAUGUGUGGAUCUGGGGAAAACCUACUACAUGAGAAGGUCCGGUCGAAGUAGCUAGGAUCUGUUUUUCCUUUCCACGGUUUUCCUUGUUUUCUUGUUUUUCGUAUUUUCUUCACUGGUUUUCCUUUCCUUUAAAAAAACAUAUUUAUUUUUCUUGUUUUUUCAAAAAAGUUCAAAUUUUACAAAAAUGUUUGAAAAAAAUCAAAAAAUUCACAUUUUUCAGAAAAUGAUAAUAAUUCUAAAAAAUUGUGUUUAAAGAAAAGGGAAUUUGAAAAAAUGUUUGUGCUAUCAAAUUUUGUUUUGAGUUUGCAAAUCCCAUUUUCAAAAAUUGAUAACAAAUCCAAAAAAGGUUGAUGUUUUAAAUUAUAGUUGGAGACUCAAAAAUUGUAAACAUUAUCAAACUCUGUUCAAAAUUUUAAAAAUAAUCAUUUUCAAAUAGUAUUGACAGAUACAACAAUAUUCAAGAUUUCCAAAAGAAUCAAUUUUCUUUUGUAAACAAAAUGUUCACCAAUUUGGACUUGUCCGAGUUUCCAAAAAUAUUUCACUUUAAAAAAUGUUCGGAUUUUCAAAAAAAUAUUUUAGCUCUAUCGCUGCCUAUGGUUCUUAUAUCUCCAUGCUAGCCUUAAAGAAACUUUGAAACCAAAACUCAAAAACUCCAGUGGCUAGCCACUACCGUUCACAAGAUUGCACACCUCUCUCCGGCUCUAUACACAAUGAGCCGGCACACCAAGAUACCCCCUAUGCAGCCAUCAUCCUAUUUGACAAAAAGAGCAUCAAACGGUAGGUCCAAGGGUCUAAAUCGAUUUGAUACCUUGGGUAGAUGAGAUUUAGGUUCGGCUUAAUUUCUUCUUCAUGAGGUAUACGGGUUGGUUCAAUAUUUUAUAAUGGGCCCGAUCUCACCAAACAUCAAGUUGGACCGCUAACUUGACAAAUUUGGCAUUCUCGACACUUCGUUGUUUGACUCGGUAUGCACAGGUUGUACACUUGGGUAUGUGCGGCCAUCUCAAGCUGCCCCUUUUUUAGUCUAAACACAUUUUAUUUAUUGUUUAUUAAUGUUCAUAGGGAUACAGAAAAGGUUUGAUGGGUUAAUAAGCCGUAGAUGGCGUCCAUAAUUCAAACCUAGAGCCUGCUUAGCGAGGCAAUGUGUCUCAACAUUGGUAGUCUACCUUCGAUACAGUAAUAAAGGUACAAUAAUAAAGGUACAAUGGUGAAACAUUAUUGCGGUCUCUGUUACCUCCUUUACCGUACUUGCGUACGCGCCCCAUUCUCUCAUUGAUGUCAUGGACGACUCCUGUGCAAUCCAAGGCAAUGAGUAUACGUGACACACAGAGAUCCGCAACAAGUGCCAUCGCCUCACGACACGCUAGAGCUUCCAAGGUAGCAGGGUUUGUAAUUCCUCAAAAUUUGAUGGUCGGGGCGCCUAAGAAUAGGCCAGCAGAGUCCAUGCAAAUAGCGCUGACUGAACCCUCCAAAAUGUUCCUAGAAACAACCUCAUCCACUCUAACUUUUGCAGUACCAUGCGGCCGUGCAAUCCAUCGAGGUUGUGAUCGUGCCUCGACGACACCUACAACCGUUGGUGCUUUCCUCUGCUCGAUUCCCUCUAUUUCUCGUAUGUAUCCCAUGAUGAAAUUGUGUGUUGAGAGCGGGCUUUGGAAAUUAUUUUCAUGGAGUGCUUGCCGCCGUGCAUGCCAAAGAGCCCAGGUCAUUACAACCACGUGGAUCAUCUCCCGCAGAGAGCAUGUCCACAAGGGGGUAAAGAUACAUUGUCUCGCAUCUGGCUCCCUGUUAUUGCUCAAAGCUUCCACCAAGUACUACGUACUCCUGCAACGCCCAGACGCAACGAGACACUUCGCAAUGGAGCAAUGAAUGCUGCCACGAGUCUUCGGCUCCACAGAGUCCACAUCUCGUACUAGUUGACAUAUUGUGAUGAUGUAGUAAAUCUGAAGUGGGAAUCGACUGUUGGGCAAGCCUUCAUAAGAAAAUCUUAACUUUUGAAGCGACCUUAACUUUCCACAACUUCUCCCACGAUUUGGUAUAUUUAUAUCUGUUUCUGUAGAAUGAACACGGCCCUCGAGCCAUGCUUCCCUCCUGAAUUUAGUAUCCACAAGCAUGCGAUACGCGGAUCGAACAGAGAAGACUCCAUUUUUCUCAUGUAACCAAGACCAAAAAAUGUUAUUUUGUUUUGUGCACAAAGGUAUGGCCAUGAUCGAGUGCGCACCCGUUGGUAUGAAUAUCUCUUCUGUAGCAGUUUGGUCUCAUUCAGCACUAGGCAAAAUUAGUCGGCUAACUAGUUGCGGUUGGUUUGCAGCCCUGCUCAAGAUGGGUCGCAUGUUAGCUCGUCUCGGUAGCCAGUUGCGUUGCCAAAUGCGCGUUGAAGUUCCGUCACCUAUGCGCCAAAUCAAACCUUGCAUCAUAACGCCACGGACUUCAAGAAUAGCUUGCUACUCCCUCCGUCUAAAUAAGUGUACAUAUGAAUUUGUACUUAAUCAAACUUUUUAAAAUUUGACCAACGUUAUAAAAAAUAGUAACAACAUAUAUGACAUGAAAAUGAUAUAUUUGAAAACUUUAUGUAAAGAUAAAUCUAUUGAUACUAAUUUGAUAUCCUAAAUGCUAGCACCUUUUUUAGUAAAGUUAGUCAAAGUUUAACUAGUUUGACUGACAGAAAAAGAUAAAGUAUACUUAUUACCGGACGGAGGGAGUAGAUUUGUGAUGGAACCGAGCCCAGCUCAGAGGACAAAAAAUCGAUGUUAGGGUGGUAAUUUGCCUUCAGUACACACGCACUAAGGGACUCUAGAUCCAUUAUUAUUCUCCAUGCCUGUCGAGCCAAUAGGGCUAGAUUGAAGAGCUCGAUGUCACAGAAUCCCGGCCCUCCGUAGUACUUUGGUCUUGUCAUUGUGCUCCAAGACACCCAACUGGUCUUCCUGUAGCCCUCUUUGCUGCCCCAUCAAAAGUUUGUGAUCAAAGAGUUAAUGUGUUCACAAAGGCCACGAGGUAAUUUAAAGAAAGACAUAGAGUAUACGGGGACAACUUGUGUAACAAAUUUGAUCAAAACUUCUUUGCCUCCUACUGAAAACAGCUUCUCCAUCCAACCUUUAACCUUGUUCCACACUUUGUCCUUUAAAAACUUAAAGGCUCCGGUCUUGCAGCUUCCUACAUCAGAUGGCAUACCCAAAUAUCUAUUUGAAAGUGAUUCGUUUGUAAUAUUUAAGCUCGGUUCUGAGGGAGGUUAGACACCCCUUGCUGAAAAACACCAAGGAUUUUGACAAAGUUAUUGUUUGGCCACACAUGUUGCAAUAGCUAUCCAACAAAUAAGACAACUCAUUUACUCCAAGCUUUGACAAACAACAGGCUAUCAUCUGCAAAAGCAACUGGCUUACCGACGGCGCCGACGGAGCUACUUGGAUUCCACUGAGGUUCGAUGAUUCUUAUUGGGUUUUUAAGAGGCACGAAAGGCCCUCUGAUGCAAGCCAAAACAGGUAUGGAGAAAUUGGGUCUCCGUGUCCUAUCCCCGUGGAUGGUAUAUAAACUCCUCAGGCCCCCCACAUUAAAUAGAAUAUAAAAUUUCACCCAUGUUACCAUCCUCAUAAUUGAAGCAACCCAAGUGAUCUUGGACAUAAUAGCUUCAAGAUAAUUCCAUUCCAAUCGAUCGUAUGCUUUCAUCAUGUCCAAUUUGACCGCACAAAAUAUGUUUCAUUUUGCCUUAUUUCUCUUCAUAAAAUGUAAGCACUCAUAAGCCGUGAUGAUAUUGUCCGUGAUCGACCGUCCAGGAACAAAGGCUGAUUGCUCUUCAGAUACAAUGUCAGAUAAAAUCAGCUUUAACCUGUUGGAUAAAACCUUAGAAGCAAUCUUAUAUAGUACAUUGCACAAGCUAAUAGGCCUCAACUAGGACAAUGUAGUUGGGUCCUUUACCUUCAAAAUCAAGACAAGAAUCGUUUCAUUGAUUACCUGUGGGCUCUCAUCACCUCGAAGGAUGCGCAAAACCACCUUUGUUACCUCAGUGCCACAUAACCCCUAGUGCCUCUAGAAAAGAUGCGCUGAUAAGUGGAUACAUCAGAUAAACAAUUAAUUAAGCGUCUUAUCCACUUACGGGUGGCAUGGCCGGUAAUUUACUUCAACUUUACUUUAUGAGUAGGUUAUGGUAGAUGGACGAACCAAAAAAUCGAAGAAACGCACCAUCUUUUAUUUUUAUUAGGCAUAGAUACGGUGAUUAUUUUUAUACAAACUCAACAUUUUUAAUGUACAACGAAUUUUUUCUUAAUACAAGUAGAGUAUUUGUAAAUACGCAUAGAAUUUAUUAAAGCAAAAACCGAUCAUUUUUUGACAAUACCAUAAAAACAAAAAUAAAAACACCCGAUGACCAAAUUUAAAAACAAAAACAGAUAAAUAAUCACCAUAAAAACUGGUCAGACUCAUGAUGAAUGAAAAACUAGAUGGUCCUAUGACAUACAAAUGAUUAGGUGGAACCUUUUUUUUUAGUUUUACAGGUGACAGGGUGGAUAAUUUUCUUCAACUUUCUGUGCAGUUUCGAUGACACAUAAAAAUAAGAAAAAUAAUUAACAAAUAAUUUUUUAUUACGGGUGACAAAAUGAGUAAUUUAUUUUAACUGUAGACAGUUUUAAUGAUAAGCGGAUACAUUAGAGAAACAAUUAAUUAAGUGUUUUUUCACUUACUCGUGGCAUGGCGGGUAAUUUACUAAGCUUCACUUUAUGAGCAGGUUAUGUAGAUGGACGAACCAAAAAAUCGGAGGAACACAUCAUGUUUUAUUUUAGGCAUGGAUACGGUGAUUAUUUUUUGUACAAGCUCAAAAAAUUUAGUGUACAAUGAACUUUUUAUUAAUACAAGUAGAGUAUUUUUAAAUACUCAUAAAAUUUAUUAAAGCACAAACCAAUCAUUUUUUGACAAUACCUUUAAAACAAAAAGAAAAACACCCGAUGACCAAAUUUUAAAACAAAAACAGAAAACCAAACAAACAAAAACCCAUAAAAGGCCUGAAAGAACCGGAAAGAAAAGUUGAGAAAAAAAAGAACCAACGAAAAUACUAGAAAAGUUUGGCAUGGAAAUGCAUUCUUUCGUUAGUUUUGGCAUGGAAAUGCAGAACCGGAAAGAAAUGUGCGCCGUCGAAACCUGCCAAACUGGGCCGGCCCAUUUGACUUGCUAACAUUUGAAGGCGGAAGAAGCAGCUAUAGCGCGCGCAAUUUGCUAAAGGAAAAAAAAAAAAACUAUAGCGUGCGCGUGAGAUGCACCUCCAUUUGACAGUCUGCCGUCUCUCAGACUGUCGGUCCGGCUUCACACACUAGAAUGACUCCUUACGCAAUAGAAUAGAAAAUUUCACCCAUGUUACAAUGGAAGCUACUUUUUUUUUUGCGAAUACAAUGGAAGCUACUUUGAUACGCCGUUGCACCUCAGUAUAGGGUGGAUAUGGCCGCACUUUGUCCAGCUCCAGAAUCAUGGGCGCCACACACUUCAAGACGUAUGAGACGGUGCGCACUCGUAGGAACACACGUAGUACUCCGUAUUCCCCUACUCGAUGGCGUCUGUCUCGCAAUCAUCGUCAAGGCGAACAUCGCAACCUGCUGUGCUUGCUGGUUCAUACAUAGUCCAGACUCGGUCAGACUCUACCCCCAGCGCGCGGUGGAGCUCGACCAAAUCCAUCCAUGGCGAAGCACUCAAGCCGCUCGGUGCGGCCGUGCCCAACCGUUCCAUUCCGUCCGCACACGCCCGUCAACUUCUGGGGCACCACCCCGGACCGAAUCUCCCCGCGCGUUACCACAGAAAUCCGCAACAGUUGGGCGCUGAACCACACGCACGCACGCCGCCGCCCAACGCGUGGCCAUCGUGCUCUCCGGCGACGUGGAAAAUUUUGACCCAAAAGCAAAACUAAUUCACAAACUGAACUACGUUUGAAAAAAAUUCAUUCAGCUGACUCUUUUGUGUGACAUCUUUGUCUUAGACAUCAUACUAUAUUGUGUGUCGUCCGGCAUUAUGUUGUGUGAUGCCUGAGACCUAGUGUGACGUCUAAGGCAUGGGCGUCACACUACACUGUGUGGCACUAGUGCGGCGUCUAAGACAAAAACAUCGCACAGUGUAGUCCACAUAAAAAGAUUAGCUGGGUGAAAUUUUUUCAAACAUAGUUCCUUGUAUAAAAUACUUUAGCUUCUGGAUUAAAUUUGUCAAUUUUGCCUGCUCUCCCCUCGCAAGGGCCAAACUUGCAAGGAACCUGCUGGGAGUACCAUGAGAUCACGUAGCCAUAGCCUUCGAUUAGCGCUCCGUUUGUCUACACCCAUGCAUGUGACCUCACAUGCCCAAGAACAGUACCGCCGAAUCAACCGAGGUCGCUGUUCACUGUGCUCCUGUAUGAUGGCCAAACGGCUACGGAUUUGGUUUGGUUGGUUAAUCACAUGGGUUGGCGGGGACGGACCAGGACGACUUUUCGGGUCUAAAUUCCGCCACCUUGCAAAAUCGAGGUGCGGCUAGCCAUCAAGGCGGUGUACAAGGACUGUCAUGAUGGCCAAGUUGCACCGCUUCUGUUUGUUGCUUGUGCUAAGCAUGGUUCCGAGUUUGAUGGAACUCUUCUGUUUGUUGGUUAACGAAGGGAUCGAUCCGGGCCGGAGCAGUUGCGACUUGGCCUCGUCGAUGCCUACACGUGCUAGAGACCGGUCUGUAAUGCAGUGGUUAGCGGUCACUUCUGUUCCUUUGAUGUUCAGCUAGCUAGGCAUAUAAAAGAGGAGUAUGUUGUGCCAGGUUGGUUGAUAGAACUUCAGUUCAGUUGUCCUUCAAUUCCUAUAAAUGUUAAAAUAUAUUGCUCGUCUCUUUUCAUCAGUCUUUAUUUUUAAAGCAACCGACUAAAAUAUAAAUUUAAUAUAAUAUCCGAAUCAAGAGCUUUUUAGUUCAAGACCCUAUCAAUGUUGUAUUAAAAAUAAUACAGUUACGCGGUCUUCAUUGAUCCCGCGUCUAAGAAAUAAAAUAGACUAGACGUUAGGAGGUGUUGAAAUAUGUUGUCAGUCUCUUUUCAUCAGUUAAAAAAAUUGACCAACUGGAUGAAGGAUGAAUUCAAUAAUAACCAUCUCUUCAUCACUGAAAAAUAAUAAUCUUCUGCCUCUUUUACGAGCCAAAGUAAAUAAAACUAUUUAACGGUGCUGUGCAUGCUAAUGAAGUCCCUUGUAAAGUGACAAAUGCGUCAGUAUAGCGCGUCAAGUGUGGCUUACUGUUGUGAUGAAAGGGAAGCUUCAGUAUCUAGCCACGCAGACGAUCGGUCAACAAUCAGCUAUAGGCUAUAGCGCGUGUAACAUUCGUCACCUUCACUAUCAAUCUUGAUGGCGGGUAGGAAUCAAGCUACCGCCUUCUGAAUCAUUCUAUAGGGGGGUCGGUUUCACCGCGAAAUCCAGGGCAGAACAGCCAGGGAAUUAAACGACUAGUUUGGCCGUGUCGUCGUCUUCCAUUUGGAACCGUACGUGCAUGGGCACCAUUUGCACGCGACACACGGGCAUCACGAGACGAGCACUAACACACGCAAGUCCAAAACUGACGGUGUUAGAGCAUCGAAACUUUCAAUCCGACCCGUCAAACGUACGUGGACAAUGUUCGUUCAGUGACCGGGUAUGUUCGUUUUGAAUCUUACAUUUUCGCCCGCGCAGAGGCACCUCUCAUAUGUCUGGUUAUUUUUACGUGAUUGAUAAAUAACAAGAGAAAAAAAAAAGAAUGAAUAAACAAAGAGAAAAGGUGGUUUGGUAUGGGGCCUCGUCCUAUGUGGCGGACUGACCGGUCAUGUUCGGACACGUCCACGAGCCCUUAUAUCGCCCCUAUAUUUAAGAUGGAUUUAAAAGGUGUCGGGCCAGUCCAAAUGUUUGAGAUGGAUAUAAAGGGUCCGUCUGGAUUAUUUUUUUGUGACCGGUUAGUAACCGGACUGUUGUCGGGACAUUUGAGAAGGGUUUGCGGGGUCUGGCUGUAGAUGCUCUUAGUUGUGUGAUAAGCGAAGAUUCAAAACAAUUAUUUAAUUAUUAUUAGAAAAAUAUACCUUUUUCCCAGCAAAAAAAAAAGGAAAUCAUACCUUUUAGCCAUCCACGCAAAGUUGUCAGAAUCGGAUCGGAACUCCAUUGAUAGGAUCAUGAAUCGUAGGAUCAUAACUAACAGGAUCAUAAAAACUUAGAUUUUAUGAGCAAAAUCGUAAAAUCGAAGGGGCUAGUUUGGAUUGUAAAGUCGUAAGAUUCUAAAACUUAAGUCACGAUUCUGACAACUCUGAUCGACGUUAACAUGCGAAAUGUUAUUGUGUCGGUUUCCUGACAAUUCUGCUUCGAUAACCAUCAGAUGUGUGCACGGAUCUUGAAGCACAAACGCGUCACCAUGUGAGCUACAAAAACCGUCCGUCUGAGGUGCGGAACCGCGGAACUAAAGCAACUAAGUGUGUCAUACUUAAUCCUCCCACAACCAAGCGGCUAGCUUGGUAAGCUACCUAUAAAAAUUGCAUUCUUCAUCACCUCCCACUCAUUGCACUCUCUCCUGUCCCAUUUGAAAUUUCCAAUUUGAAUAAUAAAUUAACAAAAAUAAUCUACUAGGUAAUAAAUUACAGUGCACAUAGUUAGAACGAACAGAUUAUGUUUGAUGGUGUCAUAUAUUACACACGAUUAUGUGAAGAAUAGCGUGUGUGAUUAUUAGCUUUACAACACACGGUCGCAUAUUUUACGCGUGCGAGAUGUGCGCAAUGUCACACAUGCGAUUGCAUGCCGUAAGCGUUUGCGAUUAGCGUCAAUAGCACAAAUGGUUUCAAACAUGUGUGCGUGUGUAAUGUAUGACAAUAAGAAGACGGUUGACAUACGAAACGUGUGUGUGAUUGAAACAGCUAUCGCACACGAUUAUCAAAUUGACGCAUUGGCGAUAGUAGAGCCACCACACAUAAUUAAAAGUUUCGGAAUGUGUGUCAUAAUAUAUCUAUCGCAAACAGGUCGUUGGAUUAAAUGUUUGUGAUAUCCAUAUUUCUCACACGAAUAUAUUUGAACCAUCAUCUCGGAUGAAUGGUUGAUCACAAACAUAACAUCAAAGUAUGGCAUGUGGGAUAGACUACGACUUCACAUACGCUUACUUUAGGCGAAUCAUCAACAUACGCCCGCCCCAUCACAAAAUAUGUUUCAUUGUCGUGUGGGAUGGACCCCUAUAGCCCACACAGGAAAGGCAAGAGUUUGGAACUGCAUCGCGCAAAAGGGUUAAAAACCAUUUGCAUAGGACCUAAAGGUACCAGUGAUUUAUCUUUAGUGGGAGUGGUGCAUUGUGAUGAGUUCAAUAUUGUGGUGCUCAAUCCUAGUGACAGGAAAUGACACAUAUUUGUAUUGCUGCCAUUAAGGAUUAAACGAUGGGGUUUAUUCAUAUUGAUUGAGUUUACUUUGUCCAGGCCAUGUCAUCUUGCCCCAAGCAUUACUCGGUUUCAUACUUAACACUCUAGAUGCAUGCUUAAUAACGAUCGAUGAGUGGAGUAAUAAUAGUAGAUGCAAGCAAGGGUCGGUCUACUUGCUUAUGGACAUGAUGCCUAUAUACAUGAUCAUUGCGUUGAAUAAGAAGUCAUAACUAUGUGUUAUUCUAUCAAUUGCCCAACAAUAAUUUGUCUACACACUGUAUGCCAUCUUCAAGAGAGAAGCCUCUAGCGAAAACUAUGACCCUCAGGUCUACUCAAAUUAUAUUAUAAAAACUACAAAAAUAUUGUUGCCAUUUAUUUUUUGUUAUUUACUUUUGUAUUUAUAUUAUCUAUCUAUCAGUUUUUAAUCUUUGCAAGUAAUGAGUUUAAGGGGCUUGACAACCCUCUUGCCUCUGUUGGGUGCAAAGGUUUGGUUCUCCAUGUGCAGGUGCUCACGAUGAGAGUUUUCUUAAUACUUCUAUUGGUUCGAUAACCUUGGUUCUCCUGAAGAAAGUACUUACAUCUAUUGUGUUGCAUAUCCUCUCCUCUUUGAGGAAAAUCCCAAUGCAGUUUACAAGUAGCAUCCGCCGCGCCACACCCUGCCAAAACUCGAUGAGUAUGUCACCUCCAACGGUACAAACGGGCUUGAAGCCGCUUCUCCUACAGUGUUGUUCCUCACCUCUCCUUAGACCACCGUGCAGGUACCAUCUACUCCUAUGAUGAUCAUCAUGCCCGGAACAUGGGCGGUGAAAGCUACUCCUAUGAUGAUCACCAUGCCCGGAACAUGCUCGAUGAAUUUCACGAGCUAAUUUUUUUGCACCUUCUUCCUUGAAGCAAUGGAUUCAUGUAUGGAGUAGAUAUACAAACACUAUGUUGGCUCGUCCGACGAGGAGGACUACACGGGGUGAGAUGGUGAUGAUGCAAGCAGUGCUUGUAGACGUGGAACAUGCGGAGAAGCAUGUUCUCAAUUUCAAAGAUCGGUCAAGGGUCAUCGGAUGCUCAAGCGCAACCGAGCGUGCAGCCAUUUGAAGUUGAUGGACGACUACUUUGUCCCAUAUGCCCUCUUUGCUGGAUUAUUUUGUCGGAAGUUUUGGACGCGCAAAAAUAUCUUCGGUCGUCUCUACCAUGACGCCCGGUUCUUUUACGACUACUUCAUCUUGAAGAAGGACACGAUGGGAAGGAUUGGGUUCUCUGGUACCAAAAAUGCAUAGGCACACUGUGAAUGCUUGCAUAUGGCAGGGCAUUGAUUUGUGGGAUGAGUAACUACGGAUGUCUGAGAACACAUGUGAAGAUAUCAUGGUUAGGUUUGCAAAUGUGUGAUCGAGGUGUUUGGACCAUAAUACCUAAGAGAACCAAUUGUGGCAGACACCUAGAGUAUCUUGACAAGCAUGAGGGUGCUCACGUUUGCUUGGAUCUCUUGACUGCAUGCGUUAGGAAUGAAAAAAUUGCGCGGAAGCUUUACAAGAGCAAUAGCACGAUCAUGUUAAGAAUUCCACCAUCAUUUUUGAGGCAGUUGCAUCACAUGAUUUUUGAAUCUGACACGCUUAUUUUGGCAUGCUAGGUUUCACAGUGACAUUAAUAUCUUGCAGCGAUCACCAUUGUUUGCCAGACUGGCUGAAGGAAAAGCUCAUCCUUGCCACUAUAUUGUCAAUGGACAUGAAUGCAACAUGAACUACUAUUUGGUUAACGGUCUCUAUCCUUCGUGGGCUAUCUUUGUCAACACUAUCUCUAAUCCAGUUGACCAGAAAAAGUCUCACUUUCCCCAAAGACAAAAAUCAUUUAGAAAGGAUGUUGAGAGGGCAUUUGCACUUCUGCAUGCAUGUUUUGGACUUGUUCGUGGACCUGCUAAAUAGUGAGAUCCGGGGAUCUUAUGUGAGGUGAUGACCUGUUGUGUGAUCAUGCACAACAUGAUCGUGAAGGAUGAGUGUGAGGAUGCUGCGACAACUCUUAAAUUUGAGAACAUGCAUGAGUGAUUCUAUUGAACUUCCCGACCAAAAUUCGGCCCCAUUUGAAGAAUAUGUUCAAAUGCAUCAACACUUCGGAUCGAACAAUUCACGAAUAACUCAAGAAAGAUUUGAUCGAUCAUAUGUGAAUGAUUAAGGAAGACAACAAUGUUGGAGUGUCAUAUUUAAUUUUUUUUAAUUAAAACUGCUACUGCAUUUGAAUAUUUAAGCCAUUUUACACUAUAUAUGCGACUAUUAAACGUACGGAGUAGGAUCAGAUGUUAGCAGGUAGUUUUAGAUAGCCGGCUUCCGCAUCUAUGUUCACGGAUUGGCCCCUGUCCGUGAACGGAUGUGAGAGCAAAUUUGUGGAUCAGGUCUGCACUAAGUAAUAAGUAAUGAUCAAAAGGGUCAAAAUUUCAGCAACCGAUCAAGUCGCUGUUCAACGUACAAUUUAUGGUCGUCGAAGAUGGGAGCACAAGAAUGUAAUACACGCAAUCGACCGCUAAAUCAAAUGCAGUUUUAUCCCACGUGAUACCGAGGAAAACUCGGUCAACUUGAAGAGUUUCAGACGUAACACUGUCAGUUGUCACGGUAUUGACGAAUGACAUUGUCGUUCUCCACGCACCUGCUUGACCAUGCUUCCAUAUACCAUUACUACCGAGAGUCCAUAGAUCACACGCAAGAAGUUUUCUCCACCCCACAAGAAAACACCAGCACGACGUCGUCGUUAUUUGACAAAGUACUUCCAUAAGCGAUCUCAGAAAUCAAGGCGAAUCUUGUUUGACAUUAUUUUUUAUAAAUGCUUAUAUAAUAACCGUACGACGAUUAAUUAUUUAAAAAGAUAAUACACAGUACAGUAACUCACACAAUCAUUAAACAAGGAGUGCAUGUAGUUUAAUACUUUCUCCGUUCCUAAAUAUAAGUCUUUUAAGAGAUUUCACCAGUGGUCUACAUACGAAGCAAAAUGAGUGAAUCUAUAUACUAAAGUAUGUCUAUAUACAACCGUAUAUAGUCCACUAGUGGAAUCUUUAAAAAGACUUAUAUUUAGGAACGGAGGAAAUACUUUUCUUAAUUAACCAAGUUGUAAAUGCCACACGCCUUAAUUCUCUUCUAUUCUAAAUAUGCAUGUAAACAGAACCGUGUCUUCUAAACCGUGACGGGGAGUAGUGUGCAUACGUACGUGGGGCUGUGGAGCAUCAUCCCAGGUCUUUUCUCUUCUAAAAAAUAAAAUGAAAACACUUAAAAUAAACCGGCUGAUUACAGCGUCGCAUAAGUCGCCUCAGCACUACGACGCAUAUCCCACACGGUGUGGCCCCAGCACAAAAUUCGAUCGAAGCUUUUCUUCCUUCCCAAUCCAAAUCUCACGGGCGCUGCAAUGGCAACCGCCGCCAUCUCCCACCUCCGCCGAGGCGCGCAACGCCACGCACUCCUAUACCUCUCGCGCUGCCACUUCUCCUCUCCGUCCUCCCUCGCCGAUGCCGCCCCGCUCGCAACCGCUGCUCGCGUCAGAGUUGCAAUCGAGUUUUGCCGGAGUCAUCGACGUUGCGUCGAAGCUCCGUCAAGACUGCAAUGGAAGCUUCAAUGGAGCGUCAGGAUCUGCAAUGGAGCGCCGCCUGGCUCGUCGCGUUGCAACGAAGUUUCGUUGAAGCUUGAGUGAAGCAUGCCACGGGAGCGUCGUCGGGUCGGUGGAGCUCGUUGCGGCUGCAAUGGAGCUUUGCCGGAGCUGCAAACUCCGGUGAUGCUUAGGGGACGCUGCAAACUUUGGUGAUGCUUAGGAGGGCGCUGCAACUCCGACAAUGUUGCUUGAAGCUUGUAGGGAGCACCGUCGGUGUUGCAAUGGAAUAACACCGGGCCACCCGAAGCAUAGCCGACGCUGCAUUGAAGCUUUGCUGGAGUUACAAUGGAGCUUCGCCGAAAGUAGGCGGUGUUGCACUGAAGCUUUGACGGAGUUACAAUGAAGCUUCACCGGAAGUAGGCGAUGUUGUACUUGAGCUUUGUCGGAAGCCAUCGCUGCUGCAUAGGAGCUAUGGAUGUGGCCGCGUUGUUGUGCAGUGAAGCUUUGACGGUGUUUUCACUGUUGCCGAAGUGUUGCUGCAUCUGACGGCCACCUGCAGGCGGAUGAUUUCUAGUGGUCGCCAAAAUAAAAACUCGAGUUUCACCGAGACGAAGCGCUCGUCGGCGUCUUAGUGCGUGCGCGGCACAUCGAUCGCCGCGGAGGUGAGACGGGACAUUCCCUGAACAGAAUGCACCAGAACGGCAACCGGGAAAGGAAAAGCGGAGCAGCGUGUAUGCAACGACGACACGGGACGGGAGUCGCUGCCCAAGAAGAAGCUUUAACCGGCGGAAUUCCUCCGUGGUGGCGGUGGCAGAGACGUGCGCCACCACGCACGAAGCAGCGCCUUUUCUUCCCCUGAUAACGCCGUGCACACCACGGGAGCUUUUGGUCCAGAAACGCACAUAAUAGAUAGGCAUAGAGCGGCUGGUGGCGUACGGCGCCACUACGACCGGAGCCGGCCGCACGACCAGCGGCCCCGCCGGUGCCACGUACGCCCGCCCGCCCGUCCGGCGGAUCGUAUAACGCGUGCGGCCGCGGCGUUGACAUCUCGACGGUGCGGCACACACAGCACCGGCGUCAUCACUUCCCUGUACUACUACUAGUACUAACGGCUUUUGGUAGUAGCGUAAUACUUACUGGCGGCGUGAACGAAGCGGGCAGACGCUCGGUUGCCGCCGGUCGACCGAGCCGAGCCAGGCCCCGACCCCACCGAUCCGAUCGGCAGCGGCAGGUCCCACGCAGGUUCGCUCCCCCACAGUCACAGACCAGAUCCCGACGCCCCCACCACACCACACCACACCGCACCGCCCUUCCCUCUUCCCAAACUCGCGCAGGCAAACGCACCGGCACCGCACCAGACCAGACCAGGCCGAAACGGGCGAAUUUCACCCGCCGGAGCCAUGGCGGAGUGCCGCAGCCUCAUCGAGUUCCUGCGCGCCUUCGAGCAGCACCGGAGGGCGGCGGACCCCUCGUCUGCCACCCGAUCCAAGCGCGCGCCGUCCCCCUCCAGGCGCCACAGCCUCACCGCGCUCUGCGACCACUCGCCGAUGGCCGCGCUGGACGCGCUCCUGCUGCUGGCCGUGCUCGCCGCGCUGGGCUUCCUCGUGGCCCCGCACGCCAGGCUGCUGCUGCUCGAGGCGCGCGCGCUGCUCCACCCGGCGGCCUCCUGCCUCUCGGCCGCGCCGCUCGCGGGGGCCGNGCCGCCGUCGCCGGGGCCGCGCUCGGAUGGGGCCUGCUGGGCCACCACGCGCGCAAGUGCGGCAAGCCGCGCUGCAGGGGCCUCAAGAAGGCCGUCGAGUUCGACAUCCAGCUCGAGACGGAGGAGUGCGUGCGCGGCCGCCCCACCCCCGCCGCGCGAUCGGCCCUGCUCGCCGCCGCCGGGGCGCCCCGCCCCGUCGAUCUCGGCGACGCGCACCGCGAGCUGGAGGCCGAGCUCCGGAAGAUGGCGCCGCCCAAUGGACGCACCGUGCUCAUCUUCCGCGCGCCCUGCGGCUGCCCCAAGGGCCGCAUGGAGGUCUGGGGCGCAAAGAAGGUGCGCCGGAUCAAGAAGUAGACACACACAAGAUGAAGGGUCGGAUAAUUCCUUCAUCAUACUAGUAAUAAGCAGUAGCUGAAAUACAGGUUGCCUCCCUAC